rnacentral:lncRNA from 1 species
GCGGAGGAAGACGACGGAUUCAUCCGACCCGAAUCCCCGCAGAGGGGGGGUUACCGUCUUCCCGGGCUCCGCCAGCGGCAGUUUCCGGCGGCCUCCGGCGGGGGGGAAUACUCCGGCGAGCGGCGCCGCUAGGGCGUGUGACCGUGCUGGGAGAGCCGGCGAAGGUGUUUAUCUCGCCUCCUUCGGAAUCGUGCUGCUUCGAGAUCUCCGCCUCCACCGGUUGGCCAGGGACUCUUCGUCUGAGAGGAUCAGGCGGGGUGGAGGUUGUUUGCGGUGGGAAGCUGCUUCCGGCGAGGAGAGAGGGGGCUCCCUGGCUUCCGUGUGUGGCCGUUUUUUGUGCGCGAUUUGCGUCGGUGAUUCCUAGUCUUGGGGAGGAAGCAAGCGUGGUGGGGGAAUAAGGAUACUUUUUUUUUUUUUUUUGCUCUCUCGCUCUCUCUCUCUGAGAGUUUUUUGAAUUUGGAGUUCCUUCUUUGCCUCGGGAGGUAGUUUGGCACUGCGAUUUCCGGGGGCUGCCGUUUCCUUGAAGUUACCUGAAGAAGAAGAAGAGAGAAAGAAGGAAGAAAGACAUUAGGGUGGAGAAGUAGACGGCUUCGUGAGAUCGGGGUCUGGUUUUUCUUCGUGGUCUUAAUUGAUUUCGUGAGCUGUUCUUGAGGGGAGAUUCCUCUGGCGUCGCAUCCUUUUUUGAUUGGGAUAUCAUGAUUUAGGGCUGUUGGGACUCGCUUAGAUUCAUUAAUUUCCUCCACUUUUGCUCGUUUAGGAUAAAUUGAUUCUUUGUCGGAUUCCCCUCCCCGUUACUUCCAUUCUUUCUUUGAUUCCCUUCCUCCGGCAGGACACCUGCGAUUUCCCUCAAUCUUCCGAGGAAAACAGCACCUCUGCUGCCGCCGCCGCCUCCUCCUCCUCCUCCUCCUCCUCCUCCUGAUCCUUCUUCUUGUUCAGAGGCCGCUAACACAGCUCCAGAAGCUGGGCUUUCACCUCCUCGUUGUGUUGGAAUCGAAAUUGGGUCUCUGAAGAUGGCUGUGGCUUUCACCCGUGUGUCCCUGUGGCUGUGGGGGGCGGGAGGCGGCAAGGACCACCACCGCGAGGCCCCCUCCGCCGCCGGUUCCCCCAUGAACGCCUCGUCGGACUUCGGCUUCCGGGAUCUGGAGAACAACAUCAAGCACCCACAGACGAAGGGGGCCAAGAUGAGGUCGGCCAGGCCCCGUCGAAAGUGGCAGAGCAGGGAGGAGCGAUGGAGGAAGGUGGACAGGGAGUUCGACGUCGUCUUGGUGCCAUCGGACGGCGGCGGGUGCCUCUCGGGGUCCGAUUCCGACGACUCCGACUGGUCCAUCGGCUGGCUGGAGCCGCACGCCCCCGACUUCUUCAGCGACGGAGGGGGCUACGAGUCGGAGGUGGAGACCAGCUUCGCCGUCCUCGUCCCCUGCUACGGCCGCGGCCGCUGCGAGAGGGCCGGCGAGGGCCCCUCCUACAACAACCGCGUUCUCACCGCCGUUGACCUCACCGGGGGGUUCCUGUCCGGUGAGUCCUCCUCUCCAUCACCCCUCGCUAUCCGACCUGGUCGAUUUCGAGAUGCCCGCAUCUCUUGCUUCUCUGGACCUCUUCAUUCGUCCUUCUUCCUCGCACCAGCAGCCCUCCCCCCCCCCCCCUCCCCGCUGAUUCAGAUGAUCAGAUGAGUUUUUUUCCGGCCGGCCCCAUUUGAUCCUGACGAGCCCACCUGGCGAUCGUCUGUCUUUUCUGCGCAGAGGGAAACAACCAGUAUGUGGAACAGCUGCUCUCCACUCUGCACAGCAGCUGAGCUCGCCGUCAGCUUGGAUGCUUCCCUCUCGUGAAGACUGUGGGAAAAGGGAGGAAGGAGGGAGAUUGAAGCGAACAAGGGAGAGAGAUCCGGAGGCCGUGCGAGCUCCCCCGGGGAGAUUCGGAGCCCCUCUCUCCUCCACGGGCUGUGGAAUUCUUUCUGUAAAUAGCUCAAGUGUGCAUAUUGCUGGAAGCAUCCGUGCUUUUGCCUAAUUUUGACUCUGUAAAUAGCUCCUCGCGCACGCACCGGGGAGGCCAGGAUUUCUGGCGAAUCUGUGAUAGUACGUAAUCGUUGCCUCGAUCGAGAGCUCUCUCUCUGCUUCUCUUCUGUUAUCUUCUCUUCUCUUCUGCUCUGCUCUGCUCUGUCUUCCUCGGGUCUUCCUGCGGACGACCCUCUCCAGAUCUACCAUCUCUGAACUUGCGGCGGGUGUCGGAGAAUCUCCGAGUCCACAGUGGAAAAAGCGGAGAAAGUUCCAUGGCAGCUCGCUCGCUCUCUCUCUCUCUCCACACUUUUAACCCCUCCCAUACCGCUCUCCUACAGUCUACAGAGGUAGAGAGGGAAGGAAACGUCGCUGUUGCACUCUGAGUGCGGGGGGUGACGAAGGGGACGGCUAUGGAUGGGUACCCUCCCAUGGCUGGACUUCUUCUACCCCUGUGGCUUCUUCUGACGGCGAGAAGAAGUNNNNNNNNNNNNNNNNNNNNAGAGAGAGAGAGAGAGAGAGAGAGAGAGAGAGGGACCUCGCCAUGGUCGCCGGAAUCCGGCCGCCGCGGCGCUCGAACGAAGCUGUUCUUCAGAGUGGUUGCCCCGAGCUCCGCGUCCAACGACUCGGAGUACGACUGCAUGAAAUCCUCCGACUCCUCGAGGUCAACGUCCUCCUCCGAGUCGUCUGCAGAUUCAUUUCUUGGAGCAUAAACGCGCGAACCAUAAAAAAAUAAAAACAAAAAAUGAAACCCACGAGAGCGUUCGGCCGUAGGAGACGGGGAAUCGGGGUAUAGAAGCCGUACCCAAGUCAAAAUCCGAUGAAGAGGUCCCAUCCUCGUCAGCGUCGUCCUCCUGCAGGCCCAAGCCCCCCAGAACGGACUCCAUGUCCUUGAAAAACUGCCGGACGUCGAGGUCAACCUCCCCCUCGUCUGCUCUGCGGAGUCAAAAGGAUAGUCAGAAACUGCCAAAAGGGGAGGGAGGGAGGGAGAACUCUGCAUCGGUUCUUGAUUCUCCAGGGAAGAACCCAUUCAACAAAAUGAAGAGAAAAAAAAACUUGGAGCCAUUUGGAACAUUUGAUCUCUCCUUGAUGCGGUUAGUAUAGCAGCGAUGAAGAGAUUCCCACCAGACCCAACUAGAAAGGUAUCAACUUGUGACCCCCAAAAAAGAAAAAAAAAACUAAUCACGGUCCUUAAUCUCGCCCAAUUGCUCAGCUGACCAUGAAGGUCGUCCCUGCGAGCAGAGGACGACUUCAAAUGGAGGGAGAUGGUCGCAUGUCACCCGCCCUUCCUAGGUUUUACCAACCAUGACUAUCCUCAACCAUCUAAAAAAAAUUACGGCCGAUUGACUAUUUCAUCGGUAUGAUCUAACAGUCUACAGUGGGGUCGCCAAGAAAUUGUGAGAUAUUGAGACGUCCAACUCCCCCACUGAGGAAUUGUCCAAGGUAAAGUAGGUUCUGCAUAAAACAAGCAUUCCCCAACAAGGUCCCAUGGCAUGAAAUUUUUUUUUUGGUUCUACAAAGUGAACAGGAAUUUUUUUCUUUUGGUUAGACAAACGGCCACAGCUGGAAAUCUGCUCACUGAAUUUCUCAAGUGAUUUAAUGAGCUGGCUGCGAGUCAGGUAUUACUUAGGUACUAAGCCUUAAGAGGUCAGCAUCGAUUAGUCAAAAGAUUUCCUCCAGGAAGUGUGGGUGACGAAAAUAUGAAGUCAUUUAGACUUCGAACGUAAGGACCUCAGACUGCACCAUUCAAAUGCUAACUUGUACCAGUUAAUUUCCAGCAAUAAGACCGAUGGGGAAAGAAUUGGUGAUAACUCUCUCAAACAAGGACUGCGCGCAGAUCAUCGAUUUCUGUUUCGGAAAAUCUAAUUCAAGAAAAAAAAUGUAGUUCCAAAAACAAGCGUCGUAUAUGCUUUAAUACUAAGACACCUUUUUGACAGCCAAUGACAAUGAAUGAGUCUACAUCAAGAAAAGGGAAAAAAAAAAAACUACAAAUCGCACAAAUAUGGAAACGUGACCCAGAAGAAGAAGAAGAAGAAGAAUAUAGGUUUAGCACUGAGAUUCACAUAAAGAUGAUUUUUUUCUGCUGAAAUUGGAAAUUUAUUAAAGAGUCGUCCAAACAAACCUGUUUCCAGGAACUUCAGCACCUUCGAAGCUUGAAAUCUUUUCAACAAAUGCUUGCAUAGUCUUUGCCAUUUCACCGAGACUAAAAUCAUCCAUGAGGCCAGUGUCCUCGGGAUUUCUGCUACCCUCGGGCUUUUCUUUACCCCUGCGUUUCAACUCGUAAUUUUCCAUUUCUCUCUGCCUUUCUAAAAUGGCUGAGUUCAGUUCUUCCUCCCCAUCGUACAGCCAAGAAUCAUCAUCACUGGGAGGCAACUCAGCGCCAACAAAGUCACGCACAGAAUGAGGCAAUGAAAGAAUCUCCUCUAUCCGCUUAACUGGAGCACUCAACACGUCUCUGCAAGGAGUUAAAGAUGUAGAAAGAUUUUAUGAGAAGAACAUCCAUGAUUAUGAUGCAAAUAAAUAUUUAUUUUUCAGCUGAAAACUAUGCUUAAAUUGCAAUGAUGUGCAUCAGGAGAUCUAGUUCCCACAAUGAUAAGAUCUCAAAGUUGCAUCCACAGUUUAUAUAUCCUCCUCAGAAUUGAAAAAUAUUCUUAAAUCGCAUUAAAGUUUAUAAGGACAUUCAAUUCCCACAAUGAAAAGACUUCAACGUUGCAUCCACAGGUUAUAUAUCAUCCUCAGAGUUGAAAAAUAUACUUAAAUUGCAUAGAAGUUUAUCAGGCCAGUAAGUUCCCACGAUCAUAUGACCUCAAAGUUGCAUCCACAGGUUCUACAUCUCUCCCAUGAGCAGAAUCUACGACUUUUUUUUUCUGCUACCACACCGGGAAAAUCUUUCUAUAGGGGGGUCUAGAAAUGGAUGCAACAUGUGUACCUUGUGUGAGAAAACACGACGGAGCUCUUGUGACGCUCCAAGGCUUCAUCCAUACGCCGGCGGUACUCCUUGGAUCCUGGCAGCAGGCCCUCGAAAUAGCCGUGACUUUCCAACGCCUUCUUAAACGCGUCAACUGACGCCCCUUUGACCUCAGCACCUGAAAGACGCCUGUACUGGUACAUCAUCUCAAAGCCACAUGCUAUCUUCAUCCCGAGCUCGGCCUCCCCGUACAGCACAGGGCCCUGCUCUCUUGCAGGCAUCGGGUAACACUUUGGAGCGUUGAAGCUCUGUCUCACCAGCUGCGCGUACAUCGCCCUCGACAUCACCACGGACGUCUGAACGAUAUCCACCGCUCCCCCUUCACCCACCAGGAACCUAGCCAUCUUUGAAGCAUGCUUCAUUGAGUCGAUAUCCCGGUCAUAGAAUCCCUCCACGGCCAACGAUAUCAAGCACGGCUCGCGUCUCAGCACCUGGGCCACUGGCAGCGGAACCCUAACCCUAACCCUGUGCAUGUUCCUCCUCGCUCGCUCCGGAUAACCGGAAAGCCUCUUGCUGACGGCCUCUUGGACGCUGUCCGGGGCACUCGUCUGCAACCUCCCACUUUCCAACGCCUCCAGCGCCUCCUUCAGGGUGGGAUUCGAAGGGAAGUGCUUCUUCGGCAGAAUAUGGAGCCUGCCACCGCGGACGAAGACGCGAUUUUCGCUGUUCGCGGGGUUGAUCCAGCGAGGGAGCGAGAACGCCGCCUCGAUAAGCAGGAACUCACCGUCGGAGUCCCAGACUCGGAUUGACACCGACGGAACCCGACGAGAGAUCUCAUACAGCAGGAACACCACGAACCACUCAUCCUCCACGUUGUCGCCGUACCGGACCUUGCCGUGGAGAUGCCUGGGGUGUCCGGCUGACGGAGAAUACUGGGACAGGUUGAAGUGCUCGUGCUGCCAGAUGUAAUCCUGCAGGAAAGGAGGGAGGAUGGAGUCUAGGAUUUGAAGCUGCAGAGAGAAGAGGGAGUCGCCGGCCGCCGCCGCCGCCGCCACCGCGUCGCCGGACGAUGGGAAGAAGGCCUCGUCGGGGUAGAUGGAGUAGAAGACAGUGUCCUCCGGUAUUCUGUGGCUCCGCUCGGAGAAGAGGUUGUCGGGCGAGGACUCGGCGGCAGCGGAGCUCGGAGAGGCCUCCAUGGAAGACCCGGAGCAGAACGACUCCAUCGCCUCGACAAAGCUUAUAUACGUAGUUUCGAUUCUGAAUACCUGGGAACCGACUCCCAAAAAUAUGACGACAUUUUCAAUUUUUUUUUACAAAAUUUUAAAUCUCUUCCGACGCUUUUUUACAUCCGACGUUAAUUAUCUUCAGUUUCCUUCCAAUUGUGGAACAUUUUGACACAUUAAUCAUCAUUAAGCGACAUGAAACAUCAAAAUAUUUGUUCUUUCUUUAGUUAAUAGCAAGGAUUUUUUGAGCAUGAUUAAGUAAGGAUUGAAAAAAAAAGUUGAUCCCUUUGAUCGAACCCCAAUUAAAUCCAAAAAAAAAUUACCUUCAUAUGGAUAGCCCCCAUGAACUGAGGGGGGGGCAUUCAGGGGCAGAUAAUCAUAGAGAACCCAUCAUAGCAUUUUUUUGUACAAAUUUAUCCAGAAACCAAGCAUCAAAAUGGAAUCGGUGAUGGAGCCCACUACUUUGAUCAUCAGGAGUCAAACACAAACACAGCAGCAGCAGCAGCAGCAGCAGUAGCAGAAGAAGAAGAAGAAAAAUAAAUCACUGUUACCGUUCUGUUGAAUUCAUUAUUCUGAGAGUUGCUAUCAAUACCCAAGUUCAAAAGACACCUUGCACCCCCGCAGCAGUCACAUCAUAAAUUAAAAUUCACAUAAAAACUAUGUAAAUGGCGUAAAUAGUUCAUUCUAUAUUAAUUAACUGAUUAAUUAAAAACAUUUUUCACAAAACGCACUGCCUUACAGAAAAUGCCUCGCCCAAUGUUGGCAACCGUUCUCAAACAUCUGCUCGCCUGAGGCAAUCCUUUAGAAAUUAUGAUAUAUUAUCCAUCAGGUCUCUAACUAUCUGCGAAUUCCAAGAGCCAUGCCAAAAAAAAAAAAUUGAAGUUUUGACAUUCCCACGUGUCAACGGAGAGAGGAAGAAAUUGCAUCAUGAAUGGAACAUGAAAAUAGUUCGGAUGUGGCAGCUCUGUAAAAACAAAUGGGCACCUCCCCCGUGUCAUUCUAAAGAAGGUACAAGACGGCGCAGCUUCACCAGCACCCAGAUCCAGAAGAAUCAUAAUCUAUAUGGAAUCUAAGUGUCAAGAUACCAAAAAUUCAAUCAUUUGGGACCCUAGUCUGUCACAUGCCUGGAAAUACUUGACUAAUAUCUGACAAUGAUCUCCCUAGGAAUACAAGAAAAAAAAAAAAAAACAACCUCUGAACGAGCUCUGCAUCUAAUCAUCAGACGAUGGCACAAAAAAAAUAGAGUUCUAGUCAAUGUGUAUAUGGAAAUCAUAAGGGACAUACAAAUUCACACCAAUCAGCAUUCGCUUCACACAUACAUUUUACACAGACAUGAAAAGAAUCAUAGAGCGUCUAAACUUGUCACCAAGACUAGAGUUAUGAUAAUUCAAAGAUAAAAAUGUAUAAACACCCAAAAACAUUACCAGAGGUUCUGCAUCAGCCUCUAGCUUUCCUAAUAAUCGACCCUGGUAUGCUAGAUGCCGCCAUAUCAUCUGAUACUCCCUUGAAUUUGAAAUUCCGGUGGCACUUGCUUUUCUUCACAAGUGCCUUCCAAUCAAUUUUUACACCAACAAACCGGGGAACUUUCUGAAGAACUUCAAGUAUUGUGUCUUGUGAGUACCCGUCAAGAAGUAUAGCCAGCUACCCAACAUUAGUCUGAUGGCAGUAAUUCACCUGUAAUUACUGUGCCAUCUGCGUGGCCAUAAGAACUUCCUGUUAAUCCAAACAAUGGAGUAUAUGAGCCGUAAUAAUGCAAUAACCUUGAAUAUAAUAAAGUGUCACAAAAAUAGGAAGCUGAAACAUAAUUAUUUAACAAUUCAGCACUUAAAGCAUGGUCAUGCCGUCAGCAAUGAACGUACGAGCUGUGAAAGUAGGAGUGCAUUUUUUUGAAAGAUAUGCGAAUGAACAGACCCUCCUCAUUCAUGUAUCCAGCAGCAUUAAAAGGCUCGAUAAAGGAGAUAUGAGAUGGAACCCUUUGGCAGAUGUUGAUAAAAUUUACUCAUUUUACCGCAUCUGACAACACCACUGUCAACGGAAAGGCAAGCAGAAGAAUUAUAUAGGAGGAGAAUAUCCAGGAAAUAUCAAUAAUUGUUUUCAAUAAUUGUUUGCACAGUGAGAUCAGCGAGUUGCACAUUUAAAGUGACAAAGUUUGAGGAAGAACGCGAGGUGUUCGUCGUUAUGUUUGAUCCAUCUGGAGCGGAAUUUACCUGCGGCUGUCAGCUGUUCUAGAGCUAGCUCUGGCAUCCUGUGCGGACACAGAUGAACAAAAGAAUGGAUUUUUCAUCCGAUCAGCCCACUGAUGGGUCGAGAAAAAAUAACUAGGAUUCUUAUGGGCCUCUUACCUGGCGAUGCAGCAGAUGGUGCAUUAAGUUUGGCAGAGUUGGGGUAGCAUCUGUCGGCAUUCAUGAUGUUGCAGCUCGUGCACUUGAGGAAGCCGUGUAGAAAGUAGAUCAGUGGCAGAGACGAAGAUGGGCAGUCCAGGGAAGCAGCCCAGCCCUUCAUCUGAUGGAACUAUGGUCAGAAAUAAAGGAGAAAACAAGAUACAGGGAGAGAAGCUACACCAGGACCGCCUGACACCAGGCAAUCAGACCCCAGGCAUAUCCUCUUUCAACAAGCGCUCAGCCUUCCCUCCUUGGCUCCUGCGUGGUCCGGUGAUUCUGAGGUCCCAAUUAUGCCAUCAGCUGGACCUGUGGCUUCAGAUAGCUCAAUCAGCCUGGGUCAAUUAGAUAGUCCCACGCUAGUUUGACCCACCAUUACCUUUUAAGUUUGACCCAACAUGGGAUUGUCGAGCUCGAGUUGAACCAAGGAAAUCCAAGGAGCCCACGUUUACGAUGUUAGAUCCAGGAUACAUGGGAUAGAGGGAUGGGCUUCAGCUUUUCAAAGAUCGAAGCUUCAGCCCCAGACAAUGCAGGAUCUUUGACGUGCUCCUUGCAUUCAAAUAUGCUGGCUUUGGUCUCCGGGAUCAUGCUCCCAGCGGCACUCUGUGUGCCCCUGAUGGGAGGGGAGAUCCACCUGUUGCCUCCUCGGGUUGUAAUUUUUACUCAGAAUUGGAGAUGGGGGAGUUUGGGAAGCUGCGGUAGCUCAAACUAUGGUUGCCUUGGGUACUAUACAGCUGAGACACUCUACAUGAAAAGCUGAAGCAGCUAUGCCUCUGGGAGCCCGCAGGCGAUCAAGACUGCUUUUUCAGCGUUUCCGAUCCCCCCUCUGUCAUGGGAUGCAUUCCCCGGAAGUUCCGCGGCGCCUCCCAUGGAGCCUGCCGCCGCCGCCGCCGCCGCCGCCCCUUCCACGUCUCCGUCAUACUCCGCGGCAGCGCGAGUGAACUCCGGCGUUGCUGCGGCGCCUGAAGCGCCUCCGAUCAGCAGUCGGCAUUUUCCGGUGGAUUUCUGCGGGCAAACUGCCCCCCCCCCCCCCAACCUUAAGUUCUGCUGGCGAGCUCAACUGGGGAAUCUCUGGCGUGAGAGCAACGCCGACUGGGCGAUCCCCCCGGACCAGCAGCAGCGGCUGAACCGUUGACCGGUCCCCCCGCCGAUGAACAGAUGUAGAGAAGGGAGCGGAUUUAGCGGGCUUCGAAGAAGGCCGCCGAGUUUCAGAGGAGUGCUGGGGAGGAAACGAUUUCCUGUGAUCCCCCGGAGGAUCGCCAUCGAUCCUCCGGAUGAUUCCCUUUUGGAUGGUGUAAUUAUUUUACAGGCAAGCGAUCCUGAGGAUGGCUGGGUCUGCGACGUGUUCGUCGAUGAGGGGGUGUCGCAUGUCGAUUCAUGUUGAGAUCAUCGUCGCCGUCGACAAGAACGAUCUACAGAAUUCUCUGCAGUUUUCCCGCUGGGUAAGUUACAGCAGCAGAAGCGAUACAUCGAUUCCACGAAGAACGGUCGGCCCUUUUGUCAAUCUGGAACUAAUCUAAUCAAUCUUGUUUGGGGAAAGCCGGUUGGGAGGAGGAAGAAGAAGAACAGAAGGAGAAGAAGUCCAGGACCCCCUUUUCUCUCUGCCACUCUUCUAAUUUGCAGGGGAGGCUUCAUCUGGUCGGCCACCCAGGGGGCGGUGCGGCGCCUCGCCGGGAGCGGCGGAGGAGGAGGAGGAGGAGAGUGCGGCGGCUUUGACCGCAAGGAGUCUCUCCUUGAAGGCGCGCUCCUCCGCCAGGCGGCGACCGAGCUCCGCCAGCUGCGCGCGGCUCCGCUCCAGAAGCGCCGUGGCCUCCGCCAGCUGCGCGCGCAGCACCACCAGCUCCGCGUACGUCUCCGCCAGCCGCCCCAUCGUCCGCUCCAGCUCCGCCGCGUCCCCCAGCAGCGCCGCCGCCGCGACCAUCCUAGGAACUCGCCGAUCGGGCCGCAAUGGUCGCCCCUCUUCCCCGUCCUCGUCCUCGUCCUCGCCCCUCGGCGGCGGCGGCAGGCGCCCUCGGCACAUUCUUCCCCCUUCUUCUUCGAUGGUCUGCCUCGCCGGAGAGGACGCGAGGGGGAGCGAACUUUUCUACUCUUAUGUCUCCCUCCCUAAGCGUCGGCGGUAAGAGCACCGUAGUGGCCCGACUACCAUGGAAACGCAUCAAAGGACAGGAGGCCGGCCCAAUAGACCCAGUAAAUUGGCCAAAAGGCAGGCCCAAUGAGCUCGUUCUCAGAUAGCGUAUGGCUCGUUGUCUGGGCCGGACGAGCCCAUAUUAUAUAUGGGCCAAAUAUUCUUGAGCCCCGGCCCACUAACGGGUAGAGGCGGCCUUUAUAACCACCGGGCCACUGCUGGCGGUCUGGUCACCGCCAUGGGAACCGUAAAGAGGGACUAAGAACGACACUUGCAGUGCGACAACUGAUUUUUCCCCCUUUUUUUUAAUUUCUUCCGCCUCGGGGCAUAUUUUUCCCUUUCAUGAAUUUUUAGGGUAAUUGUGUAAAUAAAUUAGGGUUUGGAGCUUCGCUAAACCUGGGCACGCCGAUUGAAGCGAUCGUCGGUCAGAAGAGGGCUGCACCGCCCCCGGGGAAACCAGCUCAGAGGAGAGAGAGACAACGGAGAAGGAAGCCCUGAGAUGGGCUGAACGCCAACCAGAGGUAGGAGGAGCUCUCUUGCCGGCGGUCGUCCAAAAGAGGAAAAUUCUCUCGGCCCACCCCGCAGGCGCAGGAUGAAACGAGCGGGCUCGAUGUGUUUCGGGGCCGCCGUGGCACAAAAAAGGGUAAUGGACAGCGCUCCGUGGGUUCGGCUUUGUAUGCAACAAGACCGAAGAUCAUCCCUGCUGGCGGCGUCCGGCGGCUGCUAUUCGACGUGGGCCUGGUCGCUGCGGCCGGCGCCGACGGGAGGAGCCCAGAGAGCAUGAGCCACCGCCGGCGUCGGGGAGCCGCCGGAGAGGGGGCGGGCCUGCAAGAUUGCGUGGAGGAAGGAGGCGGCGACGGCGGGGUCCGGCGGGGACUCUUCCGGGAAGGGCGCUUCACGAUGCGGGUGCUGGCGGCCGGCCGGAGGGGAGAGCUUGAGCCGCUUGGCGGAGGACCCGAUGGGUAGCUCUGUGCAGGCGAUGGCCUCGAUGUUGUAUCUGCUCAGCUCGAAGUUGGUGAUGGCGUUGACCCCCCUGAACUUAAUCGCCGCUAUGUCAUACGCUUCAGCUGCCUCUUCCUCGGUGGCUGCGGGGAAUAAUGAACGAUCCGGCAUCAGCCCACCACAGACUCCUCGGACAAAAAUCCAUUAAAGAACUGGGUCCCCCCCCCCNNNNNNNNNNNNNNNNNNNNNNNNNNNNNNNNNNNNNNNNNNNNNNNNNNNNNNNNNNNNNNNNNNNNNNNNNNNNNNNNNNNNNNNNNNNNNNNNNNNNNNNNNNNNNNNNNNNNCCCCCCCCCAACAAGAAUGCAAACCCUGAACUUGGAUCAGGAGGGCGCUUGAUUUCUAGAGAUAUGCCGGUGACUGACGAACUUGGAGCAUAAGGGUUGACUAUUUACAUCAUCAGAAAAUGGUUGACUACUGGGCAAUCCCCGACGGGCCCCACGGGAGGGAGAGGAGGCUCUGCUUCAGAGUUCAAGGUUCCGACUUACUAAAUGUGCCCAGGUAGAGGUCCUUGUUGCCAGCAACACGCCCUAUCCUCGCCUGCCACCUCCCAUGCUGGUGGUGCCUACCCAUCAAUCAUAAAAUAGAGUAAAUAAAUAUAUAUUUCUUACUGCUAUUACUAGCAGCAUCAUGGCUCCGCAGUAAAAAAUAAUAAAUAAAUAAAUAAAUAAAAAGCCAAGAGCGGCACCUCGUAACUCCCCGGUAAGCAGAGGCCCCCCUGGAGAAACCGGUGCUCUUCCUGAAAAAGGAAAGCUUGAUGAGAAGCGAUCUCUGCAGUCAAAGUGCAGGAGGGAGGGGACGGACCUCCUCAGGGAUGCGAUGAACUCCUGCCGGUUCACAUCCUUCAUCUCCUCGAUCUCCUGGGCGUAGUUCGAGGCCUGGACAAGAGCAAGAGCAAGUUACCUGAGCUGGUCCAUCCAGCUGAGAGAAACCCGGAGAGAGUUGGAUCAGUUGACCAGGGAUUGAAGACAUCGCCUACAGGAAAAUUCGUGGCGGCGGUGGGGCCCCAAUACUUCAGAGCGGCGAGAUCGUACGCCCUGGCUGCUUUCUCUUCCCUGUCGUACCCCCCUGCACGUGGCCAUUGAACUUGGUCAGGCGACAGCGGAUAGGCAUCAGCGCGAGGAGAGGACAGGAGGCAUGAGGUGGAAGAGCCGAGAAGAAUGCACGCACCUAGGUACACUGCACGACGGCACGCGCGACCGAGCGACCCAGAAGCAGAUUUACAUGCCACAGGAAAAACGAGCAUGAUCGUGCGUUCUAAUCUCACGAAGAAACAGCAGAAAUAUCACAAAUUUCUAGAGUAUGGAAUCAGCAGCAGUGUAGUAUAUUUCCAGAAUAUCGCGAUGUGAUGGCUACUGUGCGGGUCAGAGGGGAGCACGGCGGCAGUCCGCAGGGCUGCGACGAGACUUUCCCCAGUCAAGAAGCAGCAUGCGGAGUUGCAGGAUAGGGUGAACAGAGCUUGUGAAUGGCGGGUCGGGCUCCCUGGUUAAUCGAUUCAGGCAGAGGAGUCCCAGAGAGCUAGGAUGGUCAGAGACUCUGAUGGCGCGCACUAGAAUGUCAGGCUAAGCCCUUGCUCCAUCUGCUCGCCGCAGAGCUUUUAUUGUGGCCGAAGCUUCGGGCACGGAAGCCCCUGCCGGCUUCGCCUGGUCCAGAGGAUGACUGAAGACAGUGGCCGCUGCGCCGACGGGGAGCUCUCGGAAAAAGAGCAGGCCCCCUAGGUAGGAAGGGGGCGAGGACACAGACUGGGAGCGGGAGCGACGGAGGAGAGAAAGAACUGCAGGUCAAUGAUGCUUUAAUUAUAACAGAUGAUAUCGAAAAUCUUCCCUCACAUCGUCCCAGUUAAUCGCGACGGAGCGGACGGGACGGUGAUCUCCGCCGCCAUCAUUCUCCCUCAAGAUAAUAUGGAAAAUCUUUCCGACUAGAGCUUGGAGGUGACGGGAACUGUGAUGGACAGACAGCUCGGUCAAGGGCCGUAAAUGGGAACAGUGCGAGCACGGUCAGGUGCUGUCCGUCGAGGAGGGGGAUUCGGAUGCCCGUAAUAUUAUGCGUGAAGGUCCGCCCCUCCCAAGCCCCGCACUUUGCGGCAGCCCGCCUCCCCCGACGGCGGCCCACCACAACCCCUCCUCCCUCCUAUCACAUUAACCCAUCAAUCAUCACUGCCACUUCCCUACGUGAAUCCCAGCCCUCCCUCCCUCCUGCAACUAUACUAAUCCUGUCGCGGAGAGUGGGGGCGGAGCAGGCAGAACCAUGGCGGUGAAAGAGCUCUACGUACCUUGUCUGCCCUUGCGCUUCAUGCCCUCCCGCACGCAGGUGUUGUCCCACAGGUGCGCCUCGUACCUCCCCGUCCAUCUGUGCCUGGCGAGAGAAACGGGGCAUGCAGGGACGAGCAGCAGUCAGAACGUAGGAGCAUCGCCUCGCACGCACCAUGUCUGUGGCAGGUCCAAGAGAGGAUUUGGGAUGGAUGGACGUGUACUUGCCUGGUUACCCCUCUGUAGGAGGAGCUCCUCUGACCUGUACCCAACAGCGCCGUGCCCGUCGACUUGCCGUCCUCGGAGACGUCGCCCCCGGGGGGGAGAGCGACUGCCGCGACCGGAUGAGCACAAGUGAGACUGAUGCCCGCCGCUCCGUCAAAGGACCGCCCAGAUUGUGACAGCCGGUUGCCGUUGUCCGACUUCGAAUCCUCAUCGGGACUUGAUUUCCCGGGCUUCGCUCCCAGCGCCUCUCCCCCCGCGGCUCUCUGCUCCUCGUCGUAGUAGCAGUGCCCGGUGGUGGCGCCGAGGGACGAGCCCAUGGUCUCCACCACGGCGCAGGAAGGCGGCGGCGGCGACGACGCGCGGCGCGCGCUGAGGAAGCCCUCCAGCCGCGGGACCUCCGACGGCGCGUCGCCGACUGCCUCGCCGCCGUAAUACACGAAAGGAUGCCAAUCUGCAGAGGGACGACGAACAAUGAAAAUGCGCCAUUAAUCGCAGGGCCAACUGAUAGAUAUGGGAUUGCACCCCGGUGGCAGUGGCACUGGUGCAGGUAGGAAGAAGAUGAUUAGACCAGCGAAGACGACGACAACAAAACCGUAGAAAUAAAUAGUAUUUCUUCCCCAGAUUUGGAGCUGCGAGGAUGGAAGGACUUCCGCCGUGAGGUCGCGCGGCAGUUCGUCAUGAGUAGCCUCCUUCUCUACCGAGGAAUUCCGAGGAAAUCCGCAAGAAGCAGGAGAAACGAAGAUUCAAGGAUGAAGAAAGCGAAUAAUACCGCCGGCGCUGUGUAGGAGGAAGCUGUGUGAAGAGGCUGGGGCAGCGGAGUCCUCUUCAUGGGGCGAGCAGCCGGUGGGAGAGGCAGCAGCGGCGGGGAAGGGCAGAAACCACCCGUUGUGGCCGCCGCCGCCGGCGUUUCUGCAGUUGUUGCUGGCGGUGCUGCUCGAGGUGCCGUGGCUUGUGGCGUCGGCCGGCGAGGGAAUGAACAUCUCGGGCUGAGGGAUGGAGAAGGGCUGCCAGUUGUACCAGAAGUAGCUGUCGGCGUCGUUGCAGAUGCUGGGACCAGUGGAAUCCUCCGGAGCCAUGUCCUCGUUCUAGAAGAACUCCUUUCCACCUAACUCAAAAUCCACAGUCAACAGAAGGAUCAAUCCUCGGAACACGAAGAGAAAACGAGUUGCUGGGCAUGGAAGCAAAGGGGAGAGAUGGUUCACGCGGGCGGUCUGAGAUGCCCGGGAACGGGCAGGCUCCCUGCGGGAGGGGGACUUACUUCUGCUAGAGAUCUCCUGCUGGUCCUCUCUCGCCUUUCUCGCUCAGUCUGUUCCGUCCACACAACGCGAGAGAGAGAGAGGAGGGAGGAGAAGGCAGAGUGGGAGAGAGAGAGAGAGAGAGNNNNNNNNNNNNNNNNNNNNNNNNNNNNNNNNNNNNNNNNNNNNNNNNNNNNNNNNNNNNNNNNNNNNNNNNNNNNNNNNNNNNNNNNNNNNNNNNNNNNNNNNNNNNNNNNNNNNNNNNNNNNNNNNNNNNNNNNNNNNNNNNNNNNNNNNNNNNNNNNNNNNNNNNNNNNNNNNNNNNNNNNNNNNNNNNNNNNNNNNNNNNNNNNNNNNNNNNNNNNNNNNNNNNNNNNNNNNNNNNNNNNNNNNNNNNNNNNNNNNNNNNNNNNNNNNNNNNNNNNNNNNNNNNNNNNNNNNNNNNNNNNNNNNNNNNNNNNNNNNNNNNNNNNNNNNNNNNNNNNNNNNNNNNNNNNNNNNNNNNNNNNNNNNNNAGGGAGAAGACAAGCUGGGGAUUCUGCUCUCUGCCUUUCAAAUCGUCCCCUUGCAGAAGAAGCUUUCUCCUUCUCCUACCCACCUCCCCAGCCCACCCCAGAACGCAGUAGGUGGAAAAUCAGUCCGCAGGAGCAGCAGCCCUCCGGAACUCCGGGCGGCGGAGGACCCAGACAGCAGAAGACGCCCACCCCGGCACCCCCUCACAAAAAGGCAGCCCCACCCGCGCUAGAGAGAGAGCGAGAGAGAGAGAGAGAGAGAGACUCGCGGAGGAGGGGGAGUGAGGGCGGCGGGCGGAAAGCAACAGUUGCGGCGGGGUCCUUUUACACCUGCGGCGGCGGAGCGGUUCCUCGUCCUGAAUGACAAUAAUAACCCUAAUAUUAGCCGUAGGUGGUAGAUGAUUCUAGGGGUAUAAGAGUCAUUUAAUCACCCCGCGGUUACUGUAUCUGCUCGCCUACCACCUAUGGACUUGGAGUAAAUCAGUCUUUUCACCACGGCGGUGGCCGCCUUGGUGGGGGAAGGGGGGGGGGGCCGGAUUUCCCGCGCGGGAGCCGCCGCCGCCGCCGUGGGGCGGAAAACUCCGCCUUGUCCCCGCCCGACUACGUGGGCCCGGCCGUUCGCCGACGUAACGGACCGCCCAUGCCCUGACGCACGCCGCUCGCCGCCUCCCACGUGUCGCUCUCUCUCUCUCUCUCACCUUCUCCGAGUACGCACGUACUGCCGGAAUGUUCCGCUCUCUGCCCAGAGAAGCAGGCGCUGUCAGAUCUGCCUCGCCCCCUUCGGAAGGGCCCACGCUGACCGUCCGAUUGGUGGGAUUGAAGCGGGGGGCAGCCCCUGAUGACUCCAGGUGAUGGCAGCACGUGUGGUUGAUGGUGGACCCAGCUCCGUUGGGGACGAAGGCACGUGAUGGAACGCCCUUGACUUAUUUUACACCCUAGUUUCUGUACUGUUAUUUAUUUAUUUCAUUUUUACCCCAGAUGACUGACACUGGUUGUACAUUAAAGCUUAUUUGGGUUUAGAUUUCCAGACAAGAACAAAAAAAUUAUUGACCUAUAAUUUUUUAUCUUUGAACAUACGUGCUACCAAUGAUCAUCCCAAAACAAUGAAACGUGAAUUGUGUGUAAAAUAAAUUUUACCCUUGAAUCCACAAACCUUUAAAAUUUAAGUGAAGAAAUCGGCUCUUGAAUUUAUAUGACUUACUUUCAAUCUUUGAAUGCUAAAAGAAAAUUUUUUUGGAACGAUUUUUGAAUUUGCAAUGAUAAAAAUAUUUAUUUUAAUCAAUAAAGACAUGCUUGAAUCUCUAAGAGAGAGUGAAAAAACCUAAUAGACGAAUAAUUAGUAUUGCAUCAUAAUAUACUUAUAAGAUUAUUUUGGACUAUGACUUUAUUGUUUCCUACUUUGUAUUUACAUCAUUUUUUCCUUUCUUUUUAACUAUUUUUCUUACUACUAUUAUGAACCAAAUCAAUCCAUUUUGAAUUGAGCCAAUUCUACUUCUCUUUUUGUAUUACUUGGUUUGGAAUAAAUACCAACCCUAAUGUUAGAUGGUUUUGUGACAAUCACAUUUUAGCACUUUGGUCAAUGUUUCCUUACUCUCUUCAUUUUUCUCUCCAUUGUCAUUAUGUAAGAUGAUUAAAUAACAUAGGAUGCAACUAGAGAUUAGGUUAGAUCCUUCCAUGAAUUGACAUGACAACAAAACCUUAGGUGUCAUCUUUCAAUGGUCUGGUUACCCUCAUUUGUCGUCAUUAAUCUCUAUUUUUAUAUCAAUUACUUUUUUGGUUUAAAGAACAAUAAAUUUGUGAUUGUUUGACACAAGUCAUUGGUGCUUGUGUUGAUUCUCUCAUGUUUGUGUGAGAAUCAAGUUUCACUAACUCUUGGCAUAUAAAUAUUUGAUUCAUGUAUAAGAUCUUUAACUUUCUAUGGAUUUGAUUGACUUAUACAAAAUAUGUUUAAUAAAGAUUCAUUUCUAUCAAUUGAUUUAGUAUUAUAUUCAAGCAUGCAUGUGAUUAAAAAUUAGAAUCUUUGAGCAACUUCAAAUUCUUGAUAGUCUCAGGUCAUAAGGAUUGAUAAAAAUCACAACUAGGGAGAUUUAUUAUAUUUCAUGCAAAUUGCUUAUAUGUUCAAAAUUAUUUUUGAUGGUAUCAGGAUGAUAUAAUUACUCCUAAAAGACAAUGUCUAUUUAAUGUUCCUCUAAAUUCUAGACCUAAACUUAGGUAUCCUAAAUAUAAAACCUAAGAUCAAGUAGAUUACAAAAUUAUGAUACAACUAUCAUCAAUCAUGAUUUUUAAAUUUCCUAUAAUUUAUGUAUAUCUCCUUACAACUCGAGGUAUCUACAAAAAUUUAUAUGAGACUUAUGCAAUAGAUGUAUCACAACUCUAUGAGUUAAAGUUUUUGUUGUUGAGACAAUAAGGCAUGUCGAUACCUGAAUAUAUAUAUAUAUAUAUAAAGUGAGAAUAAUAUGACAAUAAUUUUAUGACUAUAGAAUUAUUAUUAUAACAUAUUCAAUUGACAUUACAUUAAAUAAAGAGGAAAUACAAUGAUAUAAUAUUUAUGAGUAUCUUGUGAGAUUGAAUCCUUGAUAUGAUCAAGUUAUAAUUCGAAUAAUUAGCUAGGAAAAAUUACCUCUUUUAAAUGAGACGACAUCUUUAAUUAAGGGGGAGUAAAGUUGUUGUGAUUGAUUGUCAAAAUUUGAACAGGUCAACAAAUAUCACUAGAAGUGGUACAACUAUGAUAAAACAUAACAUCAACCUUUGGGUAAGAAAAAAUUCAUAGUUAUGAUUAUCGAGUCACCUUAUGAUACACAUAUACUAAAAAAUCAGGAUACAAUAACAUUUAUAAGUUACAUAAUUAACCAAAAUAUCAUGAAUUGGGACAAAAAAGAAGACAACUAAGAGGUGGUAGCCCAACUCAUGCCAAUGUUGUAUAAUAAGAAAAAAUAAGUACACAAAACUACAAACAACUUAUUAGAGAAAAAAUAUAUAAGUCCAAUAAUUACUAGUCUCAAGUUCUCAAACAUGUUCAUGUAAAAUUUUAAGUUUUAUUAGAGUAAGUGAAUUGAAAAGUAGUAACCAUCAAUAUAGAUUGUUGGUUUAAAAGCCACUAAACACAUGACUUUCUCCUCAAUAUUUGCCACCCAUUUUCUUUGUCCAAAUAAUAAGAAAAUUACUAAAGUUGUGGGUUCAUUAGGCAUAGUGGUUGGAAUAAGAACUAUUCAUCUUUUACCUCUUAUUCUCUUCAAUAAUAAAGUUCACACUAAUGUUGACCACUAAUCUAAUUUUAGUAAGUAAGCUUACAAGAGACAUAAAUUUUAUUUUAAUAUUUUUCUAUUUUCUGAUAAGAUAUUUCAAAAGAUAAUUGACAUGUUAAAGAGUGAGGUAGACUCUAUUACUUUAAAUUACAUAGUCAGUCAAAUAAAAGCAGAAGUGAAGAAUAAUUUACCCAAGAAAUCUAGCUUAUUAAUUUUGAAAAAAAAUGCUUUAAGAACAACACUCAUUUUUCUCUGAAAAUAACAUAAUUUAUCAAUGUUUUUUUUGCAAACAUAGUAAUGUUUGGGGACCCUCUCCCACUCUUAGUAUAGGUGGAGUUUGGUGCUUAAUUAAUUUGAUUGAUGAUUCUAUUAAAAUAUAUUGGUUUUAUUUACAUAAAAAUAAAUCAAAAGUAAAUAUUGAUAAUUUUGAUCACUUAUUAAAACCAAAUUUGAGAAAAAUAUUUAGAAUUUAUAAUCUACUAAUAAUAAAGAUAUUUCAAUCAAAUAUUUUCCUCCUACUUUCAGAAGAAAGUAGUUCUAUAUGAAUCGUUCGAUGUCAAUGUACCUCAACAAAAUUGAGUGAUUGAACAUAAGAAUGGUCACCUAUUAGAGUUGACUAGAUCAUGCCAUAAGAACAAAGUCUUAAAAAAUGUUUUGGGGUAAAAGAGUUUUUAUGACUAAUCAUCCUAUAAAUAAAUUACCAUUUAAGUCCUUUGAUUUUAAACUUAUAGAUAUAUCAUAAUUUAUCCUUAUAUUUAUUAAAAAAUAUUAGGAUGUAUAACCUUCAUUCAUAUUCAUGAAUAAAAUAGAGACAAGCUACAUAUUAAAACACUAAAAUGUAUCUUUAUUGGAUAUCUCAAAUGAAAGAAUGAUAUUGAUGAUAUCAUUCUCCAUUAAACAAAAAAUUCAUUUCAAGAGAUGUAAUUUCAAUGAAAAAAAAAGUAUGAUAUCGUUACAUGUCAUAAGGCCAUAAGUCAAAUCUUAGAAGGUCAAGGAAAAAAAUUGUAAUUCAUACCUUAGAUUAUUUACUAAAAUCCACUCUAGUAUCAUUGCUUCACCAACCAUUGAACCCACUUUUGACGAUGAACCUGAAAAAAGAAGAUUUAGCUGUGUAUGCAAAAUAAAAGAUGAAUAUCUUAGUAAAAUGUACUUUCAAGAGUCUCUCUAUGGUGAUACAAAUGAGACACCUUACUUGAUGGCAAAUACUUACUUAUUACCCUAUGAAAAGGUAUUAGAAGAUGGACUAAAUAACUCAUACUCAAUUGUACUUUCUUUUGUCUUAUGAUUGCUUAUACUCUUCACAUAAGGUUUUUGUCUUUAUAUUCAGAAUAUUACAAAUUGUAAAUAAGUAUACACUAGAAGAUAUUGAGCACAUGAAUCAAUCGAAAGAUACAAGUCACAACUAAUUACUAAAAAGUAUAGAUAAAGUUAUGGGAUAAAUUAUAUGGAAAGUUUUGACGUUGUAGCAAAAAUAAAAAUGAUCAAAUAUCAUAUUCUCAUUAGUGAGUAACUUUAGUUAUGUUCUUUAACAAUUUGAUGUUAACAACAUAUUUUUACAUAGAGGGAUGUAUCUUAAAGAAAGUUUAUUAUAGAUUCUUAAUAACAACAUGAGCUUGGUUCAUUAUAUUUUAUGAAAGUCAUGAUCAAGAUAGGAUAUAAGCAAAGACAAGGGGAUCAUACCUUGUUUAUGAAAUACUUUUGUUCAAGAAUAAUUACAAUUCUAAUGGUAUAUGUUCAUAAUAUAAUUAUGACUGAAAAUGAUGACAAAUAAAAUGAUUAUCUUAGAUAAUAUUUAGUCAAGGAAUUUAAAAAUAGAAAUCUUCAUAAGAUUAAAAAUAUUUUCUUGAGAUUUAAGUGGCCUACUUUGAGAAUGGUAUUUUUAUUUCUAAAUAUAAAUAUAUCAUGAAUUUGGUACAUAAAAAUGGUAAAAAAAUGAAAUCAGCUAAUUCCAUAUUGGGUCUCAACUUCAAAUUUGGUGUAGUUGAAAAAAUACAUCAUUGUGAAUCAAGAUGCAGAAGCAAUUAAGAGGAAAAUUAUUUUACUUAUUUCAUACAUGCUCAAACAUAAUUUAUGCCCUUUAAUCCAUGAUCCAUGAUAGAUAAAUUUGUAUGCAAGUUAUCACAUAUUACAUCAUAUUAAAUGAAAAUUAGGGAAAAUAAUUUUAUGAAAAAGUGAUGGAUUGACACUUGAAGUGUAUAUUGAUGUAGACUAUACAUGAUUAAUUGGAAAUAGAAGAUCAACUCCUACAUAUUUCACAUUUCUUAGUGAAAGUCUUAUUGCAUUGAGAAGUAUGAAACAAGUUGCUGUAAUAAGAUCAAAUAGAGAAAUAUAGUUUCAUGAUGUGGGACAAGAUAAAUAUGAGAAAUUAUGAGUGAAAAUUAUCAUGAAAUACUUAAAGGUUAAGAUAAAUAGAUUGAUGAAGUUUUAAUGUGACAAUAAAUCAGCCACUAAUAUUGCACAUAAUUCAAUUCAACAUGAUAGAAUUAAACACAUUAAUAUUGAUAUAACUGAUAUAUGAUGUAAUCAAGAUGUUUUUAUUAUGAAUCUAAUCCGAUCGUAAGAUAUUGUUCUUGUAGCAUGCCCUUUACACUUUAAUAAUAUAUGGCCAUUCACUUUUCGAUUAUAUGAGUUAAAAACUUUCUAUUAUUACCAUAUUUAUAAGUAACAUAAAAUAGAAAAAGAGAGUCAUCAUUGAUGGAAAAAUAAUGUGAUAUCGUUUUUUUACUCAAUAAUUUUUUUCUAUAUAAGAUGAUUGACAGGUGUUGUUUGUAUGUAUCAUGAGUUUUAAUACUACGCAAUAUGAUUACAAAUGCUCAUCAUGUUACACUUGAUGAGAAUGAUUUUGCAAGAAAGUCCACCAGUAAUGUCAAAAAUUUAUUAGAAGAAACUUAAUGCAGUCUUAAAAAAUUAUCUCAUGAAUAAAAUGCAAUCCAAUUCAAUAUAUUUGAUAUGCUAAUUAACAAAUAUAUUUUAAAUAAUAAUGUAUUAGAUGUAAUCUCUUAGUGACAAAAUACUAUAGCAACUAUUGUAAUUAUAUAAUUUUGAAAAUACUAGUAAUUAGAGAUUUUUUAUCAUAUUUAAUUAAUGAUAUAAAAAUAUUUUUUAUUUUUUUACUUUUUCAUGAUAUUAAUACAAAUAUGCUAAAUUAAGAUCAUGUACAAUUAUUUUAAUAAAUAAAUAUCAUGGAAAAUAUUUUUUAUGUUUAAUUAAAAUAUAUUUAAAUUAUUUAUAAAUAAUAAUACUAAUAUUANNNNNNNNNNNNNNNNNNNNAAAUUAUGUUUAAAUAGUAAUAAUAAUAUUAUUUUGUGGUUAUAUAUUUUUUCAUUAGGAUUAAAUUUUUCAAGACAUAAUUAUUUCAUAUUAAGUGCAUUUUUCAACAACAAAUAAAGUUUUAUAUCUUUAAGUAAUUAUCUGAAUGAUGUUUGAUCUUAUUGAUCUAAUGACAUCUAAUAUUAUUUUUUUACUUCUUAAUAAUAUAGAAAAUGGACAAUUUGAUGAUAUAAUUGAGGUUUGAAAUUAGAAGAAAUAUAAAGAUAAUUUUUUCAUAAGACCAAGAUAAUGUGUUGUGAAAGGAAAAUCAACUAUUAGGUAUGUUAUAUUUUUUUUAGAGUGUGUUUAGAUUAGGCCUAUAUAUUUUAAAACUACCGUUUUUAAAAUUUUCUCUAUUCUCAGAUUCUGAUUUUCAUCGUCUACUAAUUUUCUAGGGACACAGAAGUAAAUAAAUAACUAAUUGACGAAACCAUACGGCGGCAGAGUCGGGUCGGGUGGUCAUCGGUUACCUGAAGGCCCAACGGAGUUUAAUUGGGUCGUAAGCGGUGGCGGUCUCGGAGGAUCCGUUUACCAUCCCCAUUCCUAGGCCUUCCAGACCGACGGCGGCAGACGGCGGCGGUGUGGCGGCCUCUUCUGCUGCAUUCCGGAGUCUGUGGCGGUGUUGCUCGCCGGCGUGGCGUCCGAUUGCCUGGGACGUUGCUCGUCAUCUUCUUUCUCUCUUUCUCCCCUCCGUCCGUCUUCCUCUCUCCCAUCCGUCCUUUAUCUGGGCCAGAACUGGCGCGCUUCCUAGGGUAUGGACGCUGACCCCUCGGCCCUUUACUCGUCUUCUUCCUCAUCCUCCCCUCUGCCAGGGAAUCUCUUUGUAAUCGUCUGCGUCUCGCUUCCUUUGUCGGGGUCUAAUUCGUGUCGCUGCUCCCUUCGUUCACCGAUCCCGGUUUUUGGUAGGUCAGCCGAUGGAGGAAUCAGAGAAGCGGAAGGAAAGGCUAAGAGCAAUGCGCGUAGAGGCCGCGCAGUCGGGGCUUUCCGCGGAUCAUUUGGGUUCUUCACCGGUGCAUCUUUUCAAUCCCUUAGCUCAAGCGUCUGGGGCUCCGCCGAGUGCCGGGAGAGCAGCCCCGCCCCCUAGGUUUGACUACUAUACGGACCCCAUGGCUGCAUACUCCGGCAACCGGAGCAGCGCCCGUGGUCGUCAUCCACCGGAUAACUUCUCAUCCCCUAUCCGUAGCUGCUCACCGACGGCUCAUCCGGCGUCCCCUUCCUCAGGUACUUGUUCUUCCCACCGUAGAUGGACUCCACAGUAUAAUCGAGCUUGUUUUUGGGAAGAGGGUUAUAUCUUCCUGCCAUCUUAUGCUGGGGUUAGAGAAUUCUGACCGAUCAUGGAAAAAUGGUGAGAUAAUAACCUUCCAUAUCUACGAAAUACCAGUUCAUCGAGCUGGAGUCAAACUGGAUCUGAAUGGUUGACAUCAUGCGUAUGGGUGCUUCCUUUUACUGUUUCUCUUGCUUUUCCUUGACUCUGGACUGAUCGUCCGUAUGCAAAGCGAAUCCUUUGAGAACAACAGUCCCAUAUCUGAUCGUCGGUAGCUUCUGUUCAAAUUGAUUCAGCUGGGCGUGGGGGAGACCAGAUGGCCCAAAGUCCUGUCCCUGGCAGCCAAUUCCAGCUCAGUUAUUCUUCUCAUCAGAUAUCAUAUGGGACUUCCCUGCCUGCUCCCCAAUAUGGUCCUUGGAGGAGUCCGGUUGGAACGGCGGGUGCUUUCUCACGGCAGGGGCCUCUUUGUAUGCCUCCUCCCAUGCAGUAUGGAUAUGGCGGCGCUUGUGGCCGUGGGCCUCCUCACAGUGCCUCAAGGGGCAUCAUUGGUGCCAGUCCAGGUGUCGCACAAGGCGCUAGCCCGAGGCCUUUCACGGGAAGCGGCAGCCCAGGCUCUCAGUAUGGAAGAGUUAGCCCAGGUGCCAAUUUUGGAAGAGGCGGUGCUGGCUGGCGACCCGGAAGCUACAGCAACACUUCUGCCGGACGCGGUGGCCGAGGGCGAGGCGCCAAUGAGGCUGUCUCUGCUCGCGAGAGGCCCGAGCUGUUCGGCCACAAGAUGAUGGUCAUGGACCCCUGGGAUGAACUGAAGCCUGUUGUGGGGUGUAUACUCAUGCCUCCAGCCAAGCAGAUGGCUUCGGACUCUCCGAACUCCUGGCUUCCGUCGUCACUCAGAGCCAAAAAGGCGAAAGUAGAGGAGACUACCCCAGCGCCUCGUUCUCAGAUUAGCCUGGCCCAGUCCAUCGCACUGGCUUUUGAGGAGGCCGCCAGUGAGGAAGGCAGUUAGCGGGAGGUCGUCGCCCCAUCUUUCUUCUUUGAUGCCAAGUCGAAAGGAGGGGCGCUUCCAACGGGAGAAAUUGACUCAAGUAACGCGACCGGAGAUCGCAGAGCACUAUUUAUGGGAAAUGACGAAUCAUGGUUAGGCAUUUUUAUCCUCUGGUAGUUGAAUUAGUUCUUGUAGUUUGCUUAUUUUAGAUUGUACCUAUUUAUUUUGCCACACAGCAUUCCGAAUUUGUUACCCGGCAGUCGUAUCCUGAUCCUUGUUGUCUAUAGAACACCGACUGCUACUGUAUUGAUGGGUAUUAACAGGACGACUGAUUACUCUGAGAAAACUGUUAAAUAAAGAUUAAGAUGAACCCUUGAACCGGAGCUAUUCAUGUUAUACACCAAAAUUUUGCCUCAAGGCUCGAGGUAUACAUAGAUUGACGGUUUGCGCAUAAUUAGCAAGGCCCUAGAGCAUUUUAGAGAUCAGGUUAUCAAUUAGGUAAAAGUAGAAACAGUCAUGUAGAUCAUAUCAAGAUUCAAGAUAAAGAUAUUUUGAUUGUUUGUGUUAAAAGAGUAAAAUGGGGAUGAGAUUGGUUCCCCUAGACAAUUCUUAUGCAUAGAACCUGUCAUUGAUUUGGUGGGAUUCUGGUUAGAUCUGCAAAGAACCAGGUUGAAUAUCUUCCCUUCAGGAUUCUAGUCUGACAUAGAUUCCGAGUGUCAGCGAAGAAAAAGGGUCUUGAAUUCCCGUCGGCGGCAUUUAGGCGUUGACUCGUAGGUGUGGAAACAGAGGGCUAAUUCAGAUCGUUCAUGGUGAUUAGCAGCCCGUAAGCCAGCUCAUUACAAUUGCAAAUAGCUGUUAAGACGGAGAUCUAGUACGGUUAAGCCGUCUAGCAAAGAAUGGAGAUCAGCAUGGGAACGAGUUCCGAAUGUCUGGGGCGGGGCUGGUCUGUCUGGACGUCCUCCAAGCCAUUCGUAUGGUAAGAACAUGUUUUGGCAACUGGGUCAUCGAUCGACCCGUUCUGUCUAGACGCCGCCCGAGAAAAUGGUCAACAUCGAGUCAAAGCCGUACUCGGCGGCUGUCUCUACCAGCGGGGAGGUCAUCCGAAUUGAUGAGCGAAUCUCUCACCAGUAGUCUCCGCAGGAACAUUCACCUUCCCGGAAAUGAUGGAACCUGUGGGCGUCCCUGACGGUGAUCCGCCGCCUCGUCAUGGCGGCGAUGAGCUUGAUGGCGGAGUGGCAGUCCCCACAGAUCCUCAGAUUCUUCACCACCAGAAUGGGCGUCCCGUCCUCCGUGCUGAGGAGCCCCAGGGCGACGGCCAGCUUCUCGCUGUGGAACGACAGCCUCAGCUCCCCUUCCCUCGCAUCAUCGCCGCCCAUCGCCGGAGCCCAUCUCCUCGUGUCCGGCACGUACCCGGCCUCUUUCAUCUUCCCCAACAGCUCCGCCAGGAACCGGCGGAUCUCCCCCGUCCUCGGGUGGGAGGCGUCGUCCGCCACGAACACGUGGAUCCUCUUCCUCAGCUCGAUCCAGCUGCAGCCGGGGCUCUUCCUCACCGCCCGGUCCCUCAUCAUCCGGCGCACUCCGGCGGCUUCUUCCCACCUGCCCGCGCCGGCGUACAUGCUCGCAAGCACCACGUAGGGCGACGCGUUGGAGGGCUCGAGCUGGACGAGCGCCUGCGCCGCCUUCUCGCCCAGGCCGACGUUGCCGUGAGUCCGGCAGGCGCCGAGCAACGCCGCCCAGCCGGCCUUCCCCAGGCUGAACGGCAUCGUCUCGAUCAGCUUCUGGGCUUCCUCGAGCCUCCCAGCCCGACCGAGGAGAUCGACCAUGCAGGAGUAGUGCUCCUCUCCCCUCUCGAUCUUGAACUUCCUUUCCAUGGAAUUGAAGUAGCCCCAACCCUCCUCCACUUUCCCGGUGUGGGCACAGGCGGAGAGCACGGAGACGAAGGUGACGCCGGUGGGCUCCUCCCCGCCGGCGACCAUCUCUCCGAACAGGGCCAGACCGUCCUCCCCGCGGCCGUGCUGGGCGCACCCCGCGAUCAUGGAGUUGAAGGAGACGGCGUUCCUCUCCGGCAUCCUCCUGAAGACGCGGCCAGCGUCCUCCAGCUCCCCGGACUUGGAGUACAUGGCGAUCAGCGUGUUGCCCACCGAGACCCGGUUCCUCGGAAAGUCCGAUUUCAGCGCCAGGGCGUGCAGCUGCCGCCCCUGCGACGGCGAAGAGAGGUUCGAGCAGGCGCUGGCGGCGCAGACGAAGCUGCCGUCGUCCGGGCGGAGGCCCUCGCGCUGCAUCUCCCUGAAGCAGCGGAGUGCCUCCUCGAAAAAGUCAUCGUUGAGAGAGUACCCGGAGAUCAUCGUGUUCCAGAGGACCACGUCCGGUUCCGGCACCUCGUCAAACACCUUCUCCGCGUCCGCCGUCCGCCCACACUUGGCGUAGAGGUCCACCAGCCCGCUGCCGACGUGCGGGUUCCGCUCGCAGGCAGUCUUAAUCAGCUGGGCGUGGAACUGGGCGCCGCCGGCGAGGUCCCUCGCCGCGGUGAACGCCGUGAGGACGCUCGCCUGCGUGAACAUGUCCACAGCGUGGCCUCCCCGGGCCAUCUCCCUGAACAGGGCCAGGGCUUGGGGGCCAUCCCCGUGCAGGCCGUAGCCCAUGAUCAUGCAGUUCCAGGAGACCCCGUCCCGGAAGGUCCCCAGCUCGGUGAAGACCCUCUCGGCCUCGCCCAGGAGGCCGGCCCGGCUGUAGCUGCCGAUCAGGGCGUUGCUGACGGAGGCGAAGGCGGCGAACCCGGCCGAUAGUACGAAGGCAUGGAGGUUGGCAAUGCCUGGGGCGGCGGCGGCGGCGGCGGCAGCGCCACCAACACCCCUCAGGGAGGAGACCACCGAGGAGAGGGUGAAGCCGUCGGCUCUCACGCCGAGCGCCCGCAUGCGGCGGAACAGUCGCAAGGCUGCGGCCGCAUUGCCGUCGGCGGCGUAGGCGGCGAGGAGCGUGUUGAAGGAGACGAGGUCCGGGCGGGGGAUGUGGGAGAAGAGCUCGCCGGCGGCGCGAGCCUGGGAGCCACGGGCGUAGGCGGCGAGGAGGGCGUUGUAGGAGAAGACGUUUGGCUGGGGAAUUUCCUCGAACACUCGGCGCGCGAGCGGCGUCUGCCCGCAGCGGGAGUAGAGGAGGACCAAGUGGUUGCCCAAGUAGGUGGACGCGGCGAGCCGCGACUUGAGGAAGAGGCCAUGGAGCGCGCCAGCGACGGAGAUGUCUCCGCCGCCGUCGAUGCAGCCCUUCAGGAGGAGCCGCAGCCGCUGGAACCGCUGCAGCUCCGACGAGAUCUGGUUCAUCGCCGGGGAUCAUCGUCGGUGAAGACCAUGAUCUUGGGCUAUGCUCCACAGUGCACCCUUCUUAUUGGGUCCGCCCUGUCGAUCGGAUCCGCUAUCGAACAAUUUAUCGGGCCCGCUAUAAUAAGAAAAUAAAGGAGCGAAGAAAAAACAAACAGAGGGGAGGGAGGGAGGGAGGGAGAUGAGGGCACAUGAACCCCACACACUUACUGAAGCAGCAACCAUCUUUCACCAACUCAACGGGAGGAUGGACGAGUUCCUACAGCUUGUACCUGCGCGCCUCGCGGAAGGUAUUGAAAGAUGAUCUGCUAUUUUCAGAAAAAAAACAGGGGGGAGGAGCUGAAGCAUCACCUGGUCAAGUUUCUCCACUUGUCCUUUAAGUCGACCUGUGGGGUUGAUGAUGAUCAGAGCACAACAGGGUCAGAGUUGGGGAGGGGAGAUGGGAAAAGAAGAAAAUUCUCUCCAUGGUGCAGGGGACCUCUCCCUCUUCACCCACCUCGGUCCUGCCCUCCAGAGCUCCGGAAUAGUACAGUGAAAUCAGCUUCCAGUUCCCUGCGCCAUGCCUGUUCAUGCAGAGGAGGAUUUACAGAGAGAGGAUCAACACAGAGAGGAGAAGGAGACGGGGUUUGGAGCACGUACUUCUUGACUGCUUCUCUCAGGAUGUCCUCUUCCCGAGGCGUCCACCUCUUGACCUUUCUCCUCCUGACGAAUUUCUUGAUCUCUUGCAGCUUCAGAGGGGAGACUCUCCGGUUCCCUGGUGGCGGGAGGUGGCGUCUUUUUGCAGAAUUCGGCGACCCGUCUGAAAAGGACUCGAUCGAGUCUUCGUCCCACUGUGCAGAGGAAGAGGAAAUAACAUCAUUGGCCGGCUCAAUGACGCCGACGACUUUGAUCCGCCACCGGGAGCGGGAGUCAGCCCCCCCUGAGGACACUUCAUGGGGUGGAAUUCAAUAACAUCAAGUCAACCUAUACUAGUUAUGGGAGCCACUGAGAUCAUCACCUCAGUCAGAUUACGGUCCAGGAGACUCGGGCAUGGCUUGUAGGGACGUGAAGCUCCUCCAUCAUGACCCUCCGUUGCAGUUCUUCCCGUUGCGGUAGCUCCAUUUGUUUCUAUUUCAGCCGCAUCAAUCCGAUUCUGACCAUUCGUUGCCGCACCAGGAUGAGCUGAUCUCUGCAUUGCGGCGCAAACAGCAGCGUCUGGGCGGCGAUCGUCUGCAUCCUUCGCCUCAUCCGUCCGACUCGAGCUAUUAUUUUCAUCUACUGGAUCAGGUGGGUUCUCCAGCAUAGCAUUCUGCACCUCGGCAGCCUUUCGAGGGGAGAAAUCUUGGAGCGCCUUCCGCAGGUCAGCGCAGCUGGACUUCAAUGCUUCCUUCAGCUUGUUGAUUUCCGGCAUGGGCGAGAGAAGCAACCCAUCAGAGGCCGCAUCUUGGUUCGGCCUGUCCGUCUUUCCGGGCACCAACACCUCCUUAUCUCUCUCUGACAAUCAAUCAAAACGAAAAUACAAGGUUUUUAGCGUGCAUAUGCACCGUAAUCGGAAGCAAAAUGGUCAUCGAGGAGCAUCAGGAUGAAGAAACAUUUAUACAGAGGCAAUUUAGGAUUUCUACAGGAAGAGGGGGAGAUGAACAAGGUCGAACUGACCUGUUUCCGGGCGAAGGGGGACUUCCGCUGAACCAGUGGCCGAUGCGCGCCGAUUCAUUUGGGACAAUUUCAUCGUGGUAGCCGCAAUGGCGACAUUCGGUCCUGUGGAAAAACCAGGCACCGGGGGGGCUUCCGUCGGUCCGGUCACUUGAUCGGUCUUCCCACGGCCGCUGGUGCCAGGCUUGUCGUCCAAGAGCGUCGCUGCGAGCUCCAGGAGGGGAGGUCCGAUUUCCUCCAGGGCAACCCUCAGGUACUCCCUCAGCGACGCCACGGCCUCCCCACUGGUGUCCCUCUGCAGCACCCAUUCCUUGGCAUCGUCGCUCACCACGGCCUCCUCCAUCCGCUUCCUCCACUGCCUCAGUCCCUCCCCCAUCAUCCCCCGCGCCUCCGACUGCUCCAGGUCCGCCACCCUGCAGUUCCAUAUCCUGUUCACGCACUCGAAGAAGUUGGCCUGUCUCCCCGAUCUCAGCGGCGCCGCCGUCAACUCGGCGGCCACGGCGGAGUACGCGGCCAUGAGGGCCCCGGACGUCUCCGCAGCGCCGAGGGAGCGAUCGAGCUCCUCGAGGAGCUCCAAAGACCGGAGUGUCUCGCCAGAGAUGCCACCGACGGAGAGGUCCGACUGUAGGCGACGGAGAAGGAGAAUCUUCUUGAGCCGUGGGUCCAGAACGCGCGGGAUCGGGAGGCCGAGGAGGACCACCUUCGCAAGCCAGUCGUCGAUGGGCUGGCGGAGGACGAAUUCCAAGAUCCACGAGGCCUUGCGGCUGUCCAUCCUUCCCUCAGCAAUCCCUCCCCUGGGAAGGGGGGGAUGGAAGAGCGGGGGGACUCUUCUCCCGUUCCCCGGGAAGCUUACAGAGGAAGGAAGGGAGGAAGACGAUGACGUAAUGGGCCAUUUUGGGCCAAUUGGAUAAAAUUUUGGGCUAAGUUGGCAGCAGAAGAAAAAUUUUUGGGCCAAUUGUAUAAUCUGGGGGGUUCUGGUCACUGGGCGGUGGAGGUACCGCUUCCGAGUCUUAACUCUCCGACAGCAGGAGGCCGGAGGACCCGAGCUGGACUGGGAAUCAUUUCACCGCUCCAAGCCGUUGACACCUGAGAGAGAGAGAGAGAGAGCAGCGACCUCCACGUCGACUGUCUUUGGAAGACAGAGAUGUCUUUUAGGGAUUCUCCGGGGCAUAGCUGGGGAGAGUGGUUUCUAUUUCCUCCCGGUGCCUCCUCCUCUCCCCCCCCAAUCCCACAUCAUCACCGUCGAAACUUUAUUUCUUCUUCCCCUCCGCCCCCCUACCGUGCUGCUGUCGGAGGCCCUCGGAGCCGGGAGCGAAUGCCCCGCGCCGGCAGAUUCUUGUCCCACGAAAAGGCGAGGUUUCUUUCCUUUGGCUUGAUCAGGUGAGGGCUGUGGACCUGCUCAGAUCGGUCUCCAUUUGCGAUUCCCCAGGCGCUUGCUCUUCCAGCGGACAGUUGCGAGAGAGAGGGAACGAGGAAGUCGAUGGUUGACUGUGAAUUCUUUCUAUUCUGAGUUCCCUUUCGUUUGGGCGAUGUCGGUCUGCGGUGUUUGUGCUGCUGCUCUCUUUUGCGCGUACUAUGCUUCCUUCUGCGAGUGAUCCAUUCAAGUCCUUUGCGGGAUUUCUCCUCCCAUCCAGUGUGGCUGCACCGGGGGCGGGCCGAAUCCACGAUGGAGAAUAAGAAUGGCGCCUGUUUUCACGAUCAGUGACGUUGGCUCUUUGCUUACUGUUUGCCACAUCUCUGAUUUCAUGAUACUUCUUUAGGUUUGGGGUUGUCAAUUCAAUUGACUCGUGAAAAAAAGAUUGGCAUUGAUUUUCAAUUUGUUCCGCGGCUGCCUCUUCUAGUAUAUUUUCAAUUUGCACGUUAUUUAUAUAGUUACUUUUGCCAUGCGUUUCAGGGAAAUCAUCUAAAUUAUGGAGUACAGAUAUUGAUUCUGGAGUAAUAUGAUCGCAUUGUGAACUAUGUUUCUUGCGUCAAGUGAUUACACUGAAAACACUGUUUCUCGUGGGUGCAUUGGACGUUAUGAACAUUGUCAAGGGGGUUGCCGAUCUCCUUCGGAGAUCAUCAGGUGGCCAAGCUGGAGAGAACUCUUCGUGGGGGCAGGGUGAUUGGUUUUCCGCUCCCACAACAAGAAUCCAUUUCGGGUAUGUUUACGUAGAACUUCACUGUGUUCUAAAUGUGCUUUAUGAAAAGUGCUUGAGAAUAACAUUUCAGGGUGACCUAGUUACGGUCUCCACGUGAAAACUUUUUAAUUUUUGGUCACAAUUCUUUUGAUGUACUCCCCUAGCCUUUUAAUGUUCAAUUCAGGCUUUCUGACUUGCAUUUUGUCCACAUGAAGGAAAAUGUGUACGAAGCACAUAUUUUAUUUAUUAAUAAAGUAAAAUAGAACGUGGAAGCAAUUGAUCAACCCGAAAGAUAUGAUGAGAAAGCCUACAAAUUUUAGCUCAUUUAAUGUGAUUCCAAAAGUCGUGACUGAUGGGAUCUGCUGUUUGGCAUUUCAUAACUCCUAGAAACCCGGUCUCAUUUGUGUUUAGGUUCUGCUGCCAUUUUAGGAAGCUCUGGACCUAACUGCAAUGGGUUGAUUAUGGCAAAAAAUGAGUAUAUGUUUCAGGCAUAAUACCGUAAGUGUGUAAAUGAAAUUUAUGAGAGGUAUCCCUUCGUGCAGAGCCCCUAAUGCAGAUGAACGAAAAUUGAGCCAGCCCCACUGUAAAUCAGACGAUUUAUGAUGUGUUUCUUUAACUUAUCAAUUAUUUUGGAUGACUCCAAUACAGUUUUAGAUCUAUAAUUCUGGUGACGCUCACAUGAUUUUUCCUCUCUCUUUCCUUAGGGACGCUGGGGAGGAAGCAGUUUUGAAUUCAUUGUGGCAGAAAUAUGAAAGUGGCAUUGAUAAGGUGCUUUCACUAUAAUUUCAUUUUGAAACUACAUUUAUCACCUGCAUUUGUUAUUUUUUUCUUUAAAGGUUUUCAUUUUCUGUGAUAGUUUUAUGUACGUAUAUAUGCGUGACAUAUUUUACAUUACGUGGUUUCAAAAGUGCCAAACGCCACUUAUGCCAGAUCUUCAUAGAAACUAUCAUUGUCGGCUUUUUCCCUUUCUUCAUUAGCCUUUUUGUUGUCAUGGAUGACCAAACCCAAGCUGGUAUCAGAUAAAACCUGGGAAGGUCAGAGCUCAGUCGAAGACUCACCAUUUCGUCACUGCUCACUAUUUUGGGCACAAUCCCUACUUCUCAGUUCGAGCAUGAUGGGUAACCAAAUCAACUAAAUGUCAAGUUAUCAAGUCUAACUUAUGAAAUCGAUUAUCAGAACACAGUGUUGUCUUUGAGUCUUAAAGUACAGCAUGUACUCAUUCGAUCCUUUAUUCUCGUCUUUUGAGUAUACAAGUUGACAAAAACAACCUCUAAAUUCACCUUUAUGAUUGGUUUUGAUGAUUCAUCGGAUGAAUCCGAUAUGACACUCUCUUCUCUAGUCUAACAUGCGGCAAUAGACCAUUCUGUGCAUAGUGGAGGGUUUUUUGUUGAACAAUUUUUUUUGGAGGUGACAAUGUGGUUAAAGAUAAUACAUCAUGCAGGGAGUUCAAGCGAAGAGUAGAUAAAGUGCAUGUAGGAAUGAAUAACCUUAGUCAUAUGUUGUAUACGUUACAAAAGGAAAUUUGUUUUCAAGGUUUUUUUUUCUGUUGUUGAUCUCCUCUCUUUUUUCAAUGGCUAUUUUGAUUCAUUUUCAGACAGAAAAAAGGAAGUCGUUGCAAGUCUUUCUCAUGCAGUUUAUUCAGACAUAUAAGAAUUGGGAGCCCGAUAAAGACCUCCCUUCGGAGUUGAUGCCUAUUUAUCCCACAGAACACACAUAUGGAUUUCCAGAAGUCAUUGUUGGAUGUUCAGCUGGACAUCCUUCUGAGGUUAUCCUGAUUCUUAUUCAAGAACUCGUUCGGAUAACUUCCCUUGUUACAGAUAGUAAGUGAAUUUCUCUAUAAUUUAUUGUUUACUUAGAAAGUAGGGUUCUCUUUCAUUUUUAAUUUUUAUUCAUUAGGUUGAUGCAUGCUAUUGCUAAUCAAUCACUGCUUAACAUUGUUUCUCCAGAGAUAUUCUGGAAGAAAGUUCCUGCAGGUUUUUCCGUAGUGAUGCACAUGAAUCUAACAGAGAUUCGGUGAAUGUUGUCUGUAUCAGACAGCAAAGCUUCAUAAUAUUGACUAUAGUUUGAAAUUGUUGUGAAGGGAUAUUACCGGUUAGAACUUGGGGAAAAGUAACCUUUCGUGAUAGCGUGCUUCUCAGAUUCAAAAGGAAGUGAAGACAAAUUUUUUAAAGCUGUCACUGACGCGGGUUGAACGUUUUCUCGUCUUCUUGACUUUCAUUCCGCAAUUGUUGAGCGAAAAUCGGCUUGAAAUUAAAUAUUACAAGAUUGAAAGUGAUGACAAUUUAUAUUCUUAAUCUUUGGCAAAACAAUUGACUAAAUUCCAUGAAACUUCACCUGUGUAACAUUUUGAAGUCAGUAUAUAUACUCAUUAGAGCUUUCUUUUUAUGCCAGUAGUUCUUAUUUUUCAUAUUGCUUUUAUAUUUUUAUUCUAAGAUUUUUUUGGAAAAAAAUCAUUAAUUGGAUCAAACCUUAUAUUAUGGUCCUCAGAAUCAGUGAACCGUUUCAAUGGGUUUCAACAUUAUAUCGAGUUAAUGACAUCACUUCUCUCGUCUGCUUUAGUGAACAGCAUACAUUUUGUACAUUUAAUGAUUUCGUGAUAAUAACUACUUUAAAAAAAUAGUGAACAGUGAUCCUGGAGAACCAAGUGGGGAUGUUUCAGAAUCAGCAAGCUUCAGUCUUGAAGUCUUAUAUAUUCUGAGUUCUCUUGAUAUCAUAACUCGUUCAAUACACAAUUGCAGAGUUUUUAGUUAUUAUGGAGGUGUCCAGAAGGUCAUUGCGCUCUUGAAAGGUACUCUAUUUGUCUCUCAUAACUUUUACUUAGUGAUUCCAUUCGGUCUUCAAUUUAUUUUGCUUUUCUGAAAACUUUUGCAAGGUUUACUACGCUGCAAAAAAAUCUUCAUUUUUCUUGUGAAAGUUCUGCUAAUGGACCGGUGUAUAGAAAUAACACUUUAUAGAUGUUGUCCAUACUUCUUUUUUUUAUGUUUACCUUUGAGGCUUGGUUUAUUCAUUAUUCUGAUUGAUCACUAGAUAAUCAGAAGGGAUAAUUGUUGGUUAUCAAAUAAAUUUUUUUCUUUGACAAAUGGUCAGAACUUCAUCUGGCUUCGAAUCCUACUGAGAGGUCCACAACAUAUCACAUUUUUUUUAUGAAUAACAAGAUCUUUCUUUUAUCCUUUCCAGGCGAUGAGAAAGUAAAGAAAUAACUCAUAUGUUCAAGAUAAUUACGUUUUUACUAAACUCCGCCUCAAUUCAUCCCAUUUCAUCUGAUCUGGGAUGUGAUAUGGUGUUUCCGAAGAAAGAGUCGAAUAUAGAAAGGGGCUAUUAUGAUCGGGUGAUGUUCUGGAGGAGAAUGAAAAUUGUAGAGGGUGAUGGAAUUGGAUGCAGUGCUCCAUUUUGGGAAUAUAUCAUUGCAUUAACUGAGAACAUGUAUCACUUGGAAAGGAGUGCAGAACAACAUUUGGUGUUUGCCACUUAGAUGAAUUGGAUGUGAGACUUGUUGUCCUAGCAGUAAGAGAUAAUAUUGGCAAGAAGACAGUAUUUGACAAACAAUGGUUGUGUUAGAAAUCUGAUAUAUCACCCAUGAAUUCUGAUAGAAGCCAAUAACACAAUACCGGACGCAAUAUGUUAAAAUCCAAUGGUUUUCCAGUAUGAAUGAUGUAUAAAGGAGCCAAGAGCCUUGAAGUUUAUCUUGUAAUUGGCGUGGAAGGAAACGACAGUAUAAGUAACUGAUGGAGUUUCAGAAGAAAAUCAUUUUCCAUGUGGAGAAAGAAUGUUGUAUAAGAGUGAAUAGUUACUGCCAUAUGUGAUCUGCAGAAUGGACCAAGAUUUUUUACUCUGGGUGCCUCCUUUCCAACUGAAACUUUUGAGGGAUGGUUUCUGCGGAAGGGCACUUGGAGUGUAUGCAAGUUUUAUUAUUUAUACUUGUUUUGGAUGUCUUUAGUAAGUGCGUACAGCUGAAUAAAAGACGGAUUGUCUGUUCCAUUUGUCAAAGUUGAGAGUACCGUGCAUUUACGAAAGUUGAUCAGAUAAAGAGGUAAACGUGCAUUGAGUUAUCGAGAAAGCUACCUCUGGAUGGAAGCUAUACUAAGGUUGUCAAAGAAUAAAUUAAUGACUUGUCCCCUUGACAACGAAUGAACGGAUUUCACCAUCCUACAGUAUGUCAUGGCCAUUGAAAUUUACAGGGCAAUAAACGCUAGUAGCAAUAAAAAACUUAUGUGGAGUAUAAAAUAAGAGCUGUAGGGAACCAUGUGCUGAUUACAGUCAAGCGUGUAUUCUGUUGUUUGGAAGUAAAUGUCUGUCAUAGACAAGUCUCCCAUGGAGAAGCUCUAAAGUGGCCCAGGUGGUGACGUCCACUUGGUCUUGACAGUCUCGUACUGCAGUAUGGGAGCUCUGAAUCCAAAAUACGUAGGCAUAUGCAAGCAUUCAGUAUUUCUGAAUGUGUUACCCCUGAGACCUAAUGAUUAUUAGUGGAAGUCUGAGUUUAAUGUUAGACUGUUUGUACUAUUUAAGUCUCUUGUAGUAUCUUAGCUUAUUUAUUUAGUUUGAUCAUUUCUCUCUUACGUGUUGUAUUUAUUUUUAUAACUAAACCUGAUUCUCCAGCUCAUCUUUCAUUAGCUUGUUUGAUUCUUUUGUAGUACGCUGUGUCUUGCCUUCUUGAAGUUUAUUCUUUUAAGUUGUUUCAUUUGAGUAGAUUAUUGACUGUAUGUUGCUUUUCAAUUUUUAUUAUCCUUGCUUGCUUAUACAUGUAGUUUAACUGCUUGUUCUAUUGGCAAUUGCAUUUUCUGUUGUUAACAAUGUCUAAAUAACACUGUAUCUUAUAUAUUUCCUAUCUUUUGAUUGAAAAUCUGAAUUUUCUCAGCGACAGUGGUUCAACUUAAGACAUUGACAAGUGCUAUUGGUGUUGAUGAACAUUUAUCAAACAUUGGUGUUGAGAAAAGUGGCGUUUUACAGAAAAUCCUUCUUUAUGUCGUUUCGAUAAUUUUCAGUUUCACAAAUUUAAAUUCAAGUGCAUGUGGGAAGACUCUAUAUAUUGAUAACAUUCAGAAUUUUUUUUCAACGGACUGGGAGUUUGAGAGGCCUUCUAUUAAUUCGAAAGGAUACAUCUCUGAAGCAAGUGUUAAUUGGCAUCAGAAGUCAACUGUAAUGAUAAUGGAGGCAGGUGGACUUAAUUGGUUAGUUGGUAAGGCUUGGAAAUACUAUCAUUUUUCUUUCUGUCAUGUAAAGUCAGUUCCUUUUUGCAUUCUGAACUUUUGAUAUUUUCAAUGGGCUCUAUUAGCAUUUCGUGGACAGGCCUUGUAUUUAUAGAUCUGGUGUUCAAUUUAGUAGGAGUUAUUUCCGGAUAAAUGCAUUAAAGUUGUUAAUUUAGAUGCAACGUUCUAUUUUUAAUGUUUCCAAUGGGUUGUUAACAUUUCUCAUGUACGCCAUGAAUCUGCUGUAUUUUCCAGACGAUUAAGCGGAUCAUGGUUAUUAUUUAAUAAUGUGCUAAAGGUGUCACUAAAGAGAGGACAUGUUGGAAGAUUGACAGAAGAUGCAAGGAGGCUUCCGUACUUUCCAGCCUAUCUCUGGCACCUUUUCGCCAACCAUUGAUUUUUGUAGUCUGCUGUUCGUAGAGCAGCAUUAGCAAAAUACUCUAAUCUCUGAAAGAUCCCCUUGUUUGUUACUCUUAGUGGUGGCCUCUAUCCUAACUGUUGCUACUUUUUGGAGCAUUACUCAAAGCUUGUUGAAGAGUUGAGCUGGCCCUCCAUUAUAAAUUACGAUUGGUGGCUCAUGACUCAGCAAUGUCCAUUCCCACUGCUUUGACCUUCAGUUCUCUCUAUUUCGUUGACUCUCACUUGGAGUCACCUUUAAAAAUUGCUAGCAGCAUUUAUGUACCAAGGGUACCCAUGAGCUUCUUAAAUUUUUUUUAAUAAGUUUUUGUUGGAGCAAUAUUAUUUAAGACAAGUAGAUGUUAAAUGUAAAUCAAGUGACUGCCUAAACCAAAUCCCCAAAAACACUUCUUUCUUACUGGCUUAAUUGGUGCUCCAAGAUUACGUUCCACUGUCCACUUGAAAGAAAGAAAACCACAAUGAUCAGAAUGUUGAGAAAUUUGGUUCCAAAAAGGAACCAAAGACGUUGUUAAGGCAUGCAAAUGUGUUCUUCUUGCCGUUUCAGUUUCUCUACGAGUUAUUACCUUCUGUUUACACUGAGUAAUUUGUUAAAAGCAGUUUUGUAUUUGAUUUCUCUCUUUUGGAAGAUCAACCAGUUCUUGCUUCCAACAUCCUAGACCAAUGAUUUUGGAGGGAAUUACUCUUUUAGUUAUAAGGGCGAGAUUCUCUUUGCAGAACUUUUGCGGGUAAUCAGAAGGUUGAAUUUGAAAGAAAAAGGGACCGUCCUAUCGCUCCAGUACCUUACUCUUGGUACACUGAGAUCUGCACUACUUCAAAAUCCACGAGCUCAGAACCAUUUCAGAUUAAUUGGAGGUCUAGAGGUUCUUCUUGACGGGCUUGGGCUUCCAUCAAGUAACUGUUUGAUUUCAAGGGCUGAAUUUCUUUCUCACAGCGGGAGGUUAGUUUUUUAAUUUUGAUUAUUUGAAAUUAGUCUAUCUCUUUGUAAAUCUUUAUCUUUGUUUAUUUUUCUGGAGGGAAAUUUUUUCUUUAAUAGGUUGUCUGUACUCCUAUAUUUAACUUGAUCAAUAAUAUUGUGCCAGGUUUUUUUAUUCAAUUUGGUUGCUUGCUAUUUUGGUACUUAUUAUCUUUAUAUUACUUGUGGCAAUUACCGGUUUAUGGAUUGGAGUAGCCUCCUUAGUUUAAUGCUAGCUCUGACAGGAGUUAUAUCUUGUAAUCUCAUUGCUUCAUUGCUAUUGCCAGUUUUGAGUUCCUUGAUCAUUCAAUCUUAUGGGCUGUACCUAGUGCUGAUUUUUUGUCUUUAGUGAUAGUGAUUCCACAGUAUCAUUGAAAGAGAGGGAAUAUGUACAAGUGUGUAGUUAUAAGCUUUCAAAAAUAUAAGUUAUACAUCAUUAGUAUCUAAAUCCAAUUUAGAAUGGAACCGAGAUUUAGAAAAAUAUAACCUUAGAGAGAUAGUCUUCUCUUUUCAUCCUACCUUAUAUCAUUGAUUCGUUCUUGUUACCAUCUGUCUAAAACCUUGGAAGAUGUACUGCUUUUUUUACUUAAAAGGCAUACGCUCCCACCCAAUGAACACAGAUAAUUGUAUAUAAAAAUAAGCCACCUUGUAAUGUGAUCUACUUUCUUGGUGUCGUGAUGUCUUCCACCUUAGCCAAAGAUCAUCAAUAUGAGUCGGGCAUUGCCAUUGUUUCGAAUCUUUUGAUAAAGAGAACAUUGUAGGAACAAGUAUUAUAGUUUUUUCCUUUCUCUCGAUAGAGGCUUCAUACAUUGCAUUGAUUAUAAAGGCAGCCACCUGAUCGUAGGUAUGAAGUAUUGCAGAAAACAAUAAACAAGUCUGCCUCAGGAUUGGUUAUAUGCAAGUACCAGGCUCAGAAGACAAGUAGGAAUUGGUCCAAUUUGAACCAGGCGCAACUAAUUAGAUACUGAUUUAGUAAUGAAGUGGACUUCUAAGGCCUAAACCCCUACUCAUACGUCAUUUCCCCACAGUUCUCCUCAAGCUGUUGAAUAGGUAUUUUCCAUUCCUAACUUGGUUACAAGACUCUGAAAUAUUUGACUACUAAAACCUUUGGGAAGUACAUCCACAAGUCAGCCAUGUAUAGAUACAAAAAGGUGUGCAAAAUCAAUCCACUCUCAAGCUUUUCCUUGAUAAAGUGUGUGUCAAUCAUGACAUGUUUCGUUUGAUUGUGUUGUACUGGAUUGUGAGCUAUGCUGAUUGCAGACAUUGCCACAAUAGAGUAUCAAUGGGCCAUCCCAUUUAAUAUUAAAAUUUUCAGUAACUUAUACAAACCUUUAGUCAUUGUUCAGAAUUCAACCUCUGCACUUGACCGUGGUAUCACAUUCUGUUUCUUACUUCGCCAUGUCACAAAAUUGCUGCCAAAAAGGUACAGUAUUUAGUGGUAGAUUUCUUGUCAGCCACUGACCCUGCAUAACCAAUGUUUGUGUGUGCAUAAAGUUCCAAUCCUUCGUCCUUCGUGAACACAUACCCUUUUCUUGGUGUCCCUCUGUGAGUUGCUUGUAGGUAAACUUCCUUUGGAUUGUGUAUGAAUUGGCUAAUCACAUUGACGGCAUAAUUAUAUCUGGUCGUGUAUGAGAGAGAUAAAUCAGCUUUCCUACUAAGUGCUGAUACAUUUCCUUCCUCUACUUUUCCAUGUUUGCGAUUCAGAACUAUAGUAUUUACUAGUUUGCAUGUAAUCUUGCCUUUUUCUCUUAAAAAAAAUUCUUAACAUUUUUUUGUUGAGAGAUGGAAAUGUCUUGCCUUAAGUGAGCUACUUCAGUGUCAGGAAAAUGUUUCAGCCUCCCCAAUACUUUGGUUUCAAACUCCUUAGCCAAAUAGUAACUCAGAUAUUUUGUUUCCUUGUCUAUAUUCCCAAUCACAAUUAUGCAAUCAAUAUAUAUUAUGAGUACCGUGACUCUCCUAGAGGAUGUGUUUAAUGAUCAGUGUAUGAUUCCUUUGGCUUUGUUCAUACCGCAUGGCAAUCAUGACUUUUGUAAUUCUACUAAAUCAUGUCCAAGAUUUUCUUCGAGGCUUUCUUCAAUUUGCGCAACAUAUGAGCAGCCACAUUAUUUUUAUAACAUGGUUGGAUGUCUAUGUAUAUUUUUUUCCUUGGUUCACCAUGAAAAAAUAUAUUUUUAACGUUAAACUGCUGCAAGUCUUAACCAUAAUUAGUUGCUAAUGACAGGAAAAUUUGGACAUUAUUCGUUUUUGCAAUUAGAACGAAAGUUUUAGAUAAGGUCUGAGUAUAGCCCUUGGCAACCAACCUUGUCUUGUAUCUGUCUCUGUAGAUUCAUCUGGUCGGUACCUUACUAUAUAGACCUAUUUACACCUUAUGGGUCUUCUUUCUGUUGGUAGUAUUACUAACUCUAUAGUUUUGUUCUUCUCUACUGUCUCCAUUUCCUCAUUCAUAGCUUAUUUCUAUUUUUUAUUGGGCAAAGCCUCAGAUAAGGUGAUGGGGAUCUUCUAGACCUUCUAGUAAGGAUCUAUGAGAUGGUGACAAAAGUUUAAAGGAUAUGAAGUGUGCAAGAGGAUAUAAAACUUGUUUUGUGCAUUCUCUAGUCCUUUUUUCUAAUGACAGAGAGAUUCAAGUUCAGGUUUCAAGGCAGGAUUAUAAGUUGGUACCUCAUUCUCAGGAUCCAGGUUGGAUUCUCAGACAUCUGUAGAUUUAUGAACUAUCUUCUUCCUACGAAACAACUUUCUUUUACCUGAUCUCACAUUUUCAAGGGUAGGGUUAGAAUUUUUUUGAGGGUUUUCUAGAGUUUCAAGAUUUGGCAUGGACUGAGAGAUAGGCUUAGACAAAGGAAUUGUGAAUCCAGUGGAAGUGAUGAUAUUUCAAUAAAUUCUCAUGCUGAUCUUCAUUGAUUGAACUCUCCCCCUGAAGAUAAAGUGUGAUGAAGUAAGACUCUUGUUAAUUGAAAGUGACAUCCACUGAGAACAUUCUCCCUGAAUUGGGAACUCUCCCCCUUAAUUUGUUUGAUGGAGAGUGACACCACUAAUACCCUGUCUAGGUUGGAGAAUGGCCCGCAAAGAUUCAUUUUAGUGCACUGAGAUCUAAUUUCCCUGAUACACAUCCAAAUAUUCCAGAGACAAGAUUAUUUGUAAUUGGUAGGUUUGGAUAGAAUAACGACAAUGUUUCCAUUGGACUCUUGAAUCCUAAAACUCGAGAAGGCCAAUGAUUUAUGAGAUGAGAGGUUAAAAAAAUUGUUUCCCCUCCAAAAGAAUUUAGGCCCAUAGUUUUGGAAAAAAAUGGUUGAGGUUAAUUAAAAAAAUGACCAAUUUUCUUUUCUCUGUCUUCAUUUUGUUGUUGUGUGUUGACACAAGAUGACUUAUAUAAUAUCCCUUCUGUUUAAAAAUAUGAAAUUAAGAUUUGAUUGAAACAGUCCUCAGUAUUAUCUGAUUGAAGCCUUUUGACAUUGAUACCAAUUUAGUUCUUAAUCAUGAAACAAAACUUUGGGAGAACAGUACUGACAUCAAACUAAUGUUUGAGCAGAAGAAUCUAAGUAACAGGAAUAUAAUCAUCAAUGAAUGUCCCGAACCAUGUAGCUCAAGGAAUAUUAGGAAUGGUUGAACGACUCUAUAUAUCACUGUGAAUACAGAAGAAAGAAAUAGAACUUCUCUCAUGACUAACUGAAAAAGUCACACGUUUGUGUUUAGCAAGUUCUAGCAAGUUCUCACAUAUUACAAAAAAAAUCUUCAAUGCUUAGGUGUUAAAAUAAAGAAGAAGAAACAAAAUUCUAAUAACCCUAAAUGAUGAAUGUCAAAGUUGGUGAUGGUGGAGUCAGAUUCUCUCCUUACUGGAUGGAUGAAGUUCAAAAGAAUCUGAUAGAUUGCCUUUCUCAAUUUUUGGCUGACUUGAUGUUUCAAGGUAGUGGAUUACAUCCCGUCCCUUAGCAUGUCAAAUCUUCUUCCUCGAAUUCUUUUCAUGAAAUACACAAUGACUUUGAUGGAAAACCACUUUGCAAUGUAAAUAUCCAGUAAGCUUUUCAAUGGACACAAGGUUUGUAGACAAUUCAGGGAGAAGAACAUUUUUUAAGAUCAGGAAGGAGCUUAUAUUAACAUCUCUACAACUGAUAUAGUGGUCAGAUAACCAUCUACUGUGACUAUUUUCCUACUGCUUGGUCAUUUGAUGAGUGGGUUAUAUGGUCAGUAGCUCCUGAAUUCAUGAUCCAAGUUUUGCCAAAGGUGGUAUCCGACGCAUUUCAUCCAAUAGAAAAUGGCUACUCACCUAAAUAGGCCAACAAACAUGAAUCAAGUUUGUUAGUGAGGCUAGACUGAAAUCUCUAAUAUGAUGUUGCUAAGUCCAAUACUAUAGUUCGCAGAUAAUUUCUCUGGCUGAAGAUUUCAUUUGGAUUUGGAGAUUUAACAUUUGAACAGAUACACAGCAGGGAUUUAGCCUGAAACUCUGCUGGAUCCCUUUGAAAAAUUGUCAUUUGAGGCUUAGCGAAAUUAGAAAGCAGAAAACCAAUCAGUCAACUGAACCAAGAAAUAGAUGUUAGAUGUAUAUUGAACCACCAAACCAAAUCAUUUACUAAAUAUCAUUGUUUUCCUGGAAGCUCUCAUGCUAUGUAUAUUGCAUAUCUGCUGUGAUAUUUCUAGUAUUGGGCCUUUUCUGGUUCUUAGGGUGAAUUUUGGAAUGUUGUGGACCGUGUAUUGUUAAAACUUUGAUGGUUUUGAUCCUCACUGGGCCCUUUUGUGACAAUUUUAUUGUAGAAUUACUGUGGCUGGUGAAUUUUUGCAUUUAAACUUGUUCUUAGUUGACUUGCUUUCAUUUUGGACUGUUACUUGACGAGAAUCAAAUUCUUUUGCAGAAGUGGAAAUCAUUUGUUUGGUAUUUUUCAGCUCCAAAUUCUAUCUUUGGAAGUUCUGAGAGAGAGUAUGUAUCCUUAAAGAAUUGUCACAUGUUCGUUCCCUUUCUUGCUAAUUAUGGAAAUAUUCUAUUAAUGAAGAUAUAUGAACUGCGAUAAUCACAUGUUUUCCUGUGUGUUUCAGAAUUGUGAACCUAUUUUUCUUGUCUAAAAUUUUUUAAAACAUGGGAUUUAUUUUACUUCUAUUCUGCCUCCCGCCAACAGUAUUGGCGAGCAUGUACAGUAGGUGUGCCAAAUGUCUCUGUGAUGAUCUUUUCGAAGCCUCGGUACAACCACAACUUUAUUUAUUGUUUCACGUUUUUGUGAAAAUUACCCAAAAUCAUUUGGAAGAAUGCAAGGCAUGUGCUCCAAAUGUUUGCUCAAUGAUCUUUCCAAUAACUUGCUCGCAGGUGCAACUUAAUGUAAUUUUUAAUUUUUUUCUGGAACUUACCACAUCUUGUAGUCUGCUGGUUACUAUUUUUGCGAACGUUUUGAUGAAAUGGGCAUUGCUCUCGCCUUAUGAUCUAUGGCUGAUUCUCAUCACAUUAUUUGUAAUUUUAGUGGAAGUUUUGAUUCUAUGCAGUAGGUAGAGCAGAAUAGAACGGAUCUCUGAUGAAUGUGUGGAGAGAAAUAAUUGAUUACGUGAUGUACGAAUAAUCAUAGAUAAGGCCUGAUUACCUGAUGUGCAUGAUGUUAAAUGCCUGCAUUUGAAGAAUUUAUGUUUCGUAUAUCCAUGAGUGUGUCAUUUUUUAAUAAAAUUUAAUGUGACGAGAAUUAGGUUUCGUCAAUUUCUAAGAUAUUGCAUUCAAAUUUUCACAUUACUUUUGAUGUUGUGAAAUUUUUUUAUGUAGUUUUAGGUAAUCUUCCUUUUGAUAUCAUUAUCGAGCAAACUGUUUUCACGUACUCAUUAAUGAGCAGUCAUCUAGUUUGUACUUAUUUAUUUUCUUAAUGACAUUCUUUGGAGUCCUUAAAGCUUCUGUAGCUUUGGCAACAUGAACAAUUUCCAGUUCCUUUGUGAAAACGGAAGAGUGCAGAAAUUCGCAAACAGCCUCUGUUGGCCUGCCUUCAUGUUUCAAGAGUUUAGGCAGUGGAUGAGGGAUUCAGAUGAAUGCCACUCUGUCGCGGAACUCACAGCAAAUAGCCCCAAAAAGGUCCAUUUAAAAGAACACUGUUCUCGAGGUGAAAACCAUUGUUCUAACUCAGCAUGGAAUUUGUAUGCUGUAAAGUUGAGCAGAGCUCUUUGUUCUUUCCUUCUACCACCUGAAGAUGUCGAGCUUGAUGAGUUACCUAUAUUAAGUGCUCAGACAUCCAUACCUGUCUCGUUGGCAUACUGGGAGGUUUCUGCAAAAUGGAUGAUUAAGGUUCUUUUUGCUGUCUUUCCAUGCAUUAAAGCCUGCUCGACUGAAAAUGAGCUGCCGAAUCAUUUAAGGUAAAUUCUUAAUCGGGAUAUGUAUCACAUCUACAGUACAACUGUUGUUGGGCAGCUUUACGAAUCUUUCUUUCUUGGUUGGAUCUUAUCCAUAUUGAAUGGUUUAUAUUUAAUUAUUGACAUGUAUAUUCGAGUACCAGCAUCCUAGAUAGAAUAAUCCAUAUUUUCACAGUUGUUGUCUACAUACAUGUGGCUAGUUUGUAUCAUAGUUUUUUCUGGGUUGUUUACCAACGCUGGAAUAUGUUAAAGAUAAGGUUCUACAUCCAUACACAUUGUAUGCCUUCUAUACUUUUUUUUUUUAAAUCAGACGAGCAAAGGGACCACUUUUUUUUCGUUUUUUUAAUUUGACACGCUUAAAUGUAAUGAAUUUCACCAAAACACUCCCUGGAAAUGAACGAAUGAUUCAAUUGGUGCAAUGUGUUCCCAAGCUGGACUUGAACCAGUUGCUUCUUGACCAUUUUUGUAGCUUUGCAGUUUUAUUAUGGCAUAUUAGUGUCCUGUUAUUUGGUUACACAUUGUUAUUCAUUCCCUUUUUGAUAGCUUUCUGUUGAUGUCUGCAGGAUCUUUUCCAAUGUUUUGCAGAAGCACAUCCUCUAUGCAUUCAGAAAACUGCUUGUAUCUGCACCAGGACUAUUAGAUGCUCUUAGAGAAGAGGGGAUGUGGGACUUUAUUUUCUCAGAGAAUUUCUUCUACUUUCUGCCAUUACUGGAAGAAGUUUCAAUGGAUAUUGGACCUUGUCCAGGGGAUGUUAUGGAUAAGUCAGAGAUUGUCUGUUCUUCUGAUAACUGUUUGGACCAUCAACAGCGUGAUAGUGCUGACAUUUUUCAUAUGGAGGUCAUAUCAUUUGUCGAAUUUGCGGCGACUCUCAAUGGGAAUAAGCAUAAUAUGGUAUGCUCAUCAUUGUUUCUUCUUUCAUGUGAGAUUUCUUUAAAUCUGGAGUGCAUAUAGGUAUAUAUAUGAAACUUAGAUUUGAAACCUAGAGUCCAUGUAAUAUAUAUGAAAGUUUUGAAACCCGGAGUGCAUGCAGGUAUCAGUGCCUCUUUUUCGACCUUUUAUGCAUAAAAAGGGAAAGUUAAUCAAUGCAAAAGAGGCCAAUAACAGAAUAAAAUUGGGCCCUAAUAAUACGGUAGAACUCUACCUAAACAGAUAAGGCUAAAAUAAGGGAAAAAAUAGAUUCUCAAUCGUAACAAAGCAUGCCCUUUUUUUUACCUAGCCCAAAUUUUCUGGGAUAUGAUAUUAUUAUGGAUAACAGUUGCCCCAGGAAACAAGCAAACACUCAAUCCUGAUGCAAAUGUUCUUAUGCUUCAAUGCGGCACUUUAUCUGGGAUAUCUCUCUGAUAAAUCCAAUUAAUUUUCUUGAUAUCGUUUUGGGCGUAAUUUCUUCAGGAGCUUACCGAUGCGUGUCUAAUUCAGUCUGAAUAUGCUGUAUUCUUUUUUCAUCUGCAAAUUCCGCAAAAGAUUUUGUAUUCAAAUGUUGUGUGACUCAUUAUUUUUGCUUGUUUUCAUCUUUAUGUCAGCAUGAGUGUUCAUCUCUUUUAGAUGCACUGGAGCAAUCUGCUUGCAAUCCUCAGAUUUCUAGUAUUCUUUUGAGGAGUCUCCAUCGAAUUCUGCAACUUGCCUUCGAGCAUACUGUUGCUUCGUUCAAGGCUCUUGAUGCAGCAUCUCGGAUUCUCAAAGUUGCUUGUAUUCAAGCUGAGGAGCACCGGAAACUUGCAAAGUUGAUUACUGAGGAUGAAUUUGACGUUGGAAGUAGUGAUUCAACGCAGAGGAAGAUUUCCGAUACUACAGAGACUGCCAGAAUUUGGCUCAGUAGCAUGGAGGCAUCCUUGGAACUUUUCACUGAAUUUAUUCUCUCGGCAGAUGAUGGAAAAAGUCUGGUAAUGCAUAAUACACUUUGUAUUGAGUGCUUGUUUGAUCUAUUCUGGGUAGAAAGUUUGAGAAAUCGCAUUUUGGGUCAUAUUCUUUCACUAUUGAAGGUACUAUCAAGCUUCCUAUUUUAGUAUUUUGCAUAAAAAUACUGCAUUGCUUGUUGAUAUUCAGUGGAUUUUCUACAGAGUUUCACUGUGCUUUUUUGCAGAUGCCACCAUCCUCUGCAGAAGACCAUGUAGGAAAGUUGCAGUUGUGUUCCAAGUACUUGGAAACAUUUACUCGUGCAAAAGAAAGAGAAAAAUGCUUUGCUGAAUUAUCAAUUGAUCUGUUGAUUGGCAUGAGAGAUGUUAUUUCGACUGAUCGAAUGGUAAGUUUUUGCCCGUUUUACAUUUGUCCUUGCUAUCGAGUGGUAGUUUUACCUAGACUAGGGAACUAUACUUUUAUACCAAACACUCACAGGGCUAUCUUUUGUCUUCAGUACUAUCAAACUUUGUUUUGUGAAGGGGAAUGCUUUUUGCACAUUGUAUCUUUGCUAAAUGGUUCUCUUGAUGAAGAAAAUGGAGAACGGUUGGUGCUUAAUGUUUUAGAGACUCUGACAUCACUGCUAUGUGGAAACGUUGUCUCCAAGGUAACUUUUAUUUUUGUUUUCUUGGUUCAUGUCAAAGAAUGUUUUGGGAAAAUGAAGUGUUUUCUGUUUUUCUUGGUUCUACAUUUACUUUAUUCUCUUAUCUCAAAAGUACAUUUUGUCUGUAUAUUCACUCAAAAGAUUACUAUGUUUAUGGUCUAUUCAUUUAUCAAAAUUAUACGGUGAGGGAUGGUCCUGCAGCUCCGGGCACACCAUAUCUGGCCGUAUGGCCAUUUAACAAAGCCAGUAUACUUUUGUUCAAAGCCAAUCUUAAGACAUCCUAGUGUUUGAAAUAGUAGACUGCUAAUGGCAAUUUAAUUUGGAUUUUUCUCUAUUUCAUUUCGUAUUUCUGUAUUGCUCCUGAUCUGUUAUGUACUCUAUCGUCUGCUUUUGAUGUUGAACGAGAGUAAUGAGGGCUUAUACUUCGCAUUUUUCCUAUCUUUUUAUUGAAUUUACAGCCUAUUUUCCCAUUUCAUGUUGUGCAGGUAGUCUUCAGGUCCCUUGUUGGUGUUGGUUACCAAAUGUUGCAGAGUCUUCUUUUAGAUUUUUUCCAAUCCCACCCCAACAUGCAACUAUUAAAUGCCCUCCUUGACAUGCUUGUGGAUGGAAAGUUUGAUAAUAAAGAGAUCCCUGUGAUAAAGGUAUUUUCUUGAAAUGCACUUUCCAUAUGAUAAUUCCAAACUAGUACAUCUUGAUGCUUGAUUCUGAGAAUUUCGUCGGUAUCUUAUAGUUUAGUUAUUUGCACCAGAUAGAACUGGUUUUGCCUUUAGAGUUGUGACGUUUAAUUGUCCUUGGUUAUCCUUACAAGUUGUUGAUGAAUAGGCACCUCUUUCCUAGCGUGAACAUUUGAUUUGAUGAAAUUUUAUGAAAGCUGCCUCAUUACCGUUCGGAAAGUAAUGAAAGCUAUAUGUAUGAGACGUUCACGGUUCUGAUGUUGACGAUCUAUCUGUUUCCAAAGGAAAGGAACCUAGAAUACACUCACUUUUGUGUUUUUUUGGUUAAGUUGAUGUUUUGUGAUCAUAGGGUCGGAGGGAUGACAAAGGUUUGUUUUUACAUCUUUUUUUAUUCUGUUAAUUAUUUUCGGUCGAGACACUGAUCGCUGAUAAGAAAAAAGAGAUGUCAGGGGUUCAAAUGCUAUUUCAACUAAUUUUCUUUGCCUUUCUUGGAUGCAGAAUGAAGAUGUGAUACUUCUAUUUCUCACUGUUUUGCAAAAGGUUCGUGUUUCAUCCUUACAUUUUGGAUGUUUAUUAUUCCAUUCAAGCUUUGAUGACAAUGCUGUAUUACUAUAUCUGUACCUUUGAUUGGGCAGAGCAGUAACUCUUUGCGACAUUAUGGCCUUGAUAUCUUUCAAAAAUUGUUGCGAGAGUCAGUCCCGAAUCGAACUUCCUGCUGCAGGGCAGGAAUGCUUAGUCUUCUUCUUGAUUGGUUUCCUCAUGAAGAACAUGGUGAUAUGAUCAUCAUGAUUGCUCAACUAAUUCAAAUUAUUGGUGGGCAUAGUGUGACUGGGAAAGAUAUACGUAAGAUUUUUGCUCUGCUUCGAAAUGAGACGAUUAGAUCAAAGCAAAACUGCUGUACAUUGCUUUUAAACAGCAUUGGAACUAUGCUCAGAGAAAAAGGACCUACUGCAUUCUUUGAGUUCAACGGUUUUGACUCCGUAAGUUACUACACUUUAAACUUUACUAAAUUUAUUUUCUAUUAUUUGAACAUCUCUCAUGAAGUUUUUAUGAAAACAAUUGACUGCAUAAUAGAAUUUAGUGUUUGCGAGUUACCAAUCCUUAUUUUCAUGGGAGCAGUAGUCAGUGGUAGUCCCGUUGCUACAUUUAUAUGAUCACUGCAAUUCACCAGAUUCAUUUUGAAUAUUGCUUAACUGGAUGAGCGAUUACUCAGAUUGGUCAGUAAUCUGAAAAGUUGUUUUUAUGAUUUAUGCUUUGAAAAUUAUGCUUGAUUCUCCUACUAAUCGUUUGGUUUUUGAAAUGACCUUCCACGCUUAAAAAACCAAAUGGAAUAAAAGUUUCAUGGUGGUGCCAAUAGAGUAUUGCAACUAGAGAAAUUUUGUAACGUGACGUCUGGAUAUCUCACUGGCUACUAUGACUAAUUAGACUUGGGAUAGAUGCCUGACCUUUCUAGUCGACAGGAAUGUUCAUUUCAUUUAGACUGGAGGAUAUGAUGGACUACAAUGUAUCAUACAAAGAUCGUAACAGUUUUCCUCCCCUCAAAUUGUGAUGGUAUUCAGGCAUCAAGCUUUCGCACUGAUUCUAUUAUGCAGGUCUGCCUACAGUAGGCAGUUGCAUUUUAUUUGAUCGAGUUGGGACAGUAUAAUGUAUAAUUUCGGUGCCAAGUGUAGUGAGCCUGUUUUGUUUGCAUCUUUCAAAAUAUGCUGCCAAUCAGACACCUCGUUGUCUAGUGGAAGAUGUUGCUUGAGGACUGUGAGAUUUGAUUCUCUUAGCCUGCCCUAUUUAUGGUUACAAGAAACAAUAGUUUCAUAGACUACGAUUCAAGUUUAAUAAAGUAUUUCAUAAACUUUUGAUGAAGGCAUUUACAUGGGACUAUGUAUUUAUUUUCAGUUAAAAUGGGUUACUUGAGUGGAAGAGUUGACGGGUACUUGAGACGUUGGAGCAUAUUUCUCAAUCAUCCUUUUAAAACUUGCUUGACUGAAGUUGUUUAAAUGCUUUUGCUUGUUAUUACUAAAUGCCAUUAAAGUUCUCUUGGAACAAUUAACAUCCAGAUGUUGAGCAAGAUUUUAUCUCGCAUGAAGCUAUAUUGUGAUGAUAACACCGCAGUGAAGAUUGUUAAUAACCCUAAUGAACGUUGCGAGACGAAGCAUAUUUAAUAAGAUUGAGACUUUAUUUGGGGGAUGAUAGAAUCUAGAGAAUUUGUCACUUUUAUGCUCAUCCUUGAUAUUAAGAAGCAACAAAUGAUAUAUAUGGUCAGGUUGGGGGGAGUGCUGAGGAUGUCUUCUUCAUGUGACCCUUAGUUUUAAUUUCCUUUUGAGUGAAUUAUGUCAUAUAGUGGACCCCCAAGUGGAACGAGUUGGUUUGUGUUGGUUCUUGUGAUGUACUGCUAUCUUCUCCUCGAUCUCUCCCUAGAUAUAUAUUGGAAUAAUUAAGGUCAUCAUUUUAAAUAUUAAAGUAUCCUUGUAUUUGAGAACUUGCAUUUUACAUGUCAUUACUGUACGUCUAACAUAUACAUGUGAAUUCUGUAUCUGUGUUGAACUCAUCAUAACUUCAAGUAACUUUUAUCAUCUCCUUUAUUUAAAUAAUUUCCCUCAUAUGUUCUUUAAGGCAUUCUCUCUUUUAUAGGGAAUCAUGAUAAAGACCCCAGUCCAGUGGUCAUGUAAUAAAGGAUUCUCAUUCACAUGCUGGAUCAGAGUAGAAAACUUCCCAGUUGGAACUAUGGGUUUGUUCUGCUUUCUGACGAAUAAUGGAAGAGGUUGCUUGGCUAUGUUGGGAAAAGAUAAACUUAUUUUUGAGGUAUAUAUCAUCUGUAACUACAGACUGCAGCAUUAGGAAUAUGAAGAUUUUUUUUCAUGUUCUAUGGAUUUUAAUCUUUUCGAAAUAAUUUUAAAAUUUUGGAUUUCUUUAGGCUUGGAUUUCCUUAUCUAUGAUUAUUUUUCUGUAUGUUACUUAUUUCAUCAUCACAAAUGCCUUUGUAACGUAUCCAGGAUUGGUUGCCUCAACAUGUUACAGAGGUUAUUUACAAAAUAACUUUGUGUCGAGAGUUGGGCAGUGGACAAAUUUGAAUUGGCAAAUUUGGUUGCAUUAUUAGUGUUGAUGUUAAGAGUUCUCUAAAAAUGAACCAAAUGCCUUUAAAACACACGCUAUCUAACAGACCUCUAAUGUAGUACGGAUUAUGAGAGACCAAUCUCACAAUUUUCGUUUAGUUGGUAAACAUGAUUUCAUGUAGUCAUUCAGGGUCCCGCUUCCUAUAAUAGAGGUAUCGGAGAACUUUUAUGGAGGUCUUACCAAAAAUUAUGGGAAAAUAUCCCCAACGUUCCCAAGAUGCCCAAAGUUUGAUAGUGAAACCACUUGAGAACAUAGGCCUAAAUAGUCAGAAGAUAAUUACAUGGAGGUUGGCACCUAGUUGAAAAGGCAUAAAAGCAGAUGCAUUUUUCACUCGGGUAAUCAAAGCUUUGGUGUGGAUUUGUCCCUAUAUGGUUAAUGUGAUAUUUGACUAGGUUGCCAAUCCUUGUCACAUUUGAGAAGAUUCAUGGACACGACGUGGAAACUAUGCUUAUUGGGUGACAUCACUUUCAGACCCAUGCUCUUCCCAGUGCUUUGCCUUUCUCUGUCCAGAAAGGCAUCAAUCCAUAGAUUGUGGGAGUAAUGAUUUAAAGCCAGUUAUGAUUUCUGAGAAAAACAUAUUUAUUUCGUUGUCUUUCCUUUUUUAAUUUUUUUUCAUAGUACCACAUAUUAAGUGUCAUAAGUAAAUAUACUAAUCAACUCUCAGCAGAAGUUUCUAUCUAAGAUCAAUCGUGUACACCUCGGCAGUGUAGAUUAAGCAAUAAGCCCAUGCUUCCAUAGUGGCAAAAUAACCCCUUAUUGAAGGGGAAUCUUAGGCCUGCUUUCAUACUAGGAUAAGAAAAACCUUACCAACUUAAAACUCUGCCGCUUGAACAGGUGAUUGUUCCAUUCGUUUCAAUAGCCCAAAGUGAGGAUGAGCUGCUAUAUCCCGAUGCCCCUUCUCAAUAACGAGUUAUAUUGCCAACUUCUGCAGAACUCCAUAAUGUGUCUCAUGUGUGAUGAAAAUGGGAAGCGCUAAAAGUUUGUGACCCAGGUGGCCCAAAAUUGGUGGGCUACAAAGACUCAGAACAAGGUUAUUCACAAAUAAAGUGUGUGGAUAACGAAUCAGAGACAGUUUUAGCAACUGACAUGUUUAUUAGGCUGUUUGAAUUUGUUAGAACCAAGGGAAAAAUGCGUCAGGGUCAGUUUUAAUAACUAAGAUGUUUGUUAGCUGUUUUACUUUUGUUUCAUAUUUUUUUUGAUUUUUAGGGCCCUCUAAUUAAUUUUAGGCCUAUUCAAAAGCCAUCACAUUGUAACCUUGGGGGAAAUCUUUGAGGGAGUUUUAAGUACUUGUGGAUUCAAGAACUGUCCAAAUCAACCCUUGUGAAUUGGGGAGUCCAUAUUUUGAUCCUUGUGGAUUCAAGAAUUUCCCAAAUCGUCUUCUGGAUUCAAUGGUGUCUGAUCCUUGUGAGUUCAAGGGUCGAAUAAGUCAUCCUUGUGGAUUCAAGGAUUGAGGGACAAUCGUGCCUUAUGGAUUCAAAGUCUAAUUUUUAUUCUUCUAACACUCCAAUUUUUUCUCUUGCAUGUUAAACGCUCAAAUCGUCCAUUCUUAGCAUCUCUCGCGCAUGUUUUCAAAAGAAAAAACUUUUAUCGUACUGGAUAAUAGAGUUGUUAGAAUUACUGUUGUUGUUUUGAUUAUUCUGUAUACUAUGAAUGCCAUGGGUUUUGUAAAAUAUUGUUGGUUUAUUUGUCUGACGAGUUUAUCACUAUUUCUCUAUUCAUUUGUUCUUUCAGUCAAUCAACCAGAAGAAGCAGUGUAUUUCAUUGCCGAUCACUGUGUUUUCAAAGAGAUGGCACUUUCUGUGUAUCACACAUAAUAUUGGGGGGACAUUUUCUGGGGGAAGCAUAUUAAGGUGUUAUAUUGAUGGCGAUUUAUCAUCUUCUGAAAAAUGCAGGUGAUUAUAUUUUGUUGACUCACACUUUGGUUUCUGAAGGAUCAUUGUAGAUCAAACGCAAGAAAUAACCUUUCUGUAAAUGCACCCCUUUCUUAAUUUCAGGUAUCCGAAAAUUAAUGCUAAUCUUACAUGCUGUACGAUUGGAAUGAAGCCUGCAGUUCAUUAUGAAGAAAACUCUCACCGCCCAACAGAAGAGUCGUUUCCAUUCCUUGGUCAAAUGGGUCCAACUUAUUUGUUUGGUGAUGUUCUUUCAGUAGAUCAGGUCAAGGGUAUAUAUAGUCUGGGACCCAAUUACAUGUAUUCGUUUGUUGCUAAUGAAUUUCCGUUGAGUUCUAGUGGUAAUGGAGCCUUUGAUGCAAAAGAUGAUCUCUCAUCGAAAAUCAUUUUUGGUCUUAAUGCACAGGUUAUUCUUCUCAUCAGAUCAGCCAGUCUAGCUUAUCACAUUAUUCAUUUUAACCAUCUAAAUUAUUCUUUUAUUUCUCACAGGCCAGCGAUGGUAGGGCCUUGUUUAAUGCUUCAUCAGGUUCUGAUCACAUUUUUAAUAGAAACCUAUUUGAAGCAACUGUUAUGGAUGGAACCCAAAUAUGCUCGCGGCGUAUGUUGCAAGAGAUUAUAUAUUGUGUUGGUGGAGUUUCCGUAUUCUUUCCUCUCUUGGCUCAGUUAGGUAGCCCUGAAGCAGCUAAUGAAGAGCAAGACUUGUUAUCAGUUCAGAAAGACGAAAGGGACAAAUUAGCUGCAGAUGUUUUAGAACUUAUAACGUCCGUUUUAGAUGAAAAUUUAGCAAAUCAGCAACAGAUGCACCUACUUGAAGGCUUUUCUAUACUUGGGUUUCUACUCCAAUCUGUUUCUCCACAUUGGCUAAAUGUGCACACUUUUUUAUCUUUAAAGAGAAUGCUUGACGUUUUGAGGAACUCUGGUACUGUAUGAAAUCGUGCUUAGUUUUCCCUUUAUAUCCUUGUUCCUGUCCUCUCUCAAUUCGUCUGUUAUGAUCUUGAAUAGUUGCUUUGUAUUAAUUCUAUCUUGAAGUUUAUCAUAGGAUUUUUUUAUGUUCGUUGAAUCAGGCAAGUCUGAGCUCGUGAAAGAUGCUAUUUCCUGGAUUUAUUUGAACCCUCACGUCUGGGUGUUGGCGGAGUUUAAGGUGCAACGAGAAUUAUAUAUGCUUCUCAUACAUUAUUUUGAAAAUGAUCCAAGUCUGUCGAUAAAGUUGUGUGGAUUUCCAUGGGUCCUGGAUACGAUUCGUCAGUUCUAUUGUAAUAAACCAGAUUAUCACUCAUCCCGUGGGGGCAUACCUCGUUUGCAUUUGACGACUAAGCUGUUAACUGGAGGGAGACUAACUCUGGAUGAAGUUCAUAAGAUUCGUCUUCUCCUACUGAGUCUGGCAGAGAUGAGUUUAAGGUGAUGCUCUUUUUCAUUUCCAGACGAUGAGUUUUUAGUGCACUGCCAUGGUUUCUCAGUGAAACACAAGGCCCACUUGAUAUGUUUUACUUAGUGCGAAUAGCAAAAGAAAUUGCUGCCGGGCGUUGUUGUCAUCUGAUCUGGCUUUUUGUUGGUUUAUGGCAUGGGAGAUAUCUUCGUCUAUUUUUUCUUGUUGCGAUUUAUCUUCAUAUGAUGCUACAGCCAAUGUUGCUUUAUUCUCGGAGUUUUGAUCCUGGUUAUUGAUUUCGCAGGCAAAAAAUAUCUGUUUCAGAUAUAAAGGCUCUCUUGUCUUUUCUUGAGAGAAUUCAAGAUAUGGUGUGCAUCGAGGAUGUGCUGCAUAUGCUUAUUCGUGUUCUCUCUCAAAAGCCUUUGUUAUGUUCUUUUCUAGAACAGGUUGAUUUGCUGGGAGGCUGUCACAUUUUUAUCAAUCUGCUACAUAGGUCUGUAAUCUUUUCUUUAUUUGAAAAAACUAUAUUGAUUUACCUCAAGUUUGUUGUUUUCCGAGAAGGAUAACCUUAAGUCCAUUCGACAAUUCUUCUCAAGAAUCUGCUUAUGGUUUUCGGCUACCCUUACAUUGUGGCAUUGUGAAGUUUAUGAGGAACGGUCUGAGCUUUCUCUUAAUUAUUUUCCUCAUUGGAGGCAAACGCACAUGGAUAAAUCUUCUUCAAGCUUUCAAGCUACAUAGAUGUAACUUAUCAUAAGCUGAACUUUCACAUAAGAAAUUUGAAUAUCCCAACUAUGGCUUACUCAUUCGUCCAUUGCUCUAAUAGAUUGCUUAAGCAGCUCUAGGAAUCUUCUUCAUUUUAUCUAGUUAUACAUGUGUCGCUGUGUAUGCAUGUUGAGCUUUAUGACUUAAAUGAUAUUUGUUUACUAGUAAAUUCGUUUAAAAUUUUCUUGGGAAAGAAUUAGGUUGUCGCUGUUUACUCUCGCAUUCAUGUAUCGGGCGGGUCAUGUUAUACAGGGAUUUUGUGGAGACGAAAACUGCCUAUGUAAAAAAAUGUUUUUUGGUUGUGGUUUCCAUUUGUUGUUUCUAAUAUUUCUUUGCUUGAGUGGUGAUUUCCGUCAGAGUUUUAUAUUCUUGAGUUUACGCAGGGAUUAACAGAACUAAAAUUCUGUGAAAUCCAUUGAGUUGUAUGUAAUUACUCAAUUUUGCAUUAUAGGGAUUUGGAACCGAUAAGGCUGCUUGCUUUACAGUUUCUGGGAGAGCUCCUUGUGGGAAUUCCCUCAGACAAAAAGGGUUCAAAAUUCUUCAGUCUCUCUGUUGGGCGGUCUAAAUCUCUUCCUGAGAGUAACAGAAAAGAAGGAAACACAAGAUUGCAACCAAUUCUUUCUGCAAUUUGUGAGAGACUGUUCAAGUUUCCUUUUUCAGAUCAUUUGUCUGCCACAUUAUUUGAUGUUCUUCUAGGUGGCGCCAGUCCUAAACAGGUUGGUGUUCUCAUAUUGGACUGACCAUUUGCACUUGGCUAGUUUCUAAUCUGAUGAUAUUAUCUGAAUAUGAUCACAGGUUUUACAGAAACGUGGCCAAAUUCAAUUUAAUAAGGCUGACAAUUCCAGAUGUUCUUCUCAUUUCAUCCUUCCACAUAUUUUGGUGCUUAUUUUCAAGUUCUUAGCACGUUGUGAAGACUGCACUUCUCGAGAAAAGAUUUUAAGGGAUUUACUGGAUCUUGUUGAUUCAAAUCCCUCUAACAUUGAAGCUCUGAUGGUAUUCAUUUCCCCUAUCUGCCAAUAUGACCGUUUGAAAAUAUCAAAUUCAUUUCCUUUCCCUAUUGUAUGGACAGGAAAUUGGCUGGAGUUCCUGGCUAGAGACGUCUGUGGGGAUUUAUGCAUCUAAAAAAUAUGAAGCAGGUUCUGGAGUUCCUGAGGAUGGUUCGAAUAGAAAUGAGCAGACCCUUGUCAGGAGCUUGUUUUGUGUUGUUCUUUCUCACUAUAUUUUUUCUGCCAGAGGUGGUUGGCAUCAGUUAGAGGAGACUGUGAAUUUUCUAUUACUGAGUUCCAAACAAGUAUGUCAUGUUUAUUUUUUUUUUCUCACAUUUUACAACUGAGUAUGAUGUAAAAUUUAUUAAGGUGUACUCAAUAAUUCUUCCCGUUUUUCUUAUCUGUGUGAGCGCAGAGGCAACUGCCAAAUCACCUAUUGCUUCGACAUAUCUUUGAAGAUUUGACGACAAGCCUUAUUGAAGUAGCCCAUGAAGAAACCAUCCUUCUUUCACAGCCAUGCCGGGACAAUACAUUAUAUCUUUUAAAACUUCUUGAUGAGAUGCUUAUCAGUGAAAAUGAUGAUAAACUCCCGGUAUUUAUGUUUACAUUACUUCCAUUGUGUAGAAAUUGAUGUUCAUUCUUAUAUUUGUUUCAAUAGGCUUUAGUUUUUUAAGCUUUGUUGUGUGGUAAUCCAUCAAACUGUUAACCAGAAACGUUUCUUGAAUUAAGUUGUUAUUUCUGUCAUCAUUAAAGUAGAUUAACGGUUCCGUUCCAAUCUUUUCUCUAGUUUGCUGCGGGUGGAUUCAAUACAGUUAUUCGCUUUGGUUCCCAACAGCCAGGGAGCCAAAGAGACAUCGCCUUUGCCAUUAGUGAAAUAUUGAAUGCUGAAGGGGUCGAUCAACUUCCAAGGUGAGCCUUUCUUUUAUAGGUCUGAAGUCCAACUCCAAUAAUUGUAAGAACAUUUUAUGUUGAUUCAACUUUCUUUAGUACUGAUUGCAACAUGAGAAAUUUCUGAUUGCAAAAUGAUGGAUGCUGCUCCAGUUCUUAUGUUCGCUAUGUUGACUUCAUUUGUUUUGCACCAAAUGUUGAGAAUUUAAUUCCAUCAGCUUCAGCUUCAUAGCUUAUAGACAAUCUUCAUUUUGUACACCAGAUCUCCAGGUCUGCAUCUUCGAGGAAUUUCUUAUAAAGUUGAGAAAGUUGUUUUUACUGGAUUAAAUGUUAAAAUAUGGUCUUUAUAAAGUAGGAGAAUUGGGCAGCCUAAAUGUCAACUGACGCAUCAUGCAAAAUCUGUUCUUUUUGAUCCAUUAAAAUUUAACUCGGAAACUGGACAUUUUUGGAUCUCAUUUGAUGAUUUUUUUACUAUUUUAUGUUUUCUCACACUGCCAUAUUUUUCUAUUAUGAUUUUUGUGGUCAUUUUCUCAGGUUUGCUCCUUCAUCAUUCUAAUAUCUGCCAAAAUUUCAAAUUAUAAUGUUUUCUUUUACACUCUGUACAAGGCUUGUUGUUGGGCAUUCAUUCUUCCAUAUUGCUGCGUAACUCUCUGUUUUUCUCUGAGUUCUGCAGAGUUGCGUGGAAUAAUGAGCCACUUUCAAGCGUAAAUGAUACUCUAGAUGUUGGUUGGUGGAAUCUAUAUGACAACAUCUGGGCUAUUAUUAGUGAAAUGAGUGGGAAAGCAUCAAACAAGAUGUUCAGCAAAGGUCCAGCAUCAGGAGGCCCAUCUUUGGGUCAGAGGGCGCGCGGCUUAGUAGAAUCCUUGAACAUCCCUGCAACAGAGAUGGCUGCAGUGGUGUCUGGUGGAAUCGGUGGCGCUUUUGGUGCAAGGCCUAGUAAACACUUCGAUAAAGCGAUGCUACUGAGGAAUGAGAAAUGCCCCCGCAUUGUUUUCCAUCUUGUGCUUCUUUAUCUUUGCAGGGCUUCCCCAGAAAAAGCAUCAACGUGUGUCCAGCAGUUCUGUGUACUUCUGCCCACCUUUCUGUCUUCUGAAGAGGAGCAACUUAAGAACAGAAUUCACCUGUUUCUUUGGUAUUCUUCUUAAAACUAUGCUGCUGUUCAGGUGGCGUGGGCCAUUGUUUAUUUUCAUUAAUUAAUUUAUAUUCCUAUCACCAACAGGUCUAUAGUCAAUUUGCGAUCACAAUAUGAAACGCUGGAUGAUGGGGCUCGGGUCCACGUUAUCACACAGUUGAUUUUAGGCAUUGUCAACUGUGGGAAGUCAGUGCUUGCUGGGAGUAUCUCAGACAUGGAUGAUACAUUUGAUGCUUUCAACAAUCUGAAGGAACGAAGCUAUGUCCUUAAUCUGCUUCAGAAGGACAGAAUUCUUGUCGAAGUAUGCUUCAGACUUCUCUGUCCGAAGAAUUUCCUAUUUAUUUCGUGUUUCACAAAGAGUCUAUACCCACGGGUGCAACAUGUGGAUUUUGGUGAAAGUAGUACCGUUAGAAGAAGGUUUGAUAUGGCUAGAGCAGUGGGUAAUAAACGAGAUAUUCAUGUUUGAUUUCAAUACUUCACUGACAGAACUUUUUAAUCUUUAAUUCACUACAGGUAGCUGAUGAGAUAACAUAUGUGAAGGCUUCAAAUUUUGAUCGGUUGAAGCAGUUGGAGGAUCUUCAGAUGAAAAUAGAUGAAGUUUCUCAGUCAGAAUUGAACCAGAAUAAGGUCCUUGAAGAUGAGGUUGUUAUGAACUUGAGUGGAAUUCUUGCUUCAGAUGACAGUCGAAGAGCAGCUUACCAGUUAGCAUAUGAUGAGAAACAGCAGAUAACUGCUGUAAGUUUUUUCAAUAUUUUAAUGUUUUUGAAAUAAAUUGAUAAUUGACAAUGACAUUUAUGUAUCAGGAACGAUGGAUUCACAUGCUCCGUUCUCUGAUUGAUGAACGAGGUCCCUGGUCGGCUAAUCCAUUUCCUAAUGAUUCUGUGACACGGUGGAAACUUGAUAAGACUGAAGAUAAUUUGCGACGUAGGCCCAAAUUGAGAAGGAACUAUCAUUUUGAUGAUACACUAUGCCUCCCUCCAGCCGGUAGUCAACCUCAAACUAGUCAUAGUGUUAUGGAAUCCUAUACUGUUUUAGGUGUCAUUCCUGAUCAAAUGAAGAGCUUUCUUCGAAAAGGAAUACAUGGAAUUACUGAGCAAGGAAGUUCAGAGAUUGGUGAUGAUGCAAACGAAAGUGGCCACAUAAGAUCAGGAGCUGAUACCUCCACUGAUAUCAGCGAAUCUAAGAUGCAUGAGGAAACUAAUCAUCUAAAUAUCCAUGAUAUGACUAAUCCAGCAUCAUCUGUUACAGUUGCAGAAACGAAUGAGGUACAUCCAAAUAAUUAUGCUCAUGAAACGUAAGAUAAAUACAUCAGAAGUGUUUAAAGUUUCAGAAUUUUAUUUGCAGGUGUUGCUGUCAAUUCCUUGUGUGCUAGUGACUCCCAAGAGGAAGCUGGCUGGUCGCUUGGCAGUCAUGCGAAACGCACUGCAUUUCUUUAGUGAAUUUUUGGUCGAAGGUACUGGUGGAUCGUCCGUUUUCAAACAUUUAAAUAAAUUUAGCGGCACUGAUUCUGCUAAGGACGAUCAGUUACUUGGAAGUCGCAAGCAAAAAAUGCAGAAAGGGGCUCCAAAUCUUGAUUUGGGUUUAGGGAAAGAUAUUUCCAAUGCUGUUACAGAUCUUGGUAUCAUUCUUCAAAACCAAUGCAAGAAAAUCAAGCGCCAUCGAAGAUGGAAUAUUUGCAAGGUUACAUACCUCCGAAGAGUUUAUAAUUUGACGUUUAUCAAUUUAAUCUACAUGUAUUGUAAUUUUCGUUAUUUUUGGUGGCUGGCAGGUCAAAGCUGUCCAUUGGAGUAGAUACUUACUGCAAUACACAGCGCUUGAAAUAUUCUUUAAUGAUUCUAUCGCUCCUGUUUUUUUAAAUUUCGCAUCCUCAAGUGAUGCCAAAGAUGUGGGUACAUUGAUAGUUUCUACAAAAAACGAAUCGCUGUUCCCAAAAGGAAGUUCCAGGGGUAAAAGUGGAUUGAUUUCCUUUGUUGAUCGGCGAAUAGCAGUUGAAAUGGCAGAAACUGCUCGAGAGAGUUGGAGAAGAAGGGAGAUAAGCAACUUUGAAUAUCUUAUGAUUCUUAACACGCUUGCAGGCAGAUCAUAUAAUGACUUGACUCAAUAUCCCAUCUUUCCAUGGGUACUAGCUGAUUAUUCUUCGGAGAAGCUUGAUUUUAACAAGUCAUCUACUUUUAGGGACCUCUCAAAACCUGUUGGUGCAUUAGAUUUUAAGAGGUUUCAGGUACAUUCUCUUUAAAUUACUUAAACAUGGAUGUUUUCUCAAUUGUGGAUAACAUGUCUGUUCUCUUUGUAGGUUUUUGAGGAUAGAUAUCAUAACUUUUGUGAUCCUGACAUUCCUAGGUAAUAAAUGGGGGCGAAGGUUUUUGUUUUGUUUCGUAUUAUGGAUGAUGAUGACGCUGUUACAUUUAUAUAUUUUCUUCUCUAAUCAUGCUUUCCAUUCCAGCUUUUACUAUGGCUCUCAUUAUUCAAGCAUGGGGAUCGUGCUCUUUUACCUACUUAGGUUAGAACCUUUUACAGCUCUGCACCGUGCACUUCAGGUAUUCUUAGCAGAUUAAUCUUUUUAGUACUUACGUGAAUGACUUCCACCUCCCUCUAUGAGCUUCAGCAGUUUUUUCGGGUUUCAAAUGGCUUUUCGAGUUAACAGUUGGUCUCAAUAAAAAUAAAUGUGCUAUUUGUACAUGUAAAAGGUAGUAUUGUAUUGGUAUAAACAUAUAUACGGGGAGUUCUAAAGGCCAGCUUGAUAUGCUUUUUCUCCACACAGUGCAGUGCACUGCGAAAGUGCACAGAUAGUAGCACCCAUCAGAUCAUCCCAGUAUUGUAGAACCUCAAACUGGAACGUUUUCAGAGCUGGUACUCGCAGAAAAUAUACUUAAUAUUUGUAGACUUGAAGUAAGAACAUAUGAUGAGGGCCUCACCUCCAGCAUGUCCUGGACUGCUGUCUUGCCCUCCAACAUCUCUAAGAUCAACCUUGACUGCUGUAUCUGUGUCAAGAAAUACUCCCUUUAAAGCAUAUUCCACUAUUAAUAUUUAUUCCUGAUGUGAAUAAGUGUUUUUUUAAUAGUUUUGGUGUAAAUUUUAUGUGCAGGGUGGAAAAUUUGAUCAUGCAGAUCGUCUUUUUCAAAGCAUUGAAGGCACAUACCGGAAUUGUCUUUCUAAUACAAGUGAUGUGAAGGAGCUAAUACCUGAAUUCUUUUACUUGCCAGAAUUUCUUGUAAAUUCCAAUUCCUAUCAUAUUGGUGUGAAGCAGGAUGGAGAACCAUUGAGUGAUGUCUCCCUCCCACCCUGGGCAAAGGUAUUGAAAUGCUUAAUUUAGAUACAAAUGAUCUAUAGUAGUUUUAAAAAUAAAAACAUUUUUUGUCUUUAUGACGUAUUUCUUGUGUGACUAAAAACUUGUACGGCGACUAUUUUUACCAUUAUCGAAAAUGAUGUUUUUUAGCUAUGAUCUUUGUGGGAGUAGAAUGAUUCAGUGAUAAACACAGAUGUUUUUCUACUUUAGCUUCUGCUCUUAAUCUUUCCUACGAACGUUGGUGAACUCCAAAACCAAAACAAACACAUGAUAAGACGAUUAAGAGCUUGUUACCCAGUCUUCAUCAUCUAAAAAAUCCCAAUCAAUUGUAAUUGAGAAUGUGGAUUCUUUUCCAAGAUUUUAUUCUAUUAUAUGUUAAUUAGAUUGAACACAGAAGUUUCUUAGGCAGUUAUCAUCUCCUUAAUUUGUGUUACUUUUCAUCUGAUUUACGCAAGUUCAGACCAUUUUAGAUGCCUUUCAUGGACAUUAUGCACUACUAUUUCUAUCCCAUUGUUUCCUAAAUGCCUUUAAUGUAUGACUUUUUUUUAUAGAUUCCCUCAGCUAGUGCUAUUUUUCAAUGACAGGUUUUUUAUUCCUCUAACACUUGGCUUCAAACUAUAUUAUGUCAAACAAACAAGCCCAUAUACAUUAACCACAGGAUUACCGUCCUAGUCAGUGUGUGAUUAUUUAAAAUUUUAUUGUAUUUAAUUGUAAUGUAAAGUUAUUCCGCGAAUUACUUUUUAUUCGUUGUGAAAUAUUUAUAAGCUUAUAGAUCUUUCCCACUUAUAACUUCAGCAUUUAAUUUAAGGCCAAAUCUAGUUUGGCUCAAAGCCAUGUUUUAUACUAGAGUAUUGGUAUGACCAUGUGUCUCCUCACAUGAGUUGAACUAAUACUCAACGUCUCUGUUCUCAAAAUGUGAGUAGAUUAUCUUCUAAGAGUAGAGAGAGAGAGGGUUUUUCAUCCAACAUUGAUGACAUUUCAUCAUCUCCCUCGCAUUUAAUAGAUCUCUUGAGUUUUCGUGACAUGUUUCUGGCAAGCUUAAGUUUUAUCUGAAAGGUUGAGUUACUACCAAGUCGGUCUUAUACCUAUUAAAGUCAGGCUGAUCUCAAUGCGACCAGACUGAUUUGCCAGUCCCAUUUGUAUCACGAUUUAGUAGCCUACAUACUGACACGGGUUAGACUAAGUUGGCCUGAAUCAGAUUGAGUUGUUUAAUCCUUUUGGGCUGUUUGUUGCUUCUGAAAUCAAAUAAGAUGCACAUUGCCCCUUUAUCUUCAUGAGGACUGAAUUUCAAAAUGUUGCAGCAUUUCAUGUCCUUUGGCUUAUUCGUAUCUUAACUGUAUCUUUUACGUUUUAUUAUAUGCUUUCGUUGUUAGAAAUUGAUUUCCACCAAAUUAUUGCUUGUAAUAAUUCUAAUUUGAAAUGCCAUAAAGUUUACCCAGCAUCAUGCGCUGCUGGUAGCAAGUCAUUGUCUAUAAUCUGCUAUCUGAUAUCUUUUUGUGGCAUAUAUAUUUUACUUUUUUGUUAACGCAUAGAAUCUGCUUUUGGCAACUCUGAAACAAAAUCAGCAUUUGUACGAGGUUUUCCUUUUCAUUCAGAGUUUUUCUCUCUGUUUUUUUAACGAGUUCUUUCUAUAAUUUUUGAAAAACGUCUGCAUUUUAAUUAGAAGAAUUGCUUUUGCUGCAUUGAGAACAUUGCAUUCUUACCCUUUCACUCUUUGCCACUUUGUCAAACGGAAAUCUUUUUAAGUUCACUUCAAUAUAUUGUUACUUAUGAUUUUAGAAAAUCGAAAAUGCGAUGUUUGAUUCGCUGAGUCCAUCAGGGACGCUUUCGUUUCAUUCAUAAUGUCACAACGUAUCCAGUUACUGCAGUCUGGUCCAUUUUAAUUUUUAGCAUCCUUCUGGUGAACUUUUGGAGCGCCAAAAAUGUUAAGAUUUUAUUAAUGUAGGGCUCCCCUGAGGAAUUUAUAUACCAUAACCGUGAAGCCUUGGAAAGUGAAUUUGUGAGUUCGAAUCUCCAUCACUGGAUAGAUCUAAUAUUCGGUUACAAGCAGCGUGGGAGGCCAGCAGUCGAGGUGGGAUAUUUUAAUUGUCUCAUUGUUAUGCGUAGAACUUUUAUUAUCCAAUUAUGUUGUAAUGCUGAAUGAAACAUUUAUUGACAGGCAGCUAAUGUGUUUUACUACUUAACAUAUGAGGGUGCUGUUGAUUUGGAGACAAUGGAUGAUGAACUUCAGAGAUCAGCUAUUGAAGAUCAGAUUGCAAAUUUUGGGCAGACACCAAUCCAGCUUUUCCGGAAAAAACAUCCAAGAAGAGGACCACCAAUACCUAUUGCUCAUCCUUUGUAUUUUGCUCCAUCAUCAAUCACUUUGACUUCUAUCGUUUCUCCUACAACUCAGUUACAGUCCCCUGUGCUUUUUCUUGACCUGUUGGAUUCCAACAUCGUAGUAGUCAACAAAGGACUCACUUUAUCUGUAAAAAUGUGGUUAACAACUCAGCUUCAGUCUGGUGGAAAUUUUACGUUUUCUAGUGCACAGGUUGGACCAUUACGUGCUGUUCUUAAUAUUAUUGACAACUACUUGGGGUCUUUUGAAAUUCAUUUUACUGUACAAACUGAUUGUGUUCCGUUCUUGUGCAGGACCCUUUCUUUGGAAUUGGCUCUGAUAUUCUUGCCCCCCAUAAAAUUGGGACUCCUCUGGCUGAAAAUUUUCAGAAUGGAAGACAAUGUUUUGCGACAGUUCAAACCCAUGCUGAGAACUACCUAAUCUCUUCUGGUAACUGGGAGAAUAGCUUUCAGGUAAUAUCACUACAUGAUGGAAGGACAGUGCAGAGUGUCAGACAACACAAAGAUGUGGUCAGCUGUGUUUCAGGUGCCGUUCUAUAUGGGUACUGGAUUAUUGACAUUAUGGAUUUUUGUUUAAUUUGGUCUAAAAGUAAUUAAUCAUCGUAGUUAUUACAUUCUUUGUGUGUAUCACUUGACCCUUGUAACCUAAACAUCAUUUGUUAACAUUUUUAAUUCAGUAUCUUAUAAAUACCCGGUUUCUGAUUAACCUAAAAAAGUUCCCAACCGGGGAAUUUCUCUGCUCAUAUUUUAUAAUGUCUUUGUGUAUUUUUUAAGGAUAGUCAUCUGCUUUAGAAAACCUAACGGAACAAAACAAGAGAGGAGAAACAAGUAAAUAGAAACCUCCAUGAUAUAUCGUUUGUAUUGUACAUUUUCUCAGGCUCAGAUAGUGCUGUAGGGAACGCUCCUUUUUGUUGGUCACAUACGUCAAUGAAUACAUUAGAGCCGCUCUUACUUUCUAAAAGCAAUAUUUUUAUCGUUUCAUAGUUUGCUAGGUACCGGAAAGUGGGAAAAUCUUUCUGUUUGUUAUGAUAUAGAAUAUCCAUUUGAUAUGAUAUUCUAUUUUCUCUAUUGUUUUCUGUUUUUUGGCAUUUUUGCGAAAUCAUCUAACCCAACCCUUUUCCAAAUCGUUUUUCUCAGCUACAUCUUCUAUUCAUUCCGGAACAUCCUUGUAUAAUACUACACUGAAUGUUCAUGUCGUGCUAUAAAUCUAAUAGCUAUUCCAUAAAUCUUUAUUAAUAACUUCAUUCCUUGUACUGAUUAUUCGAAGAGAAAUAUGCCUGCUCUUUUUAAAAGCUCAUUCCAUUAUUAACUUGCCAUGCGGUCUCCAAUAAGUCUCCCCUCCUAUGACCUUUGAUUCUCACUUCAACAGCUCAAAGUGUUGUCAUAUAAAAUUCUGCUCCAAGGUGUCAGGGGUACUUUAGUUGGUUCCUAGUCUUAAAUUUGUGGUCUAGCAUAAUUGGUUAGUUUCUCCAGCAAGUUACAGUAUUUUUCAGUCUGCCUAUUUAAAAAUCAUGUCACUAAACAGUUCAUUUCUUUUUCAGUGACGUCCGAUGGAAGCAUCCUUGCAACUGGAAGUUACGAUACGACAGUCAUGUUGUGGAAUGUUUUUCGAGGUAGAUCAAAUGAAAAGAGAGUUUGGACUGCACAAACACAGUUUCCUCGAAAGGACCAAGUCAUUGAUGAAAGCCCAUUUCAUAUACUUUGUGGACAUGAUGAUAUCAUCACGUGCUUAUUUGUUAGCACUGAGCUUGAUAUGGUUAUCAGUGGAUCUAAAGAUGCAACAUGUGUCUUUCAUACGUUGAGGGAUGGAAGAUAUGUAAGAUCCAUUCAGCAUCCAUCUGGUUGUGCUUUAUCAAGGCUAGUUGCCUCCCAGAGUGGAAGAGUACUCAUAUAUGCCGAGGAUGACCUUAGUUUGCACCUUUAUUCUGUUAAUGGGAAGAAGCUGGCAUCUUCUGAAUCCAAUGGCCGACUGAACUGCAUUGAACUCAGUAGUUGUGGAGAAUUUCUGGUUUGUGCUGGUGAUCAUGGACAGAUAGUAUUGCGUUCUAUGCACUCUCUUGAGGUUGUACAAAGGUAUGAAGGAAAUGGAAAGGUACUAACUUCUUUGGUUGUCACCCCAGAGGAAUGCUUCUUGGCUGGAUCCAGGGAUGGGAGUCUGCUUGUAUACUCCAUUGAAAGCCCUCAGAUUCGGAAAAAUAGCCUUCUACAGGACACAAAGUAGAUAACUUUUUAAUCAGGAUGAUUUCAUAGAGCCAUGGAGGGAAGACUUCACCAUUGGUAUUUCUUUAACAGUUCAUCGUUCUCAAUCACUAGCUAUCUUCUUAUUAAUGUUUAUUAAAAAUAGGCUACAUAGUGAAGCUACUUUGGUGCUUCAAAGCUUCUCAUCUACAUCGUUAUGGGCUUUUAGUUUUUUAAUCAUUGACACUCCUGGAGACCACAGUUACAAUGCAGCUUGAAAUUAUCAUGAGCUUACAUAAGUUUUUUUUAAUGGCCUGUUCUGUGUGCAAAAUUUCCUAAAAGUUUGUUCUAGCAUAUACUGUUGUUCUUCAAAAAAUAUUCACAACAUUACCAAGAAAAUGCUUAAUCUGUUCCUUAGUGACAAUUUCCUUGUGCAGAUAGUCUGAUGAUGCCUGAAAUAUUAAAAAUGUUACCCGGACGUUGGACAUGUUGAAUUAUAACUUGUUUGCGUCCUAAAUAUGUGAUUUACCAAUAGAACCUGAUGUAUAAUAUAAGUUCUAUAUAGUACUUAGGAUAGUCCAAGAGUAGUCUGUUAUAUGUAUUUUAUUUUAUUUGUAUACUGUAACUAUGCUUCUGUUGAUAAGUUAUCAUAUUCAAAGAUAUUAUGUCCAUUUGAUCAAGGUUGUCGAGGUAACAUAUGUUUUGUUUGAUAUUCUAGAUCUAAAGCGGAGAGGGAGAGAGAACCAAUCUGAGAAGUUUGAUUCUUUCAAUUACAAGGAAACCAAUCGAAGGUUGUCAUAAAUCAAAAAAGGGCCAAACCACCGUUAUAAGAAAAUUGGCAUACUGUAUGCUAACAACGCCCUUUAAUGUUCGGGUAUUCCAGAGAGAAACAUCAAGAACUUAUCAUGCAGGACUGGAAGCACGUGAUAGUAUGAAAUUUGGUCAGGAAAUCACCCAAUUACAUAGUAGAGGAGACAUUGAAAUGUCGUUCAUGAGGUGAGGAUAAAUAUUGAUGUACUGAGUACUCUUUUUGAACUUGUGAGCAAUAUGAGUCACACUUUCGUUGCUGUGACACAUGGGAGUAGUGAUCGAGAUAUAAACAGUAAGAUUAUCUUUAGGGGCCAACCGAGAUUCAAUGGGUUGAUUUUUGUUUUUCCUGGAAAUAAGUCCCCUAAAAGUCGCAGAACUUUGUGGUUUACUUUCGUUCCAUGGCACCACCAGUCCAGUUAACAUGAGAGAAGGCCUGUAGCCAGAUAUCACACGUGGAGGAGAAGACUAGACCAUGAUGCAAUGUAAUUCAUGGAACGCAUGCAGUCUAAUGAGUUGGGCUUUAAUGAGUAAUAGAAGGAUGGAUACAUGAAUAAUGACAUCUGAUUAGGUUUGCGUGAUCCAAAAAACUUUGCUCAGCUAGAAAAAUUGCUUGAAAAUGGAGAAGAAGAAUAGGCUGUGUUAUAACUUUACUCUAAGGCGAAUAAUUUUGAAAUGUGCUAAGUUACUAAUAACAACUUGAUAUAAAAUAGGAUUUGCCAAGGGAGCACCAUUUGUGGAGUUAUAGCAUACAUUAAGCUUGAUGAAAGUCUCUGAUAUACAUGAACAUGUCUUCGUAUGACUGUAGUUCUACAUUUUGAUGGAGCAAGUAAGUAGUCUUUUGCAAAAUAAGGCAUCUCAAUCCUUACAAAAUAAUAGUGAAGUAUAGUGUCCUUCAUCUCAAAUUGUUGUUAUAAUUGUAUGUCGGGAGAUAUGGUGCCAUCAGUAUCUUUUGUAGUAAUAAUCAUAUCCCAACAUAUAGAAAAAGGUAAUAUGGCCAAUGUAGCGAGAAUGAAGAAAUAUUGCUGGUUCAUGGUCACUGUUAUGCAAGCUUAAGUUAAUAUCAAUGGUAGAAAACCUGCCAAAUCAAGCUCAGGGUGCUUAUUUGACGCCAUAGAACGUUUUUCUAUAUUGGCGUACAAGACCAAGAUUAUUUGGAAGGCCUCAAAAGUCACAUAUACUUAUUUUGCCAAAUCACGGUUGAGACAUAUUUGAAAAGUACUAAACAGAUUCCCCUGUUUAUUGACAAAGGAUAUUAAGAAUAGCCUUCUUGUAGAGUUAUGGCUCAAAUAAACAAUGAAUAAAUGACAAGGAAGAAGAGCCAGAGGAAUGAGAUGUACCUGAAAGGCUAAGGGGGUUAUGACACCUAAAAAUGUGUCGUCAGUAUCCAGGAUCUACAUCACAACCUGAUGUAUAUUUAGUCACCGGUGAUAAUAAAGAUGUGCAAGUAGAUGACUUAGUUUGGUCGUUGUAAGAAUCGGUGGAAAUAACACAAAGGAUGAACUGAGGUACUGGCUUGGGCUAAUAUGAGAUAGCAGCAAAUGAUAAAAUAGGAAACACUUGGAUGAUUAUUAAGAAACGAAUCAAGUUGCAUAAAAUCAUGUCUGCAUUAAGUGGUAGAAGUUAUAAGGAACAAAAAAAAAGGAAUGUGUUUUAACAAUAUCAUGAUCAUAACAUCUGUACUUGUUUGCCCUUCACCAUAGCCAAGAAACGUGUACAAGUUGGCGCAAGAGAGGGUUUGAUGAAUUAACUUUUCCGAAAAAGUAUGAAACAAGUGCAAGUAGACAGUUUUGAUGAGAAAUAGGUAGAAACCUUAGUCGUUAAUUUGAUGAAAGUAGAAAUUUUGGAUUUGAUUGGAGAUUAAUUAUUUUGGACGCAAUUGAAAGGAAGACACAUAUAGAGAUGAUGUGACAAUAGAUGAAUCCUCCAAGUCAUGUACCAUAUACAAUCCUCCCUCUCCAUGAAAUUGUCUAGUCAGCUUUCUAGAGCAUGAAUCCUGAUAUUUUUCCCUUUGGUGGAAAAGUGAGCCAACUAAGCAGUCAAACAGUUGUCUCAUACAGAUCAAGUUCAAGGAUUCCUGGAGGAUUCAGUAGACAUUAGGGAGCAACAAUGAUGAGGUAAGCAUUGGACUAAACUGUGCGACUUGUCAUUGACAGCCGUUGUGAGCAAAUUAGGAGAUAAGAGAAAAUUUGAAAGUGAAUAAUGAUGGAUUAUUAGUCAUAUUGUGUAUGUGACUCCUAAAUUGAUAGCCAUUGUGGAUUGAGAUGUGUUUGAGGGGGCACUAAUGAAGAAAACCAAUGAACAGAAGUGGGAAUGCGUUUUGUUGUCGUGAAGAGAUAAGCUUCAAUAUCGGACUUGGUUGAUGCUCAGUGUCUCUUGAUGGUACAAUGGCUGUAGUCAGUCGACAGAUGCUUUUCUGCUUAUUCUAUUCAUGUUCAUUCUUAGUCAAAAUUGUAAAAAAAUUGGCAAUUCAAUGUAUCUUUUUUAUGUGAGAGACAACCCUAAUCGAUGGUGGUUACCAUGCAAGUCGAUUUGAGUUUUUGAAGGUAAUAAAAUAAAUUAUUUUCUUGAGUAAAGAGACAAGGUCUUGUGCAGCUUUGGAGAAAACUUCAAUGGGUAAUAAUUCAGUUACUUCGAAAUCGAUAGCGGUAAGUAGAUUUUUCAUGAAUGACAGCGGCACGAAAUCUCUGAGUCAUCUCUAAGCGCUGUGAAGAACUAGAUGAGCUCUUGAUUCUCUUUAUAGACACAUAGAUAACAUAUUAGCCCUCAAGCCUACUAGUUCUGUGGGGGGAAACUAAUCUCAGGGGCUUGUCACAAUGGUGUAGAUGCUUUAUAUUCUUUUGUCACCUUGUCUAAUAGCCCUAAUUUCACACUCUAAUUGAUGUCUGUCGAAUUUCCUCCAAUUCCUCUGGAUCAUCGAGGAAAAACCUUCUCGUGUAGAGAGAGGGAAAUGAACUUCUAUUCAAAGAUGGAAAGAUUCUGUUACGUCAAUUCACAACAGAGGUCUGUCUGGUAAUUAUAUCGAUACCCUCGUGGAUGGUUGUGGACAACUGAACCUUACACACACGAUGAAGGAGAAAAGAUACUAAGAAAGUCACGUGAGUCACUAAACCAUCAUGUGACACACUAAGGCGGAGUAUUGUAACAAUGUCAUUUGGAAAAACGGGAUUGAACAUAGAAUUUGAUUGAAUAAUUUCAGGUUUCUUUAUCUGUCGAAGAUUUUUGCCAAGUAAACACCAGUUGAUUAGUCAACAAAACUGUUUUUCCGAUAAAUCAUUUUGGUAUUCUUGACUUAUUAAUUGCCUGCCUUUGUACUUUUAGGAAUUGUUGUGGCUUCUUCUGACAUAAAUUCACAUGUUCUUGCCUAAAAGAAAAAUUUUCAUCACAUUCACCCAAUAGACAUAGUUAUGACCAUUUAUUCGUAUAGCAAUUGUCUUGUGUGAAUCGGAGUUACUACUAGCCACUUGAAUUUUCCCCGAUGAUCAUGAUGCUACUCUGAUGCUAUUUUCUUUGUUUCCUCACUUUUCAGUGCUAAUUUCAAUACAUUAGUUGGUUUUUAAGUCAAUGCCCUUGCCAAUCGCUGAUUAUAGACUUCAUUUAGCCAAGAAGAGUGGAAGAACUACAUGCUAGAAGGAUAAAUAGAGGAGGGAAUUCAGUUGGAUCCAAUGAGGAAUAUUAGGUUACAUCUACGUAAUGAUGUCAAUUGUCAUGAUACCAUGUGAGAGCCGAGAUGCAAAUAUGCAGAUCCAAAGACAAACAGAGGAGAUAAUCAGUCCAACUUGUUGGAUCCUCUCAAUUCCUAGGAGGGUGAAAGGAUCCCGGGACAGUAGUGCGAAACAGAGAAGAAUUGAGAAAGAAUGCUCGGAAUAUAUGAAGGUAAAAUCAAGAGAAGAAAUAGAGAUGUAGAGUUUCCGGAGGGAACGCUAAAAUGCGACCCAAGGGCGUGUUCAAGAGAACCACCAACUCUCCCAACUAACCUUUUCCAAAGAUGCCCUCACUUUCGAACCCUAGGAUCCUUAUACCCAUCCCCUGUCUGGCCCUCGGCACAUUUUCCGGAGUCUUCCUGUGAGUUACCCUUUACUUUACGGGUGGAAGUUACCAGGAAACUGGUCCUGGUUUUGGGCCGAACAGAUGGAACCCUUUGUAGAUUUACCAAAACAUAGAAAAGGGCUAAGAUGCUUUCAUAAGAAGAAUAAAGUGCAAUAUGCCCAACAGCAUGCAUACCCCCAGGCUAGGAUAUCUUUUGUUUUAUCAUCACUGGAACUCUCCUUUUUCCUUCGUGGAAUUAUUAUGCUCUUUGAACUUACCGCCUGACUGGUUACGAUUCUUCCCUUAGUUUCUAGCUUUGUUGAUUGCACUGUAUAGGAUUGCUUAGCUUACAUGUAUAACAUGUCUGCUUUAUUUUUGCAGUCUUUUUAGUUAACUUCAUUACUAUGGAUUAGGAAUUGUUUCAAAAAAAUGUUUAUUAUCUCUUUAUAUAUUCACAAUCUGGAUGGUGUCUUAAAUUUAACUUUUUGGUGACCACUUUAUCCAACAGUCUCUGGGUUGAAAUCUUCCAAAAGCCCAAAGACUCAAUCUACGAUCUUCUGCCGCAGAGAAUUGUUUAUUUUGCUAACCAGAUGUUUUAUUUGUAUGCAGAUUUUCUAAAAUGAGAAUUUCGCAACGUUCUGAAAGGUAGGUACGGAUGAUGAAGAGGCAAGCCCAACAAGACCAACAAAGGACUUCGAAAAAUUACUCGAUGCUGGUAAAAAUUCCCAAGGUGGUGGACCAAAGCCCUAAUUGUUUGACAGUUUAUGUCAAACCUAAGUGAAUAUGCAGGUAUUUGCGCUGCACAUAAGUUGAAUUCGCAAUACAUUUUAAGACCAAGUUCAAACAAGGAUGGUCAAUCGCAUGUGUUGUUCACUGGAGUCUCCUUUUCGAGAGGGGAAGAUGUCAUUUUUGAGCGUAGGAAUUAAUAACUCCAAUAUCUCCUCUCCCCAGAAAAAAGCAGGAAGAAGGGAGAAGAUAUCUCACACGUAUCCACCAUCCUGGCAGAAAUACCUGUUAUAAGUCAACCAUUUACAUAUAAGGGGCCUGUGAAAUACCUCCGUGUUGUAGAUGAUCAUCGUGUCAUUGGCAGAAAUAAACGGGUGUUAUUUAGUUGUCAGGACAUGAAGGAAUGGCAUUCUCUCACAGUUUGAAUAUGCUGGGUGAUCAGAGCAGAGAUAGAAAACCCAUCUAGCAUCUUUCUAGGAAGGAUUUUUUUGAAUUUUUUUUUAUUCUGUUAAGAUUUGGUUGUGAUACAUGUCAGUAGUGUUCUGGUUUAGGAAGAUAUCAUUGAAUAUCCAUCGAGAUACGCGCUUCACAGUUUGUUGUCUUCCAUUGAAAAAGGGUUCAUGCCAUCCUCUACAAAAAUGUUCCUCUGAUUAUAAGAACCUUCAAUCUAACCAGAUGUUCCCGCCCGUAGAAUAAGAAGUUGGUUCGCCGCAUCCCAUGGAAAAGGGGACGACAAUGCUGUAUUUCCAUUUGCAGUAAACAGCUAGCGGUGGGGCUAAAAACCAGAGAUGCACGCUCAUGCCUGUUGUUUAGGAUUAAGCGGAGGAUAAUGAAUUCAUGCCUGUUGUUAUUUCCAUUUUUUGACGAGAAAAACGUUGACAAAUUCCUUCUUCUUGUCAUUUCAGGGCAUCUUCUUCUUCUUCUUCUUCUUCUUCUUCUUCUUAUGAUUAUUAUUAUACGUCGCGGGGAGAAGAUAAAGCUCCAUCUCGGACGAUUUACUGCCUUUCGUGAGCUGAUAAUAAUAAGGGCGCCCACAGCAAGCCGCUCCAUCCGCGCUGGCCGGGCGUUGACUUUGAGCUGUGUCGUUUCAUGCUUGUGUAGAAGACGUGUGAAUGCGUGGGAGUCUGCGACGCCCAUGAACCACCCCGUGCUCUUGAUCUAUUUACUCUAAGAGGGGGAGGGGUUGAAGCAGAACACUUGGAGGCAUCACUGUACAUAAUUUUUUCUUGGAAAUAGAAAAGUGUUCCGUUCCCUUGCUCUCAGCGCCUCUCUCUCUCUCUCUAAAUCUCUCUCUAAAUCUCUCUCUCUAAACCCCACCCCCCACCUGAAGCAGCCAACCCUACAUCGGAAUCUGUAGAGAGCAUCGUUGGAGCCUCCAAAGCAGCUAAUCUUCAUGGAUGCGUGAUUUCGGAAGAGUUAUAAUGUUUUUUCCUGGCUUGCCACUAAUUAAUUCCCCUUGAUGGGUCGGUCUCUCGCGUCUUUGGGGCAUCGUUUCUGGCCCGGUCCCGGUCCCGCCCACGCGUGCGUGACUGACCCGUUGACUCCCAGUCCCAGGAGCCAGGUCCCCUUGGUUUUAAGUCGCUGUGUUUCCUCUUCUGAGCCUAUUAGGUAGAGCCUUGGGGAAGCCCGGGGGAGGGAGAAAGACGACGGCUUUCGUCCCCCGCCGGCAUCAGCGAUGGCGACGGCGGCGACGGCGCCGCCCGCCCCCCUGCAGCCACGGCAGCUUCUGGGGGAGGAUGGGCGGGGCUACGAGCUGGCGCGGCGUCUCGACGCGUGCGGCGCGUGGCGGGCCUGGCUUGGCGACUCCGCGUACGCCGGCUUCGUCCAUUCUCUUGCUUCUCCCGCCGCCUGGGAGAAUUUCAUGCGAUCCGACGAUGCCGCCGGGAAGACCCGCGCCCAGAUCCUCCUUCAGCUCCGGGCCCGGGCCCUCCUCUUUGACAAGGCUUCCAUCUCUCUCUUCGUCAGCCCGUCCACCGGCGGCGCCUCGCGCAACUCCGCCUCCGCUCGCCUCCCCUCCGCCCCCGCUGCUUCCUCCCUUUCCAACAUCAACCCUACCUGUGAGUGCAUUCGAAAAUUCACCAAUUCCGCCUUUUUUGUUGUUCUUGUUCUUGUUGUUGUUGUUUCCGAACGAGUUAAUUCUGUCCCCCAACACCCCCCCCCCCGGGCAAAUAGCGUCUCUGGUCGCUUGCGGAACGCCACCAUUUCCCGUACUCCGACGAUGGUGGGGCAUACCUCGUGUUUCCGAGGAUGAGAUUUGUAGCUUGUUUCCCCCUUCUUUUCCAUAGCAGCGUCUCCAUCUUGCUGCUGAGCGGUGCCUUUCUUCAGACUUGCAGCUGCACGCGGAUGACGUCUACUUUUCUCUCGAGGAUGGUGCCCAGGACGUCGUGCAGCGCCGGGACGGCGCCGCCGCCCCUCCGUCUCGUCCACCCCAAGCAAUGGUGAGGUCCAGACAGGUGAUACCCACUACAUUCCCUUCCUUAUCUCUGCGGCAGCGAAAAGUACGAGCAGGACUCGGAUUCAGACCCGAGUCCCGUCCUAUUUUUAGCGUGUGCUUGGUCUUCAGGCUGUGAUCACCUGGGCGACGUUUGCUUGCUUAAUUCUCGCAAAACGCCUCGAAUAAUCCUCAAAGAAGGCAGAUAACGCCCCCCGACCGCCUGAGGUUUAUUCUGCCCUGUUGACUGAAUGCUCUGAUUAUGGCGCAGGGCCAGCCCAGAGCAGCACCCAGCUCCUAUUACGACCGAAAACCCAGCUCGGAAUCAAGGUACAGCGACGCUGAAAACGAGCACAUGGCGCAGAGAGCCAAACUGGACGAGCUGCCGGAGACCUGGUACAGCCAAUGCACAGACAAAUUCAAGAAGGGAAAGCCUUGGAGGUUCCCACUCGGAGAGAGGGAACCCGGCAAGCGGACUCCCGACGGCAUGUCCGCUUACAUCAAGCAUCUUGAGGCGCAUAAAAGGAAGCGGCGAGUAGUCUUGGAAGAAACCCAUGCGGGGAUCGCUGGUCCCUCGCGGGAAAAUGGAUCUCGCAUGCAGAAUGUUCCCCAGGACGUGGGCAGUUCUGUGGAUGACGACACCUGCCUGCUUCCAGAGAUGAUGUUCCCAUCCAACUGCGUACCUGAUAGCGCCCUCCCGCCGCCAGGUACCCAGGAGAAGAAUCAGAAAGUGGAUGUCUAUGGUGUUCUUGACAGCCUACCUACUUUGAUAUGCCAAAGCCCUGCGGUGAUGGAACGAUUUGGCAUCAGACCCGAGUACAUGAAGGUGGAGUUCGCUAAGAGCAAAUAUAGGGGGAAGUAUGGACCAGAAGGAAUCAAGAAACUCAGUCCUGAGCAAGCAUCUCAGAUGACCCAGAAGGUCAUUGGCCGUGUUCUGGCCAGCGUGGGUCUUGAGGGUGGCACUGAGGUCUCCAUGGAAGUCCUUUCGAAAUUCAUGGCCGCUCAUGUAUGUAAAUUAGGUCGCAUCUUGAAGCUUCUCUCUGAUAGCUAUCGACAGCAAUAUUCGUCCGCAGAACUCCUUAAAAUGUUUGCACGAACGGCAGGGAUCAGGCAUGUCUCUUACUUUUUCCAUGAUGGCCUUUCAAGUUCCUAAAUCUCCAUUGCUACUGAAAAAUAAUACUGCCUGCCUCAAUGAAAAGUACCAGCAUUAAUGCUACUGCUUUCAUAUCUACUGUUUUCUGCAUGCGUGUGGAGCGGGAUAUGUUUACUGUUUCAUAUAUUUACUGUAGGGUCCUUAGUUUCACUUCAUGAACCGGUUUAUGAUUACUAUUUAUUAUAGCCCUCUGGUUUUCAAAAUUCAUCUAGCUGAUCUCACAGCAUCAUAAUACAAUCUUUCUUUCUCUUGAUGGCACGUUCCAUUAAAAAAAAAUCAAAUCUCUUCUUCAAAUUAGGUUGCCAUGAGAUAAGACUCAUAUCGUCGUUUCUUUUAUAAAUUUGAUUGUGGUCAGGUAAAACUUUGUGCCAGGUUUUGUCCAAUCAGCUGACUCAGUCUCUUUGGUUUACUGGUAGCUUUGCUGCCUUGGCAGAUCACAUGAGGGAUACUACUAAAGUCGUCUCUCUUCAGAACCAGCAGCAUGCGAGGGCAGUUCAGGCGCAUCCAAAUCAUCUCCACCAGCAACAAGUACAAGUACAGAAAAAUUAUUUUUGCUUUCAUGAAUGUUACAAGCUGAUUUGUUCCAUGGACUUUGGCAUGCAAUAUUUUGCUUGUGGAUUAGGUGUCAAUCAUUUCAUAAAAUUUCAGAGAAAGGUUGAGUCUUUUUUUAGUGUCUUGACAUGAAGUGUUCUACUUGACAUUUAUACUUUUUUCAAGAUGUGAAGGCCUCUAUAUUUUUUUCGUAGUUUUUUGGAAGUGGAAAUAAUCUUCCAGUAAUUAUUGAGGAUCAGAGUUGAUCAAGUUAUGAUCAUUGAGAUUGUGUUCGAACUUGGAGGUUGUUUCAAUUUUACUUAUUUUCAGUUUUCUUGGAAUUCAGGAAAUGUUGUGAUUAAAUAUCUGAUAAAUGGAAAAGCGUAGAUUUAAUCCGAGUUUCAAUCAUUUUAAAUAGGUGAUGUGAUGAUUUCUCUUGAGAUAUUUGUGGUAUUAUUCUGCCACGUGUCAAAGUGUGGUUUAUUAUUUUACGCAAAUGAAUAUCAACUUAUGGUUUAUUGAUGAUUUUCUUAUGUCAACCUGAUAAAUAUGACUGUCAUAAGUGACAGGCCGAUUUUUAAGAUAAGAAAACCGCAACUCUUGUACCACCUUUUUUGUGGCCGAGUUUGAGGUUGAAAAAUGUACGCUUUAAGAAAAUAUAUCUUUGAAACCGAGAUAAAUUUGUCUUUAUAUUCCGCACAGGCUUGAGAUAAAUUUGCCACAUUCUUUAAGAAAAUGUGGCCGAGUUUGAGCCGGUUAGGGUUUUCUCAAGUCAUCACCGAACACUCCCAGGCUUAGAAACAAGCCGUUCAUGGAAAGAAAAUUAUAAGAGCAUCGAGAGCUUUCAACUUCUUCAUUGAUGCAUAGUCCAUGGGAUCUGGUGGGUCCAAACUAUUCAAACUCUAUCUAAGAUCAACAAACCUUCCAAUGAAUCUUUUCUGUAUGUUUUCCAGAGAGUUUUCUAAAUGGUUGAUCCCUCGCGCCGUCCCUCAAUUGUGUACUGCGUUGUAAGAUCAAGCUACUUGUUGAUAGAAGCUGAACUCAUGGAGAAUGUUGGGUCACUUUGAAAAACAUAAGCUUGUUACCCACAAUGGAUAGAUCCGCCUUACCAGUUUUAGAAGUCAAUUAUCCUUGGCGUGCCAAUCCACACCUGCGGGGUUCAUUUCAGGCAGAAGGAUGGAAAUUCGUUACACUCAGUGGGGAAGGUGGCCGGCUGCUGUCCUACUUGAGUCCAUGGGUUCUAUUUUUCCUACAUCAAGUCUGGCGUGUUCUAAGAUUUCGUCGCAAAUGUGGCCGUGUAUGGAUGAUCAUGCUCUAUAUUGGCCUGCAUCCUACUGGGGCAUGUUUUUUUUCUAAUUUAUUUUUAAUGAUGCUGAUGAUUCUUGUGUGGAAAGCUGUUUGUUUUCGAUCUCAAGGGCGUCACAGUCGCUAAUAUUUUUUGUGUGACAUCCUGUCCAGGCGAAUCAGAUCCAGAGGCCAAUUCACACCCAGCUCAACGCACCCUACUCCCAGAACUUUGCCUUCCAGCAACAGCAGAUGCAGCAGCAGCAGCAGCUUCAACAGCUGCGCCGCCGGCAAGCAUCUACUCCUCGUGGCUCGGGCAUGUCGCUGGGGAGCGCCCUGCCGAUGGUGGAAGUGAAGAUGGAGAACGUGAUGGAGUCUGCGGCGGACGGAGCGGCAUUCAACAGCCUCAGCAAGCAGCCGCAGUACAGGCCUCAGCAGAUGGCGGCAGCCGGCCACCACGUUCAAUCGGGGCAUCAGUUCAAGCAGAUGGGCGCCGUCCAAGCUGCUCUUCCUCGGCUCCAGUCUCAGUACGUGCCCAGAAACGCUCUUUCGAGAUCGCUUAAGAUCCGUCCGUCUCUGGGCUUUCGAGAUGACGACCCGUUCCGCUGGCCCCGGGUCUCUUUUCAGGAACUCUUUCAGCACGAGGACGGCGCCGGUGAAAGUAGAGGGCUUUGAAGAGCUGAUGGGCGGCGAGGCGACGGCGAAGCAUGAUGCAGAGGAGCACCGGCUGACCUCUCCGUCGAAGUGAGGAGCUCAGAUGAGCUCCUCCUCUGUUGAAGAAUGACACCUGUUCUGCCAGCGCCUUUUUCCUCUGUUGCUUCUUCCGUGCACACAAGACUGGGCGCCAUGCUUGCUUCUGGGUGAUUACUCAACUCCGCUUUCACAUCGUGAGAUGAAGAUUUGGAACAAUUUCUGGCGCCGCAUCCCAUGAAUGGCUGUAAAAAUGAGGGGGGCAUUGCAGGUUACAGUUUAAUAUGUAAAAUCUCGUCUCUAGGACGUUAUUACAGGUACGUUCGGCAUGGAAAGGCGGAGGCCGUCCAAGAGAUUUCCUUGUGGGGGUGGGGGGCGGUCGACCGAUCAGUCUGAGAAUGGAUACAGGUGGCCUGCUCUAGGGCCGUAGCUUGUCCUUGUUCUCCACCAGGUACCGGGCGAGUCUGUCGACGUAGCUCUCCUGCAGCGCGCCGUCGGAGAAGACCGCCGCCGCAGCCCUCGCCGCGGCACGCACGGGCUCUCCGCCGGCGUCCGCCGCCACAAAUCUCACGGUCUCCGCCACACCUUCCCGAGUGAACGCCCCAUCUUCCUCCGCCCUAGGCACCUCACUCCCGCAUCCCCUCUCCUUCGCCAUCCUCGAGAUGAGCCCCUGGUCUAUGAAUACGGGCAGCAGCACCAGGGCCAGCCCGUGGCUGAGUGCCUCAAUGAUGGAGCUCCACCCGCAAUGGGUCAGGAAGCUCCCCACCGCCGGGUGCGCCAGAACCUCCGGCUGCGGGACCCACCCCUUCACCACCAUUCCCUUGCCGGCUAUCUUCGCUUCGAACCCCUCCGGGAUGAGCUCUGCAUCGGGCGGUAGGCCGGCGGGGCGCCUCAGUGCCCAGAGGAAGGGGAUCCCGGAGAGAUCAAGCCCGUGGGCGAGCUCGUGGAAAAGCUCCACCCCCAGCACUGCCUCGCUGCCGAGGGCGACAUACAACACAGAGGCGGGCGAUUGCCUAUCGAGCCACUCGAAGAUCUCACCGUCGGGAGAGGCGGCGACCGCUCUGUCGGCUCCUUUUUCCACCGUCAGAGAGAGAAAGCCGGCUGGGAUGGUGGGUUUGGCGAGUAGUUCCUGGAGGAGGCGGAUCCAGUCGCCAUCCAGCUCUGGGCAGCUCCGUACGAUUACCAGCUGAACAGCGUCGAGGACGGACUUCCAACGGUCGGUAUCGCUUACGCCGGAUUCGUUGACGACGGAAGCACCUGAAAGCCCAACGACCUCGUGGGUAUAAAAGGCCAACGUAGUCGAGAUCUCAGAGAUCAACGGCGGCGGGACAGUGAGGUUCUUCACGUUCGAUAACCAGUCGCUGUCGCCGUUGGCCGCAGAGAUACUUGAAGAGGCUUUCAGGAAGGCCAAGGAGGGGGGUGGGAAUACGGUGAAGUGGGCGCACGGAAGAUGACGAGGGACCACCAAUCUGGGUUUCCAGUGUGCCGUGAAGUCGUGGACGACCCAAUCGACCGGCGGGGAGGCCGAAUCGAGGAAGGCGGCGAAGGGCGCCUCCAGCUCGUCGAACGCCCUCUUCAGGUGCCCGUUGUCCGCGAGACGGAUGUCGCUGGUAGCCUCGGCGCCGGGAGGCAGAGGGAUCCCCGAGGGGAAGGGUAGCUCGACUAACCCGAGGAGAUGGGAAGAGCCGGGAGGGACCUUGGGCAGCCUCUGGAGGUUGCGCGGGGUGGAGAGGAAGGAGACCCGGUGGCCGCGGCGAGCCAGGGCCUUGGAGAGCUCGAAGGAGGGCAGGAUAUGGCCGAACGCCAGCCAGGGAAACACGGCGAUAUGCAGAUGGGCGCUGGAGUCUCCCUCCAUAGCAACGACGGUGGUGUCGAUCUCCCGAGCGCAGUGCAGAAGGCGGGGGAAAAGGAGGGCCGUUCAGAGAAAGCGGGCGACCGUCGUCCACCUUGUCUUUUUUUCUUUGUAGAACGGGUUUAUAUUCAGCAGAACACCAUAGUUUCCUCCCUCAGCCUCUCUCUCUCUCUCUCAUCCGUCGUUCGCUCCUGUCUGUGAGAUGACUAGCAGGGACUUUGAGGACUUACAGAGUGGGCCUUUGAGGACUUACAGAGGCGGCUCAGAGAGGCACGGAGAUUUUUUAAUGAAGGCUUGGAUUUUGGCCACGGUCCGAAUGACGAGGGUUCGGAGUGUGGAGGACGUCACCGGUGAAGGCGGGGACCUGCCGGGCUUAACGUAGAGCGGAGAGCGAACCGGAGAUUUCGGCUAUGGCGGAACCCUUUGAAGGCCAGGGCAGCAGCGCUGAAGAGCCCCCAGAAGGCCAAAGGCCAGGGUGUAGAUAUAACAUUACAUAAGGGUAAUAAGAGAGUUGGUUGUGUGGCCUUUCGUUCUCUCUCUCUCUCUCUCUUUAAUACAGUAUCGAUCUACCCUCUUUAUAUUUGCUGACACAGGACACCCGAACCUCCAGGUAACCGGGGCACACCUAACACGGUGAUGGGUGGUGAUCCAGCUCCUCCGCAGAUUCAAUGCACAGGAUUUGUCUUCGAGAAGGUGGAGCUUGGAGCAGGAGCCAAUCAGGCCCCUUUUCUCGGUUUGACUAUUUAUUGCUUUGAAUAUUUCUUUUUUUACUGUAUGGGACUGCCAUCUAUCCCACUCUGACCCUGUUUUCCAUUUUUUCUGCUUGACUUUAUCUGUCUAUACGUUCUAUAAGAACGCCCAUCAGGUGUUUUGUUUUAUGGUAAUGAAAAGAAUCGUUUUAUUUGUGUAGACUAAUCUGUUUGCUUCUCUAGUCUCUCUUUGCUCUCACUUUUUUCUCUAGAUCUCUAGUACAAGUGGUGGUUUCACUCCAUCAAUAGGUGAUCUGCUCCAGCAUACGGAGCGUAGUCGAAGACUAUCAAGUUAACUGGCAGCGACCGCGCUUCCUGCGGCAAGGGAAGACCCACCAGAUUUAUCAGUGGAGCCAGGCGUAGAGGCGUCCUCGGCAGCUGGAGGAGGUUCCGCGGGGUGGACAGUAAUGAGACGCGGUGUCCCUUGCAGGCCAUGCACUUUGAGAGCUCGGGGAACGGGAUAAUAUGACCGAGGGCCGGCCAUGGUAACAUCACAACGUGGAGUUUGCUGCCGCCACUGCAGCCGUCCUCCAUUCUCAAUGAUCUCGGUGUGGCAAGACCCGAGAGUUGGAAGCUCGGUAAGGGCAUCAUCUGAGGACUGCGGUGGCGGAGCAAGGGCUCUUUCUGAUGCCGGAGUUCGAUCGGUGAGUGGCGGCGGGUUUGUGACGUGCAGCCGUCGCCGAGGGAUAAUUCUCGAGUCUACGGCGGCGGUCAGGCCACAACUCUUGACUCUGUGGCGGCAUCGACAGGACCCCCUAUUACUUAGCAUUAGGCCCCUAGAGACCGACCGACAUGGACAAUUCCCACUACCCUUUUCACCUAUUUGUGUAAGACCCAAUAAAAUAUACUUGGACAUUAAAAUCUACUCCCGCAACCCAUGUGAUACGCUAAGGAAUUUAACUAACCCCUUUGUAACGAAGCCAUCAUGCGUCUUCUCCCCUUCACAUCGCAGGGCACGACUAUAGUGCUUUGACCAAACAUUGACGACAUCCUCCGAAACGAGCAAAAUAUUUUUGAGGAACGCUUUUGUUGGUCACCCUCCAAGAGAAGGAUUCCUAAUUUCAAAUCACUCUACUGGGGCUUGUUAGUAAUAGCUGGGAGGACAAUAAGCUCAUCCUAAAAAUUUGGGGUUUGCAAGGACCUAACCUAGAUCGAUCUCAAUAUGAUGGUCUUGAACAUGUCUCCUUAAAGCUGGUAAUUGAGCACGAUAUGAACUCUUACACCCAUGCAAAGAAUAAAUAAGAACUGACAAAACAUUUCAGUUGUAACUUUUAGGCACCAAGGCCUUAAAUGUACAAGAUUCAAGCUUUUAGAGGGGCAUCAUUUUCCUUGGGAGACUUGUGGAUGAUGAGGUUUAAAAGUGUUGGGUUUGGGUGUCCAAAAGAUUUUCAGGGUUGACCAAUAGUUCUGACUUAAAUUUUUUAUUGAAGCUAUUUUCCCAGAUUUUUCAAUGCUCUAACAAGAAGAAAAUGGCUACAUACAGCUGCCAAAAAGACAUCUAAUAUAUAUUUCAAUUUCUUGUUGUAUUUCGUAUGUGUUAGUAAGACGUAACUAUGAAAUGUUAAAGGCAUAAUAUUUUCUUCAUAUUUAUUUUAAAUAACCUUUUCACUAUUUGGCACCUUGUUUCACACCAAAACACAUGAAAAUUGAAGUCAACGGGUAGUAUGAACCUCAAGACUCACAUUGAGAUUUGUAAUAUGGUGGUUCAGUCCCUAAGUAUUUUUCAAUCUUCUAACGAUACCUCUCUUAGUUUCCAUUCUUCCCAUGUAUUAGUGGAAAGCAUAUGACAUCAGGUUAUGAGCUAUUGCAACUAAAGACUAAAGGCUCUAUGUAGGUUGGUCUCUAACAUUUGAUGUUAUGUACCUUUCUUGAUUCACAGUCUUAGGAUCAUCUCGAGUUUUCUAAACUUUGAGUAUUCAUCCUUGAGUACGUAACUCAUAUAUUGUUUGAUGCUUUGAUGUGUUGUUGCUCAUACAAAAUUGCAUUCACUUGAGCAGUGCCAAGAAUUUUCUCUUAUCAAUUUUAUUAAAAAUAAGUUUUUUGCUAUAUGUAGCAAUGGUUAUUUACAACAAGUUUUUAUUGUUUUGUGAUUUCAAGACUUAAGGGGAUAAUCCUUCAUGUUAUCUAAUGUCAUUUUUUUAUUUUUUUUUAAUGGCCACUUGUCAUGUGUUUGAGUUAAUUAAGUCUAUAUGACAACAAUUUUACUUUAUACUUGUAAUAUAUGACAUUAGACCUUAUAAUGUAAAAGUUUAGAAGAGCUGAACUUGGUAAUUGAAAGUUGUGUUAAUAAACAAUUGAUUUAGUGGAAUUGAAAAACAAUGUAUUCCUAGAGAGUAGACAAAGAAAAGGGACCAAAUAACAAUGAAAAUCCAUAAGUAUUCUAGAUUUAGGUCAAGAAAAUCAUAUGAUUUAUGAUCAAAGAAAUGAGAACAAAGAAUUUAAAAUAAUUGGUCUAAAAUUAACAUUAAGAUACAAUCAAUUUAGCCCCCCUUCUUAAGAAACUGCAUGUUUAGAUAGUGUGAUAACUUCAUACAUUGAAAUCUAUUAUCCAUCGGUCUUCAAGUUUUAUUCAUCUCAUCUUUAGUUGGAGGUGAUAUUACUCACUCCAUAUGAGAAUUAACCAAUUAGAUGAGUUUUUUUACCUCAAUUUUUUUGGAAAAUGGUGCUUGUAAUAAUUUUAAAAAAAUUUCACAACUGCAAUAGCCAUCAAAGGGCUAGAAUCAAAGUGGAAAGAACUGGUUCCAUAACCUAAAUCAAACUAGGAGUUGAAUUAGAAGAUUAAUGGAAGCUCUUCUAUCUGGACCAAUAGAACGUUGGAGGUUCAAAAUGGUGCCUAUACCUUUGUCCUUCGUCUACUUAGAUCUCUACCUCAUAAUUACCCCAAUAGUUAUAGAUAAUAUCUAUAGAAAUAGCCAUAAUCUAGUAUUUAUAAGAUUAUAUUGUAAUUGCAUAUUAAAAUCCCUCACAAGUUUGGGCUGAUAACUUUUUCUUUCUCACAUCCUUAUAUGAAGUUUCUAGCUCACCUAAUAUGAAAGGCUUGAUUCUAAUUGAUCACUUAAAUAAAUGACUUAACUGAUUUAGGAACAACAAGCCAUAUCAUUGAAGUGUAUGCAAGGGUAAAAUGGUAACUUCACAUUAAAAAUGUUUAAACACUUUCAUGAACCCUUGUUUAUGUUACAAAUAUUUAAUAUAAAUAGUGAAAUUAUUAUGAUUUUUAUAGGUUCCUAUGAUUCUUUAUGUUUUAUACAUGACAGCAAGAGAUGAGUCCACUAUGAUUUGAUUCUUAUGUAAAGGGGGUAAUUGAUCAUUUUCUUAUUGUUAAAAUCACAAAAAAUGAGUAACAAAUACCAUGAAACACAAUCUUCAAAAUUCAUAGAUAAAUAUUUUUUUAGUGUAUCUAAAAAAGUAAAUGAUAUCAAAGAAGCCAUGAAACAAAUAUUUUUCUUACAACAAUUUAAAAAUUUAUCAAUAAAAUAAUAGGUUGAUAGUUACCUUACAUAAGAAAUAAUAUCAAUAUAUAAUAUUUAUAGAAUUUUUACAAAGCACUAUCGUAUUUAACAGCUAGAUUUAGGUUACAAGCAAGAAAAAACUUAUUUUGAUGGUCCCUAGAGGGCUGAAGCAAACUAAACACAAGAUCCCUAAAUUGAGUGAUCUUUCUGCAUCAGCAAUCAUAUUAUUCUAUAGGCUUGUUCUCAUAAGUGUCUGAAAUAUUCCCCAAAAUAGGAAAUGGAAGAAGAACCCCAAGUACAAAAAUAGUGAAUGUAGAAGGUUAGUCUUAUAAAAACUCCAUUUUCAUCAGCUGGCCUGCUCUUGGGCUGUAGCCUAUCCAUGUUCUCAACUAUGUACCAGUGAAUCCAUUGAUGUAUCUCCUCUUCAAUGCACUAUCAGAGUGGACCACAGAUGCAACUCUGACCACUGCCUGCACAAGGUCUAGGGGUAGCAUCUCCACCACCCUAGGCAACUUAGUCCCACAUUCUCUCUCCUUUUUCAUAGUCAGAAUGAGCCCUUGGUCUGCAAAUAGUAACAAUAUGAUGAGGACUGAAGAAGUAGGAACCAUCACCCACAUUGACUGUGUAGUAACCUAGGCCCAUUUAGGAGUGAUUUCUAUUAUUAAUAAUCUAUUAUUUCUUUAUUUAGAACUUAAAAUGAUUAUAAAGACUCUCUUGUAGCUUAGAAUGAAAUUGGUAGUCACCUUAGUGCUAUGAUAUCAGUAUCUAUUUUUUUUACAAUUAUUACAAAACCUUAUUCUCUAAACUAUAUUUUUAAAAAGCUACAUUCACCUUGUAUUUUCUAAGCAACUUAAUCCUAAUAAAUGACCAACUUGUUAGUCCCUAGAAGGCCAAGUGAAUUAAACAAAGGCAUCCCUAAAGAUGGAUUUGUGAUCACCUCUCCGAAGAGCUCGAUUCAAGUUUGAAGAUUGAUCAGAGGGGUAUCUAGUCGCCAUCCUCCACUACCACAUGCAACUUGAGGCUCUUUGCACUACCCUAUCAUGUUGCAUUAGUGCCGAAGGUCUUCUAUUCACUCUUUGGUGAUUCGUACUAUUUCAUCAAGUAUUUUUCUUGUGUGCUUUUCCACUGCCAUUGAAUUUAAGGUAAUAGAUUUUAGUCUUCACAUGGACAAUCAUUCUAGAUUUUAAAUUUAGAGCUUUGUUUAUCAUAGUGUUGUAAGACAGUCCUCUCGUCAAUGACUAAGGAAUGGGGUUGCACCAUCACUAUUUCUCAAGAUUGAAAGGUUUAAAUCAAUUGUGUGAUUUUGUGGCUUGAUUUAUCUAUCCAUAAAUUGCCAUUAGUCAUACCACUCCAUGUCUAUUAUAGUUAUCCUAUAUCAAGUUGAUUUAUUGCACCUAGUUUCUUGGUAUCUUUCUCGUUCAUAGACAUCAAGGUAGUUGAUUCACUUCAGAUACACCAAACCUCGUUGAUAUGGGGAAAUUUUCAAAGUUAAUCAAAUAAUUUCAGUCAAGAUUGUAUUUCUAUAGGUUAUCAUUACAUGCUCUUUCUUACUCUUACAUUUUCAUAUAAUAAUUAACAAUAGCAUGUUAUCAAACAUAAUAAUUAAUACUAAUAAAAAAUAAAAAUUGGGUCAUGAGAAAAAGUAAGGCAGUAAUGAAAAUUUAUGAUGAGGUUAUCAUCAUCUUUCUUCAUAUUAUCAUUCUAUCUUCUACAAGUAAACAUUUUCCCCUAGAUGAAACCAAAGUGAAAUCUGACAAUGACGUUCAAACACCACUGAGAAGCAACAAUUGUGGUCUUUUCUAGGAAGACAAUGGCUUCAAAGUUCCCCCAUUCUAAGACUACUUGAAAAAGCAUGAAUAAUCAGACUACAGUAUAUGUUCUCAAACCUCACCUAUGUUUUUUCAGGCUAAAUUUAAACCAAAUUAUAAACUUUCUUCUUUUUGGAUAAUUAUUAGAAUUUUCCGUGCAUAUGAUUAAGAUGUUGCAUGCACUUCAUCUGUAAAAUUCAAUUUCUAGUAAGAAACGAAAGUAGACCAGACCUAACAAUUUAUUUGAUGUCAAAACAUCCAAUAAGGAACAUAAUCAAAAAAAUUAUUAAAUUUAUUAUUGUACUAAUGAUCAUCAAAUACUCUUAUUUCAUUUGGAUUCAGAAGUAUUUUGAGAUGUUCUUGAAGGAUUCCACAUGUCAAAAAGAACAACAUAGAGUUAUCUUAUGUGUACUCAUAAAUUGUUAGUAAUAUAUAAGGUAAAUAUAUUUAAAGUGCUAUUAAGAGGCCAAUAGAAGCUAAAUGAAGAAUUUGCAAUAUUAGACACAAGGUGUAGUGUUAAAAUGUCUCAUAAUGCUUGACCAAUAUCCCCUCCUGGUUUGACCACUAUUUACUUUCCUAACAUAAGUGAUCAAAAUAGUUGGGUUAAAUAGAGGAACUGGUUGAAUGGAGAACGACCUGAAAAAGCUCAAGAGAGGAAAUUCCAUCCUAUGGAACACCUUGUUGAGUGUACUUUCACAAUGAAGUAUUCAUAUAUUUUCAUGAAUCUUUGGUUACAUUACGAAUGCUUUCAUCUUAGUUUUGAAAAUCUAUUAGAAUUCUUAGAGUUAAUUUUCAUUUAAGUUUCUGUUUGAUAAUAGGAGUUGAGACAAAUGAGAGUUGAUUCUUAUUCAAAAUAGGCCAUUGAUCAUUUGUUUAGAUGUUAAAAUCAUAAAAAAAUGAGGAAAAGAUACAUUAUCUAAAGGUCAUGCUACCCAGCACAUGAGUGAAUUUUUUUUCAAAGAACAGAAUUCAUCAUUCUCUUUUAAUAUUCAAGCACCUCCUCUCUAAAAAAGGCUUUCACAUCUCCAGAUUGAAGAACUCAUGCCACCUGAAGUGGUUGGCAAAAUUUGCUCUAAGUGUUAUGUACUUAAGGCUAACUAAAAUAUGUGUCCAACAAUUGUACUCAUAGAAGUUGAUGGAACCAAACAAUCAGGUUCUUUUAGAAUGUGGUAUAUUAGGUAUGCUGAACCACUAUAAAUUAUAGUUUCAAUAAUUUCAAGGAAAGUCAAAAUUUAAGGAGCAAUUUAAAAAAUUCUAAUCACCCUCCUUCCUCACUUAUUAUGCUUAAAGCCACAUUAUAAUCUACACUAUAUCUGACAAACCAUACAUCAAGAUACUCUUGGACUAUGGAACAUCUAAGACUUUAAGUGCACUCCAUUUGACCUUCAUCUCUCCUUUACAACACUUUCGGCUGUUUUUUGUGCCACUUUGUAGGUGUAAAGGCUCCAUCCACCCAUUGAUAGAUGAGAAAAAAUGAACCACCUCCAAGCUCAUCAUGCCCCAUACAUAUGAAAGCUUUUGAGGCUUUGGGUACCUAAAUAGCAUCAUCCACACACUUAUUUAUAUAUUGACUUUGCAACUAUUUUGUUGUAAACCUAGUGAUUUCCAAAUUUUAGUGCUAGAUCAUGAGAGAAAGUUUCAUUAGUAGAGUCUUUCCAAAGGUUUGAAUGCGAGGAAAGCUUUUGAUUUGGCUCUUAUUUUGUUAUGGGUUAAAUGACGCUUAUUAUUUCAUAGGUCACGUGACUCUUGAUUUUCAACCAUAUAAAUCCCCAAUUAGGUUGGAUUCUCAGCACUUCUCUCCCCUCAUGCAAUUUGGCACUUUAAAAAGGAAUUAAUAAGUAGUUAAAUAAUUAUUUUCCUAGUAACAUAUCAUGAAAUCACAGAAUAUAGUGAAAUCAGUCUUCAAACAUGGCUGCUAAAAUUAAAUAAUUUUUGCAAGAGUAAUUUAUAAAUAAAAUAUCAUGAAGCACUUUUUUUUAAGUCAAACUUGCAAGCUUAAAGCUUAUCAAAUAAUGGGUCAUUGAACUUACAAAAAAAAUAAUUUUCGCCCAAUAACUUAGAAAUUUCCCAAAAUACAUAGGAAACCAGUGGUUAUCUCAUGGCUGCUAUAAUAUCAAUGAAUAAUUAUUUAAGAUUAUUCCAAAACACUAUUGUCUAAAUUAUUCUAUAAAAGAGUAGCAUUUACCUUGUAUUCUCUAAACGAUUUAGUCCUAAUGAGUGACCAAUUUGUUCAUCCCUAGAGCGACAAGUGAAUUAAGCAUUCACAUACCUAAAUAGAAAAUGGGUGAAGACCUCUUUGCCUUAUUCAUAGGCUUCUUCCCAUAAAUGCUUGAAAUACACCCCAAAAGAGGAAAUGGAGGAAGACUUGGCUCGUACGAAAAUACUAAAAAGGAGAAGCACGGCCUUGAAGUCACUCACACAAGACAAUGCUCUUCAGCUGGCCUACUCUAGGGUCGUAGCUUGUCCUUGUUCUCCACCAGGUACCGGGCAAGUCUGUCGACAUAGCUCUCCUGCAGUGCGUCGUCGGAGAAGGCCGCCGCCACAGCCCUCGCCACCGCAUGCACGGGCUCUCUGCCAGCAUCCUUCACCACAAAUCUAACGGUCUCUGCCACCCCUUCCCGGGUGAACCUCCCAUCUUCCUCCACCCUGGGCACCUCCCUCCCCCAACUCCUCUCCUUCGCCAUCCUCGAGUUGAGCUUUUGGUCUCUGAAUACCAUGCCCUUGCCAUGCCUAAGCACCUCAAUGAUGGAGAUCCACCCGCAAUGGGUCAGGAAGCUCCCAACUGCCGGGUGUGCCAGGACAUCUGGCUGUGAGACCCACCCCUUUAACACCAUCUGUUAUAAGGACCACGAGCGGCUCUGUUGUGAUCCUUGCCAGAUUCCAUCGGGGAUCAUCGUGAUCCAACUUCUACAUUGAAUAUGAGACGAGAGGAUCCAAAAACCAAAGGCAUCGCAUAAUUGAGGCAUGGGUCCCGUUAAGUAGGGCCCUGCCUCCCAUUGUUCCGACUUACAAACGGUGUGGGACUAAACGUCCACGUUAGUCGUCCCAUCCUCCGUCAAGGUAACGCCGUCAUCUCCGUCGCCCCAUUGCGAUGUCGUGGUGUCAUUUCCAUCUACCUGUCUCGGUCGCCAUGCUAGUGUCCCGCUCCUCCGCACGUUCCCACCACGUGUCGUGUGGCUCAGUGCUGUGUUGUCCCUAGGGUCCGGCCUGAGGUCGGGCCCCAUGUGACAUCCUCCCCCGCCCGAAGUGUCCGCCAUCCGCAGUAGGGCUGGCCGGCUGUGGUAAGCUUGGAGUAGGGGCUCGAACUGCCAAAGGUCAACCUCCUUUUCCAAGGUGGCUUGAGAGGUGGGCUUGCUGGCCCACUUCACCAGGUAGGACGUGACGCGGUGGGUGUGGUGACGACUGCCCCCAUUAACAGUGCAGUAGGCGAGUAUGUCUUCCGCCUAGUCGGAGAAGUGAGCCUGGACCGUUGGUGGCAGUUGGUGGGGUUGAUGCCGAGUGGGUCGUCACCGUCCGUGUAGUAAGGCUUGAGGAGGGAGACAUGGAACACUGGGUGCACGGGCAAGCGUGGUGGCAGGUGCAGGUGGUAGGAAAGGCAGCUGAUCCAUUCCACGAUCCGAAAUGGGCCGUCAUACUGUGGGACAAGCCCGUUGUGGUGCUGGAGUCACUGGAGGUGCUUGUGGUUAGGGAGGAGGUAGAGAAAGACUAAGUUGCCCACCUGGUAGUCGACUUUCCGUCAGUGCCGGUUGACGUACUUCAUCCACCGCACCACUCGGCCGAGAGCUUCCCGCGCCUCCUCCAGCAACUCUUCUCGAUGGCAGGCGUACCAGUAAGCUGCCGACAGUUGGCCCGGCCCACGCUGCUUGGCUGUUUCUAGAGGGGAUAGAGGCUGGCAGCCGAGGACCAGCUUGAAUGGCGAGUGGCCCGUGACGGAACUGUGGUGAGAGUUGUAGGCAAACUGGGCAAGGUCAAGAAGGCUUACCUAGUUGUCCUGCUUGGUAGAGAUGUAGUGUCGAAGGUACUGCUCGAGCAUACCAUUGACCUGCUCCGUCUAGCCGUCGAUUUGGGGGUGGAAGGUGGUGGAGAAGCUGUGUAUCGAGCAGGGUGAAGAGCGAUGUCCAGAAACGUCCGGUGAAGCGCAAGUCACGGUCAGAGAUGAUGCUCCACGAGAGCCCCCACAGUUUGAUGACCUACCAUAGGAACAGCUCCGUGAUCUCCUCUACCUUGCCAUCUGUCCAUGUGGGGAAGAACAUGGCGUACUUCGAGAAGCGAUCAACAAUCACGAGGAUGGCAUCGUGAUUGUCGACCUUGGGCAACAUGGUGAUGAAGUCCAUCAAAAUGGAGACCCAGGGCGCUUGGGGGGGGGGGGAAGAGGCUCGAGUGUACCUAGCGGGGAGUGGUGCUCGACUUUGUCUUGUUAGCAUGUCAGGUAGGUUCGGACGUACGUCUUGACGUCCCGCUCCAUGCUCGGCCAGUAAUAACUACUAGUGAGGAGGGCCAGGGUUUGUUGCUGCCUCGGGUGCCCAGCAUGGGGAGCAUUGUGGACUUCACGCAAGAGUUGGCGCCAAAGUUGUCCCCUGCCGGGGACGUACGAGCGGCGGCCCUCCGUGUAGAUGACGCCGUCCUCAAGCCAAAAGCGGCGGGUCUCGCCGGCCUUGAUCUGAUGCAGGAGUUGCUGGGCGGUAAGAUCGGUCAAAUAAGCUGACCUAAUAGCGUCGAUGAUGUCCCCUAUGGCGGCCGACGUAGCUGUGAGGUAGGCGGAUGUGCCUUGACGGCUGAGGGCGUCCGCCACCACGUUCGCGUGCCCCGAUUUGUACAUGAGGGUGAAAUCGAACUCUAUGAGGAAGUCUUGCCACCAGGCCUGCUUCGGCAUGAGUUUCUUCUGGGUGUUGAAGCAGCUGGCCACCACAUUGUCGGUGAAGACCGUGAAGUGGGAGCCAAGGAGGUAGUGCCGCCAGGUCUGUAGGCAAUGGACCACCGCGGUCAUCUCCUUUUCAUGCACCGAGUAGCAUUGCUCGGUGUCGCUGAGCUUUUGUCCCUCGAAGGUGACCGGGUGACCUGUCUGCAUGAGGACUCCCCCGAUGGUACAAUCCGACAUGUCCGUGUGCACCUCGAAGGGGAUGGAGAAGUCGGGGAGGCGAAGAAUAGGUUCGGAAGAGAUGUGAAGUCGUACUUGGUCAAAAGCCUGUUGGUAGGCAGCGCUCUAGUCCCACCUCCUGUCCUUCUGAAAGAGGUGUCUGCCAGCGGGGCAGCGAUGUACGAAAAAUUGCAGGUAAACUUCCUAUAGUAGUUGGGGAGGCCGAGAAACGAGUGCAAGUCAGUGGCGUCAGAGGGUGGCGGCCACUGGUCAAUCAUGGCUACCUUGGCGCGGUCCAUCUUGACCUACCUGUGGCCCACGAUGUGGCCCAAGAAGCUGACUUCUUCGAGGCCGAACGUGCACUUAGAAGGAUUGAGGUAGAGUUGAUGGUCGCACAGCACGUUGAAGACCAUCCGUAGGUGUUCCAAGUGUUUGACCAUCGUCCUACUAUAAAUCAAAAUGUCGUCGAGGUAUACCACGACGAAUUGGUCUAAAAAAGGGCAGAAAAUAUUGUUCAUAAGGGUGCAGAAUGUGGCGGGUGCGUUGGUCAGCCCGAAUGGCGUGACCAUGAACUCAUAUGAGCCGUAGUGGGUGACGCACACCAUCUUCGGCUCGUCGCCCACCUUGAUCUGCACUUGGUGGUACCUACUCUUAAGAUCCAGCUUGGAGAAGAUGCGUGCGCCCCCCAGGCGGUCGAACAGCUUGUCAGCGUUAGGCAUAGGGUACUUAUUCUUCACUGUGAUCUUGUUGAACACCCUGUAAUCAACACACAGAUAGAGUGAUCCAUCUUUUUUGUAUUGGAAAAGUACUGGCGGAUCAAACGGGGCAUGCGAUGAACAUAUGUGUCCGACGUGGAGUAGGUCUUCGAGCUACUACUUUAGUGCCGUCAGUUGCGACGGGCUCAUCUUAUAAGGGGUGCGAGCUGGUGGUUUCUCCCCCAAUAGGAGCUCGAUCGCGUGUUUGAUCUCCCUCCACAGUGGUAGGGUCGUUGGCAACUGGUCUAGCAUGAGGAAGCUGAAUUCCUGGAGGAGGGGAGAUACCUGUGGGUGAUGAGGACGUGGGGCCACUUCCCCCUCCUCUUACACUGUGAUAAGAUAGGUGGCCGUAGUGGGGUUGUGCUCCCACUGAAUUUGGUGGGCCGAGACCAGCUGGGGUUGGGGUGUCUCUUGUGGGGAGCCCUGUACAAAGCACGGCUGGUCUCCCCCACAGACGAGGAGGUCGUGGCAGUAGAGAAAAAUGCUCACCUUGGCUUUAAGGGUGAAGUCGGCCCCCAAGAUUACCCAAAAUCAUCCAUGGGGAUGAUGAGGAAAUCCAGCUGACCACGCCAUUGUCCCACUCGGGUGGAAACACCCUUGGCAGCACCUGUUGUGGUCGUCGUCGUCGUGGUGUUGACCGUCUUCACACGGUUGGUGGUUAGAGAGAGAGAGAGAUUCAGCCGCUGUGCUUCACGGAUGGCCAGGAAGGUGUGGGUCGUGCCCGAGUCGACCAGCACACAAAUUGGGAUGCCAUUGAGCUCGCAAUUCAUGAACAGGAGCGGUCACGGCCCCAGCUGCAUCUUCUUGGUUUGUAAGGCGUUGAGUGAUGAGGUGGGGGGGUUGUGGGGUACCUCUUCAAUGAGCGGGAACGUCUGUUCCUGGGUCAAGAUUAUGUUGAGUCGGGCCCGCACCAUCCGUAUGUCAGCCCGAUCGGGGCAGUCGGUGCUCUAGUGGGUGCCGCCGCACACAUGACAACCUGUCCACCUAGGUCCCUCGAGCUGCAGUGGUGCUGUGGUCGGGGGACAUCCUCUAUUGUCCCCUCUGCCCUGACCGAAACUCCCAUGGUGCGUACCUGAUCCUUAGUCCGCCCCCCUGUUGACUUCUCCCCCUGUGCCUCGGUAGGAUUUCGAGGCUAGUCCACGAGUCCAUCAGCGAUGGCAAGGGCCGCUCGAAGGUCCUAGACAUUCUGCCGACGUAGUUUGUUUUGGGCCCACGAUUGGAGCCCCUCCGUAAAGUAAUGGAGCUUGUCCUCCUCGUCCAUCUGAGGGACUUCGAGCACCAACAUUGAGAAUUUCUCCACGUAUUCGUGGAUGGAUCCGCUAUGCUUGAGUUGCCGCAUAGCUGACCGUGUGGCUUGUCUGGAAUUGGCAGGGCGGAACUGUGCUCGGAGCUCUUGAGCCCAAACAGUCCAACUUAAAAUCAGCAUUCGGGUGGUGUCCUCGGUGUGGAGACCACCAAGUCUUGGCAUGUCUAGUGAGGUAGAGGCUGGCCAAGAAGACUUUUUCUAUUUCUGAUAUCGUGCUGGUGUCCAUGUAUCACUGCAGGUCCCACAAGAAGUUCUCGAUCACCAUUGCGUCGCACUCCCCUACAUAGGGCUAGGGUUCAGGGGCUUUCACAUGCCAGGCUGUUGUAGCACUCGUAUCCGUUGGUUUUGCCAAGCUCUCAAGGUGGGAUUGUAGUCUGUCGAGUUGGUCCUAUAAUGCUUGGAACCUAACGUCGUGUUCUUCGCAUUGGGCCACAAAGGAUGUGGCCAUUUCCCCAGUUUGUGUGUAGAGGGUCGUUAUUUCCUCGUCCAGCCUUCGACCGAGGGUUUCGAUCUCAGCGGAUUGCGUCUGCUGCUGGGCUUCAGUGUCACGGCAGAGGUUGCUGGUCUCCAUUUGAAGUUGAGUGGAGAGCGAUUCCAUGAGUCGUGUCAACGACUCAAGCUGUUCGGUGAGCUGGGCGAUCCACUGUCCCUAUGUGCCCUCAGCUCCUGGGCGUCCCCCGUCGGCCUCCAUCUGGGUCGUAGCGGGUUGGUCAGAAAAAAAUUUUUAGGCCGGUGGUGGGGUACUGACCUUGGUUUCCGGCUCUGAUACCACUAUUACAAGGACCACGAGCUGCUUGAAUCUUUGCCAGAUUCCAUCAGGGAUCAUCGUGAUCUGACUUCUACACCAAAUAUGAGACGAGUGGAUCCGAAAAUCAAAGGCAUCGCAUAACUGAGGCGUGGGUCCCAUUAAGUAGGCCCCUGCCUCCCAUCGUUCCAACUUACAAACAGUGUGGGACUAAACGUCCACGUCAGCCGUCCCAUCCUCCGUCAAAGGUAAUGCCGUCAUCUCUGUCACCCCGUCACGAUGUCGUGGUGCCAUUUCCGUCCGCCUGUCUCAAUCGCCACGCUAGCGUCCCACUCCUCUAUGCGUUCCCACCACGUGUCGUGCGGCUCGGUGCUGUGUUGUCCCCGAGGUCCAGCCCGAGGUCGGCCCCCGUGUGACACCAUUCCCUUGCCGCCUAUCUUGGCUUUGAACUCCUCUAAGAUGAGCUCUGCCUCAGGCGGUAGGCCGGGGGGGGCACCAAGGGCCCAGAGGAAGGGGAUGCCGGAGAAAUCAAUCCCAUGGGCGAGCUCAUGGAACAGCUCCACGCCUACCACUGCCUCGUUGCCGAGGGCGACAUACAACAUAGAGGCGGGCACUUGCCUGUUGAGCCACUCGAAGAUGUCACCGUCGGGAGAGGUGGUGACGUCUCUGUCCACUCUUUUUUCCACUGGCAGGGAGAGAAAGCUGGUGGGAACGGUGGGCUUGGCGAGUAGCUCAUGGAGGAGGCGGAUCCAGUCGCCGUCGAGCUCUGGGCAGCUCUGUACGAUCACUAGCUGGACAACAUCAAUAGUGGAGGUCUAGUGGUAGGAAUCACUGACGCUGGACUCAUUGAAGAUGGUAACGGUGGAAAUUGAUGGGGUUACUCUAGCUCUACUAGUGAUGCUCACCAUCAUUGGAGAGUGACCUCUAAAUUCUCAUGAUUUGGGGAUUCUUCUCCCGAUAGGUUGUUACCUUACAAACAAAAAGAAUUAUCUAAGCCAUUCAUCAUUGAGGUUAUAAUGGUAGAUAAGGGGCCACGUAGAAAAAGAAGCCAGCUCACUAAGAGGUUGUUAGACAGACUCUCUCUCUCUCUUUCUUGAUUUCUUUAAAUACAUAAUUAAGUGUUUGAUGUAAAGAUUGAACUGCACAUUCUUCUUUUCUGGAAUCAAUACAUUCUUGAUUCAUCUCCUAUCUCGAGUAUCAUCUUAAGUGUCUCUGGCUUUGCGAAGCCAACAAGUGGUAUCAGAGCUUUGGUUCACUCUAGGGGUUCAAGAAGAUGGCCAAGAAAGGAGGAGAGUCGAGUGUUUAUGGCGAGCGUGGGGUGGAGAUGGUGUUGCUGGCACCAUCUCUUAUGUUGUCGAAGACAAACUAUCGCAUCUGGGCUAUGCGGGUGGAGGUCUUUUUAGACUCUCAUGAUCUAUGGCAGGCAAUCGAAGGAGAAAAUGUUUCUAAGAAAAAGGAUCGGAUGGCAUUGUUAGCAAUCUUCGGUGCAGUUCCGGAAGAUAUGUUGAUGAUUCUUAAUGUCAAGAAAAUAGCAAAAGAAAAUUGAGAAAUCCUUCGCUCAAGAAAUCUUGGAGUAGAUCGAGUAAUUCAGUCGUGCAUCCAAGGAUUAAAACGUGAGUAUAAAAUUCUCACUAUGAGAAAAGAUGAAUAUGUCGUGGAUUUUACUAUGAAAUUCACGCGUAUUGUUUCUGAAUUACAGAAUUUGGGUGAGACAAUGGAUGAGCAAGAUGUUGUGAAGCGUCUUCUGUGGGUGACCCCCUCUAAAUUUGAUGCACUGACCUUAUCACUGGAACAAUAUGGAGAUCUGGACAAGGUUAGUCUCGAUGAAGUGAUUGGCUCUCUUAGUGUUCAUGAGCUGAGGCUCAAAGAACGGGAGUCAAGGGAGGAAGAGCAGGUGUUGUUAGCCCAAGCUCUCAACAAGGUCAAAUUGUCGAACGAAGUAGAGUCUUCAUGGCACGACAGAGGAUGACAUCACGGCCAUGGCAGAGGUCGAGGUCGAGGUCGUGGAAGAGGUCACAAUCCAUCUUCUGAAGGUGACAAGAAGACGUUCAAUAAAUCACAAAUACAGUGUUAUAAUUGUGAAAAAUUUGGACAUCUUGCUUAUAAAUGUCGAAGUUCGAAGAAGGCAUCAGAAGAGCGGGCGUUAGUAGCUGAUUCUUCUGCUGCAGCGGUAGAAUCAUAUCUUCUGAUGGCUAUUGUGGAAGAUAGCAGUGAAUUGCUGCUUCAAGGGUUUGAGGGUGUGCUCUCAGAUCUAACACUCUAGUACCUUGAUACCGGAGCUACAAACCAUACGUCUGGUUGCAAAAAUUUCUUCAGAAAUCUUGAUGAAGCUGCAUCAGGUUUUGUCAAAUUUGGUGAUAAUUCGAGGGCUCAAAUUGAAGGACGAGGUGAUAUUCUGAUUAAUCAUAAAGCAAGAGGAGUCCUCUAUUUUUCAAACGUACUAUUUGUACCCCGAUUGGUAGCAAAAAUUCUCAAUCUCAGUCGAUUAGAUGAGGAAGGCUAUCAAAUGACGAUGUUCAAUGGUAAGCUAACCAUCUUUGACCAUAAAGAUCAUCUAUUUGGUGAAGUGUAGAGAUAUGAGAGAAGAGUAUUCUUACUAAAGCUGAAUGUGGUGGAUCAAUGUUUGCUCACCACUGAUGACAAUAUUGAGAAUUGGCUUUGGCAUUCUUGAUUUGGGCACAUCAAUUUCCAUUCAUUGAAAGAGAUGUACAAUCAGCAUCUCAUGGACGGACUUUCUCAAAUUUAUAUUCCUACUCGUCUUUGCCAAGAUUAUGUUGUUAGGAAGUAACAUCAGACACCUUUUCAAAAGGUAUCAUCAUUUCGAGCAUCUGAGCCCCUUGAGCUCAUUUAUGCCGAUAUCUGCGGGCUCAUAACACCACUCACCUUAGGAGGGAGCAGGUAUUUCCUAUUAAUCAUUGAUGAUUACUCUAGACUAACAUGAGUGGCUGUGAUGAAGCAAAAAUCUAAAGCAUUUGAGGCUUUUAAGCGCUUCAAAACUCUAGCAGAGAUUGAGAAGGGAAUGAAAAUUCGAAAUUUCAAAACAGACUGAGGAGGAGAAUUUACAUCCAAUGAAUUUAAUGAUUUUUGUGUCUUACAUGGUAUUAAGCGGCAACUAAUAACACCCUACACACCUCAGCAGAAUGGGGUGGUGGAGAGAAAAAAUCGAACUAUCAUGUCCAUGGUCCGAUCUAUGUUGAAGGCCAAGGAGCUUCCUCGCGAGUUAUGGGGGGAAGCGGUAAAUACUACUGUAUAUAUACUCAACCACUCAUUUACCUCGAGUUUGUAGGGUCAAACUCCAUAUGAGCGAUGGACAGGAAGGAAGCCAAGUGUUGAUCACUUGCGUGUAUUUGGAUCGAUUGUUCACGUCAAAUGCAAUGGGGGGCCACUAAGUAAGCUAGAUGAUUGGAGUAGACUCAUGGUCUUCAUUGGCUAUGAGGUUGGAACAAAGGGGUAUAAGUAUUUUGAUCCUAUCACCGGCUAAGUUCACAUCAGCCGAGAUAUCAUUUUUGAAGAAAAUGACAAAUGGGAUUAGUCAAGGCAAGGUGAAACAUCUUUCUCUUACACCUUUACACCUAUUUUUUUACAAAAUCAAGAUAUAGAAGAUGGCCCGGAUGAUGGAGCUGAUGAUGACGAGAUCUCAUCUCGUCGGGAAGAAAUCUCAACUAGUGGGAGUGACUCGGAAGAUAGUCAACCUCACAAGUACAAGUCUAUAGUAGAAUUGUAUUUAGACACAUUCUCAAGUUUGCCUAAAGGUUAAGAAUGUAUGCUCACCUGCGAAGAACCUUUCUCGUACUUUGAAGUUGCACAGGAAGAAGUAUGGAGGAGGGCUAUGAGAGAGGAAAUGAUGGCCAUUGAUUGAAGUCUUAUGUGGGAGCUUGUAACACCUCCUGCAUACUAUAAACCUAUUAGAUUAAAGUGGAUUUUCAAAGUCAAGAAGAAUCCAGAGGGAGAGAUCAUCAGACAUAAGGUGCGACUGGUCACAAAAGGGUAUUCACAAAGGCAAGGAAUUGAUUAUGAGGAAGUGUUCACCCCUAUAGUCUAUUUUGAAUCAAUAAGGGCUCUAACUGCCUUAGCAGCCUUUAGUGGAUGGACUAUUCAUCAUCUUGACGUGAAAUCUGCUUUUUUGAAUGGAGACAUCAAAGAGCAGAUCUAUGUGAAGCAGCCUGACGGUUUCAUCGUGGAAGGUCGAGAAGGUUAUGUCUUACGGUUGAAGAAGGCUUUGUAUAGCCUAAAACAAGCAUCAUGAGCGUGGUACUUUAAGCUCCAGAAAUGUUUGAUUUCUCUCAAAUUUGUGAAGAGCAAUUAUGAACAUGCACUUUACCUCAAGAAGUCAGGAGAUAAAAUCACGAUUGUUGGAGUUUAUGUUGAUGAUCUAAUCAUUACAGGCUCCAAUUCUAAUUGCAUAGAAAAUUUUAAGACAAGGAUGAAGACCAAACUCGAAAUGAGUGAUCUAGGAUCACUAAGUUCAUAUCUUGGACUCGAGGUCAAACAGGAUAGAGAUUUUAUAUUUCGGUCUCAGAAAACUUAUGCGAUGAAGAUUAUAGAGCAUGCAAAAAUGGAAAACUGCAAAGCAGUCUUCACACCACUUGAAGCCCGAAAGAAGUUCACCCACAAUGAAACAAAAAUGAGGGUGAAUUCAAUGCAAUUCAGGAGUCUCAUUGGGAGUCUAAGGUACUUGACUCACAUGAGACCUGACUUACUCUACAUAGUGGAUAUUUUGAGUAGGCUUAUGGAGAAUCCAACUGUGGAGCAUUUUAGUGGAGUGAAAAGAAUCCUCAGAUAUAUUAAGGGGACUGUUGAUUGUGGGCUUUGCUAUAAGAAAGGAGGUUCGAAUUGUGAACUCUUGGGUUUCAGUGACAAUGACUUUGCAGGGGAUGUAGGUGACCGCAAGAGCACCUUUGGUCACAUUUAUUUCCUUGGAGAAAUGGCCAUCAAUUGGUCAUCAUAGAAGCAAAACAUCGUUGCAUUAUCUUCAUGUGAAGUUGAAUAUAUUGCAGCAACAGCAGCAGCUUGUCAGGGCAUAUGGAUAAAUCACUUGAUUAGGGAGAUGAAAGGAGUGGAGCCAAAGGCAUUCAAAUUAAUGGUGGACAAUCAAUCUGCCAUCACAUUGAGCAAGAACCCAGUCAAUCAUAAUCAAACGAAGUAUAUUGACACCAGAUACCAUUUUAUUCGAUAGUGUGUUGAAGACAAGAAGGUGGAAAUCUAUUACGUUAAGAUAGAAGAUCAAUUGGCUGAUAUUCUCACUAAGGCACUCGGAAGACAUAAAUUUUAGGAGAUGAGAGAUUGUCUUGGUGUUCAAAAUCUACGUAUGGAGGAGCAAGAGCAUGGAGGAGAAUGAUGGGGUUGCUCCAACUCUGCUGGUGAUGCUCGCCAUCAUCGGAGAAUGACGUUUGAAUUCUCAUGAUUUGGGGAUUCUUCUCUCGAUAGGUUGUUACCUUACAAACAAAAGGAAUUAUCUGAGUCAUUCAUCAUUGAGGUUAUAACGGUGGAUAAGGGGCCAUGUAGAAAAAGAAGCCAGCUCAUUGAGAGGUUGUUAGACAGACUCUCUCUCUCUCUUUCUUGGUUUCUUUAAAUACAGAACUAAGUGUUUAAUGUAAAGAUAAAACUGCACAUUCUUUUUUUCUAGAAUCAACACAUUCUUCUUGAUUCAUCUCCUAUCUCAAGUAUCAUCUUGAGUGUCUCUGGCUUUGUGAAGCCAACAGAAAUUCCCAUGGUCUCGUGGGUGUAAAGGGCCAUCGUAGUCGCAAUCCCAGAGAUCCACGGCGGCGGCACAGUGAGGUUCUUCACGUUCGAGAACCAGCUGCUGCUGUCACCGCAGGCCCCAGGGAUCUCUGAAGGGGGUCCCAUGAAGGCCAUGAAGGGGGGUGGGAAUACGCUGAAGAAGGCGCACGGAAGAUGGCGAGGGACCGCCAAUCUGGGCAUCCAGUGUGCGGUGAAGUCGUGGACGACCCAAUCGACCGGCGGGGAGGCCGAAUCGAGGAAGGCCGCGAAGGGAGACUCCAGCUCGUCGAACGCCCUCUUCAGGUGCCCGUUGUCCGCGAGAUGGAUGUCGCCGGUAGCCUCGGCGCCGGGAGGCAGAGGGAUCCCCGAGGGGAAGGGUAGCUCGACUAACCCGAGGAGAUGGAAGGUGCCGGGAGGGACCUUGGGCAGCCUCUGGAGGUUGCGCGGGGUGGAGAGGAAGGAGACCCGGUGGCCGCGGCGAGCCAGGGCCUUGGAGAGCUCGAAGGAGGGCAAGAUAUGACCGAACGCCAGCCAGGGAAACACGGCGAUGUGCAGACGGGCGCUGGAGUCCCCCUCCAUGGCGGCGGCGGUGGCGUCGACGCUCUGCUCUGAUCCAAGUGGAGAAGACCAAGGGCAAGGAGGGCCGUUCAGAGGAACCCGGCGACCGUCUUCCACUUCAUCUUUUUAUAUUUUAAGAACCGGUGAUAUUUAAUCUGCUACACCACUGUAGUGACCUCCCUCCGUCCCUUCGUCGUAUUUAUCUCUCUGUCUGACUAUCUCUCCGCUGAGUUUAGGAAGUUGACUUGUAGGGAGUUGUUUCGAAAGGUACCUUUGACUACAUGCAGAGGUAUCUUAGCAUGAUCAGAGAGCUACAGAGAUUUUUAUUCCAUGGUUUUGAGUGACGCGCGCUCGGUGUGAGGACGACGCCCCCGGUGAAGAUGGAGAGGACGUCGGAUAACUGGUGGGCGGGGUGCGGGCGAGGUUGACGAAGAGCGGGGAGCAGACCGGAGUCGUCGGCUAUGGCGGAGCCCGCCGAUGCUCCACGAGGUAGUCGACGAAGCGAGUCAGAUGCCCCUCGUGGAGCUCCUCGUCUCCGAACGUCGCCUUGGACUCUCUGGCUCUGGCCCUGAAGGGACCGCCCUCUGGGCUGCCCAUGACCAGUCUCAGGGCCUGGGAUAUGCCGUCGGCGGUGAAGGACCCGUUCGCUUCGUCCCUCGGGACCUCCACCCCGAUCCCCCGCUCCACCAGGUCCCUCGCGUUGAGCCCCUGGUCGAACAUGAGAGGCAGGAGGACGAUGGCCCGCCCGAGGGAGAGGCCCUCCACGACGGAAUUCCACCCGCCGUGCGUCAGGAACCCGGCGACGGCGCUGUGCGCCAGGAUCCUCACCUGAGGGAGCCACCCCUCGCAGACCAGGCCGCGGCCCUCGAUCCUCUCCUCGAACCCCUCGGGGAGGGUCAGCGUCUCCGGCUCCGCUCCGUCGUCACCGGACGGCCGGCGGAGAGCCCACAAGAAGGGGAGCUCAGAUUUCUCCAGGCCGAGGGCGAUCUCCUGCAAUUCCCCGCGGCUCAGCUUGGCCUCGCUCCCAAAGGCGGCGUAGACAACCGAGCCAGCUUCCCGCGCGUCCAGCCACUCGAAGAUCCACCUCCACUUGCGGCAGUCCUCGUCGGCCCCCUCCUCAGCGGCGGGAGGGAGCAGACCCAGCGGGACGACCGUCUUCCGGUAGAUCUCCGGGAGGAGGGUCAGCCAAUUGGGCUCCAGCUCUGGGCAGCUCCGGACGGCGACGACCUGGCAUUCGCCGAUCGCCACGCCGAAGCGGACGGCCUCAGAGACCCCCGAGAUGUCCCUCUCCAUGCCGGGCUUGAAAAUCUCCCGCGCCUCGAACCCCCGUAAGGCGAUGGUGGAAGGGAAGGUGAUCCACUCGGGCGGAACCGUCAGGUGCUCCGGCAUCGUCCGAGCACCGUCGCCCCCCAUCAACGCAGGCGGCGGUCCGUAGAAGGCGAGGACUGCGGCGCUGAAGAGCCCCAGGAAGGCGCAGGGCACCCCGAACCUUGCGGCGACCCGGGGGACCCAGUAGGGGGCGUAGUCGAAGACUAUCCAGUCCACCGGCGACGACCGCGCUUCCUCCAGGAACCUGCACAGUUGCCCCUCGAGCUCGUCGUAGGCUCUCCGGAGAUACGGCCGCAGCUCUUGCGACGUCAGGUCGAUGGUGGCCUCGGCGUCCCUCGGGAGUUCGUCGACUUGCGGCAAAGGAAGACCCACCAGAUUUAUCAGUGGAGCCAGGCGCGGAGGCGUCCUCGGCAGCCGGAGGAGGUUCCGGGGGGUGGACAGGAAGGAGACGCGGUGUCCCUUGCAUGCUAUGCGCUUUGAGAGCUCGAAGAACGGGAUAAUAUGACCGAGGGCCAGCCAUGGUAGUAUCACAACGUGGAGUCCGCCGCCGCCGCCGGCGUCCUCCAUUCUAUACGAUCUCCGUGCGGCUAGUCCCGGGAGUAGAUGCUCGGUAAGGGCAUCAUCUGAGGAUGGCGGCAGCGAAGCAAGGUCUCUUUCUGAGGAUGGAGCUCGAUCGGGGAGGGGAUGGAAGAGGAUGAAGAGGAGGCGGCGGCGGGUUUGUGACGUGGACUCGUCGCCGACGACAAUUCUCGAGUCUACGGCGGCGGUCAGGCCACAUCCCUCGAGUCUACGGCGGCGCACACAGGGUCCAUAAAUUAGGAUUAGGCCUCUGUAGACCGAUUUAUUUCCGAAAUACCCACUAUCUUACACGUAUUUCUGUAAGCCCCUAUAAAAUAUAAUUUGGNNNNNNNNNNNNNNNNNNNNNNNNNNNNNNNNNNNNNNNNNNNNNNNNNNNNNAAUUAAAAUUGUCCGAAAAUGGUAGACUCACGGUAAUGCCAAGGAAUCUAACUAACCCCUUCAUAGGGAAGCCUUUAAUCAAUAGCAGCCCUCCUAUAGGAAUGAACCUUUAAGAUAAUUAUGGGGUGAAAUUAUGUGGAUGUUGAACUCAAUAUGUAGUGGUUUUGCCACUAAUUAAUUAUUUAGGGAAACCCCAUAAUAGAAUAUUCUUGGGUAGUAGACGCAAAUAAUGACCAAACCAAAUCCUUGAAUACAAUAGACCUAACUUAACAAAUCACAAUAUUCGAGAUUACAUAAAGGAAGCCAAAUAAUUUAGAAUAUUUCAUCAAUGUCAAAAUAAGGUAGCACUUGAAGCUUGGUAAAAUGCUAAGAAGCCAAUAGGUUGAGGAGAAAAAAUUGAUUCAAAGGUCAUCAUCCUUAACUUGAUUUAAACAUCAAUGUUUCAAGAUUCAGAUAAAUUCCCCUCUAGAAGAAGAAAAUAGAAAUGAAGCACAAUUUGACAUUUUCGUUAUCAAAUUUCCGUAUACAUCUCAAGUCAAACAUAACAGCUAAAAAUAUGUGAUUGUGUUGUUCUUCCUUAUUUGUGUAUAAACAUCUGUCAUUAAACUUUUAUUUAAUUACUCAAGAUAGUUGAUCCCAUUAAUGAACAUGGAAGUUACGAGAGAUGUGAAUUUGUAAGAGAAUUAUGGAGUGAAAUUUUAUGAAAGUUGUACUUAGUAAUUGAUAGUUGUGCUAUUAAACAAUUGGUUUGAAGGAACCCAAGAAUAAUAUGUUUGUGGAGAGUUGACAUUGCAAGGGAGCCAAAUAAUGAUAAAAAUGUUUAUGUUUGAUUCAAAUCUAAAAAAGUCAUAUGAUUUAAGAUAAGAGACCAAAGAAUUUAUAAUAUUUCACUAAAGGUUUAGGAUUUGAUCAUUUUACUCACUCCUCUUGACAUAAGUGAGUCCCAAAAUCAAAUAACUAAACCAAUCCAACUUAAUUUGUGUUGAUGCAAGGUAAGAUGUGCCAAUCCACUUUGCUCAAAACUAAGAAUAGUAGAAUAAAACAUCAAGAAGUGAAAAUUAUUUUACAUAUCUAAUUCAUUCUCAUCCCUCUCUUAGUAUCAUAUCUUACAUACCUUGUGACUCAUAUUUUACACCUAUAAUGAUAAAUAUGGGUAUGGGUAAUACAAAACUUCAUUUGCCGAAAUCCCUUAUCUUUUAGUUUUUAAUGUUUUAUUUAUUCAAAUCCUUUGUUGGAAGUGAUACUACUCACUUAGUAUGGAAAAAAUCCAAGUGGAUAAGUUUUUUACCUAAAUAAUAAUUGAGACAAUGUAUAAAGGAAUGAGAGUAAGUAGUGUUGUACUUUUAACCGCAUAUCAUAACUACAACUAAAAAUCCCUUACACAUUUGAGCUCACAAAUUUUUUUCACAUCCUCAUAUGACAUUGAUUGUCUAGCUCAUUUAAUGUAAACCACGCUUGCUUCUAAUUUAUUACUUUAAUAGAUGACAUAACUAAACUCAAACCAACAAGUUUUAUAAUCGAAUAAAGUUUAUCAAAGGAUAAAAAUGAUAACUUCACAUGAAAAAUAUUCAACCAUUUUUGUAAACCCUUGGUAACAAUUCAAAUCUUUAAUUAACAUAUGAAAUUUCUUAGAAACUUUAGAGCCGAUUUUGCUACUUGCUUUUUUGUUUUAUCCAUCUCACCAAGAUACGAGUCCAGUACUAUUUGACUCUUAUGCAAAGCACCUAGUUGAUAAUUUUUAGUUGUUAGAAACACAGAAAAUCAGGAAAAAAAACGAAACACAACAUUCAGACUUAAAGAAAUAACUUUUUCAUGCAACCAGCAAAAUUAAAGGUUAUCAAAGAACGGGUUAGAGAGCACAUGAAACCAAUAGGUCUGUUCCAAUAGUUUAUAAUUCUCUCUAAAAAAUUAUGAGAUCAGGGAAUUCCCUAAGAGGAGAUAUAUGAUCAUUAUGUGAAGUUUAUACAAUUUUUGCCAAACAAUAUUCAAAUUAAUAGCGAUUUUUGUAUUCCAUCCCAUAAGAGGUCAAUUUUUCGUUCCCUAGAAUCCUGAAGUGAGUUAAACACAGUUAUCCCAAAAUCGAGCAAUUCCAUGCAUCAAUAAUCACAUUAUUACAUCGGCUUCAUCCCAUAAAUGCUUGAAAUACACCGCAAAAGAGGAAAUGGGGGAAGACCCAGCUCGUACCAAAAUACUUGAAAGGAGAAGCGCAGUCUUGAAGUCACUCGCAUGAGACCAUGCUCUUCAGAUGGCCAGCUCUAUGGCCCUAGUUUGUCCUUGUUCUCCACCAGGUACCGGGCGAGUCCGUCGACAUAGCUCUCCUGCAGCGCGUCGUCGGAGAAGACCGCCGCCGCGGCCCUCGCCGCCGCGCGCACGGGCUCUCCGCCGGCGUCCGCGACCACAAAUCUAACGGUCUCCGCCACCCCUUCCCGGGUGAAGGCCCCCCCGUCUUCCUCCGAUCUGGGCACCUCCCUCCCCCAACCCCUCUCCUUCGCCAUCCUCGAGUUGAGCCCCUGGUCUCCGAAUAUCGGCAGCAGCACCAGGGGCAGCCCGUGCCAGAGCGCCUCAAUGAUGGAGCUCCACCCGGAAUGGGUCAGGAAGCUCCCCACCGCCGGGUGCGCCAGAACCUCCGGCUGAGGGACCCACCCCUUCACCACCAUGCCCUUGUCGCCAAUCUUGGCUUCGAACCCCUCCGGGAUGAGCUCUGCCUCGGGCGGCAGGCCGGCGGGGCGCCUAAGCGCCCAGAGGAAGGGGAUGCCGGAGAGAUCAAGCCCGUGGGCGAGCUCGUGGAAAAGUUCCACCCCCAGCACUGCCUCGCUGCCGAGGGCGACAUACAGCACAGNNNNNNNNNNNNNNNNNNNNNNNNNNNNNNNNNNNNNNNNNNNNNNNNNNNNNNNNNNNNNNNNNNNNNNNNNNNNNNNNNNNNNNNNNNNNNNNNNNNNNNNNNNNNNNNNNNNNNNNNNNNNNNNNNNNNNNNNNNNNNNNNNNNNNNNNNNNNNNNNNNNNNNNNNNNNNNNNNNNNNNNNNNNNNNNNNNNNNNNNNNNNNNNNNNNNNNNNNNNNNNNNNNNNNNNNNNNNNNNNNNNNNNNNNNNNNNNNNNNNNNNNNNNNNNNNNNNNNNNNNNNNNNNNNNNNNNNNNNNNNNNNNNNNNNNNNNNNNNNNNNNNNNNNNNNNNNNNNNNNNNNNNNNNNNNNNNNNNNNNNNNNNNNNNNNNNNNNNNNNNNNNNNNNNNNNNNNNNNNNNNNNNNNNNNNNNNNNNNNNNNNNNNNNNNNNNNNNNNNNNNNNNNNNNNNNNNNNNNNNNNNNNNNNNNNNNNNNNNNNNNNNNNNNNNNNNNNNNNNNNNNNNNNNNNNNNNNNNNNNNNNNNNNNNNNNNNNNNNNNNNNNNNNNNNNNNNNNNNNNNNNNNNNNNNNNNNNNNNNNNNNNNNNNNNNNNNNNNNNNNNNNNNNNNNNNNNNNNNNNNNNNNNNNNNNNNNNNNNNNNNNNNNNNNNNNNNNNNNNNNNNNNNNNNNNNNNNNNNNNNNNNNNNNNNNNNNNNNNNNNNNNNNNNNNNNNNNNNNNNNNNNNNNNNNNNNNNNNNNNNNNNNNNNNNNNNNNNNNNNNNNNNNNNNNNNNNNNNNNNNNNNNNNNNNNNNNNNNNNNNNNNNNNNNNNNNNNNNNNNNNNNNNNNNNNNNNNNNNNNNNNNNNNNNNNNNNNNNNNNNNNNNNNNNNNNNNNNNNNNNNNNNNNNNNNNNNNNNNNNNNNNNNNNNNNNNNNNNNNNNNNNNNNNNNNNNNNNNNNNNNNNNNNNNNNNNNNNNNNNNNNNNNNNNNNNNNNNNNNNNNNNNNNNNNNNNNNNNNNNNNNNNNNNNNNNNNNNNNNNNNNNNNNNNNNNNNNNNNNNNNNNNNNNNNNNNNNNNNNNNNNNNNNNNNNNNNNNNNNNNNNNNNNNNNNNNNNNNNNNNNNNNNNNNNNNNNNNNNNNNNNNNNNNNNNNNNNNNNNNNNNNNNNNNNNNNNNNNNNNNNNNNNNNNNNNNNNNNNNNNNNNNNNNNNNNNNNNNNNNNNNNNNNNNNNNNNNNNNNNNNNNNNNNNNNNNNNNNNNNNNNNNNNNNNNNNNNNNNNNNNNNNNNNNNNNNNNNNNNNNNNNNNNNNNNNNNNNNNNNNNNNNNNNNNNNNNNNNNNNNNNNNNNNNNNNNNNNNNNNNNNNNNNNNNNNNNNNNNNNNNNNNNNNNNNNNNNNNNNNNNNNNNNNNNNNNNNNNNNNNNNNNNNNNNNNNNNNNNNNNNNNNNNNNNNNNNNNNNNNNCAUUAAAAUUGUCCGAAAAUGGUAGACUCACGGUAAUGCCAAGGAAUCUAACUAACCCCUUCUUAGGUAAGCCAUCAUGUGUCUUCUCCCGUUCUCAUCCCUGGGUAUUAUUAAAGUCUUUUGAGAAAACAUUGACAACAUUGUCUCAGAUGAGUAAAAUAUUUUGAAAAAUGACAUUUUGGUUAUCCUCCAAUAAAUGAAUUCUUAAUUUCAAAGCACCUUAUUGGGGAUCUUUGGUGAUAGUUUAAAGGACAGUGAACUCAUCCCAAAAUCGAGGGUGUUUCUCAAGACUGAACCUAGAUCAGUCUAAAAAUAUGACAUCGCCAUGAUUGAAGAUAUUAAAUGUGAUCUAGUUGUCAACAUGUCUCCUUAAAAAUGGUUCUUGAGCAUGAUAUGAAUUCUUACACCCAUGCAAAGAAUAAAUUAAAGCUGACAUAACUUUCAGUUAUGAAUUUUAUAUAUCAAGGCCUUGAUGUACAAUAUUCAUGUUUUUAGAGGGACAUCAUUUUCCUCAAGAAGUUUGUGGGUGACGAGGUUUGAAAGUGUUUGAUUUUGGUCUCCAAUAUUUUCAGGGUUGAUAAAUAGUGUCUGACUUUUUUUGAUUGAAACUAAUCUCACAGAUCUUUCUACCCUCACUAGUAAGAAAACUAACCACCCUGGUUUUCUAGAUGCCUAUGUACGAUUGCAAAGAGGAUUUUCCUUCACAAUUUCUUGUAAAAUUUCAUAUACAGUAGUAUUAAGACAAGUUAUGAUAUUUUGAAGUUAUAAUAAUAUCUUCCCAUUUAUUUUUAAUAACCUUUUCACUUUUACGCACCUUAUUUCACACCAAAAAAACAUGAAAAUAAUAGUCGAUUGGCUUUACAAACAUCAACAUUAACAAUGAGAUUAAUGGUAUUGUAGCUCACUCCCCAAGUAUAUUUUUAAUAUCCUAUGGAUACACCUUUUAGGUUUCAUUGGUCCCAAGCAUCAAUGGUAAGCACAUGAGGUUAAGUCAUGAGCUACCACAACUAAAGACUCAAGGCUCUAUGUUGUUCAGCCACUAAACAUCUGGUGUUAGCUUGCCUUUCUAGUUUCAUGGUCUUCGGAAUAUCCCAAGUGCUAUUUAACCUAAAAAAUUAUCAUUCAGUACUUAACUCAUUUAUUAUUUGAUGCCUUUAUGUGAUGUUGCUAAUGAUAAAUUCCCCACACCUUGAAUGGUGUCAACAUUUUUCUCUCAUUAAUUUUACAAAAAAACACGUUUUUUUCUCUAUUUAGUGAUGGUCAUUUACCAGUAAAGUUUUUAUUUUUUUGUGAUUUCAAAAUUUUAGGGUAAAAUACUUUACAUGUAUUUUUUAUCUAAAAUAGUUGGAUUCAGUUAUAAGGUCAUAUUUACAUUUUUUUAAAAGUCACUUCUCAUGAGCAUCAAUCUAUUGAAUCUAUAUGGUAUUGAUUUCACUUUAUACCUAUGAGUUCCUCCUUGUUACACAUGUUGAAGGUACACAUGUACAAACUAGAAGCAGAUCUCUGUGUUAGAGACUUGGCACACUCUAACUUGUGUUGUCAAUAUCCUUGUCAAUAGAAGUCAUUUAGUGUGCUCUCUUGCAUAGGGUGUUUAUUAAAUGUCUUUGCAUGCACCUCGCCUAACAAGUGCUCUCAUAACCUUCCCUCAUUCAAAACAUUUGGACACCAUUCCUUUUGCACAUCUUUCUCAGAAAGUUGUCUCAUCAUUGUUGCAAUUAGAGUCUAAUAAUAGCAUCAUAUUCACCCCUUAUUGUUUAACCAAGUGCUUUUUUACUCAGCUAUCAAGUAACUCUACCCUUUCUGAAAUCUCUCUUCAAAAUUUAGUUGAAAGAGAGACCUCACCAAAGCUUUUUCAAGUCUUCAACUGGACACGAAAAAAUAAAGUUUAAUUACUCAUCAUUUGAAGUUUUUAAUCGUUGUUAAAUAUCAAUUUAAGAAAUGAUAGUGCAAUAGUAACCCACUGACUUAUAUCUAUAAUAGAAGGAAAACCCCAUUAAUUUAUUGUGCAAAGCAGUUUCAUCAUCUUGUGAAUAUUUUAUUGUGGUUUUUUUAGUGAGAAUAGAGAAACACAAAUAAGAAUUAUCAGUAAAUGAAGCUUAGAAAUGUUAAAUCACUACAAAUCACAGUGUUCAUCUUACUUUGCUACUUAGUACUAUUAGAAAAUUAAUUAAAUACUAUUUUGAUCAUUAUCAGCACAUAGGAUAAAUAAAUAGAUCAAAUUAUAAUGCAUAUUUAUUUUAAAAGAUCUUUGUAUGAACAUUCCUUUAGACAUGGGUAUUAAAUUAAUUGAGAAUAAAUUAAAAAAUAAUUUACAAUAAAAAUGGUAAAUAUUAAACGUAUUUUUAAAUUCUUGAGUUUGGUUGAUUUUAUUACUCAAAAUUAUUACUAUGAUUAUUAUUAUAAAUUUUUUUAUAUUUACAGAAAUUUUAUAGAGAGUAAUAAUUGGCAUGCCAAAAUUAAUGAGAAUUAUUGAUGUAAAAUUCCAUUACAAUAAAUGUCCAUGAUGAUACAUUAGUACAUUUAGUUAUUCUUGAUAUCAAAUUAAUCAAUUGAAUCUGAAAAUUUUAUAAAAUUAUUCAAUGUUUUUUUAAUAUUAAGGACUAUGAAUUAAAAUUAGUUACAAAUAUCAAAAUUCAUUGAUUUAAUGAAUGUUCAUAUUAAGAUUAUUACUUAUUAUGUCUAUUAACAUUUUUCAUUUAUUUGACAUUAAUCAUGUUACUUUUAAAUGCUAAAUUAUUAUUUUAUUUUCGCAUGUAUUAUUCAUUUUAUUUUCAUGAUAGUAUAUUCUUGCUGGAAUUAGGCAAACUGAAGUUUUAGAUGCAUUAAUUUUUUAAAAUAAUAUUGAAACUUUAUAGGAAAUUUUAUUUGAUUUCAACAUUAAAUUUUAAAUAAUUUUCAGAUUUUAAUAAUUAUCAGAAAGGAAUUAAUUGAGAAAUUUAACCUAAUGCAAAUGACUAAUUAGUGUACAAUUACCCAGGACCUCUCUACCAUCUCAAGCUUCUUACUAACCUUUUCUUUGCAGAGAACGAUAUGCAUAUUAAGUGGUCUUGGAAGCUUGGUCAAAUGCAAGGGAGUCAAGGUUUUGAGAAAUAAUUGAUUGAAAAUACAUCAUUCUUGAAUUGAUUAAAGUGUCAAUGUUGUCAACAUAUAAAUAUCUUCUCUGGUUAAAAAGAGAUAAAAGUGUAGCAGUAUUCAACAUAUUCUUUAUCAAAUUUAUGAAUGUAUCUCAACUCAACCUAAACAAUUGUAAAUAUCUCAUUGUGAAAUUAUUUCUUAUUUGUAUACAAAAUUUUGUCAUUGAAUUUUCACUUAAUUACUGCAGGGAUAUGAUCCCUUUAAACAACAGCGAGCCUCCUAGAGAUAUGAACCUUUAAGACAAUUAUGGGGUGAAGUUAUGUGGAUGUUGAACUCAAUAUGUAGUGGUUGUGCCACUAAAUAAUUAUCUAGGGAAACCCAAGAAUAGUAUAUUCAUAGGGAGUAGACGUAAAUAAUGACCAAACCACUCUAAAAUCCUUGAAUACAAUAGACUUACAUUUAAAAAAUGAAAAUAUUCGAGAUUAGAUAAAGGAAGCCAAAUAAUUUAGAAUACUUCAUCAAAAGUCAAAAUAAAGUAGCAUUUGAAGCUUCAUGAAAUGCUACAGUCAAUAGGUUGAGGAGAAAGAAUUGAUUCAAAGGUCAUCAUCCUUAACUUGAUUAAAGCAUCAAUGUCUUCAACAUUUAGAUAACUUCCCCUCCAGAACAGGAAAAUAGAAAUGAAGCACAAUUUGACAUCUUCGAUAUCAAAUUUCUCCAUACAUCUCAAGUUAAACGUAACAGCUAAAAAUAUGUGAAUGUGUUGUUCUUCCUUAUUUGUGUAUAAACAUCUGUCAUUAAAUUUUUAUUUAAUUACUCAAGAUAGUUGGUCCCAUUAAUCAACAUUGAAGUUACUAGAGAUGUGAAUUUGUAAGAGAAUUAUGGAGUGAAAUUUUGUGGAAGUUCUAUAUUUUUGAAAUGCUGUUAAACAAUUGACUUGAAGGAACCCAAGAAUAAUAUAUUUUUGGAGAGUUGACAACACAAGGGAGCCAAAUAAUAAUAAAAAUAUUUAAGUAUGUUUAAUUUAAUUCUAAAAAAUUAUAUGAUUUAAGAGACCAAAUAAUUUAAAAUAUUUCACUAAAGGUUUAUGAUUCGAUCAUUUUACUCACCCCUCUUGACCUAAGUGAAACCCAAAAUCAAAUAACUAAACCAAUCCAACUUAGUUUGUGUCAAUGCAAGGUAAGAUGUGCCAAUACACUUUGCACAAAAGUAAGAAUAAUAGAAUAAAACAUCAAGAAGUGAAAAUUAUUUUACAUAACUAAUUCAUUCUCAUCCCUCUCUUAGUAUCAUAUCUUAGAUACCUUGUCGCUCAUAUUUUACACCUAUAAUAAUAAAUAUGGGUAUGGGUAAUAGAUAACUUCAUUUGACAAAAUCCAUUAUCUUUUAGCUUUUCAUUUUUUAUUUAUUCAGAUCCUUUGUUGGAAGUGAUACUAUUCACUUGAUAUGAAAAAUAGCCAAGUGGAUAAGUUUUUUACCCAAAAAAUAAUCGAGACAAUGCAUAAAGGAAUAAUAGUUAGUAAUGUUGUAUUUUUAAGCUUAUAUCAUAACUGCAAAUAAAAAUCUAUUACACAUUUGAGCUCACAGUUUUUUUUCACAUCCUCAUUUAAGAUUGAUUAUCGAGCUCACUUAAUGCAUACCAGGCUUGCUUCUAAUUUAUCACUUAAAACGAUGACAUAACUAAGCUCAAACUAACAAGUUUUAUAAUCAAAUAAAGUUUAUCCAAGGAUAAAAUGGUAACUUCACAUGGAAAACAUUCCAUGUGAAGUUGAUUUUGCUACAUGCUUUUUUGUUUUAUCCAUCACACCAAGAGACGAGUCUAGUAUGAUUUGACUCUUAUGCGAAGCACCUAGUUGAUAAUUUUUUAGUUGUUAGAAACACAGAAAAUCAUGAAAAAAAACCAUGAAACACAACAUUUAGACUUCUUAAAGAAAUAUUUUUUUCAUGUAACCUGCAAAAUUAAAGGUUAUCGAAGAAGGGGUUAGAGAGCACAUGAAACCAAUAGGUCUGUUUCAAUAAUUUAUAAUUCUCUCUAAAAAAUUAGGAGAUCAGGCAAUUCCCUAAGAGGAUAUAUAUGAUCAUGAUGUAAAGUUUAUACAAUUGUUGCCAAACAAUAUUCUAAUUAAUAGCUAGUUCUGUAUUCCAUCCCAUAAGAGGCCAAUUUUUCGGUCCCUAGAAUCCUGAAGUGAGUAAAACACAGUUAUCCCAAAAUCAAGCGAAUUCCUUGCAUCAAUAAUCACAUUAUUACAUCGGCUUCUUCCCAUAAAUGCUUGAAAUACACCCCAAGAGAGGAAACGGGGGAAGACCCGGCUCGUACGAAAAUACUUAAAAGGAGAAGUGCAGUCUUGAAGUCUCUCGCAUGAUACCAUGCUCUUCAGCUGGCCAGCUCUACGGCCUUAGCUUAUCCUUGUUCUCCACCAGGUACCGGGCGAGUCCGUCGAUGUAGCUCUCCUGCAGCGCGCCGUCGGAGAAGACCGCCGCCGCGGCCGUCGCCGCCGCGUGCACGGGCUCUCCGCCGGCGUCCGCCGCCACAAAUCUAACGGUCUCCGCCACCCCUUCCCGGGUGAACCUCCCGUCUUCCUCCGCCCUGGGCACCUCCCUCCCCCAACCCCUCUCCUUCGCCAUCCUCGAGUUGAGCUUCUGGUCUCCGAAUACCAUGCCCUUGCCGUGCCUAAGCGCCUCAAUGAUGGAGCUCCACCCGCAAUGGGUCAGGAAGCUCCCCACCGCCGGGUGCGCCAGGACAUCCGGCUGCGGGACCCACCCCUUCAACACCAUGCCCUUGCCGCCUAUCUUGGCUUCGAAUUCCUCCGGGAUGAGCUCUGCCUCGGGCGGUAGGCCGGGGGGGCGCCAAGGGCCCAGAGGAAGGGGAUGCCGGAGAGAUCAAUCCCGUGGGCGAGCUCGUGGAAAAGCUCCACCCCCAGCACUGCCUCGCUGCCGAGGGCGACAUACAGCACAGAGGNNNNNNNNNNNNNNNNNNNNNNNNNNNNNNNNNNNNNNNNNNNNNNNNNNNNNNNNNNNNNNNNNNNNNNNNNNNNNNNNNNNNNNNNNNNNNNNNNNNNNNNNNNNNNNNNNNNNNNNNNNNNNNNNNNNNNNNNNNNNNNNNNNNNNNNNNNNNNNNNNNNNNNNNNNNNNNNNNNNNNNNNNNNNNNNNNNNNNNNNNNNNNNNNNNNNNNNNNNNNNNNNNNNNNNNNNNNNNNNNNNNNNNNNNNNNNNNNNNNNNNNNNNNNNNNNNNNNNNNNNNNNNNNNNNNNNNNNNNNNNNNNNNNNNNNNNNNNNNNNNNNNNNNNNNNNNNNNNNNNNNNNNNNNNNNNNNNNNNNNNNNNNNNNNNNNNNNNNNNNNNNNNNNNNNNNNNNNNNNNNNNNNNNNNNNNNNNNNNNNNNNNNNNNNNNNNNNNNNNNNNNNNNNNNNNNNNNNNNNNNNNNNNNNNNNNNNNNNNNNNNNNNNNNNNNNNNNNNNNNNNNNNNNNNNNNNNNNNNNNNNNNNNNNNNNNNNNNNNNNNNNNNNNNNNNNNNNNNNNNNNNNNNNNNNNNNNNNNNNNNNNNNNNNNNNNNNNNNNNNNNNNNNNNNNNNNNNNNNNNNNNNNNNNNNNNNNNNNNNNNNNNNNNNNNNNNNNNNNNNNNNNNNNNNNNNNNNNNNNNNNNNNNNNNNNNNNNNNNNNNNNNNNNNNNNCGGGAGCCUGCCGGUCGAGCCACUCGAAGAUCUCACCGUCGGGAGAGGCGGCGACGGUUCUGACGGCUCCCUUUUCCACCGCCGGGGAGAGAAAGCCGGUGGGAACGACGGGCUUGCCGAGUAGCUCGUGGAGGAGGCGGAUCCAGUCGCCGUCGAGCUCUGGGCAGCUCCGUACGAUCACCAGCUGGACAGCAUCGAUAGUGGAGGCCCAGCGGUAGGAAUCGCUGACGCCUGACUCAUUGACGACAGUAAGGCCGGAAAUCCCAAUGGCCUCGUGGGUGUAAAAGGCCAUCCUAGUCGCAAUCCCGGAGACCCACGGCGGCGGUGCGGUGGGGUUCUUCACGUUGGAGAACCAGCCGCGGCCGUCGCCGCUGGCGCCAAGAAUCUCUGAAGGGGGUCCCAUGAAGGCCAUGAAGGGGGGUGGGAAUACGCUGAAGAAGGCGCACGGAAGAUGGCGAGGGACCGCCAAUCUGGGCAUCCAGUGUGCGGUGAAGUCGUGGACGACCCAAUCGACCGGCGGGGAGGCCGAAUCGAGGAAGGCCGCGAAGGGAGACUCCAGCUCGUCGAACGCCCUCUUCAGGUGCCCGUUGUCCGCGAGAUGGAUGUCGCCGGUAGCCUCGGCGCCGGGAGGCAGAGGGAUCCCCGAGGGGAAGGGUAGCUCGACUAACCCGAGGAGAUGGAAGGUGCCGGGAGGGACCUUGGGCAGCCUCUGGAGGUUGCGCGGGGUGGAGAGGAAGGAGACCCGGUGGCCGCGGCGAGCCAGGGCCUUGGAGAGCUCGAAGGAGGGCAAGAUAUGGCCGAACGCCAGCCAGGGAAACACGGCGAUGUGCAGACGGGCGCUGGAGUCCCCCUCCAUGGCGGCGGCGGUGGCGUCGACGCUCUGCUCUGAUCCAAGUGGAGAAGACCAAGGGCAAGGAGGGCCGUUCAGAGGAAGCGUGACAUCAUCUUUGGUCGUGAGAUAAUGGGCCGAAACAGUGAUGUCAUAUUCGCACGUGUUUUAUUGUCAGCCUAUCCGGAGCCCUUUACGAUCGAGGGAAGCCAACACUUCAAUGGACAGUUUGAGAGUUUUGUACACUCAUGGAUAUGAAGAUCUAUUCAAGUUCCCUUAAUUAGGCACUAAGAAUCCAUGCGAUCUCGUGUUUCGUGACUUGCCCCAUUCAAUGUUGUGUUGUAAGUGUGCUAGUUAAUUAGGAACGGAUUAGACAUUGUUUCAACAUCCUAGCUAGUAGAAAUCGAUAAUUUGCUCUUGCUUAGGGUGCUUAUUGAGUGACACUCACAAAUUUUGCUCUCAUUGCGUUUGGUGACGCUUGCAGCUACCAUUUUCAAUUAUGCAGAACUCCACCACCUAAAAGUGUCUCAUUAUGUAUGCUGCCAAUCAUUAAUAAGAAUGACAUAAUCACCCCUCCUAGAGCGACUGAGAGUGCCCCCCACCAAUUAACAUGCUCUACCUUAUAUUGCCACCUGAAAUUGUCUUAAUUUAGAAAUUCGCGUUAUCUUCCUAACUUUGUCAUAAAUUUCAAUUAUAUUUUAAGAUAAAUAGUAAAUUUUUCAUAUGCACAGCAAAUGGUUUGCCCUAGAGAUAGUGACAUUAUAGUUGGUAAUAAGACUGACUUGCUAGUUAUUGUCUACUUGAGGCAUCAUAGGUAUGUCAAUAUUUUGACAUCAUGUCAACACACACCUUUCCCAAUAAGAGUUUGCCAAUAGGGACACCUAUUAAGAGUAUUAUUAGAUGAACUUAUAUGAGCAUACUCUCUACGAUGGGCAUCAUAUAUUACUUUUUUAUAGUCACUAUUCAGCUUACAAUAGUCUACACGUAGCCAAUAAAUUGGUCCUUUCUUGGACCAAAAUCCAUUUUUCCUGAGACUCGAACACCCAGCGACAAAACUAUUUUUGUACAGAUUGUUAGAAAAUAGCAAAUAUGGAGAGGAGGAAGCGCGAUACACAAAAGAGAUAGAAAGGGGACGAAGAAGGUAGACAAGACGGCGGAAGAACGGAAGGCCGCAAGUAGGCAACCCCCGUAUCACACUUAUAUAAUGUGACAAGGAAGAUAACAUGACACUACUUGAAUGCAGCAAGCCCAUAACAACCUAAAGUGUAGAAGGCCCAUAAACCAAAUAUCCUACGCCCAUUUAACUAAGAUAUGAUAAAGCCCAUAUUAUUAGUAUACCUAACAGACUACUAUCCACAGCCAACGGGGCAGCUUGCCGUAGAACUAGCCGGUGGCAUGAGGACUCUUCUGGCCUCUUCAUAUGAUAGAGAGAGAGAGAGAGAGAGAGAGAGAGAGAGAGACGUCUUCCAUUUUCCCCACCCAGCUCCCAAUGGAGGCAGCCGAGCCGAGGUCGUCAUAAAUUAUCACUUCAUCGUCACAAAUUUACAGGACAGCGGCUGCAUGAGACGUGAGAAUGGUCGAUCCUGCCUGAGACUCCACAUGGAUCCUCCGACGACGGCAUGCAUGUGGUAAUCGAGGAGCGCCUGCUCUACUCGUAGACAUCUUCAUAGGGGGAGUCACUUGACGAAUCGCUCUCAAAUGGAGUCGUCUCCUUGGGGGAUGACGGAAGUGACUCCCGCUGUUGAGAAGAACGUUAGAUUCCGGGCGCCCAUGAACGUCUUGUACAGUUAAAGCUUCUCCAAUCCUCAGACUCAAGUAGAAAGAAAGGGUUUUUUACCCGAAACCUUGAGUCCUCUUGCUCGAAACUUCGUAUGGCGCCGUAUGAGCUUCUUUGCCUUCGUUAUGGUCAGCUGCCUGGCAAAUGGGGCCGCUUCAACAUCGCUCUCGCUCCAUUCCCCAUGAGACUCAGGGUCAGCCUCCCCUCGCAUGGUGUGCCGCAUGAACGCCUUCGCUCGACGGCGUUUGGGAGUUGAAGAGCCCCCUUAUGGAGGUGACGAACCCUUCGCCCGCCCCGUCAGCUGGUCGCCGGAGCAAUGACGUGGGAAACUGAACAGAGCUUCCGGGCACACCUCCGUUCGCUGUCACUGAAAUUGAGAUCACUCUCAGGGACAGCGGCCGCACUGCCUUCAUCCCUCUGGCCUUGGGCCUUAUGCUUGAAUUUUUGAAUAGUGAGGAACAGUAAGAGAGCUGUUCACUUAUGAGUAAAAUAGACUAUAAUUCAGAUGAACAGUAAGGGGAGUCCGUGGGAUCGCUGACAAGACUCACAACAGUGCUAAUGGAAAUGAUAACUCAGACGUUCCAAGCAGUCCGCUGCUUCCUUCUUCUUCUUCUUCUUCUCCUCUUGGGACAGGUCCGUUCUCAUAUAGGGUAUCUUCUCCUCCCCUCAUUUUUAGUUAGUUGUGUAAUUGGUUGUGAGGAGUAUGAAGUGAGGAGUGUUACCGUCCUCUAUGGAGUCGUGGGCUUCGUGAAGUGGUGAUAAGAAGGGGACAUUAUUAUCGUGUUGAAUAAGUGGAAGUGUGGCACGAUAGAUACUUUGAAUGCUUCAGUGGUGCUGUGGAAGUCGUGGAAGGUGUGGGUGACGUACAAAUGUGGCUGGAUCAUGGGAGGUAUUAUCAAUUUUUUGCCUUGUGAAAUAGACAAUCAUUGAAACUCAGAUAAGAGAGCCUUAUAAUAAUAUAAUUGCAAGCCAUUAUAAUAACCCGUCAUAGACAACAUUCAAGAACCACACGCCUUUUAUGAGGACCAACAUCAUAAACAGUAAUCGCUAUCAAAGUAUGUACACAGACUCCAUUAUUCCUCUACAUUAAAAAACUACUCCAAACAAUGGAAGCUGGUCUCCACUCUCUUGGUAAUUCCUUAUUUUGCGAGUUUUCCUCUAAUUUAGAAGUCAAAUAUUUUCUUCAAUUAAUAUUUCAUGAAAUUUUGAUUCUAGCAUUCCUUCACUAUUUUCUAAGAAGUAUCUUCUUUUUCAUCCUCAUUGAAUUUAGUAGUUAUUAUUUCGUAUGCUACCAAGAUUCUUUUAUUACAAACUAUGAAUAUCCUAGAGUUUUCAUGGCACCUAAAGAAGAUUUUCUCAUCACUUUUAGGACCAACGUUCAUAUUUCUUCUCUACCAUUUAUUAAUGUGAAUCAUUUGCACCCAAAAGGUCAAAAGUAACAUAUGUUCAAUUUCUUGUCUCUAAAUAGUUUAUAAAGUGUUUUCCUAACUAUUGGUCUUAUCAUAGUUUUGUUCAUGUGACAUAUAGUAUUUCUUGCUUCUGCCAAAAAAUACCUUAGUAGAUUAUUUUAUGUUUGCAUAGUUUAAGUAAUAUCUAUUAACGUUAUGUUCCUUCUCUUAACAACUUUAUUUUGUCCAAGUAUCCUAGCACCAUAAAAUUCAUGAAAAAUUUUGUAAUCAACAUAUAAUUUUAAGAUGUUUAAGUUCUUAAUUCUUUAAUGUGAUCAUUACCAAUUUUCUUAAUGUUUAGCUCUUUCUCACUCCCAUUUCCUUACUAAACUUUAAAAAUUCUUGUAGAGUUUUAUUUUUAUUUUCCAUGAAAAAUACCCAUGUAAACCUUGAAUAAUUAUCUACAAUCACAAAUCCAUAUAUCUUUCCUCCUAAAUUAAAUACUUUGGUUGCUACAAAAAAGCAUUGUUCUAGAGACUUACUAGUUGACACUACAUCUUUAAAUUUAUGUGACUUGGUCACUAGCUUUCCCCCAAUGCAAGUACUGUAAUCAAAUUCUUAUCUUAGAUCUUAAUUUGGUAGUCCUUGCACUAAGUUUAGUUUUUGUAAUUUUUAUAUUAUUUUUGUGGUAACAUGACCUAAGCACCUAUGUCGCAAUUUUAAUAUAUGUGUAGAAUUAUGAGACUAAAGCAUACGUUUGAUUCUAUUAAAUCAUUCUCAGCUAUGUAACAUAAAUUUUACCUUUCUUAGGAGCAGUUAAUAUAAUAUUCUUCUCAGCAGUCACUAAAUCCAAAUCGAGCUUCCAAUCUACCAUUAAAAGAAGCUAGUUUAGUUGUUAGUCAGAAAAUUUGUCAGACCUUUGUUUUUGCAACUUGCCAAUGACUGUCUGGACACCUCUUUGUUUCUAAGUACGUUAGAUUAUAUUGCAAUUCAUUAAUUUUGAAAGGGAAGAAAGUUUGUAUAGAUGUAAUCCAAGAAUCCUUUGGGCAAUCACAUAGUUGACUUAGGAUAAGUAAAUUAUGAUUUAAUAUUUUUGCUAAACUAUAUAUUCGCAUACCCAUUUAUUUUUCAUUCUUCACUUCCUCAAAAAGUAACAUAACUCUUCCUUUUUAAUGAAUAAGGCGAAGUACUUUUCUCUCUCUAGUCAUAUAUCUUGAGCAUUGACUAUCAUAGUACUAUGAGACUUCUUCCGUCCAUAAAGACCUCUGAAAUAAGUAAAAUUUAUUUCAAAGUUGGGAUCCACACAUAAUCUAUAUUCAAGUUCUUCAUUGUCUCUAAUAAUAUUUAUGGUAACCAUAUUUGUUUAAUUUUAUGUUCAUUAGGUGUUUGUUGUGAUCUUUGUUACUGAAUGGCCUUUUGUAUGCCUUUAAUGAAUCUAGAGUAGUAUUUGCAAUAAAAGACUAGUUUUUUGUAAGUUACUUGGUUUACUCAUAGAAGUCUUGAAGUAGAAUAUCUUUUAGAACAACAUUCCCCUGCAUACCGUAAAUGGCUUAUAAUCCUAAUAUGACCACUUUGUUGGUCCCCCGAGGGCCCAGUGAAUUAAACAGAAUCACAUUUUUUAAUAAGAUUGUUUGCGUAAGCACUUCAGAUAUGCGCUAAAAAUAGGACGUGGGAGAAGACCCCUACCCGUAGGAAAAUACUAAAAGCCAAAGAAGUCUCAAGGCAGUUCCAUGAGACCAUACUCUUCAGCUGGCCUGCUCUAGGGCCGUAGCUUGUCCUUGUUCUCCAUGAGGUACCUGGCGAGUCCGUCGACGUAGCUCUCCUGCAGCGCGUCGUCGGAGAAGACCGCCGCCGCAGCCCUCGCCGCCGCGCGCAGGGGCUCUCCGCCGGCGUCUGCGACCACAAAUCUAACGGUCUCCGCCACCCCUUCCCGGGUGAAGGCCCCCCCGUCUUCCUCCGCCCUGGGCACCUCCCUCCCCCAACCCCUCUCCUUCGCCAUCCUCGAGUUGAGCCCCUGGUCUCCGAAUAUCGGCAGCAGCACCAGGGGCAGCCCGUGCCUGAGCGCCUCAAUGAUGGAGCUCCAUCCGCUAUGGGUCAGGAAGCUCCCCACCGCCGGGUGCGCCAGAACCUCCGGCUGCGGGACCCACCCCUUCACCACCAUGCCCUUGCCGGCUAUCUUGGCUUCGAACCCCUCCGGGGUGAGCUCUGCCUCGGGCGGCAGGCCGGCGGGGGGCCUCAGGGCCCAGAGGAAGGGGAUCCCGGAGAGAUCAAGCCCGUGGGCGAGCUCGUGGAAAAGCUCCACCCCCAGCACUGCCUCGCUGCCGAGGGCGACAUACAACACAGAGGCGGGAGCCUGCCGGUCGAGCCACUCGAAGAUCUCACCGUCGGGAGAGGCGGCGACGGUUCUGGCGGCUCCCUUUUCCACCGCCGGGGAGAGAAAGCCGGUGGGAACGACGGGCUUGCCGAGUAGCUCGUGGAGGAGGCGGAUCCAGUCGCCGUCGAGCUCUGGGCAGCUCCGUACGAUCACCAGCUGGACAGCAUCUAACGUCGAGAUCAAGCGGUAGAAGGGAGACACGCCGGAGGCAUCUACUUCGAAGAACGGGGGAAACCCCAUGGCCUCGUGGGGGUAAUAGACCAGCGUUGAGGAGACCCCCGUGACCCACGGUGGCGGCACGGUGAGGUUCUUCAGGUUCUUCCACCAGCCGGUCCCGUCAGCGUUGGCGCUAAGCAACUCUGAAGGGGUUCCCCAGAAGGCCGUGGCAGCGGGAUGGAAUAUGCUGAAGUGGGCACACCGAAGAUGGCGAGCGGCCGCCAAUCUGGGCAUCCAAUAUGCCAUGAAGUCGUGGACGACCCAGUCGACCCGUGGGCAGGCCGAAUCGAGGAAGGCGGCGAUGGGCGCCUCUAGCUCGUCGAACGCCGUCUUCAGGUGCCCAUUGUCCGCGAAUUGGAUAUCGCUGGUGGCCUCGGCGCCGGGAGGGAGGGGGACCCCGGAGGGGAAGGGCAGCUUGACGAGGCGGAGGAGAUGGGAGGAGCCGGGAGGGACCCUGGGCAGCCUCUGGAGGUUGCGCGGGGUGGAGAGGAAGGAGACCAGGUGGCCGCGGCGAGCCAGGGCUUUGGAGAGCUCGAAGACGGGCAGCAUAUGGCCGAACGCCAGCCAGGGAAACACGGCGACAUGGAGAGGGCGGCCGGAGUCUCCCUCCAUGGCGGCGGCGGUGGGGUCGAUGCUCCGAUCAGAGCGGUCGGCCAUCUUUGCACGUAAAAUAGUGAACCGAGAUUGUGUUUGUUGUCGCCUACCAAGGCCCUUCCUUUGGGAACCAACUAGAUAUACUUGCCCACCUACCACCGGUGAUGGAUGGAUGCAUGAAUUAGACGCUUAGGUAAGAGUAAGAACAAGCAGUGGGUCUCGUUUUGUCUAGCGACUUGGCGCGAUCUAUGUUUCGUUGCCAGUAUGCCAGAUCCAAAAUUUCUUCGGAUGUUUAUCGAUUUACUGGUAGGUACUGUGGUAGGUGGUGUCAUACCCUCCUCACAUGCCUGUAGCUACCACUCUCAACCAUAGAGGACCCCAUUAUUCACCUAAAAGUGUGGCAUCAUGCUUGUAGUCAGUCGUUGAUAAUAUUGUCCUCUAGUGAGACUGAGAAUGUCCGCCACUCAUCAGCAUAUUAUACUAUAGUAUUGCAACCCAAAGCUGUCCUAUGUUAGAAAUUUACAUCAUCUUGUUGACUUCAACUUCGGUUUAGAUCGUGUCUUGAAAUUUAAAACACAGUUUGCCUAAGAGAUUAUGAGAUCAUAGUUAAGCCAUAAGACUAGUUUUCUAGUUUUGGGAUAUACUUGAAGCAUCAAAGACAUGUUAGCACCUAGGCAUCAUGUCAACUCAUGCCUUUCCUCAAAAGAGUUUGCCAAUAAAGUCACCUUUCAAUCGUAUUUUUAGAUGAACUUCCAUGAAUAUCCCACAUUAAACAUCAUCUAUUUAUCUUUUGCAAUCACUAUUCAACAUCAAAUAGUCUACACGUAGUAGAUAAAUCUAUCAUUAUUUUGAAAGGUGAAUAGAGUAUUAAAAAGGCCUUAGAAGAAAUAAAGGCAUCUCACCUUCAUCAGUCCUCUCAACUGUCAAUAUUGUUGGAUUUAAGGUCAACGUAUCAAGAGGGGGGUUUUCAAUUAAUUUAAUUCUAAUUUUUAACUUUUGUUAACUCAUGAUAGAAUUAUUCAGUCUUCUCAUUUUAAUCUUGCAUCAUCUAAUUCUCGAAGACAAAUCAUUACAAGUUAAGAGAUUUUUAUAGUGCUGCAGCACCUUAUUUACAUCUACUCUCCAUCAACAAUAUAUGUUAUUAGCUUUCACUAAGUUUGAACAUUCAGAUUACUGAGUUCAACUCUCACAAAAUUUCAUGGUAAAAUUAUCUUCUAUAUUUAUGUCUCUAGUAUGCCAAAAACUAAUUAAUGGAUCAGCUCUUUUAAGUAAUUAAAUAAGGAUUUAAUCAUAAUUUUAUCUCACAAAUAAUGAGAAAGAUAUUAUCAUGGUUAGUUUUUUAGAUGAUGAUGUUGACCAAGAGUACAUUCAGAAAUUUGAUGACGAGGACAAAGUUUGAUGCUUAAUUUUUAUUGUCUUCUUCUUGUUAUGAUACUGGUAAAUAAUUGAGGUGAUACACCUUCAAAUAAGUCAAAUAAGAUCGGUAAAUAUUUGAAGAAACUCAACUUAGUACGUUCACAUAAUUUGACUAAUCAACAAAGAGCUUUCAUUCUUCUUAAUGUUCUACAGAAAAACUCACUAGAAAUGUUCAAAUCAUAGUACAAGUAGAAUGAGCAUUAUAAAGUAAUUAGUCGUUAGACAUGCAUAAUAUUUAUAGAGAAAUCGAGCCCAAAAAAUCUUCUCAAAAUUCUGCAAUCUUCCAACAAUUAUUUUGCCCAAAAGAGAUAACAAUUUGAAUGAUUGUAAACUAAUACAAUACUUUAUUUAAAUAUUUUGAUAUCUUCAUGAUAGAAAUCAAUUCAUGUGGUCAUUAUGUCAUAUCAUUUAUAUCUGAAUCAUUUCAGUUCAAAUCAAUUUAGAAAGAAUAUAAUAUCAUGAACCCAUAAAACUUAUGUUACAUAUCUUAUUAAAAUAGUGAUUUAUCAAUCAACAUUUACGCAAUCCACCUCAGAUAAUGUGUGAUUGUCAAGUACACAUCUUGAGUCAUGAUUUAUGUAUGUAAAAUCAUAACUUCGGUUAUUCAUAUUUUUAAAAAAAUAAUACUUGCUAAUAUUUAAUAAUUAUGUGGGGUAUAAUAGACUAUAUAAUUUUAAUCACUCGAUUAUAUAUCAAAUCUAUUGGAACUUACUGAUACAAAAAUAUGAAAACAUAGUAUACUAAGUAAGAUUUAAACCCAUAUUUUAUUUUAAGAAUUUUCUUUGACUUGGAUGUCAUAAUCACUAAUUUUUUAGUUGUGAUAGUUUCUAAAAAUAUUGACAAUUUGUACAAUAAUAUGUAAAAUAAUGAUUUAUCAUAUGAUGAAAUCAACCAAAUAAAUGAAUUCAAUAUCAUAUGUCACAAAUAUUUAUAGUGAGCUCUCAUAUAAACAUUUAAUACUUCAAAAAUAUAAGCAUCCAAUUAUAUCAGCACUAUUUUGGGUGUCAUAUGCACUAAUAAGCACAUAUAUGGCACAAACUCUGUUUCAUAGUCCAUCUCAUAGAGAGUUUUAAGUUAUGUCGACAGUGAGUGUCUCCUACAUCACGUCCUAGUACUCUUGUAACAAACAUGUCACACUUGGUAGAAGUUCUCUCACUAUGUUGCCUUUAUUGAUGUACAUAAUCACCCAUUUUCAGGUCCCUAAUAUGCUUAUUACACUCGUCAUACAGUCUUUUGUACCUAGUAGUGUGGCAUGCUCACUUCUGAACCUUAAUUAUCUGUUAAUAUUGAACCUUGCUAGCGCAACUUCACCUUUAGCUUCCAUGGUAUGAAUGCUCAUACACAUUUUUGUAGUGGGGCACUUAGUAGGCAUAUAUCACCUGUAAGCCUUCUCUAGUCUAGUGGUUACCUCUGGUGGUUUGUUCUAUGAUUUCAUCAUCAUGAGAAAAUUGUUGUCACCCUUCCUUAUAAUGUCUUAUAGUUAGAACCUUUGCCACAUAGCGUUUGUCUCUUGUAUGUAAGGCCAUAUCUACUUGCUAGAAGAACUCUACACAAAAUGUGAAAAAAUCUUGUUUGGACUCUACUUAGUGAGUUUAUCCUUAUAAUAGUGUCGAAGUCAUCCAUUAGAAUGGUCGUGAAGUCCACUGCACCUUGUGACAAUGUGAUAUGUGGCUAUAUUACAUAUGUAGCACUAUUUAGGAUAUACAUGCCACCAGAUGGAUAACCUUGAUGUGGCUCUUCUUUUGUGACAGCAUUAACCCCAAAGUAGACACCUCUCUCUCUAAGAUAAGUCGUGGGUGCUUAUGCUCCCCAACGUAGAUUAUGGCUUGAUCAUGGCCUCCAAACAUUAAUGUUUUUGCUCACUCAUAUUGACUGUCCCUUAAUCCCAAUACAUCAUGCUCAACAGUUGCAUUUCUGUCAAUGUUAGAAUAUUUGUACUAUUAGUGAAAUUCAAUUUUUAAUUUUUUAAUUUCUCUCUCCGGGGUGACAGAAAGGAGAUAAGGAGGCGAGAUUUGAUUCCUUGGUCCGCAUUGAAACAAGACUUGGAGCAUAAGCAGUUAAAGGGUUGGUUUCUCAGGGUAAAACCUUAGCGCUGACAAUCUCAUUACAGAGCAUCAAUUCACAGGUAAUGACGUACGAGAUAGAGAGAAGAUGAGCAGGCUUUUAUUGCUUAAUAUCAUAAAGUCUCUUCCUUCAAAAAAAUGCAUCUCUCUUGAGACUCGAACAUCUAGCGACAAUUUUCUUUGUACAGGCUACUAGCCACAGGCAAAGGGGCAGCUGGCCCCUAUAUAUGAGCGAGAAACAGAGAGAGAGAGAGAGAGAGAGAGAGAGAGAGAGAGAGAGAGAGAGCCGUCUUCCAUUUUCUCCACCAAGCUCCCUCUGGAAGCAGCCGGGGUCGUCAUAAAUUAUGACUGCAUCGUCGCAGAUUUACAGGGCAGUGGCUGCACGAGACGUGAGAAUGGUCGAUCCCGCCUGGGACUCCACAUGGAUCCCCCGACGACGGCAUGCAUGGCGUAAUCGAGGAGCGCCCGCUCUACUCGUAGACGUCUUCAUAGGGGGAGUCACUUGAGGAAUCGCUCUCAAAUGGGGUCGUCUCCUUGGGGGAUGGCGGAAGCGACUCCCGCUGUUGAGAUGUGGACCCUGCGGGUCACAGAAGAACGUUAGAUUCCUGGCGCCGUGAACGUCCUGUACAGUUGAAGCUUCUCCAAUCCUCAGACUCGAGUGGAAAGAGAGGGCCUUUCACCUGAAACCUUGAGCCCUCUUGCUCGAAACUUCUUCGUAUGGCGCCGUAUGAGCUUCUUUGCCUUCGUUAUGGUCAGCUGCCUGGCAAAUGGGGCCGCUUCAACAUCGCUCUCGCUCCAUUCCCCAUGAGACUCAGGGUCAGCCUCCCCUCGCAUGGUGCGCCGCAUGAACGCCUUCGCUCGACGGCGUUGGGAGUUGAAGAGCCCCCUUAUGGAGGUGACGAACCCUUCGCCCGCCCCGUCAGCUGGUCGCCGGAGCAAUGACGUGGGAAACUGAACAGAGCUCCCGGGCACACCGCCGUCACUGUCACUGAAAUUGAGAUCACUCUCGGGGACACCGGCCGCGCUGCCUUCAUCCCUCUGGCCUAGGGCCUUGUGCUUGAAUUUUUUGCCCUGUGAAACAGACGAUCACUGAAAGUCAAGAUCAGAGCGCCUUAGAAUUAUGCCGUUCGACCUCUUCGGCACAAUUAUCAAAGAAUUAUCUCCAGUCUAGUUCCCACGACAGCAUUGAAGAGCCCGCAAAGCAUGCACAUAGGCUCUGAUGCUCCUCUGCACAAAAAAGUUGCUUCGAGCAAUGGAAGCUGGUCAAAAUCAUUUUCUGCACCAGCUAUCAGCUACUCCUCUGGUUUAAAAUGCUGGAUUUCCUAACAUCACAAUGAAAAUACGAGCAAGCAGGAUGCUUGGGAGACAGUUGAAAGAUUCUUGCGCCAUUUAAUUCAAAUAAUUACCAGAUACAACAGAGCGGGGAAUAGGGUGCCCAACUUCAGCCAAGGAUCGGAUUUCAUGAAACACCGGCUAAAUAAAAGGGAAACAGUUGCGGAAUGCACCGAACUCGGGGCCAGGCAAAACUAAACCCAAUGGUGUUAAAUAUCAUUUACUUCGGAUCACAAAUCAAACGUUAUCAAGGGGCGGUGCCUCGAGACGUUGAUGGGCCCAUCCUCCACUACAACAUUUUAACAAAGAAGUAAAAAUGGAAAAAGACUUGCCUGCAUGCCAGUGACGGACUUCAGAACUCCCCAUAUAAUGUGCUUCUUGACUCUUGAAAACAGCCUCCUCCAUGUCCCAGUAAAAUCGUCAGGGUGAAAAGUGUCCAUUAGCAGCCUCAGAUCAUUCACUGCGAAUCUAGACCCUUCAUAUGUAACAAGCAAUUCAACCUGAAAAGUUGCCAUAAAAGAGCGUGGUUUAGCUACUCUGAUCAUGUCCAUUUGGCCACGUAAUUACAUAACAAACUGAAUGCACCUGGCUUAUUUUGAUAUUAUGGAAUUCCAUCAACUUCCGAGCCCUUGUUCGUUUCUCAUCAUGUGAUUUCCCAACCUUCUUUUCGUCAUGAGGUGAGCGACCAGCUCUAACCAAUCUAGCCUCUUUUGACCUGCCCCUGCCUGUCUCAUCAUUAACAUUAUUCUGUUGUUCUGAAGGGUGAACCAGAGCAACAGGUGCAUUGGCUGCAGACUCGCACACAUUUUCUUCUAAUGAUCCGUCAAAAGAAGAUGCUCUUCGGAGUUCUAAACUUGAGCCGCAAAUGAUGUUUGCUUUCAGGCUUUGCAACUUUGAUGUCUGCAGAAGAUAGAAGAGUAUUAUAUUAAAACACUGAUUACUCGACCUGUUUUAGAGUGUUCUUGCAUUUAGUCACGUACGACCACUGAACCAUUGCGGAUACUCUCCUCAAAAAAUCAUGCAUUGAAACUUUUCAUUUUAAUGUUAUAAAAGCAGCCUAUCAUAUUAUUUGCAUCAGCCCCUCCCAAAGAACUUACGGCCAAUAUGAAACUUACUUGGGAAGUAUCCCCGUGUGCUGAGACUAGACUGGCACCAGGCACAACAGAUGAUGCACAAUUCGCGCUAGACUUUGUAGCAGCUUCAACAUCUCUUGUACCAUGGUUACCCAAUGUUACUGCAUCAGGACCAGGAGCAGUUUUCUUUGUUCGUCUUGAACUCGCUGUUGUUGAAACUUUCCAAAGUUCCUGCAAGUUAAUCAAGGUGAUGAAGCGUUGGCUAAAUCAUAAAGAAAAUACAAUACCCCAAUAACCUAGUAGAAAAUAGAUUUCACCUGACGUCUGUGUGAGUCCUGCUCCUCUUCUGGAAAGAAAUAGCCCCACAUCAUCCUGUACAUAGUCUCGGUCAAAUGUAUCUUUAGUGGAUAUAUCUCUACCUGUCAUGAGUUUCGCAACAAUUGAUUCAGAAAAAGGAGGCAUCUGAACUGUAUCUCAGGAAUAAUGGUUACAUGAAGUCUCACAAAAAAGAAAGAAAAUAAUUAUAAUCUACCAGAUCUAAAACAGUCCAGAGUGCACAAUGUCACGUAUCUGAAAUAUCACCAAACACUCGUCAUAAAGACUAAUGGAUGUCUAAUCUGAGAUUCAACGAGCGCCAGAAGAACAAAGGCCUCUAAUUAUUAGUGAUCUUUCUCAAAACAUAUUAUUUCGUGGAACAAUUUUUCGUUCAUAAUGGCUGAAUAAAAUUUGAAAGCCCCUAGAGACCUAUUAGGGCUAGGAGAUUCGUCGGCACCCAUCACAUCUUACGGCAAUAGAAGGACAAGAACCCCAGCUUUCCAUUCAUUUAACGCAAGGAAAAAUUGUCAGCUCUUGUUUUUAAAAUACUCCUACAAACAACUGACCAAGAGGUUCGCAACAGCUGUGCGAUUCCUUUAGUGAUUUGUCCUCAGGUCCUUUACCUUUUACUGUCUAUGUUAUAGAAGAAAGGAGAAGAAGGUUUCUUCAUUUCAAGCACUGAUCCGAUCUCCUUGCUUUCAUUUAACUUCUCCUCUCAUUAACCUACCCUUGCUUUCUUCCUUACACAUACAGGGGCGUCGUCUACCGAAGUAUAGACAAUCUAACGUUGCAUCUUGAUUGCAGUCUCUCUUUCUAAAGAAAGCUCUCACCUUUCCUGACAGAAUCUUUGGACACUUUUCUGCACCACUAAACCACGUAUCUUCUCAUUUAUCUAGAUCGAUUUCUGGCAUCCAACUUCGUACUAUUUUCCUCGUUCAUAGACAUUGAGUCAGUUGAUUCCCUUCCCUUCGGAUAUACCAAACCUCGUUGAUGUGGGGCAAAUUGAAGGUUAAUCCAAGAAUUUCAAUCAAGAUUGCUUUUUUCAACGGACUAUCAUUAUCAUCCUCUUUCUCACUCUUACAUUUUUCAUAUUAUAGAAAUCAGUGGCCUGUUAACAAGCACAACAAUGAAUAGUAAAAAAUAUGAAAAACGAGCCAUCCAUGAGAAAAAUAGGGCAUUAAUGUAAAUUCAUGAUGACGUUAACAUCAACUUUCUUCAUGUAAUCACUCGAUCUUCUACAAGUUAACCUUUUCUCGUAGGCGAGACCAGAGUAAACUGUGAAAAUAACGGUCAACCUCUGCCAAAAGAAAAAAAAAAUCAUGAUCUUUUCAAAGUCCCCCCAUUCUAAAACCGCAUGCAAAAAGCAUGGAUAAUCCGACCUCAAUAUAUGCUUCCAAACCUCAACCAUGUUUGUUCAGACUUAACUGAAACCAAAUUGAAAACUUUUUUUCGUGCAUAAGAUGGAUCUCUUGCAUGCACUUCAUCGGUGAAAUUCUGUUUCCAAUAAGAAAAUGCAAGAAGACCAGGCGAAACAAUUAAUCCGAUGACAGUGCAUACAAUAGGGAACAUAAGCGAAAAAAUUAUUAAAUUCAUCAUUGUCCCACUAAUCAUCAAGGCAACUAUAUUUGAAGAGUAUUAACAGGUCAAUAGAAACUAAAUCAACAAUUUGCAAUAUCAGACACAAGGUGGUAUAUCCCGAUAUCUCACAAUGCAUUUCUCCACUCGUUUGACCAAUAUUUAUGGAAGUGAUCCAAUGAGUCGGCUUAAAGAAAGGAACUAGAUUGAAUGGAAGAUGACCUGAAAAAGCUCAAGCGAGGAGAUUCCAUCCUUUGGAACACCUUGCUGAGCAUCCACUCGUAGCAUUACAUUUCUGCAUUAAAAAUAAUUUUGAGAGCAUAAGAGGUCGCUAAAAAGUGCAGUUAAUGGACACAUGCUGCUUCAUCUGCAAAUAGAACCUCGUUAUCUUUGAAAGGUAUGAGAAAGCAUAGAAAGUAAAUGAAACUAGUUCGCAUUAAGAGAUUUAAUGAUGAAUAAGAAUAGCAACAGGCAUCUGACCUUCCAGGUUCAGGAGGAGCAUUCCAGGCUGAUAACAACAUGUUACAUUUAGCAUUAGGUAGACAGUUCUUGACAAAAAAGGACUUGGUUAUGAACUGAAUCACCCCUAUGUCUUUAUAAUCACGAUCAAAAUCGUACAUCUGCCAAAACAAUUGUCAGUGGCAAAAACGAGUCUUCAAAUUUCCCAUAUAAACCAUUAAAGAGCAAUCAGUAAAAAAUAUUAGCUGCAGAACACAAAAAUAAGAAUGCCUUGUAAUGCAAACACUCAGCCUAAAGAGGAACUUAAGUAGCAUGCAUUUGGACCCUCACCAUGUUAAUUAUUUCAGCUUCAGCGAAUGCUUUACCAUCUGCAAGCAUGCUCCACGCUACCUUGUCAAUUUUCAUAGAAAUCCGCAUGGCACAGGAUGGACUCUUGUUCUUCUCUUUUUCCAUCAGACGCAAAAGGGCAGCUUUCUGCAAAGCCAUUCUUAAAGCACUGGAUGCUGCCUUCCUGGACUUCUGUAUAUUUACGAGUUGUUUCUUCAGACUUUGAACCUGAAAACACAGUGCAGAAACUUUAAAGAGCAAUAUAUCUGACUAUUAUGUGAGAUGACAGUUUAAAGAGUCUAAAGAAGUUACUUUAGUUAUUAAACAGUUUAAAGAAUGUUUUGCUCAAACUCGCACAUGCCUUUGAAUUACUGAAACAAAAACAUCACAAUUCUCAGAUACUAAAUAAACUGGCACGAACUAAAACAAACGUUUCAAAGGACUUGAAGACGGUAAGAAUGUUACGUAGAAAUAGAAAUAUUCACGAGUAAAACUAAGAAAUAAUGUUUUGGCCUUCAAAUAACAUUCUCAGUGUUUUCAGCAGGACGGAUGAAGAGCAUACAAAUCAGCAAAAAUCUAUGACUCACAUAGGUUAUGCAGAAGAAAUAGGAUGCAAAAUAAGAGAACUUAAUUCUUCUAAGGUUGACAAACUUCUAACAGUUGAGCUUGAUGCUUAUAUAGCUUUUCGUGAAAUCAUGUCGUUCAAUGACUGCAAAUUCAAAUUGAAAAUACAAGUGCCUCGUUUCGCCCGUAACCUGGAGUAAUAAUCGGAAAAUAUGAGACGAGCCUUCCAACUAUCCCAUUUUAUUUUAUUUUAUUUUACUUCACCUUUUAUAUUUUUCAUACUCGAUAACUUCUUAUUUAACCAGUAAAAUAUUGCCUACCUUCCAAGAAAAGAAAGAAUAUGAUGAAACAUUUUUCUAGCGAUCAAUCAUCUCCAAACAUAACUAACAUUUAUCGCACGAAUUUUCCCAUAUCAUUGCAGAUCUGAAUUUGCUAAUGUUUAAGUAAGCAGUGUAGAUAUUUUAGGACUCCGUCUAUGGAGAUGGAAAGCUUCCCUGUCCCAAAAAACUUUCCCAAUUACCUCACAAGGGUUCAAAUUGCACCUUUACGGUAAUCUAAUCAGGAAAAUAAGCAUCGCAUCAUUUUCUCAAGCAGUUGCGGUAAUCUACAAUUAAACUAAAGGUGAACAACACCCUAAAAAAAAAGUUCUUAAAAAUGGAAUAAUAUGAUGUAUAUGCACAUCUGUGGUCUCAACGAAAGGAAUAUAACAAAAUGAGAGUAAUAUAUGUACAGAAACAUAAAUAGCAAAUGAAAUUUAACAGAAAUCACUAAAUUUAGAAUAUUUCUAGAGGCUUUUGUGGAGGCAUGUCCUCACCAGCAAUGGUUUCCCGCCACAUAUCAUCCACAAUAUACUAUCCGUUUUCAGUGAGGAACUUGCAUCGCUAGAUGUCUCAUCUGAAGCCACAAGUGUCCUAAUGUCAUCGAGAAGCAAUUUCCGCUCUCUUUCCCUCUGUUCAAGGCUAACUUUUGCGAGUUCUACCUCUUCAACACCAUCAGGGACUACCUCAUCAGCCUCUUCCUCAACAUCAUCAUCUUCUGCAGGAUAUGAGAGACUGCUUUUCCGAGGCCUGAAAACAAUAAAACCUCCUUUGAAUUCUUCUUGAAGAUUUUUUAUUUUUCAUGUUUAAAAUGAAAAACUCCUAAAAAUGUAUGGUUAAACACAUCGAAUACUCAAUUAGUUAUUUUGAAAUCUUCUAUUGAAAAUAUCAAGUAUAGCAAUCGUUAACAAAACUUCAUUAAUGUCAUCUGCAACACGUCUAGUAGCAGAUGUACUAAAGCAACUCAUUUGCGUUGUGGGCUGUUUCGAAUAUUAACGUUAGCCUUCUUAUAAAACUACCCAAUAGCACACUGACAGAAACUCUUAGACAGGUCCUAAGUAAAUUCCAUGCAUUUGUGUUUUGAAGAGCGAACAGCUAGAUAACCUGAGAUAUAAAACAUGACUUGGGAAGUGCAUGCGGGCAGAAGUCAAUAGAAAAGAAGCCACAUAGAGAUGUCACAAACUUUUAACAAAGAUCAUUGACCUAACUGCAACAUUCAUUUUGUGGAUUAAAAGUCUACAACAUUCAUGCAAUCCCCAAUAAACUAGCGACAGUUGUGAAGGAAGCACAUCAUUUGUAAAGAUAGUUACCCUUCCACAUUUUGACAUGUCAUCAUCAGCAAGGCAGUAAUUCCGUUCAUUUGUUUGGAGAGAAAUUGCAAAUUUUGGGAUUUUUGCAAGACCUUUAUUUUGCACUAAAUCAUGAGUGGUACUACCAAAACAGUAUUGAAUUAGACGAUUUUUUAACAAAAACUUCAAGUUGCACUAAUUUUUUCAUUCCACAUAUAAAUGCAUAAUGAGAACAAUAAAUUAAGCAAAUACCCGGGUUUAGCAUAAUUUACAGCACAAACUCUGCAUGCACUAAGUACUUCCCUUCAGAGAUUUCCCCACCCCAGCGAAGGAAACGUACAGCUGAGGUGACAUCUUAGGCAACAUACUUUGCACAUCCAGACUCAAAACCUUUUCUACCAUCCCCAGAGUAACAAGGCACUAUAACAAAUUUGAUGAAGACGGAUUGCGUUGAGUUUAAUAGAAAAAUGAUAAGUCAACUUUGUGCAGUAAGCUAUAGCGUAAUCUAUUCCAGGCAUUCUACUAAAGUCAUUUCCAACAGUUUUGUCCAUUCCAGUCAACAAGACCGAAACAACGUUGCAUUAUUCUCUGCAGAAACAUUGGCCCGUAUCACUCUUCUCUGUAAGUAAUAAAAAGCACGCCAGAUUUUAGUGGUCCUCUCUUCCAGCCAGACAUCAGAUAACACGAAAAUUGUAAUUCCAACUCUCUAUCAACACCUCCUGGGAAGGGAGGGUCUGGUGCUCAUAUUAAAACCUAAAAAUGUCAAAAUCGAAAACAUGUAUGCAGAUUCUUACUUGGGUAGUCUAGCAAAGAGAAGAUUGCUCAGUAUAUCAAGCAUAACUUGAAACUGGCGAGAUGUCAUUGUUGCAGUAAUAUUCGCCGAAUUGAACGAAAGCUCUUUCAAUGGCUUCACCUGUGGAUCUUCAAUAAAUAAGUAUUUUACCGAAUAUUAUUUACAAAGAUGCAAAAAAGUCAAUGCCAAAACAGAUAGUCUCCAGCCUUUAACUAACAAAGUGAUAUGCAUAAAUACAUCCAAGAUGUAGAGUUGAAAAAAAUAUAGUUUUAGAAUCCUACCUUCAAAUCUGUGGUUCCACCUUUGUGCCUGGUGUAACGGAAAUACAUGGUACAUGGCAUAAACACUCUUUCAAGUAAAGCACCAGUCCGUUUUACUUUUGGAGAACUUCUGAGAAUUUUUGGCAGCCAUUGGAGCCCAGCUCCAGGAUCAACAUCAGUCGGUGCAACAUGUGCUUGAACAUGUUCCAACAUUGCGGAAUACUCUACACGUUUCCAUACAAUCUGUGGUUUAUAUUCCCGAAAGUGCGUGCUUCCAUUACUCAGUUGUUCAAUCAUCUCACUUCCAAUUUGAAGCACUGAAUCAAGGGAUCGAGCCAAGAGACGGCCACUAGCUGCGGCAAGCAAAAACCUACCCUGGUAAUUACAAAGAAAUUUUUCAAUACAAAUUCUGAAACGCAAGCCAAGAGUAUAAAGGUCCACACAAAUCAUGAACGAAUAGUUUGCAAAAUGAUACUAGAUCGCAGACAAAAUCUUACACGGGAAAAUCAGGGUUAAUCAACAGUCAGUUCACAAUGAACACACAAGAGGUGCAUGCUCAUGUCUUCCUGUGAUGCAACAAGUCAUCGAGGGAGUUAUCCAUCUAAGUACUGGAGCUCUAGUUUUCAUCCUAAAACAUCAAUUUUUAGGCAUUUUAGGAAAAAAAUGUACAAGAGCAGACAAAAAAGUAGCUGUAUAACACAUAACCUCUGAUAUCUUCGAAAAAAAUAGCCAGCGAGUAUAGCUAUGCCGUGUUGCAUUUUGAAUUGAAGUGAUGACCCGAAUCAUCAAUUUUGUAUGCAUGAUUCAUUUAGAUAUUUAGACGUAUAGUAUCAAAAAAAUAACAGAAAAACAGCCCGAUUUAUUGCAUGCAAACAACAUCAAAAGGAUAGCAUGUGAACAAUUUAGAAAUACAAAGCAGUAGAGAAAUAAGGAUCUUACAUUAGCUUCUUCAGACUGCAGAUUAAACUGUGGUUGGAUUACAUUCACCAUGAAGUGCCGUAUCCCCUCCUGAUCAGAAUCACCAACUUCCUGAUGUUUCCCAUCUGAAAAAGUAAUGUAAACUCUAUAAAACACGACUAGGAAAACAUAAUGAUAAUGUUCAUAAAGAAAUAUUUUUUACGAUUAGUCAUUGAAUGAUUAAAUUGAAGACCAGAAGAAAUGUAAUAACGCGUUGGCUGACGAAAUCAAGGAAUCUUUGGUUGAAACAAGGGCUUCUAAAAAGAACGCCCAUAACUUUCUUAAAUUCCAAGACAUCUUGGAAAAAUUACAACCGGAAAGAAUGACGGCCAUUGUUAUUAUUGAUUUAUUGAAUUGUUUCAAAAAAAACCAAAGAGUAGAACUUGUACUCUCUUCAACACCUAUCCAAUGUCAUCCAUUAAGGCACCACCAACAAGACUUUUCACGAUAUGAACUAAAUCAGCAGUGUCCAAGACAGACCAUUGCUUGUUUUUAAGUUACAAUCGCUAAUAUGGUCCAAAUUUUACUGCGAAGUAAGAAAUUUAGUUUGUCAAUUCAAUUUCGUAAAUAUACUAUCACAGAACCAUUCUUUCAGUUAUAAUGCACAGAUUGGAUUCCCCAUGUGGAUCAUCCCAACUUACCAGCUACACCCGAAGAUGAGCCUUCCACUUUAGAGGAUGUUGAUAGGGAUGAGUGCGUUCCAAAGGCAUCAUCCUGUGGAGAUUGUGUACUGAUGCUGCGUGAUGUGAUUUGGGCAGAUGGUUCAGUAUCUUCUUGAGGUACUUGAGACGUCUCACGUAUCCCUUUUUGAUUGGUUAACUUCCUUUGUGCAUACUGACGAGAAGGAGAUGGUUUUGGUGGCUCAAAUGCUUUGGAUAUCCCACCAACCCAGGACCAAACAGCAUCUCUGUUUUCUAUUGUCCACAAAAGCUUCAGGCCAUAAACAAAUAUACGCUGACAAUUAUCUGCUAUGACAACGUUAAAACCAUCAUCAUCACUUGGGUCAGAUCGUGUGCUGUCAGUUUCACUCCCAUUUUCAAAUUCAGACCUAACAUAGGACAGCUCUGGAUUUUUCUUGCCUGCUUUUUGCCAUUCCAGUAACCUUUCUGGGUCAGCUUUCAGAGCCUGUUUCCGAAUGGUAAAAUAGUCAGAAUAUAGUAGGAACCCCUCAUCUCGAUGUUUCUCUGCAUCAGCCCCUCGAUAUCUGCAUUUUUUCUUACUCACUCUACUUUGCGCUUUCUUACUAGACUGACAGUCUUGAAGAUCAGUGUCAUAAUCCCUGUUCAAAUAAGCCUUAAGAAGGUGAAGGUCAAGUCCCUGAUAAAUAAGAUCCAAGGGAUCACGCUUGCAAUCAAAAGUAUAGUGCUGUUUACCACGGCUGUAACAGAGUUCAUAUUUUAACUUUGUCAUUUCAAAAGUCAGUUCACUGGCAGGGUCAUCAUCACCUAAAGGCAUAUGCUUAAUGCAAGCAGGUGUUGAAUCGAGACGGAGAAAUAAUUCUGUCAUAACCUUAUCCAAUGAUAAGUUUCCAGAUCUAGCCACCCUUGGAAUACCAAAACGUGGCCAACGAGAAAAGGAACGCAACUUAUGAGGAGGAUUAUAAUUCAAGUUCCACCAUUUAAAAAUCCAGACUAAGUCAUGCGCACCUAAGUUCAUGGUAGGACACUGAAAAGCAUUACUGUCAGAACUUUGUGGGGAUCCACUGAAAGGCUCAUUUGCAGAACCAUCAGGCAUAACGAAAAGCAUGUUCUGAUUAUCACCAGGGCGUAAAGAAGGCCUCAGAGAAAAGCUCCAACGAAGAGAGAGAGAAAUUGAUCGAAAGGUAUCAUAAACUUUUUUCCUAGGCUCCCCUUCUGCGGGAAGGGCAUGUAGAUAAUGAUUAAGGGGUUUUCCAGAUUCGCAAUCCCAGUCCAUGUCCACCUCAAGAGAAAAAAUGGGAGAAUCAAUGAAAGGACAUGAGCCACCAGUUGGAAGUUUUAAACUACAACUCUUUGUCAAACUCUCUAAGCUAGUGAGAAAAAUCUUAAAGUCCUUUGCAGCAAAUAUAACAUGACCAUCUGUCUGCUGGAUAUCCAUAGAACCAGACACAAUCUGAAAUUUAUCAAGUUUUUCGUAAGGGUUCGUCGUAGCAAGAAAGUUCCAUUUCGUCUCAUUGAAACUCAAGCUUAUUUUCCCAUGUAUGUAGUAUCUCACAUCAUCCCACCAUGGUAGGCUGCGCUCUUUCUUAACGGGUUGACUAUUUGAGGAAUUGGUACUUCCAUUCAGGGCAGAACUCAGACUAUUUACAUUUUGCAUGUCGAGAUUUUUAUUUCUGACGCUGAGGCUCGCCCUGCGUAGCGCAACUGUAAAGGCAUAACUUAUAUCAGCAAAAGCAGGCUCAUAUCCAACUCCGAAGGAAACUUCCCCUUUCUGGAAAAAGAUUGGAAGAUCAGAGUACAUCUUCAUAGGUGGGGUUGUGCCACUAGCAGAACGCAACAUGCGCACUCUCCUCCAUCUCCCGAUAAAAACAUCCUGAUGAAUCUGGGGCUGGAAACAGGUUGCCUGUAAGGUAGAACACAAUUUAAGUACAUUGAUAUUGUUUCAGUUGAAUCACAAAAGUGACAAAAAUGAGGAAAGAUGAAUAAAAUGUGGAAAUAAAUUUCUCCAUGGCUCCUAGUAAUCCAACAUAAAAUGUUUAUCAUUUCAGAUAUCAAACUUUGAACUUGAUAAUUUGAAACAGAGCCCAAAUAAAUACAUCCUUAUACAACUACAGAAAUGAGCUUCUUCUCUCAUGAUUAGCUCAUAAAUAGUAAAUAGCUAGGAUGGCUCCAAGAAUUGUUUUAUCUCCCUCUCCUCCAUCGUCCUUGUGCAUGGCAUUGCUCGCGCAGCUUAUUAAGUCAACGAUAUUUGCCUUGCAAAGCUUCUUAAAUCAUCAUAUUAUCAUCUCAAUCCUAAUUGGACACAUUAUUUCUAUCUCACCCUAGGAAAAUAAUUUCUUAACCCUCCCCCCGCUUCAACCUAAACCCCCAGACAUUCCCCAGCCUACAACAUCAACAGGUCAUGCUGUAGCUAUUGAGUUCCUUUUUUCAGAGUGCAAAUCCUUUGAGAGAAGGAAUAAAGGAAUUGAAGAAAAGAAGACAGUAAAAAAGAGAAGCAAAUGAAGGUGAAACUAGAGAGAAGAUAAAACAAAGCACAAAGCCAAUCACACAACCAGGAAGUCAGUUCCACAUUGACUGACUGCAUAUGAAAGGAAUCCCUACUUGAAAAGAGGAGAUCUCCAAGAAAUAGAGUGAUUAACAUGUAAUAGCUUGCAACAUGCCACACGAAUUCUGAGGCGAACAGGGUGCAAACAGAGAUGCAUGUCACCAAAACAUCACAUCUGGGAGCUUUAACUUGAGGGAUUUACCUGAUGGAGGUAAUCAGUGCAUAAUGCAAGAUUCUGUACAAGUUUCCUUCAACGAUGAGCUUUAUAUUAAAAGUUCCCUAAUUAGAAAAUCUAAUGACGGCGGGUAAUUAAAUAUUUAUAUUCAAGAAUAUAGAUAUUUCUGAGCUGUCAAAUUGUGUAAAAGACAUCGUAUGCUCAAGUUUUCAAGGAAAUAUGGCUAUCUUGAAGAUGAUUUAAGAAAAAAAAAUUCAUAUUGUUACAAAAAUAUGUUUAUAAAUUUUAGUUCAAAGACGAAGAGUUACUAUUUACUUCAAGCUUGGGACAUAUUAAGAGUACUGUUGGAACUGUCACAAAAGAGGCCAUAUGCAUGCCAAGAAACAACAAGUUCUAGUACAAAAACAUGAUAGAUUUUCUACCCUUAUCUUUUUAUUCUUGCACGUGAUCCCAUGUGAACUAAUGAAUGCAAGGCAAUUUAUGUUGGAAACCCUACCAACAAUAAGCUGCAAAAAGGGUGAAAUGAAUCUUUUUGAACUUGUCGAUAGAACGAUGCAACAUGAAGGUUUCAUAUUGUGGCCAGAUAACAAAGGAAUUUUACUACUACAUUGGCAAAACCAAACAAAUAGCAAGGUAAUGUCAAACUUCAGAAAACCUAUUCCACCCUUUGUGACAAGGCUGUCACUACUUUGUCAUCAUCUAGUUGACAUGACAGCAGUCUGGCAUGCAAUGAAACUAAAAAAUCAGCUGUCCCAGAAAAUUAUUUAUAAUCCAAACUCUACCGAGUAUCAUCAUCCAUAAGGAAACUGAAGAACUGAAAGAAUUUCCAGACAUUUGAACAAAGUAAACAAAGAACGAGAAAUAAAGACACAUCAAUGAUGCGUUCCUACGGGAAAUCAUUGUCUGCAAAAAACAGUGUUGUUAAAAAUAUACGAAAAAAAAUCACGACAAGCUAAAUAGCAAUAGCGGCACUGAGCCUCACCUGCUGAGCAAGCACAACAAGACCUUCACAUCUACCAGAAUAUCCAGAAAAAAGUGGAAAAGUAUAGUUUCGUAGCUGCACAAUGAGAGAUGCGGUCUGUAAAAUCAUCUUUCUUCCAUAGAACCGAGAAAAUGGUAUAUCACAAUCUGAAGAUACGGGGUCAACUCUGUUUAUGAACUGAAGCAUUCCAGUAUCACCGCCUUCAAUUUCUGUCAAGGUCAGAUCCAACUCUGUGGCAGUAAGGCAUAGCAGUGAACUUCUGGCACUACUUGGUUGAAAACCAGCUUGAAAGCCUCUUCUGCAGGCUCCUGAUCCUUCUGAGGGGGACAUUUUCUGACAUGCAAGGUAAUAAGAUCGAAAGGCCUGGUUAUGGAUUUCAUCUUUCAACUUUUCAAUUUCAGACAUCUUGUUUCCAUCAAUUAUCACACCAUUGUAUUCUAUCUUUUUUUCUGACCCCAGGAUGUUGCCAUCAGACAGAAUAUCAUCAAGAAACUUCAUUCGAACAGCUGACUCACAAACCACUUUCUUCAUUAAAUGAUAAUGCUCAUCAAGCCAACCUUGAAUUGGUUCUUCCUCAAUAUCAGCAGUUAACUUUCUUAUAUUGAAUUUCACGCAUCCAAACUUUGAUUUUGCCUUCACUUUCUUUGGAACAUCCUUUCCUGAAGGAGUUAGGAGACUGCUUCUUGCAGCAGUGAUAAGUUUCAAUGCUCGUAACAUAUCCUCAAUGGCAUCCUCUAUAGCACGCAACUGGAUCCUAUAGGGCAUGCAGAUGUGAACAUCAAGUCCUUGAACGACCCAAUCCCAUGUGCUGACGGCCUGAACUCUUGCAUCACGAGGAGCAUUUGCAGUUGAAACAGGAAUGCGUGAAAUUUGAAUGCGGCUACUUUUGAGAACCCUAGCUUCAUUAAAGCUAAAGAUUAACCCUUCAAGUAACAUGCCAAUUUUGGCAUUUUCAGAGAAAAUUGACUGCACGUGAACCAUUGCCUCAACUCCAUCAGCGAGUUCAGCAGAUAGUCUUAACAUCAUAACAUCAAUAGCAAAUACUGACUCCCUUGUUUUGUGCAUCUUAUUAGAUUGAACUUGAUCACUAACAACUUCUUGAACUUUCUCUGAGUGUUUCUUGUGAAAUAAUCCUUCAUUAUGAAAUGCUUGAAGCUUUUGAUUGUUAAGAACAAGCUUCAAACGCAAAAAUAGUUCGUAUAAUGCCAGAUGAGCAUCAGGCUCCCAUCUCAUGGUAAUAUCAGAUGCACUGAAGAGAGAACAAACAGAGAUCUCAUUAAAUCCACCUGUACGGCGCACUAGCUUAGCAUUUUUCAUAUCAAACAAAAGCACUUUGGCACCAGGCCUGCCUUCUUCAGAUAAUUCUUCAUAUAUGGCGUUAGUUCUUUGAAUUUCCAUCUGCAAAGACUUCUUCUCCUUGUUAAUGGAUGCACUCAGGUGGAAAAUUUCAAGAGAAGUCAAGUAAUUUAGAUUCUUGCAAUCAUUGGACAACGUCGAUGUUAUUGUUGCCCUACGUGGUAUGCCAUCAGGAGACGUAGUGAAUACAACAUUUCCACCAUGAGAUCCAAAGUUCACACGUUUGGGGUCUGGAACAGUUGUAUCUUCAAUAAUAAUGUCCCCAGAAAAAUUUACAGAACACCUUUCAAGGUUAAGCUUCAGCAUUUGAAUUCCCUUUCCUCCCACUUUGCUUGAACGUCUGUGUGUCAUCUUUUUACCAGUAGAUAGGCGCUGUAACAGCGAUCUAAAUGACAUCACGGUCGAUAUAAGAGACUCAAUAUUCUGUAAAUUAAAAAAUACGCCCAUACCAGUGAUAUCAACACAAAAGAUCAAUUUCCAGUAUUUGCAAUUAGGCUCUUCGCUGGAUUCUAUCUCCUUGUGUCCCCAAUCUAGACUGACUCGCGCAAUAUGCAUUAAGGAGCCUGAAUUUGUCUCCACACCAAAAAGGUUUUCCUUUAAACAUUCCUGGUAAUCAUCUGGCUUGUGUAAAUGUAUUUCUCCGAGUUCUGUAUGCAAUUGAAUCCCCUUAGAAGCUAUAUUAUUCGCAAAUAAAUGUGAAGACUGCGUGCAUCCCUGAAUCAUCAUGUACCAUUGAUGAGAAAUUAUUUUAUUUUAUCGAAUAAAUUAUUGCCAAAGCAUAUGAAAAACCGUGAUAAUGAAUAAUAAAAUUUGAUGAAGUUGACAGAAUGCACAACCAAAAAAGCAUAUGGAUAAAUGUACUCUGACUGACAAACAGACAAAACGUCAAGCAAAGUGACAUAAAUAUCGAGAUAAAAACAACCAAAGGUCCCUGGAAGCGCAGUUCUGACUCAAAAGUAAUCAAUGGCUUAAAGAUGUGAAAUUAAAAUACAUUUAAAAAAAAAGAAAUUUGAAUCUUCCAACACUUAAAUAAAGCAAUUAUAAAAAGCAAAACAUUCUAAACAAAGGUGAGAGAUGAGUGGAAAUGCAAACUAGAGAGACAGAGAGAGACAGAGAGAGAUAUUAGAGAGACAGGGAUAGAAGGGAAACCCAAGUUUGAACCACUCAUACUUGUGUCUUGGAAGGCAGAAUGGACCAGGGUUCCUAGGUUGGUCACAGCAAAUCCAGCCGAAAUUUAGAUUGGAUUAAAUGAACCAGCAAGUUUGUGAUAACGAGUGAAAGAUGACUAAAAAGACAAAAAGAAUGUUUAAAACUUAAAAAGAUAUAUUGAAAGUUUUAAAGGCUGAAUGCUUCCUAAAAUACAAUCCUUGCCUAUCCCCCCACCCCACCGCACAGCCUCAACCUGAUCCUAUCUCAUUUUGAGCGGAGGGAAUGUGGCAAAAGUGGAGGACUGAAGCCCCAGUGGACAAUGACCGAUGGUCUUUGCUGGCAAGCCCAGCAGUGAGUUCCAGUUAAUCUUGUCCUUCUUCCCUGUAGAGUUUCAGAUAUCAUCAGAAAGAGGAUUUGGGAUCCUCAAAAGAUAAACGAAAAGGACCACCGCUUGGAGCACAAAUUUCCAAAUAAACAGCUGGAUACGCAUGCCACAAAAACAAUACCGCAAGAUACCCACACACGACAAUAUUUCUACAGGAAACAAAAAAAACUUACAUGGUAUAGAGGUGAACCGUCAAGACCAUACAGCAUAAUGGCCAAUUCUGGUGCUGAGACGGUACAAGUCCACAUGAUAGAUUUCAGUUCAUUUUUCCGCAACUCUUCAGCAUGCAUACCUUCUUCCGGAAGAAUUACAUGUUUUUUCUUUGACAUAUGAAGUUGAAGCCAUGGCUUUAGUCUGUUCAUGAUGAGGUUACACUGAGUGCCACCAAGUUUGACAUCAAUUUCAGCCCUAAUAGGAACAGCUGGCUGGAAACAAGUUGUGUUGUAAAGUAAUUAGAAAUUUCAGAGAGCAGAGUAAAUAAAUCACCAAAAAUGACAGCACUGAUGUACAUUAUUAAUAUGGAUAAAGGACAGCAUUCAUAGCAGAGUAUUGAGGUUGAAGCAGACAGAAGCAUGUACCAAAUGGAGUCAUCCAUAUUUAUACCUCAGGCAAAACAUCUCUCACAUUAGAAGCAGUAGGUGGCGGAGAAAGUGAAAAAUAAGUGGUAACGAUCUGAUAAAAAAUGCAUAAUACCAUGACAUUCAACAUAAGAUCCUCAGGAAAAACAGGAACUAUCAUUUUGUCGAUUUCAUUGACUAUAAAUAGUCUGCCAAAUUUUAAAUAUAAUAAAUGUAUGCAUAUAUGUAAAUAGAGAAAAAUAAUAUUUUUUCUGUCACAGGAAGCUGGCUGGCACAAACACGCGAACAUUUCCAGAGAGAAAAACUAUAAACAGCGAGGUUCACAAAAAAGUAACUACUUGAAAAGGGUAUUUCCUGAUAAUUAUAUAGCUUCUUCAAGAUGCUGCAGUAUCCUUACAAAGAUCAGAUUUCAUUCCGGAGUUUUUAGCUUAAUCUAUUUGACAGUACAAUCCCACUAAGGAAACCAUCCAAUGUGGAAACAGUGGCAUGUCUCAACGAUUGACUAGACCAGGGAAAAUGAAAUAAAAGGCUUACUAGCAUUGGAACAUCAAAAGAUGCCAUGACAGCAACUUUCAUAAUCUCCAAAAGAGAAGUUGGACCCUCUCGAAGAAGCUACAAAAGAAAGCACUAUAAAAGUCACUAUAAAACAAUAGCAAUUUGGUAAGCAUUAGACAAAGAAAGGCAAGCAAAACGAACAUAGAUUUCGCUGAAAUCCAAUAGAACAUCAAAAUGUGAUGUAGCUUCAUCUGAAUCCUCAAAUGAAUGUAAUUUGGUGCACUCCAGACGAAUACCCAUGACAUUAUUCUCAACAGAAAUUUGAUGUCCUUGAUGCACAAAUCUGACGUCCAGCUUUGGCAAAUUGAAGCUAACCUUCCAGAGAGAAAUAGGAAAAGAAUUGUUAUUCAAUAUUCGUACGGCUUUAAGAAACUUUGUCAACCACUAAUAACUAAUGAACUUUGUGAAAGGAUAAAAAAAGUCCAACUACAUGGAAGGUAAUAUAACAGAAACAUAGAUGUAGAAAACGUCCCAAGAGAACGAAACAACAUCCUUUUGAAAUCAAAACAAACUAGAUUAAAAACGGGGCCAAAAGUGAAAAAGCGUCAGAUUGAAGAAAAAGAAGACCAAAUCUGAUAAAAGAAACACUAAAGUAUCAGCUUUGGAUGCCACCCUUAUGUUGUAAGCUUCUGAACAACGUUCAGUGGCUGGUGUAUUUUUAAAAGGAAAAGCAUUUAGCUGAUAAGGCGCCUAUUCUUGUAUACGACUUUCUUCCAGUGAGGAAGCCACGAAUCCGUUAUUCUAGGAGGUUUGGAUCGCUAUUAUGGUCAGAAUCAACUAUGUACAGCACAAUCCUCGUACGACUCCAAAGCUUCUUAAAGGAAACAAAACGAAUGAAACAGUUGAGUAAACUCAGAUAACUCUAAAAGCAAACUUUGAAUUUUUUGAAAGUACCAUCAAUUUUCAAAAUACCAUCCUGAUUUGGUACAAUGUCUCUAACUUUAAAGAUCAAGUCCGAUUCAUCAGCCUCGGACAAUCUAACUCUAGUCCAAUUCGCAAAGCCAAGUGCCUUCAAAAGGGGGAGGCUAUUAUUUUUAGUGGAGUUCAUCUUUAAAUUCAUAUCAGUUGGAGCCAAGAAAGUCAACGUUACAGUUCCGUCAGUACAAUCCUACACAUUUUUUUACUUCCUGAAUGACGGCAAUGUCUAAGCAUGUACAGAUUUCUUUUCCGUAAUUACUAACUGCUUCAGUUUUUCUAGCGAAAAAGUCCACAGACACAACAAGCUGUCUGACACUAAGUUUUACCAGAUUCAAGCAACGUACACUUUCAUGAUUCGAUUCCCAGUCACCAGACAGAGAAGGGGAAGAGGAUUGAGAGAGAAUAUGAACUUAGCGCUUGACGAUAUAUCAGUUGUGUAAAAGCAUUGAUGUUGGAAACGCUUUAAUUCAGAGAAAACAUUUUUUUCUGAAAAAAGAAAAUAACUCUAUGCACAAAAAAUUAUGACAUGAGAAGGGGAAUUCGUUCCCUCUGUUAUAGUUAUAGUGAGUUACACAGAAAAAUAUUUCAGAACUUUCCUCUUCAUUACAGAUGAAUCUAAUCCGGAAGAAAGUUUGACUCUAUGGGAUAUCUUGCAACUGGAAAGCAGCUUCAUUUCCUAUGUUACACGUGAGUCCACUAGAAAAAUAUCUUUUGUUUCCGUCGGUUAAAAAAUCAAGCCUGACCAAAAGAUGACGUUACAGCAUGUUUCCCACCUGGAAUUAGCUUCCACUCUUGUGGCAUAUGCGAAUCCUAUUGGAAAAAUGUCUAAAUCAUCUUCCAUUCAUCACAAAUAUGAACAAAAUCUGACCAUACAGCAUGCCUUGCCUCCUGAUAUUGGGUAAACAUUAUACAAUGCAAGAUGUAUCUGGCGCACGGGAUAAAAGUUGUGUUAUCCUACGUCCAUGACUUCAAAUAGAUAUCAAAAUUUAAAUGACAGAGCAUUACCAUAAGAAUAUUUCUGCAAAGAAGCGAUGGAAUCAAAUAGCAGUUAAUGAUAUAGCGAUUAAAGGACAUCACAAGUGAUGACCCACAUACCUUGUCUGGGAACACAAGUGCAUGCUUCUUCAGUGACAGAAAAGAUUUUUCAUCCUUCUGAGACCUUUUAAUCAAUAAGGAUUCCGAGUUCGAUCCACCACUCAAAUCAUUACGAUCAAAGCUACCUGGCGUAGCCUUAGAUUUAACAAACAAGCUCUCAUCAAGGUUUAUAAUGACCUCCCCACUUGUCACAUCCAUGUUUCUUACCUUCGCUCCCACGUCCCUGAAGAAAAAAUUAAACUCGAUGACACCAAUAAAUUAAACAAACUUUCAGCAUGAUUACUAGACACUUUGAAGAGACUGAUAAAAUUCAAAAAAUUAACAGCAGUGUAAACCAGCAACAAAUAAGUGUCACUUAACAAAUGGAAAGUUUGAACCAUAGGUUCACUCGUUAAAAAUAAAUUAAAUGUCCAUAAGAGAAAGCAAUGAUAGAACAGUUAGCUUGGGAGUUCUAGAGUUACUCUUCAACAAGUAUGAAUAAUCAUGAGAUGAGAGAAACCUUUGGUAAAGGUGUUUUUAGAAAGAAAUUUUUAGGUCAUAUCAAAAAUAACACAUUUAUGUCGAUUAAAUUCAUGAAAUGGUCAUACUGUAUGCUUCAAGAAAAAUAAAUUUUGAUACGAAAAUAACAUAAUAAAAGUUUCUUUCAAUAAGUCUGUGACAAGAAAAUGCAUUAAAAAAUGUAUAAAAAAGUUCAUUCGUUAGUGCAUUCAAAAUUCUAAGCCCAUAUUAAUAUUUAUAAAGUCUGGACAAAGACGAUGAUAGAUCUUAAAAGAACUAAUGAAUGGAAGACGAUAUGGAAUAGCCACAUUAGAGGCCAAAAAUGGAAAAAUCGCCCUGCUAUUCCCAAUGAAAUACAAUAAUACCUGCCCCUAAAAUAUAAAACUUUGUCCUAUAGUUUGGCCUUCAUUUAAUCACAACUAGAAAGUGAAUUCAUUUCUCCCUUUGUCUGGAUCCCUAUAAAUUUAAAAAACGUCAUAAGGUAAUGAGGAGGAAAAAAUUACCUCUCAUGCCCCAACUCACAGACAAUUGACAGAUCUUCACAUACAAAAGGAGCCGAGUUUUUCCCAGCAAAGUGGUCACCAGUUGGCAAGCACCCAACUUGGUUGUACUCAGAUGUACGGUCAUAACUGAGACGUUCAUCACAAAUGUAGAUAAGGAAGGGUAAAAGAUGAAGUUUGAUAAGCAAAACUGUGUUGGAACCCCCAAUUUUGGAUAUGUCCACUAUUAAUUCUUUCACAUCAAUGGUUGCUUUUGGAACCUGCAAUUUUUCAAAAUUAAAGCCUUCACAAAGUAAUAAUUAAGAAGCUAUGUGCAUCCAAGUUGUCAGAAGAUCAAUCUAUCAUGAAAACAGAGUAGAUGUAUACCACUUUGAUAGCAUAAAAAUUAAAAGUCAUUUUUUACAAAAGUAAAAACAGAAAUUUCUAAAUGUAGUUUACAGUUGCAUACCAGUUCAUAGGCAGAUCAAAAAGGCUUUUAUAGUUCUAGCAAGCAUAAAAAAUAAUGGUUUACUUAAAUAAGGAGAUCCGGUUCGUUCAAACCUGCCGCAUCUAAAGAAGUCAAGAGAAGACGCUUACCCUCAGGACUAAAUCAGUGAUAGAGACUGACAAGAACCUUGCCACAUUAACCAGAAGCAUCCACUUUCCUCUGCUUGCGGAACGUGAUUUCUGGCGACCAUCAUUUUUUCUUCCUUCCUUUUUUUCUGGGGUUCUCAUUACAAUCUCUAGAUCACUUAUCAACAAACGCAACUUUGGGUCUCUUGAUAUGAAACUAAACCCUAGCUUGACCAGAGAUUUACGCAGACUAAGCUUCACUUCACCAACAGAAACAGACUCAACCGCACCCUGAAAGCAUGUCAAAUUGAUUGGAUUUAUUACCAUCUAGAUUUGGAUUCCACAGAAGCAGAAUAAAUAGUCUAAUAUUUUUACAGAAGUAAAAGAAAUCGUCAAGGGAGACAAAAGGAAAAUACAUAAUUUAUUUCCACGGUUUCCAAACAACUGUGAGGCAGUGAAUACAUCAGGCAUUGUCUCCAAACAACCUAUUGCACUCAAUAAAAUAAAUGAGAAGAUGCUGCCAUAAUUAUAAUAGUUCAUCAUUAACAUUGUUCAUCUCUUCAGUAAGUUUUCUACAAAUAACUUUACCAUCAUGCGUAGCUAUUUGUUGGCAAUGAUCAAGAAACAAAAUCAGAACCAUUAUAAUAGCAUGCCGGACAACAAGUCUCCGAAGCAGAAUGACACCCUCCUCCAAAUUCAAUCUACGAAAGGGACAUCCAGUGAAAAAGGGAAGACAGCUUACAAAAUUCAUCAUAGUAACUUUGUCCAAAUAAAUGAGCUAGUAUUAAGAAAACAUUGAUCAGGCUUCAUGGGAAAGGAGAUAUCUAGAUAGAUAUGUUACACACUUUUUUACAGGAUGAAAGAUCAUUCAAUUCCAUUGCCUUCAACAUUAUCCAGGAAAAGAACCAUUACAGUUAAAAUCAUUAUUUUCCAUGCUUUCUUAGUUAGAAUAUGGCGAAGGAAACCUAAGGUCCACUGAAAAAAUAAGUACAAAAAAUAUUGGAUGAAAUUGAUACCAACAGUUUAUGUCAUGAACUUGAUCAAUGGCGUUGCUAUUGACAUGAAAAAAAAAGUCAUUGUUGGAUCACACGCCUCUCAGAGAGUAGCAGGAGGAAAAAGUAGAAAUGAAAACUGCUACUGAUGGAGAGAGCACUAAGUUCGAUGAACACACGAAGAAACACUGCUCACACAUAUCAAAAGGGUAUUCCUAUUUUUAAAAAAAAUCUGACGUCAUCAAAGAGUUAAGGCAACAAAUAGCGAUAAAACUAUCCUUUUGAAAGCAUAAAGAGUUCAAAAUACUGUAUCCAAACCUUUCUGAACUUCACGGUUACAUCCCUCAAGCAGUUGCACCCAGCAAGCCGAAGUCCGACAGAUGCCCCCAAAACACGACUCAGAAACCAUGCCAGUAACCUGGAAAAGAAUCUAGAAGAAACAGGCAAUUGUAAAAUAUAGAAAAGAAAGGGCCAACCAUCUAAUUCUAACUAGUUGCCUACAAGGGAGUUAACUUAAAAUCAUAAGUUUCCAUUCAUAAUAACCAAUGCAAGACAAAAUUUUGGUGAAAUGUCACAUGACUUGGAAGCAAAAUGUACAAUAAAGAAAGUUUAGCACGUAACUCAUUGUCAGAAUCCCGAAUGACAAUUGUCAAUUUUGCAUCAAAAGAGAUGGAGGAUUCUGAAAGCAAUUGACAAUGUGCACGGAUAUCUAUUUUCCUGUUCGGGUUUAAAUGAAUCUAUCUUGUAAACAAUAAUAAUGGAUAUACACAAGAAACCCCAUCUGAGUAUAUAAAUUAAAACGAGGGCCAUUGAAAAGUGUUUCGAGGGAAAAAUAACUAUCAUUGAACUUUAGAUCGGCAAACCAGACAGUUACAUUCCAAACACUGUUUUUUAUUACACCAUUUUAAUGAAUAAUAUAUGUGUCCACACAAACCGAAUAAAAUAUUGUUUCUGGCAAACCGAAUAGCAAGGCAAAAGGGUGAUAAUUGAAUUUGGCCUGCUCUCAAGCUUCUAACUAAAUUAUUACGGUCAAUUGGAGGAUCAUAUGUGCGGGAUAUCUCCUUUACAUCCAGUUACUGCACAUGAGGAACAUUUAAAGUCCUGUCACACACAUGCUGAGCUUAACUCCAUCAAUUGUCACAGAGUAGAAGUAUACAAGGGUUACUGGUUUUGUUCCUGGUUUUGGCAAACAGUCAUCUUGCCUCUUCACAAGAGACGGAAAGUCUCACAUACUCUUCUAAUGCCAGCUUCCCACCGAAGAAUCAUUGCCAAACUGUAAGGCAAGUAGUAAGAGGCAUCCUAAAUCUAAAUAGAAACACUUGCCAGCUGCUACAAUCUAGACCACUGUGUAUGAGUUAGUAAUUAUGGACGAAAAAACUGACUCAACAAAUGCACAGAUCCAUAUAUAACAUUUUGGCGAUCGAAUCAAAUGUCUCAGUAUGUUGAUGCACGGUUUAUCAUAGUUCAGAAGGCACACCCGAGUUUCAACUGGAAAAAGCGGAUUGUCAAAUUGACUUUCAAGAGGUCUUCUGACUUCUAACAGGGCCGCGCUAGUUGCUAAUCUAUUCCAAGAACGAGAGUCCGACAACCAGCUUGUUUCAUCCUCCACCGGCCUAAUCAGCAACACCCAAGUCAUACUCUUCUCCUCAAACAAUUCAAUCACAGAAAGCAACCGCACAGAGUCCUCCAAAAUUCUCAAAACUGCAAAUCCGUCUAAGCUGUCAACAAAAGACGAGGUCCAACAGGACGACCAUCUAGGGAUAAAAUUAGUGCACCCCCCCCCAACCCCCAGCGCAUCCCCAUCAUGAUUUCUCAGUCCAAUGGGAGAAUCGACGAGCUGGUUUUCAAGGCUGAGGAUGGGCCGGUCGUCAGAGUCGCUGAUAAACCCGACCAGCGGCAACACAAAUGAGCGUUUCUUCGAAAGUCCAGAAAAAGUGCUGGGAGAUAACGAUAGGCCCGAGUUCGGAGGCUCACAUGACGACGACCCAACCGACGAUGCAGAUUGCAAGGAACACGUAGAGGAACUUGACAGGGGACGACGCCAUGGGAGCCGUAUCGCGAUCCUACAGGCGCCGGACCACAGCAGCUCGAGUACCCUGCUUUCUCAAAAAACGGCACACCACAUGCCUCCGAGCCCGUCGACGGAAGCGAGCGGCGAAAACCCUAGAGGGAGGACAACCACGGCCGGGAGAGCGACACCGCCGCGGCAGCAAGGGCAAGCCCGAAUUCGCGUGAUCCACUCCACAGCCGAGGGAGAUCGGACCCGCGGCGGCGGAGGACGAAACGAUCAAUGGCGGUGGUGGUGCCCGCGGGGAACGCGCGCGCCGGUCUCUCUUCCUCUCCCCCCCACCCCUUCCUCCCUCUCCCUCUCCCUCUCCCUCUCCCUCUCGCCCGGGGAAGGACGGGGCUGGCCGUCCUCUGGAUCUGACGGCUCGACUGCUCCGCCUCUCCCGCUCUCCCAGCCCCCGCAGGCCCCGCAACGAGCCAAGCGGGACCGCUCGCAGGUCUCACGUUAACCCCGCCACGUCCGCUGCCGCCCUCGGAAGACCACGGAUUUCGAGCCCCCUUCGUGCCUUUCGAUGCGCGCAAGAUCGCUCCUUUUUUUGUCGUCACGUAUCGGGUCAACGCCCCCUUGGACGGCUGCCCAAUCACCGGCCGCAGCCUCCCCGCACCCGCAUCCCCUCGGGUCAACGUUCAACGGGCCAGGCCGUGCGAUGCGAGCUCCGGAAAACGAACUGCAAGAGACCAAGGCACACAGGGAUAGCUAUUCAGAGAGCGCUCCUCCUCUCCAGUCUUCAUCGCACGAAUCAACUCCCCGCAUGGUUCUUCUGAUUUCUCACCCCACCCAUCCAUCCCCUCCUCUUCUUCCAGAGAGGCCAAGAGCCUACACAAACAGAAGAGCGGGGGGGGAGGAAGAUAAGUCAACCCCCAGGGACCCACCCGCCUCCCCCCCUUGAACAGCAUCACAUGCAUGAGAGACCAAAGUCAAAGAAUCGGAGCCAAGAAGAGGCCGGCGUGGGUUGACUUUCCGUCACCAAAGGCUGCUCACCAAAGGGCCUUCCAAGCUUCAGUACUUGAUCACGUGGCGGCGAAGCCAGAGCUCGAACAUCACCAUGUGGAAUGCAUCGUAGGGCGCCGGAGGCGAGUGCCACUCGAAGUGCUUCUGGACCUGAUCGCACACAAUCGGAGCAACGUUGCCAUCAAAUUAACCUCCAUCUUAUGCCAUCAUCCUCAUCAAUGAUGAUGAUGAUGCUGAUGAUGCUGAUGAUGCUGAUGGUGAUGAUGGUGAUGAUGCUGAUGAUGCUGAUGAUGAUGAUGGUGAUGGUGAUGGUGAUGAUGAUGGUGAUGAUGGUGAUGAUGGUGAUGAUGGUGAUGAUGGUGAUGAUGGUGAUGAUAAUGGUUAUGAUGAUGAUGAUGUGGUUAAGAACAUGCCACAGCUCCAGCAUUCAUCGGCCAAGGGAACGCCAUACCUCGACCAGUCUCUUGUGCAGCAUGGCAAACUCCUCGUCGGACACGGCCUUGAGAAUCUGCUUAAGGCUGUAGACGUCGCGCUCCCUGAGCACGAGAGAGAACUUCCGCCAGUCCAGGAUGUCAUUAAACGGAAGAUCGUAGUAGUCGGACAGGACGACUGAAAGGAGCAGCAGCGAGCACAUCCACAGCACGUUAAAUGGAAGACCAGAGAGAGGAAUCGCCAUCACGCGCAGCAGUAAGCUUCUCACCUGGAACACAUGCAUAAUGAAUGGAAUCGGCUAUGCGAGCGCUGUUGACCUGGGAGCCACCCGGGCAUAUGCAGAAUUUGGUUCUGUAGAAUCGCUUCUGGUAAACAAGCUCCCCAGUGGCUCUAUUAAUCCGAUUGUUGCUGAUGGCAAGCUCGGUGUCGUUCUCCCAGACACGCGCGAGGAUAACUCUGAUUCUAGAGUUGCGGUGCCCGGCCCAGAAUCCCAGGAUUGUCCUGCAAAAUGGUCGUCAAGUUAUAAGCCACCUUCGCAGCUUCCCAAAGCAGAAAACACAAAAAGAGAACGACCAAGAGUUGACUGAGAGAGAGCGGGGCCCCAUAAGCAAGCCCUCACUCGGCCAGAAGAGGACCAUGAUCGUGUUCCAAGCCCAUGUUCCUGUGAGAACGUGUUGAUAGGUUCUUAUGCUCCCAGCAGGUAAAAUAACUGUUCUUCUACGUCGGCCCCCAUAGCCUCAUGCUACUUAACAUUUCGGGUUUGACUUUUUCACAUGUUCUGACAUGUCCAGGUCGGGAAGGCAGACAGUGGGUUGACACCAGUUUAGUGAACACCGAGAUUGGCAGAUGCUACAGCAAGCUCCACAGAGCACCGUUGCAGGGGCAAAGGCAGCAGAAUGAAACGCAGCCAAAUUCCAUGGGUAACGGAGGAGAGACAUCAUCAAUCAACAAGAGCAGACUUGGAGAGUGGCCAACCUGUUCUCGAUGUCGUUCCCUCCUGCUGGGAGGGGAAAUGGCUGCAGCACCUGGGGCAAGGCGACGUCCUUGUGAGGGAUGUAGCCCACAUCGUAGCUCGGGGAGCAGACGACCCGGAUAGCAUUCUUAACCAGGAAAGUCAGCCCCUCGGUUGCCCUCACCCCGACAUCAUGGCAUGUUACAAAGAAAUGAUCGGCUCCCAGCGUCCUGUUCCAGUAGGGGUACUUUGCUAUCAAGCUCUCCACAUAGGUCCGUACAAUGGCGGUCAUGUUCUCAUACGAUAUUCCCUGAAAGAUGAUUCGGAAGGGCACCCGGAUGAAGCGACUCCUCAACGACCGGAGCGAGCGUCUCUCCAAUCAUCCCCAAUUUCUGAGCUGAGAGUGCGCUUUACCUUGCCCCGCAUUUUGUGGCAGGAGAUGGGGAUGAAGAACAGGUCCGCCUUCUCGGGGUCGUCGGUGCGGAACGAGCUCUCCUGUAUGUUCUGAAAGAAGUAGCCCUCACUGGCGUACUUGCCCGUCAGCUUCCUAGGCGUCUGAAAGUACGUAUUUGGGUCGCCGUCCGGGUACACGAACACCUUGAAGCUCCUCAUCAUCUCCUCGUAGUUCCUCCAGAACACCUCCGGCGAGUGGUACACAUCGGACAGGAGAGGAGCACCUCUAGCAGAGGCGAAAUUAUCCCUUCUACCUGGAACCGCCUUCGCCGACAGAUGAGAAGAGACGUGAGAAGGGGGGGUCACCGCCGGCCCUAUACUCGCGAAAAUAAUGCGAAGAAAAUAGAGGUGAGCGAGCGGCACUGGCACCCGCCGGCCAGCACAAUACGAUCCUUGGAAGACCUUAUCGAGCGUCGACCACGGGAAAAUUUCGCAGCAGUGAACCACCGGCCGCGGCGUGAAUUCUUAGAAAAAGAGUACUCGCUAAGAAUCGGCAACAACCCCGAUCCAUACAGAAUGGCGGCCAUUCCUUCGGAAAGAAAGCAUCUCCAAGCCUAACGAUUGCUCCCUAAAUUCGCAGAGAAGGAGAAGGUCGCCGAAGAAUCCAGGGGAUCCACGGGACAAAGGCGCAAGAUACCUGGUAAGAGCCGGAGGAGACAUCGACGCGGUACUGGGGAGGGGACUGGAGGGACCGGAGGGAGAUGAAGCUGAGAACGAGGAGGCCGGCCAACGGGACCGUGAGGAGGGAGAUGCGCUUGCCGCCCAUCCCAAGGGGUUCCCGGCGGCGAGGACGACCCCUCGAUCUGGCUCGCCGUCGGAUCUCGGCCGGAGAAGAGCGGCGAACAGGGGAAGAGCUGCCGCUGAGUAAGCGGGGUAGUGGGGGGAGGGCCCCUGUGGGGCCCCUGGAUCGAACGGCGGAGCCUACGCCAUCUCGCAGAUCAGGCCCUGGCCAGAAACACCCCGAUUGGGCUGUGCCGCGGAUGAACGUACCGCGAACGUGCUGUCUGGGCCAGUUCGAGGGCGGCCCAGUGGGCCUAUCAUCGUCAGCAUCAGGAGAGCCCAUGUUAUUAUAUUUUUUAUAAUAAUAUUCGCCCCAUCUAUAUCUGGAAAAGCACAGAGAUUGGAACAUUAUCCAAUUCAUCAGAAAAUAAUCCAUUGGGGGAAAUAGCUUCCACACAUUUUUUGCUUAUUAAAUGGCUGCUGCAUGGCGCGUGCCCAACUCCGUCCCAGCUCUGAGCGGAGGAGCCAGGGGGGUGCAGCAGAAGGAGCCGUCCCUCUCCGACGGCGACGCGACGGCGACGGCGAAGAAGGCGCUCCCCGGCGAGCUACAGGGCACCCUUGAGGAAGCCCCGGCAGAGCCUCUUCCACGCCUCCCUGUCCGGCUCGUGGGCGCCGACGCUCGCCUUGGCCGCCUCCACGUGCUGGCUCUGCGGAACCCCGAGCGCCGCCGUGAGAUCGAUGGGCCGGCGGCGGCGAUGGCAGCGGCGGAGGAGGAGGAAGAAGAGGGAAAGGCGAUGAGAGUGGAGACUGACCUGGAUGAGGUCCCGCUGGUGGAGCCGGUCGAGGAGGUGGAGGAGUAUGUCCUUGUUGUACUCCGGGUGACCCUGGAUACCCAUGAUGUGCUCCCCGCACCGGAACAUUUCCACUCCCGUCUUCUCCGACCAGGCGAUCACCUCCGCCCUCGCCGGCAGCUCCCGGACCUACGACCGCUCAAGUUUAGAGAGACAGACAGACAGACAGACAGAAAAACGCAGAGAGAGAGAUUGAGAGUGGGGGAGGGGGGGGGUGUUGGAUCAUUCAUUCCGAGCAGAACCUCGUCGCGGUGGCACUGGAUCACCCGCAGCGGCGCCGGGAUCUUGAGGGCGGCCAUCAGCUCGCAGGAGUUGGAAGAGACGUUGACGGUGGUCAACCCGAUGUCCCAUCCGUUGACGGCCCGGCCCGUCUUCCCCCCCAGAGCCCGUCCCAGGAUCUGCGAGGCAGAAAGAUCCGUCAACAUGACAAGGAGAGCUCCCAGCACCACGGCCGCAGGAUCUGAGCUAGGAGAGAGCCCAUGUGAAUGGCGGGCCAGGGCCACCCGAUCCUCCUCUCCCACUCUGCUGGUGUUUUUUUGUCCCCGCCGUCGGAGAGGAGAACGGCGGAGGAGGAGCACGUGCCCGUCGUCUUCCGAGGGCUACUAUCCUCCGGCGAGGGCGGGGGGACCGCGUAUCUGCGUGAUCGCCAUGAAUAGCGCUCAGAUGGCCGAUCGUCCACCGGCCUCCCCCAAAAUACCAGGACGGCCGUGGUGGUGCGCGGAUCAGAAGUCGCAGUUCCUUAGUGUUGAACCCGCCAAUCGGUCUCCCAGCGAUGUCGAGUAAACGGCGAAGGAUCGCUCGCAGCCAGGCGGAGAAGAUUGGUUCAGCUUGGCGCCGAAAUUCAGGAGAAUGAUCAGAUUUGACAGUCGCAGGAGGAGAGAUCUAUCCUCUGGCCCGUCGAGGUCAUGGCAGCCGGAGACUUGGAGAGAGCGAGAGAGAGAGAGAGAGAAUGGGAAGGGUGGGUGGAACCCCACCUGGUGGCCGAAGCAGAUGCCGAGGAGCUUCUUGCGCAUAGAGUCGAGCUUCUGGAGAAGGGCGACGAGGGAGAGGAUCCAGGCGUCGUUACCGUCGGCAUCGCUGCAGCUGCCGGUGAUGACGAAGCCGUCGAAGAAAGGGAGCUGGUCGUCGGCGGGGAACUCCCCCUGGCAGACGCCGAAUACCUCCCAGACCUCUCCCUCCUCCGCCAGCAGCCCCACGAAGACACCGAAGUACCCGCCGUACCUCUUCUUCACGUACUCGGAGUCCUCAGCACACAGCAGCACUGCGAACCUCUUCUUCUCCAUUCCCUUCUCCCACCGCCACCGCCCCCAGCGACACAGAGACGGACAGGCAGAAUGAGAGGGAAUGGGGAUGUAGGCCGUGCUCACUUCCUUCGCCGUGGAGACCUCUUUUUUAGACGUGGAAAAGGAGGGAGGGGCAGAGAGAGAGAGAGAGGCUUAUGCGAGGGUGGUAGGCCAUGGUUGUGGACCUCGGAGGGGGGGCAUAACAUCAGAACCAUAUUUUAUAAAAUACGGGGAGAUCACAGAUACAGUGAACGAAUGAUGACCGCGAGUUCAUACGAUUUGGGUACACUCUCAAGCUAAGGAAGUUCCACGGAUUGUCCUCCAAAGGACGUUCGCGGUCUCAUCUCUCUCUCGCCCCUCGACUGUGUCAUUCACAGAGGAGGUGAGAGAGAGACGAGCGUCGUCCCCCUCGUUCUGAUGAACCAGGCGUACUAAGGACCCCAGAUCCUCUGAAGGGGGAGCCCAUCUCCAGAGCGGGAGCUGGAGCUGGGAGGUCUGGAGCUCUUGUCGACGCCGAGGACCCGGGGCCAACAGGCACGUGUCCACGCAGGCACUGCACGAUGAGCUACCCAGACCUGCAUGUGCCCCCCCCCCCCCAGCUUGCUUCGUAGACGCUAAAAAAAUACAUACGGAAGAUCCUGAAUACCUCCCUUGACAUAUAUUUUUAUAUUAAAUAUAUAGAUAUAUAUUUAGAGAGAUGGAGAGAGGAGACAGAUUUUAUAAAUAAGCCCAUUGGCACGUUGUCUCUCGAUUCCAUGGGCUACAGAAGGAUACUUAACGGGGAGGAAGAGGACAGGCAGAAAGAUAGCUGAGCGUCCCCCCCCCCCCNNNNNNNNNNNNNNNNNNNNNNNNNNNNNNNNNNNNNNNNNNNNNNNNNNNNNNNNNNNNNNNNNNNNNNNNNNNNNNNNNNNNNNNNNNNNNNNNNNNNNNNNNNNNNNNNNNNNNNNNNNNNNNNNNNNNNNNNNNNNNNNNNNNNNNNNNNNNNNNNNNNNNNNNNNNNNNNNNNNNNNNNNNNNNNNNNNNNNNNNNNNNNNNNNNNNNNNNNNNNNNNNNNNNNNNNNNNNNNNNNNNNNNNNNNNNNNNNNNNNNNNNNNNNNNNNNNNNNNNNNNNNNNNNNNNNNNNNNNNNNNNNNNNNNNNNNNNNNNNNNNNNNNNNNNNNNNNNNNNNNNNNNNNNNNNNNNNNNNNNNNNNNNNNNNNNNNNNNNNNNNNNNNNNNNNNNNNNNNNNNNNNNNNNNNNNNNNNNNNNNNNNNNNNNNNNNNNNNNNNNNNNNNNNNNNNNNNNNNNNNNNNNNNNNNNNNNNNNNNNNNNNNNNNNNNNNNNNNNNNNNNNNNNNNNNNNNNNNNNNNNNNNNNNNNNNNNNNNNNNNNNNNNNNNNNNNNNNNNNNNNNNNNNNNNNNNNNNNNNNNNNNNNNNNNNNNNNNNNNNNNNNNNNNNNNNNNNNNNNNNNNNNNNNNNNNNNNNNNNNNNNNNNNNNNNNNNNNNNNNNNNNNNNNNNNNNNNNNNNNNNNNNNNNNNNNNNNNNNNNNNNNNNNNNNNNNNNNNNNNNNNNNNNNNNNNNNNNNNNNNNNNNNNNNNNNNNNNNNNNNNNNNNNNNNNNNNNNNNNNNNNNNNNNNNNNNNNNNNNNNNNNNNNNNNNNNNNNNNNNNNNNNNNNNNNNNNNNNNNNNNNNNNNNNNNNNNNNNNNNNNNNNNNNNNNNNNNNNNNNNNNNNNNNNNNNNNNNNNNNNNNNNNNNNNNNNNNNNNNNNNNNNNNNNNNNNNNNNNNNNNNNNNNNNNNNNNNNNNNNNNNNNNNNNNNNNNNNNNNNNNNNNNNNNNNNNNNNNNNNNNNNNNNNNNNNNNNNNNNNNNNNNNNNNNNNNNNNNNNNNNNNNNNNNNNNNNNNNNNNNNNNNNNNNNNNNNNNNNNNNNNNNNNNNNNNNNNNNNNNNNNNNNNNNNNNNNNNNNNNNNNNNNNNNNNNNNNNNNNNNNNNAGAGAGAGAGAGAGAGAGCAACUUUUCAGACCACAGAAACAUCCUACGCCGAAAACCCUAGCUGCUGUGCACGGAAAUGGACGACAUUCAAGUAGGGUGAUAGGGGCCCCUAAGCGGAGACUUCUGGCGAACAGUUAUCGCAGGCUGUGUCCUUGGACUUCGAGGGGUGUAGCUGCUCUAAGCCUUCUGGACGACUUAAAAUAAACCAAAUCAGAUCAGAGAUGCGGAACGGUUCCGAUCGUUCGCUUUCCGGAAUCCGCGACGGUGGCUGUGAAAAGACGCAGCAGGAAGACGAGAGAUCAGUGAAGCAAGAACAGACGAGGAAACUUGAGCAUUCCCAGCGACCAUAAGCUCAUACAUGAGCAACUGGACAGUAUGCAGCCGUUGGCCUUCCUAUUAUUCCAAUGGGAGACGAGUGAUUGGCCCGCUCUGCAAAUAAGGAGAUGAAUGAACUCCAUGAAGACGCGACCCCCCAGCGAGUCAGUGACUCCGUUUCAAGCAAAAAAAAAAUCAGUUUUUUCUUCCCCUUCCCCCGAUUUUUCUGGUGCAGACUCGACGGCGAAGGAAAUCCUGAAAGUAUGCAAGGAAUGGCGAGAGAAGAAUUCAGGUGACGUUACAUGGAUCGCCCGCCAUCUACCGAUCACCGCAGUGCACCGAACGGAUGCACGUCGCUCCAUGUCGGAGUGCCGGUCCAGUCGUUGGCGGCGAAGCUGUUGUCGUCCACGGUCGCCGUGUUGUGGGUGGAGUUCUCUAGGAAAUAUCCCGUGGCGCCGCCGCCCCGAGCGCCACCCGCAGAGAGCUCCCUGGAACUCGAGAAUAAAAGGGAUGGUGGAGGAUGGUGGCGAGACAACGCAUUCAAGACGGCCGCACCACCGGUUCCCUCCUUCGUCGGGUGAUGGCCUUCGCCGCCGAAGAACAUGGCCAGCCUCUGCUGCUGCAGCUUCCAAUGGAGGUCCUGGUUAAUGGAGCUGAGAGACUCGAUCGAGGUGGCGAGGUUUCUAUGUAUGGACCCCAUGCUCUCUUCAGAAGUCGUGGUAGCGGUUUCUCCCCGGCAGCCCAUCUCGUUGAAGAAGGACACCGCCGGGGCUGGGCAAUCGAGGACGACCAGAGGAGCAGCACUUGCACCGACGGUGGUGGACGAUGAGAUGCCCCCAAAUGAUAGGACCUGGCUGGCGACGCCGCCUGAGGUCCCGCAAACGGGGGAGUAGGCGUUGUAGCCGCCAAGCUGAAAGAAACUCGGUUCCUGCAUGGCGCGGCCAUGGAGAUCUGCGGAGAGACGGAAGGAGGCUGUGGAGGAGGACAAGGAUGCCAUUGACCUCGAUUUCCUGGUUUUGCGGGAGCCGCCGCCGAAGGGGACGUUGCGGAGGGCGCCGCCCUUGGUCCAGUAGCGGCGGCAGGACUUACAGAAGUGGCGGGGCUGGGUGAGGCUGUAAUUGUUGUAGUAGCAGAACUUGGUGUUGUACGAGUCGCACCGGGGGCACUUCAGCCCCUGCUCCGGCGGCCUCGGCGACGUGCCGCCGCCGCCGCCGCCGCCGCAGGCGCUGGUGUUGCUGCCUUCUGGGCCGCGAACACUACCCGCUUGAGCCGGUGUCAUCUUCUUCUCUUCCGAGGACUCCCGCCUCCCCUUUCCCUCUUGUGCCCUUCUCGGAAUUUUUGCUGGCCUCUUCUCUCUUAUAGUCGAGAACCCAGGGAUAUGAAUGACGACGACUUGGUGCCAGCUAUUGAGCUUUUCUUCUCUCGUAUAAUCUAAGUUCGAAGUGUAAAUCAAUGUAUAUAUAUAUAUAUCGAGAGAGAGAGAGAGAGAGAGAGAGAGAGAGAGAGAGAGGAGGAGUNNNNNNNNNNNNNNNNNNNNNNNNNNNNNNNNNNNNNNNNNNNNNNNNNNNNNNNNNNNNNNNNNNNNNNNNNNNNNNNNNNNNNNNNNNNNNNNNNNNNNNNNNNNNNNNNNNNNNNNNNNNNNNNNNNNNNNNNNNNNNNNNNNNNNNNNNNNNNNNNNNNNNNNNNNNNNNNNNNNNNNNNNNNNNNNNNNNNNNNNNNNNNNNNNNNNNNNNNNNNNNNNNNNNNNNNNNNNNNNNNNNNNNNNNNNNNNNNNNNNNNNNNNNNNNNNNNNNNNNNNNNNNNNNNNNNNNNNNNNNNNNNNNNNNNNNNNNNNNNNNNNNNNNNNNNNNNNNNNNNNNNNNNNNNNNNNNNNNNNNNNNNNNNNNNNNNNNNNNNNNNNNNNNNNNNNNNNNNNNNNNNNNNNNNNNNNNNNNNNNNNNNNNNNNNNNNNNNNNNNNNNNNNNNNNNNNNNNNNNNNNNNNNNNNNNNNNNNNNNNNNNNNNNNNNNNNNNNNNNNNNNNNNNNNNNNNNNNNNNNNNNNNNNNNNNNNNNNNNNNNNNNNNNNNNNNNNNNNNNNNNNNNNNNNNNNNNNNNNNNNNNNNNNNNNNNNNNNNNNNNNNNNNNNNNNNNNNNNNNNNNNNNNNNNNNNNNNNNNNNNNNNNNNNNNNNNNNNNNNNNNNNNNNNNNNNNNNNNNNNNNNNNNNNNNNNNNNNNNNNNNNNNNNNNNNNNNNNNNNNNNNNNNNNNNNNNNNNNNNNNNNNNNNNNNNNNNNNNNNNNNNNNNNNNNNNNNNNNNNNNNNNNNNNNNNNNNNNNNNNNNNNNNNNNNNNNNNNGAGAGAGAGAGAGAGAGAGAGAGAGAGAGAGAGAGAGAGAGAGCAGCUGCGCAUGUGAACUGCACCGUGGCGAUGGAGGGCAGGUAAAGUACUCGUGAGUAAGAGGCCGCUUAGUACGGCAAUAGAUGCUCUUCUGAGCUUUCUCUUCUCUCCCCUCUGUCGGAGCUGCGCCGUGAACAAUGGCGCACAGUGCAACUCACCGUCACCAGCGGCGCCUUCCUCUUACUUCCCCCUCCGAAACCGGUAACUCAAGGGCUCCACCGGGCGGGGUCCGUCCCCGCCUGUCGUAUCGUUUCUGUGAUAUUCUCGGGGCAUGGGUAUCAGGGAGCAAGCUAGCCUUUUCAGAGGAACCCUGGGGAGCGAGAGGCCCUCCUCUGUCCCCGGCCAUGCGCCUACGCCACCAGCCUCCCGUCCACCGCCCUCCGGAUGGAUCCCUCCUUUCCACCGCCGCGAGGAGACGGGAAUCUCCACCGGUCUCAACCGACGACCGCCUGCAUUUACUGCGGCCGAUCUCCGCCAUGUGAUGACGAGGGAACGUGAGACGGCGGACGUCGACGAGGAAUAAGACCGCGAUGACCACCUCGUGAGGAGGGGGGCUGCUAGGCGGGUUACAGAGAGACGGGGGGGGAGGGGGUAAGAGUUCCCGUGAGGACCAAUUCCAGGCCCUCCUCCUCCUCCUCCCGCUCUCCCGGUAAUCGCGUGCUCUCUCCACUCGUGACCCGCGCGACCCAUCUUCCCCAAGAAGAUCAUCAUGGUGACGACCAACCAACCCACCGGCAGCGCCUUCUUCUCCACCGGGGGGUGGGGCGCGGGGGGGGUGGGGGCUUCCGCCUGGACCCUUGAAGCACUCCACUUGGGAGCUGACUGACGGCGGCCAGUCUCGUCUAAUCCGCCGGUCAUCCACCCAACCCAGGCUUCGGAGGUUCCGGUAGAUCGUUGUCGGCGGCCCUUGGUCUCGCCUUUCUCAGGCAGCCCAGUCCCUCCGAGUCUGGCUCGGUCGGAACGACAGCCUGGAGCGUAUUUACCGGGCCCCGCCACCCGCUUUGUUGGCAUUGACUCCGCCGCCGAGCCCAAUCAAAUCGGAGUUAAAGGACAACGCGAGAAUUUCAGAGCCUAAUGCUUCAGAGAGGAAGGAGUUCACACAAAACACGGAGAGAGAUGCCUGGGACAAACAAACCGGCGGCGUUGGAGGACCAUCUAGGGAGGCAUGGCGGCCGGGAGAUAAAAGAAGAUGCGGAAGAGCAGCGGCGGCGCCGCCCGUCGGGAAGACGGCCGCGGCGAUCAUUCGGUGGCCUUCAGGGUGUUGGCGACGUCGAUGACGAAGCGGUACUUGAUAUCGUUCUUGGCGAGGCGCUCCAUGGCGGUGUUCACGUACUCCAUCGGGAUCACCUCCACGUCCGCCGUUAUCCCAUGCUUCCCAGCGAAGUCCAGCAUCUCCUGCGUGUCCCCCAUCCCUCCGAUGCAGCUCCCCACCAGCUUCUUCCCCCCUGAUGACGAUGCGGAAGGCAUCUCGCGUCAGUCCAUACGACGACUAACAGGAGGAGGCUCUGAUCUGACCUGGAUGACGGAGGAAGGGGUUUCCUACCUAGGAUCAGGCUGAACGGCGGGACCUCCACGCCGCCUAUCUCGUGCCUGCGACACAGGAUUGAGGAUGAGCCUCGCUCUCUGGAUCGGGGGGGAUCGCGUCCCCUCCAACACCGCACCGACGAACAGGACGCUUUCCCUCUGCAAUCCCCUUCCUCUUCGCCGGUGCAGCCACCCUUCCCCUUCGCCGGUGCGGCAGCUCCUUCCCCUUCCCCUUCCCCUUCCCCUUCGUCGGUGCCGUAAAUCCCCCCUCUUCCCCUCCGCCGGUUCUGCUACUCCCUCCCGUUCCCCUUCGUCGGCGCUGCAACUCCACCCCUCCUUCCGUUCGCCGGUGCAACCCCCCCCACUCCGGCUUCCCCGCCUAGCACCCACCCUCCAGUGUAGCCUCCCACUCCCACGGCCAUCUCAUCUCCUCUCGGAUGGUAACACCCAUCUCCCUCUCCGAUGAGACCCCCGCACCCCCUGCGGCAGUCUCCCCCACUUCCUCGUCACAACCCCCCCGUUCCCUUCGCCGGCGUUGACACCUGCUGCCGCAUGCAGCGUCCUCCCCUGCCCUGCUGGGGGACGGACCCUCUCCGCCGAGGCCCACCACCUUCGCCUCCCACCGGCGCGCGGCCAUUAGCCUCCCUCACUCCGCCAUGGCACGUCCCCCUCAGUCAACCUCUCCGCCGCAAACCUGAAACAUGCAUCUACCGCCGAUCUGCGGACAACACUGAAACUCGACAUCGAAUGGAUGAAGCUAAACAGGAAAUCUCAGCUCCAUUUGAACGAUCCAGAAACAUACACAUGCGUGUCGAGUUCCUGGGGACUGAAAACUAAACAUCUGGAAAGUUUCUGGGGACCGGCGACCGGUCCGCGGAGAGCGAAGGUCAAACGACACUGAGUACAAGGAUUGAAAAGGUCAACCCCCCCCUGCGAACCCGAACCAAGACAGAGGCGGUGGGCGGAAGGGGAAGGGGCGCUCAUAGAAGAAGGAAGAGCAGGUCUCUCGCGAUGAAGACGACAAGUGCGAAGAACAGAAUCCUCUAGCAUGGGAGAAGAGAGAUGAAUAUUUACCCUGGAACGACCGGGAAGAUCGUCGUGCCCCAAUCGUUUUUGAUGUUGUGGAGGUCGGAGUGGCAGAUGCCGCAGUAGAGAAUCUUCAGCUGGACGUCACUCUCGCCGGUGGCUCUGCCGGAAGACCGGCCAAACCAGACGGACCAUCAGAACAACUCGGGGGGUGAAAAAUUAAAAAAAAAAAAGGACGAUCAAAGAAUCCGGCGUCUGAGAGAUCUCUUGGAGGAUGAUGGAAGAUUUCCCGAUCGAUCGAAACGGGAGAAGAUGGGAUCAGAUCGUGACACCACGCAUUUCUCAAAACAGCGGCACUAUCGACGGUAACCGAUCCAGAGAAGACGAGUCAAGUCAAGUCAAAUCAAGAAGGGGGGGGGGGAGAGAGAGAGUGGCAACAAGCAAGCAGGUUCCUCGAUCGUAGCGAGAGGGGGGGGAGGGAGUUGGGCAGAGUGGGGAGUGCCUUCUGGAGAAGCGGAAGGGGGAGAGGUGGCCGGAAGCAUCCCUGGCCGCCCACCCGAUGGCCUUCUGCGGGUGCUCCUCCGGGGCGGCGGCCGUCUUCUCUACCACAGCGUCCCCCAUUCCCCACGGCGGCGGCACUGGCGAUGCCCCCUCGGCAGCCUUCCUCGGCCAUUUAUGGCCGAGCUGAUGCGGCCGCGGACAACUGGGGGGGGGGCGCCAGCACGUCGCCCCGGCCUUGUGGCGCGCCCUCUCCCGCGGGGCCCCACCGCAUCCCCUCUCGGAAAAUUCUGGAGCCAAAGGAUGCGAUACACAGGUUAAACGGGCGACUCUUUCCCGGUCCAGGCGCUGCGCGAUGACGUAGGGGUUGACGUCGGGCCCCCCGGUCCAGGCUUGACCGCAACGGCUUUCUUGUGUAGUUGGGAUGCGAACAACGGAAGAGACGGCUCUCUCUCUCUCCCUCUCUGACUUCUUGCGGAGGGUGGUCCCUGUCAAAAGCGACAUGAACCCAGCUGAUGCGUACGUGAUGGCACACGCACCAAUCAGCGAGCGAAGGCACCCCCUGCUCCCCACUCCCCCGGGUAGGCCGUCCUCAUUGCCUUGUUUUUGUUUACACACGGAGCCAGAUGGGUACCGACAGAAGUCGACGCCGAGAUAUAUAUAUAUAUAUCUAGAGAGAGAGAGAGAGAGAGAGAGAGANNNNNNNNNNNNNNNNNNNNNNNNNNNNNNNNNNNNNNNNNNNNNNNNNNNNNNNNNNNNNNNNNNNNNNNNNNNNNNNNNNNNNNNNNNNNNNNNNNNNNNNNNNNNNNNNNNNNNNNNNNNNNNNNNNNNNNNNNNNNNNNNNNNNNNNNNNNNNNNNNNNNNNNNNNNNNNNNNNNNNNNNNNNNNNNNNNNNNNNNNNNNNNNNNNNNNNNNNNNNNNNNNNNNNNNNNNNNNAGAGAGAGAGAGAGAGAGAGAGUUUGAGGCCCUCCGUCCAUGGAAAACUGGCUUUCACACAAAAAAGUGCAAGCAAGCGGAUCGUCGCAGAGGCGCACCCAAGAUCAAGGAGAAGGCCGGAACCUCGAGCGGCUUCUCGGGCACGCCCACCAUGAUCAUCUUGCCGUGGGUCUUCAGGAGGAUAAACAGCGGCAUGAGUGGGUGCGCGGCGGACACCGUGUUGAUGAUCCCGUCCAUCGUCCCCGUGGCGGCCUGCAAACAAAAGAACGAAACCAGGGCAAAGCGGCGGCACGGGUUCAGGAAGGGGUUGGUUUUUCGAGGAAGAAGGGCCUCAGAGGAGAGGGUUCAGGAGGACUCGGGGUUUCUUAUGCGGGUAGAAUCACCAGAAUCUGAUCCAUGGAGCUGCUGACGAGGAAGGCGUCCGCUCCAAGCCGCUCGACGGCCUCCUGCUUCUUGGAAGGGGAGGAGCUGAUCACGGUGACCUUCAUGCCGAAGGCCUUGGCGAACUUGACGGCCACAUGGCCGAGCCCGCCGAGCCCGACGACCCCCAGAUGCUUCCCCGGCUCGUUGAGGCCGAAGUGCUUCAUGGGGCUGUACACGGUGAUGCCGGCGCAGAGCAGCGGCGCCCCCUUGUCCAUCGGCAGGCUCUCCGGGAAGCGAACGGCGUAGGCCUGGUUGACCACCACGGCGUCUGAGUAGCCGCCGUAGGUCAUGGUGCCGUCGCUGCCCACACUGUUGUAGGUGAGCACCAUCUGGGGGCAGUAGUUCUCAAAGCCCUGCUUGCAGCUGCCACAGGCGCGGCAGGACCCGACCAUGCACCCCACGCCGACUUUGUCGCCCACCUUGAACUUGCUCACAUUGCAGCCAACUUCCGUCACAACACCAACGAUUUCGUGCCUGCACUUACCAGGAGACGAAGAAAGACUGGACCAAUGAAAGCGGCUAGAUCGAUACAUACAUGGACAAAGAUGCAACAGCAAAAGGAAGGGAAUAUAUAGGUUAUCUUCCGUUAACAAUAUAGGUUAUUCUGCUUCUGGGGAGCCAGUUGACGCAGCAGAAAUUAGAAGAGGAUGAAUGAUUUGAGAAAGUUGACAUAACCUGAGUUGAAAAUGAGAUGAAAUCACAUUCUUCAGUCCACAACAAUCAUGAUUUAUGUGAGAUUUUAUUGCCCUGAAUCCACAGAACUUGGAAAACUUAAUCCUCGAGUCCACAAGGGACUUGAUCCUAAGCCUAUAGGAUCCAAAAAAUCUACUAAAGCCACAAAUGAUAUGAGAAUCCACCAACAGAGGUUGAGAACUCCAAGACGAGAAGAGAACUCGAAAAUGGAUUGGUAAAAGUUGAAAUGCACCAUUCGUUCCAUCUGAGCCGAGUUGAAAAUAGGCUUGUAUUGCAAUUGAUCACGAAAAUACAUUGUGAGACAUUGAGACACCUCUACAUAUAUAUUUUUUGGCCACCUAGGUACAAAACUUUUCAUCCCUCAUUUGACGGGAGUUUAUUGGCUACAUUACCGGUGUGGGAGAAAGGUGGAGGAAAUAUUUGAGAAUGAUGGAAUUGACAAAGAUCUAGAAGUGGAAGAGGCGAACCGAGUGGGUGCAAAGUCUCCUACAAGAGGAGAAGACAGCCAGCUGGCGGAUUAUAUAUGGCACUUGCAUGUGGACAGGCACGAAUUGCACAGCGAGAGAGAGAGAGAGAGAGAGAGAUGGGUGCCAAGUGUCCGCCUAAGAAUCUUUCUUUAUCCAGUCUAAGAUGUCAAAAUUUUCCAUCUCGGUUUUAUGAGGCAGGAAAGAUGAGUACGAGAGGAGGCAAAUACUGAGAAAGACCCUAAAUAAACUAAAAAAGAAAGCACGUAUGUUCAACGUAGAUAGUUUCAUAACAGAAGGGUAAAAGUUUUUAUUUACCCAGGGACGACUGGGUAGACUGUACUCCUCCACUCGUUCUUGAUGCAAUGGAGGUCAGAAUGACAGAUCCCACAGUACAGUAUCUUCAAGGAGAUGUCCUCGUCUCCAUUAUUCCUGAGAAGAACAGCACAACUUAGCAAUCCCCGCUGCCGGUGAAAAAAUCAAGUAAAAAGAGAAAGCUGCCAUGCAUCUUCUAGCUCAGACGAUCUGCCAAAAACUCCUCUUUAUUCUACAAGAACUCGAUAUCGAUGCUCGCUGUUUCAAUUGGCGCAUGGAAAUGGUAUCCACUCGUUCUUCUAGAAGUAGUUAUCUCGAGGUUUGUACACUACGACGAUCGAAAAACUAAUCCGCAAAAAUCUUCAACAUACCCACGACGUGUUUUUUUUCCCCCUAAAAACAGUAACACAGCUCUAGAAAAAAAAUUAUCCUGGCUCUCGCAAAUAUGAGGACGGUACGCCCAGCUCCUUGUGCUUGUGACAGGCCAGACCAGGGAGUAAAGGCAGACCGAUAUAUCCAGAAUACUCGAGGAAGAAAUGCGGAGAGCCUUUGCUCGGGGUGCCAUUUAACCGUGUUCAUCUACCGCCCAUCGCGAAAUAAAUGGAGCACAUGCGCAUGAAAGCUUCAACGAGAAAGCGAACAGUCCCCGCAGUUCACUUUGCCGCGUGAACAGGGGCCCGCCAUUAAAUAUACUGGCACAUAAAAUACAACCAAGAGGAACCAAACAGAAAAACUAGGAGGCUCACGUUCGGAUCCGAUCGAUAGAGAUACGCGAUAAGUCGAUGAGCAGCGGUAAUCGAUGUGAGUGAGCAGCGAGAGGGGGAACAAAGACAAAUCGGGGAGGUAGUAAAGGUUUGACGGGAAAUGUGGGGAGCGGGGGGCAAGAAAAUCUAGAAUCGAAUGACGAGAACGCCGCUAAUGAAUGGAGAAAAAGAAAAAAAUGCAGAUCGAUGCAGUCGUCGGUCUUUCCCCCACGAAAACAUGCUCCACCAUUCCAAUGGCGACGCCAGUGGGCGUAUCAACCCAGUGACUGACUUAUCGCGCAGAUCGACGUCAUCUUCCCAAAGCCUUCGCCCCAUACAUACGAGCAACAGGCACAACGCCGACGGCUCGUGGACCAGGUGGCCGAGGGAAGGCCGCACCGAAGACUAGGGGAGGGAGAAGGGGGAGGAAAUGCGAGGAGGAAGGGGCGGCCUGCCUUCUGGAGAAGCUGAAGGGGGACAGGAUCCCCGAAGUGUCCCUCGCCGCCCAGCCAAAGGCCCUCCGGGGGUGCUCCUCCUCUGGGGCUCUCUCCUUCUUCGCGUCUCCGGCGACGUCCCCCAUCCCCUCAGCCGCCUCCUCUCCACCGAGCUCUCCUCUGCCACCUCCGCUCCACGGCGGGAAUGCUAGCGUCCCCUCCCCGCCCAUAAUAAACACGCAGGCGUGGCAGCUGCCCCUGCGGUGCAGCGGUAGGGCCAUAAUGUUCCUCCCCCUCCCCCCUCGGCGCGGCCGCUGCCGAAUUAAUUGACCCCCCUGUCGCCGUGGCGGAGUCUGGCCCGUCCUUACUAGACACGUGUCGUCCCAGUCAGAUGUACAUCAGUGGGGCCGAAUAUCCCCGGAUGACGAGGUAGGUCAGGGACGAUAGGAAGAAGAUACCAGUCAACGAUGGGCGCCGACCCAUGCCGGCGCUGCUGCCGGAGAUGGAGGGGGAGGCCGGUUCCUCCAGGCGGAUGUAGUCGUACAUGAUCCCCACGAAGGGGUUCGUCGCUUCCGCCUGGUUCAGGAAGAUGACGUUCUCGCCGGCGACGAGCAAGCUGCGGUCAACGUCGACGGAGAACAGCCGGUAGAGGCCGUGGAUGGCGAGCCUCGCGAUGGAGUUCUCGUCGCCGACGACCCCCGUCGAGAAAUGAGGCGGAGACGCGCUCCGGUCGUUGAUCCAGACCUUCACGGGAGAAAAUUCCUCGGCCUGUCAGCGCCAUUACGGUCACCGGAGAAGGGAUCGAUGAUGAGGCACUCGCGUGCAGUUCUUCCCUGUGCGCGGCCUUCUUCCUCACCUGCAGUCUGGAUCUCUUCGCCGCCGCCAGAGCUAUCCGCAGCUUGUAGAGGCCCUCCCGGAUAGGCGGAUCGAGCGUAAAUCGUAUCUGCCAGGUAGUAUCUUCGUAGGCUCUCGAAGAGUUCCCGAGCCUCCUGCGAGGAAGGAAGAAAAGCCUCCGUCAGGCGAGGGCGGCGCCGCUGAUCGGGAAGAGACAACGAGUCCGAAGUGCCGUCUCCUUCCUCACCGAGUAACCUGCGCGUAGAACCAGUCCCUCCUGUAGUCGCUCUCCCCCACCAUGUACACGAGAUCCUGCGUAGGGUACAAUUCUGCAUAUCUUUCCCACAGUCCAUACUGCCUGAAUCUGUUCCCGAACGCGCCAGGAGAGACGAGGAAAUCAGACGUCAAAAGCAGGAUGAAGAAGAAGAUGGGUCGUAGCUGGUGCGUGGUGGAUGACCUGUCCGGGCUGUGGACGUAGAGCCUGUUGACGUACGCUGGGUGGGGCUCCGGAACGAAGAACUCCGCAGCGGAGCGGUCCGGAGUGCCGAUCUCCCACAGGGUAGGACCCUCCCUCGGUGGCUCAUACACCAGGUCUCCCAGAUCAAUCUGGGAUCCUAUCGUGAGAUGUGCAUCAACAUUUAGAGGAGAGCUGCCGUUUAUUUUAGGGUAGUGCUGAGGGAGGGGUGUGCUCGCUGACCUUCACCGACGGUGAUGUUUUGGGGGUGUUUGCAGUCGCCGAUGAAGCCGGGAACCCACGCGUAGAGAUUGUAAACCCCUGCCCGAACGUUGGCGAUGGAGAAGGUACCGUCAAUCUCGGCCUUUACCCAGAACUGGUAUCCCUGAAGAGGGAAAGUAAUCAUUUUUAUGAUACCCGAGAAGUAGAAAAUCUCUCUCUCUCUCUCUCUCUCUCUCUCUCUCUCUCUCUCUCUCGCUAGCUAGAUAGAUAGAUUUAUACAUAUGCCUAUGUAUUACGGAACAUAUUAGCUCGUAUCGUAGAUGAUUGAGAACAUCGAGAUACCUUGCUUUCCGUUUGCCAUGAUCCCACCUCUCCUGGCAAGGCCAAGCCGACAUAAGCAGAGCUCGCCGGCAUGUCUUCUUCUCUGAUAUACCUGAGAGACGGGAAUUGGAUGCUCCAGUUGUAAUCAAUACGAAACCAUAAUAUCCGGUGAAUUAAUGGAGCAUCAUCAACCCCCCACCGAUCUCGGACGAGCAGCCGGCCGACGACGGAACCUCGCUGCCGAGCUUUCGGGAAAUCCUCCGAAGCGGGGAACUCGUACGGCCAACUCCUGGCUUCAGACGUCAUCUGAAUGGCGACGGAAAGAGGGAAAGGAGCUCGUAUCACUUGAACGAUUGUCUCAAGAAAUUCCCCACCCGCCCUUUGGUUGGCUGAGCUUCCUGGGCAUGUUAGCAUCAGAAACCUCAGCGGACGCGUGCGGUACAGGCUGAAAGAUAACCUGUAAUUUGGCGUCCUCCCAGAGACUUAAUGGGUUCUCGUCCUCUGGAGAGCUGUUGAGAUAGAUGAACGCGGGGCCAAAGACCUUCUUCCAGUGCUCUCCAUUCCUGAACCUGGGCACGAGGGCCGUCCCGGCGUAGUGGUCGCUGACGAACACCUGCGGCGGAUAGCGAAGAGAGACAAGGACGGCUGGACUUAGCCGUUCGAAAGAUCUUCCUCUCUCUGCUUUAAUUUGCCGCUGACGGAAUUCUCGGGCGAGAGUGGAUUACAGCGAGGGUCGUAGGGCCGACGUGGGACGUGAGCGACUGCUUCAGAGGCCCGCCGGUUCGGAACUCGUCGCUGGGCGAGAUGUGCCAGAAGCCAGUGGGAGGGUCGAAGGAUAUCCAUCCGUGGACCUUGUUGUCCUGGUUGUCGCACGAGUAUUGGUACUUGCAGUCCACCUGCCAUGCAGGAUCUCAGAAGCAGUCCAAGCGCUGGAAUCCACCCGGAUUCUUCUCUGUACCGCUACAUCAUAUGCGCAGAGCUUACCUCUCCUGUGAGCGCCGGGUUGGUGGCGUUCACCAGACGGACGGCUUCCUUGAAGGCUAGAGAGUACCCCCUGGGGGGCAGAAGAUCCUCUGGCAUCGGCAUGAUCCUCCGCCUGUCGUCCGCCAUCGCCAUGUAGUGAAACCUAACGGCGUGAACACGGCACACGUUCAUCUCAUAGAUCUUCGCUCGGAAUCCACAAGAGGGGAAGACGAAGGACGAUCACCUAUCCUGGCUGAGCUUGAAGACGACCCUAGCUUCGGCCAGGUCGAAGUCGGGCCACCCCUUCAGAUGCUCGAAGAUGGCGUACGUGUAGAACCCCGGCUUUCCGCGAAGCACGAUGAACCUGUGCUCUCAUCGUCAUCAGUCGCUUGAGGAUGUUAACGACGCGUGAUGUCCCUGGGAUUGAUGGAGGUCCUGGUUCAGUCGCACGCACCUUCUAUCUAUGUUCAAGGGGACGCCUCCGGCGCUGGUGAGGGAAGAUGGACGCCAUGCUCUCGUGAAGGAGACCUCCACCUGGUCCUCGUCUUGCAGAAUGACCGUGAAAUCCGUUCCUUCGAUCCUGUGGAUCUUCCACAGAUGAUCGUAAACUCUCAUUCGAUCUCACGAGAGACAGUAGGGGAUAGGAGACAUGAUAUCAACCCCAAGGAGCCGAUCAUAUGAUACCUGUCGAAGAUUGGCCCUGGGUUCAGUGGGUCGCUCCAGACAAGGUCCCAGUAUCUGCGAGAAACAUGGCGCGGCGAGGCGUGAGAAGCCCCUGCUCAGGAGCUUCGGAAUGGUGCGGAAGGAAAAGAGCUGGGAGAGAGACGUGUAGUGAGAGAGAGAGAGAGAGAGAGAGAGAUGCUGUUCCUACCCUCUAUCAAUCUCUUGAUUGCGGGUUUCCAUCAAGUUGUCGACGCCAUUGUAAGCGAUGCCCGUUAUUAUCCCGCCGGGGUUCGACAACGUGAGUUGGAGGAUGCCAUUGUCCAGCACCACCUGCAAGUACCCUAAUCCAUAAGAAGAGAACUCACCUGCAAGUACCCGUCGAUGGAGGCCAUUUGGCGACGAGUGGCUUAUCGUUCCAAAUGAAAAAUUCGUGGUGCUACUACGAGCAUUAGAACUUGGACGGGGUUGUGUUGACCGAACCGAGGCGGGGAGAAACACGAAGAGGACGAAAACUGGGAUAUUUUCCUACUGGUCGUACAUGAUGAUCCUCCACAGAGAGCGAGACGCCCUCCGCUCGGCGCAGGUCCCCGCUGCCGGCGAUCAGGAGAUAGACGGAGACCCAAACGGAGAGCCGAUUCCACCUGCCCAGCCGGACGAGGCGAGGAUGAGGAGGCCCUACCAUCGUCACGGAGAACACGAACAGGACGAUGAAGCUCGUCGUCUUUCUAACCGCGCUUAGCCGUCAAAUUUGGACUCAAACGUCUCAUUGAUCUCUCAGAUGUAGAGAGAGAGAGAGAGAGCAACGGACGGAGAGGGUGCCAUUAACAGCGACCGUUUUAGCGUUGGGAGUUGGAUUCAUAGAGAUUAUCACCGUACCCAAUGAACAAAAUCAGGAAGGGAAGAAUUAGGCGGCGGAGUUACCCCAAGAGCGGUCCCGGGGCUCUCGCAUCCGGUGCAUUGCUUCGCCAAUUCAUCGCCCUCGUCAUCUUCAUCAUUCUCUUCCCUCCUCCGCUGAAAAUCGACAUGCAAGGAAGGAACUUAGAGAGAGAGAGAGAGAAGAGUGAAGCAGAGUAACGUGCGGGUUGGGGCUGAUAUGGAGUAAUAGGAAAAAGAAAACCGAGGAAUAUCUAAGUUCCUUCCUCCAUCUCCACUCAAUGAGGAUUAAACGUUGCGUGGGAAAUUCCUUCCGCCAGCUCUCUCUCUCUCUCUCUCUCUCUCUCUCUCUCGCCCCCUCCUUCCCUCUCCCCCCCGCCACAAGCCCCAGGUCCCGCGUGGGUAUCAUAUUGAUGGUUGACAGAAAGGGAGACGUCUACGCAAGGAGAAGGAACGAACACGAGGCGGGGAGCUGACUUCCCCGUUCUUGGAGGUAGACGCGAGAGUUGACGAACUAUACAGCCGCCAUGCAGAAUGCCCAGGCCCCCCGAGUCCCAGGUCGGCGAAGAGGACGGCUCGCCGGAAGAGUGGCAUCCUUCGCUCCAGUCUACGCCGGCGUUGACUCCACGUAUUCCCUCAUCCCCUCCACCACUGACCAGCAGGUCAGAACCCCCGUCUCGCCACCGCCAUCCUGUUCCUAUUUAUCUCGGUCGAUUAGCGUCAUCGAACGUGAAACCAAGGUCGCACUGGGCCCAUCUCAUUCUCCUAUCCGUUGACUCCGAAGAACCGACCGGUAGAAUCUCUGAAAAAAGUAUUCUUCGCGAGACACUCGGCCUACACUUCAUCAUCUACCUCGAGAAGCCAGCCACACCACCGGUCCUCGCGCUCUGCCGUGGCCCGUCGGUGCACGGCCGUCGAAGGGCCGCUGCUACAUCAAGUCAGUGGCGAAGCCGUUGACCCUGUUAUGGCUGACAGAUUGGGCCGCCCAAUUCUUCGGAUAAUCAUAUAUCCAUCGGUACCGCCAUUGAAAAUUUCUGUAAAAAUAGAGGGAUCCCUGCGUAAUUUCGGCCCCCACCCGACACGAACGACGGACGAAUCGAGCCCUCCCCCAUGCCUGAAGGGAGGGGAGGGGAGGGGAGGUGAGGUGGGGUAAUCCCUUUGCCAACGCUGUUGCCCCAGGAUCUUGCGGCAAGAUCUGGCCCCCUUCUCUUCCCCCGUUCUCCCGCCCUCGAGCGAAUCACAGCAGUUGUGGGGGCAGAAGCGUCACCGGUGCGGGGGGUGGAAGAGCCGCGCGGCUCGGGCGGGAGUACGGAGCGGAUGAUCGAAGAAGGGGGUCUGCGCCUUCCUCCAUGCGCGUUCCCAGGCGAGCUUGACCGACCCAUCAGAAACGUCUGGCCGGAUCCCCCGUCCUUCGGUUGAAAUCUCCUCCGUUCCUGUUGGUUGUGGUGAGGGGGGGAAAUUCGUUGUUUUUUUUUUGUGCUCGUCCCCCAGCUCUCAGCAGGGCAGUGCCGAGAUAAUUUCAUAAUUUCGCGCAAGGCCCUUUUCCCAUCUGCCCAGGAGGCGUGUGGGACGCCGUAUUACUGUCGAUCAUGUAGCUCUCUGUCAUUCGCCAUGAAAUCUCUCUGUAAGGGAAGAGGGGCAUUGCGGGCGAGCGUAAUACCAGGGAAUUACUGGAUCUUUUUCUCUCCCCUGCCGACUAUGUUGAUGAUUAUUAUGACGAGGCUUCUAGAAAUCAGAUCUUUUUUUGCCUCUGCUUUGUCUUCUUCUGGUUCCUCCUGGUAGGCCACAGGGCCAUUAGAUAAGCACUUCCUUGCUGUCGUCAAUUCUGAUAUUUGCUCCGCAUACAUUGUACCCACCCCAUCAGAGACGAUCUCCAUCGAUCAUCUUUGCGGAAAAUGUCGACCCUCUUGCUCAGAUCCGAUCAUCUCUCGUUCUCAUCUCCCCGUAUCGUCACAGACUCCCGUCGUUGAUAUUCUUCGGUGGGAUCCCUGCAGGAUAAGACCAAACUGGCUGCCGUUGGCCUUGGUUUCGUGUGCGAUGAGAUCAACUGCCGCAUGCUGGCGAGGUUUUUGUAGACCGUCUGUGAAUUGGAGCAAGGCAGUUUAUUGGCUUGCUUUCAACAACUUCAGGAGCUUCACGUGGUUCGCCUUUUAGUCAUCCUGCUGGUGCACGCAUGUAAGUGCCCGACGCGCUGCUCUGUGAGGAGUGGGCGUGCUCUUCGUUUUUAUCUUUUACUGGGAUAAGCGUGCUAUCAAUUCUCUAGUACGGCAGGCUGUUCAUUCCCGAAUUAUCGACGUGGUGCUUUCUUCAGCCGGACGAAUUCUGGGCUCUGCCCCUCUACUUGCAUGUAUAUAAUUAUGAAUCGUGCGGAAUGGUUUGUCACAAUUUGAUUGCUCCGGCCAAUUUAUUUAUUUUUUUAAUCUAUAUCUCUUUUUGCGUAUGGUUUUCCGCUGGAUGUUGCCGUCUUUCCAUCUAAUUCCCAUUCUGAACCUUUCCCAGAGGGGGUCUUCGGAAUGUUGUGGGGUUAAGCUCUUGAAUUGGCUUCACUUUUCCAAGGUGUCCGGAGGAGCUGACCUUUAAGCUCCUUCUCCAGCAGGAAAAAUGGGUGGGAAAAUACAGAAUAAAUUUCUAACUGUCGCCCCCUUUGAGUGCGCCUGGCACGAAGAACUGCGAUUCAGUGAAGCUGGGCGCGGCUGCGUCGCCUUUGAAGCUUUUGCGCACAAUGAUGUCACGCUGGUGUUCAGGGAGCAAGUGGGCAGCCAGCACUACCAUUACAAGAUGGACAACAGCCCGAAUUACACUGUCAUUCUGGGUAGUCACAGGAACCGACGCUUGAAGAUCGAAGUUGAUGGCCAUUCGGUCGUUGACAUCGCGGGAAUCGGGUUGUGCAGUUCGUCGGCGUUUCAGAGCUACUGGAUAAGCAUCUACGAUGGACUGAUCAGUGUUGGGAAGGGAAGGAACCCAUUUCAAGACCUUGUCUUCCAGUGGCGUGAUUCAAAACCAAACCGUAGAAUUCAGUAUGUGGGUCUCAGCAGCUGGGACAAGCAUGUGGGGUACAGGAAUGUCAACGUCCUGCCCCUAACACAGCAUCAGAAUUUUCUGGGAUUCCAUGCUGAUCACAAGGAAGACGACGCAGAUAAUAAUGAAGAUGCGGACAGCGUAGUGAGGCAUGAUGGGCACGGUGAAUGGGGACUACGGAACUUUCUUGAGAGUUGGGAGCUCUCUGACAUCUUCUUUAUCGUUGGUGAUGAGGAAAAAGUCGUUCCCGCGCACAGGAUUAUCUUAUCAGCGUCAGGGCAUUUUAAUUACAGCCCAGAGGAAUGCUUUGUUCGACUUCCUUCAGUCUCAUACCCUGUCCUCCAUGCUCUCCUGGAGUACCUCUAUACUGGGCGGACCCAUGUGAGUCAUGUUUCUAUUCUCAUCUCUGCAAGUCCCAAAUUAUUCUCUCUCCACGUAAUGCCAAUUUCCACGUUAUUUUUUUGUUUUGUUUUGGGAUGUUUACUUAUUGAUGAUGUGUAUUUUUCUUGUAGAUUAUCGAGUCGGACCUUGCUUCUUUGCGUGAUUUAAGUGUGCAAUUUCAAAUCACAGCACUAGUCAAGCAUUGUGAAGAAACUAUUGAUCGUUUGAGGACGAACAAGAAGCUGUCUGACUCUGGAAAGGAAGUGGAAUUAACAAACAUCGGCCCUCGGAUUCAGUACUACGGCAGUUUCCCAUGUGAACCCCCUCUGGAUGUCCAAAAGCUUCAGGGCUUUUUUCUGAACGGCGAUCAUAGCGACGUGGACAUUUUCAUUGAUGGUCAUGGUCUUGUUGCCCGUGGCCACAAACUAAUUCUCAGCAUAUGGAGUACCCCAUUCGCCAAGGUAGGCUUAGAUUAGAUUCUCUUACAGCGCCGGUUGGUUUUGAUGCCAAUUGACCCAAAAAAAAAAAAAAAAAUUCUGAUUCCAGUCAACCAAGAAAUGCUGUCCUUUUGCUGGUACUUAUCUUUUGAUAUUGUUUCUGCAGAUGUUUACGAAUGGGAUGCUUGAAAGCAAAGCUUCAGCGGUCUCGUUAUGUGAUAUUUCUGUUGAUGCUUUUCUUGCUUUGCUCCGGUUCAUGUACGGUGGAAAGCUUGAAAUGGAAGAUGAAACUAGAAUUGGAGCUCUGUUGGUCCCACUUCUUUUGCUGGCAGAUCAGUUUGGGAUUAAACGCCUGCACCAGGAGUGCUGCAAUUACUUUCUGGAGCAGCUCUCUGAGGUAAAUGAUUGUCAAACAUUUCCCCCUGCCGAUUGCGCUUAUCAUCAUACUCAAUUAUGUGACAUUAUGCCCUUCUUUCUUCAUGUUUCCUUUCAAAUGCUUGUUCAUGAGGCGAGAAAUACAAGAACAGUGAGGUAACUUGCUCGUACAAUCACGGAGUGCCUGUUGUGAGAAGCACACUGAGCGUCAUUCGCAAGUUUUAAUUUUUCGUUUCACUGAUAGUUUAGUGCAUGCCUGUCGAACUUUAAAAAUUUUCUCUUUGGUAAGGGCAAUCUCAGCUGUGAGGCAUUUCCAUCCUUGGCAGAUACUCUCACUAGGUUUUUAAUCGCUGAAUAGGUUAUUGAAGAGCUCUGGCUUUUAGAAUAACAAGUAUGAUCCUAUCGAUUUCAGAAGACGGUCUCUAAAAGAUGUCAAGUUGCGUCUCAUUACCUUCUCUGAAUGAAUGCCUUUCUUCCUACUUUUUUGCAAACCCGUGCAUCAGCUUAUAAUCCUUGAAAGGAAAUCAGUCCUGAGGCCUUUUCGUUUCUACAAAUAAAAUGCUUUCCUCACAAAUAAUUUACCAUACUUGUUAGCAUUGAUGCGGAGUUUAAGAGUGUUGUGAUGUCGUGCAAUAGUGAAUAUUAUUUUAUAUAUUAAUACAUUUUAUGGGUAAAUAAAUGCAGGAGUGGGGUUAUCUUACUGGAAGACGCUGAUUCAUCGAGAAUAAUUUGAAUUAAGCAAAUUUAAUGGACAAGGCCUGAGAAGAUUUGGUGCAGUUGCUCUAUGUUAUCUCGAGUCUAACGCUUGAAAUUUAUUGCAGGAUUCAGUAUGUUCUAUCCUGCUAGCAAUAUCUGCGAUUCCAUCCUGUAGAUUGCUUGAAGAAGAAUGCGUCAAGAAGUUCUCUAAACAUUUUGAUUACUGCACAACUGCCAGUGCCGAAUUUGCAAUGUUAGAGGAGGAAACCUUUAAAAGCAUUCUUCAGGUGAGUGAGGAGUCGUGCCUCGAUAACAUUUGAGAUUAUUCGCAUUCUUCUUGCUUUAUUGCCCGGCUGAUCCGAGUGGUGGCUUCGAUCAGCAUCCUGAGUUGACUGUUACAUCGGAAGAGAGGGUGCUGGAUGCCGUUCUAAUGUGGUGCAUGCAAGCCGAUGAUAUUUUUGGAUGGGAGACGGCUGACGAGCUGCUGUUGAGAUCAUCUGAAGCUCAUCUGUUCUUCAAGGACAGGCUUCCAACGUUUGAAAGCUUGCUGCAUUUUGUGCGCUUUCCACUGCUGCCAUCCGCGACUCUUGAGAAGGUACCCCUCGGUCUUAGUUCUCGACUUGUUCUGUCUGCUGUCCCGUUUCAGUGGCGGUCUUAUUAUCCUUGUGUUUUCGUGGCAGAUCGAGAGAAGCUUUAUUUGCAGUCGAUUUCUCGCCCUUGAACAUCUCGUAAGCAAGAUUUAUAAUUAAUUAUCUUAGAAUCAUAUGUUCUUCAGCGGCUUACUAAGAGAUAUCGGACUGCCUGGGAAAUGACUUGGCAGGUGAAGGAAGCCCUGCAAUACAGGGAACUAGGAGUGAGACCUUCGGGAAGUGAUCAAAGGUAGGAAAUACUACAAAUUUGGCGUUUUUUUUGUUAUUUUUUUUUGGUUGGGUGCGGCUCGCCCAUCUCGAUCGGGAUAUCUUUUUAAUAACAUUGAUUUCAUCCGCCCGUCUAGUGUGAGAUUUCAACACAGGCAAUCGAGCUUCAAAGAGCUCCAGUAUAUCUGCGAUGGGGACAGCAACGGGGUCAUAUACUAUGCUGGGACUUCAUACGGGGAGCAUCAGUGGGUGAAUCCUGUCUUGGCCAAGGUCGGCUCGGAUGAUUUAUUUUUAUUAUUAUUAGUAUUUCUGGCAAUCGCCCACAAAAAAUUAUCUGGGUCAUUUUUUUUUAAAACAAAACUCUUGUCUGUCUGUUUAACGAUUUCCAGAGAAUUUCUCUGACCGCCAGCAGCCCCAUCUCCAGAUACACCGACCCGAAGGUCCUCGUGUCGAGAACGUACCAGGUAACGACGAGCAUGCGCAGUGAUUUCUAGAGGCUAAUUACUGAAAGAACCCACCGCGCUUGGCUCCCGCAGGCCACCUCCUUUGCCGGGCCCCGGAUCGAGAACGGCCGCAGCUGUGCAUGGUGGAUCGUCGACAUCGGGCAAGAGCAUCAGGUUCGUGCAGCCCUCGCAUCCCCUCUGGGAAGCCUCUUGCAAGAAUCGGGCGGUCUCCUCGUUCUUCUCCUUGCAGCGAGUGAUCCCAGUUCCAUGCUCACUCACCCGGUUGCUUGCAGCUCAUGUGCAACUACUACACCCUGAGGCAGGAUGGGUCCGCGGCCUUCCCGCGAUACUGGGCUCUGCAGGUCAGCGACCCCCCCUCCCCCGAGCUCCGAGCCAUGGCGUCUCCUCUCCUCUCGUCUCGUCCCCUUGGUUUUCUCUCUUGAGACGAUUCGGUGGGUGAAUCUUUCAGGGUUCCCUGGACAUGGAGGCUUGGACCAACCUGCGGGUGCACGAGAACGACCAGACCGUCUGCAAGCGGGGGCAGUUCUCGUCCUGGCCGAUCCACGGCCCCAGCGCGCUCCUCCCCUUCAGGUUCUUCAGGAUCAUCAUGACGGGGCCCACCGCCGACGCUUCGAAUCCCUGGAACCUCUGCAUCUGUUUUGUCGAACUCUACGGCUACUUCUGCUGAGGCAGCUGGCUGUAAAAACUGUAACGCUCGUUGAAGCAGAGAGAGGGCCGCCCCGCCCAAAUUUUCAUAUCAUCCGUCUCCGCCAGCCAGAGGGUUGACGCAGGUUGGGGAAGAAGAAGAAGAAGAAGAAGAAGAAAAUAAAAAAAAAAUCAGGGGCUGAGUGCGCACUCCUACAGCAGCGCAAGACGCGACGCAAUCGCCGAGGCCGCUAGCCGUCGAUUCUCCUCUGAAGGAAGACGGAGACCAGCAGGAUGGCAGCUCCAGUCACUGCAAUGGUGAGCACCAUGCGACCCGGAGACGUGCUGCCCGGCCGCCUCCCAUCUGCGUGGCCGCCUUCCCUCCCCGGGGACCCGUCCACCCUUCAGAGGAGCCAAACGAACCCGGUGAAAGACAGGCAAAGCGACUGGGGAUUGAGUCCAUCUAAUUACAGCGGCAGCUUAGAGAUCGAACGGAAGAUCGAGUCCAAGGUUCUGCCCCUGAUAGAACCCAGAUGAAUGCGAAACGAGGCGAAAUCGAAGCGAGAAGAAACUGGGAUCGACCCAGCCAGAUGGUAGUCACCCGUCGUUCAUCAAAAUUUAAGCUACCUGGGAGAUUCUGAGGCACUGUGCGACCGCAGUUCAUGCUCGGCCCGUUGACACAGCCUGACGUAUUGGCCGCACCCAUCACAGAGCUCUGUUCGGUUGCCGCACACGUCCUGAUUGAUAUUCAGAUGCCCAAGAAGAUUAGAACUGAUAAAAUCAAAACUUUUUUUUUCUGAGCAAUUCCACGUGGGAUCCGACAUCCAUAGAACCUGGUGCUUGUAGAGAUCAACUGCAGGCAGCGGGAACUCACAGUACUCACAGGCGACGAUCCUCUGUGGGCAUCUUUCUCCCCUGUGGAGAGCUAAGCUUUCACGCUCCACAGCCGCGCCGCAGUGCGUGCAGUCUACCUGUUUCCGAGAGAGAUCAAGGGAUUCAAAGUGAAAAGAACGGAUCGCCAGAGCCCACAAGGUUUGAAGAACAGUUUCGGACGCUCUCUUUCUUCUCUAAGUGAUCCCAAGCUCUUUCUUCUCAAAUGGCAGCACAGUGAAGUGCCAUCUGAGAAGGACCCCGAGGCGACCUGCGUCGUUCGUACUCCAUUAGCAUCCCCAGCUCCCCAUCCCCCGCCAUUCCAUUGUGUUCAUAGCCGAUGAGAUUUCCCACAAUCCAGGGCUGAAACUGAGCGCAAGACGGACGGCGCCAUGGAAGCCCGCUGUCAGAGGAUUCAUCUGCCCCGCCGGGAACCAAUCCAGAACAGCGGCCCAUCCCCCACAAAAAGAAAGACGUGCACCCUUUGUCUGGAGAUGGCGAGGCUGCGGCCAUUCACAGAUGAAAACCGCCCAUUAUCUACCCAUCACUUCUUUAGUAAUUCGUUAAAUUUUUUUCUUUCAUUAUUUCAUUUCAGAAGUAAACCGCAGGAGAAAUAGCAUAUAAAAAAAACAGAUCGAUGUCAAGAACAGACGCGUCUGCAUCAGGAGAGUCCCGAGCCCAGAAGCCAGGAUUAGAGAAAACUGAAACCUAUUACCCAAGGAACCUGCAAAUAUCACAUGGGAGGGAAGAGAGGACCAUACUGGAGCGUGAUUGCUGCCAUAGUGCUCACUCGCGUGCUUCUUCGGGACCAUGUCUCCACAAAUGGAGCAUUUUUCCAGGUUGCGAGAGCAAUGCACAUAAUGCAGAUCGAUAUUUGACGUUGGAAUAUCCUUUCCGCUGAAAAUGGGUUCGAGAGAUGAAACGGAUGAAUCAGGCGCUGAGCUCCGGCCCCAAAAAUGAUCGUGAUCGUGACAUAGAAUUUAAUCACAAUUACUUUUAUGGAUAAAAAUUUUCGUGCAAAGGCCAGAUUUUAAUACCACCUUUUGUGUGUGCGCGUGUGGUCGCUAACAUGUCAUGCAUAUUAUUCUGGCAGACAAGAACAUGAUGUUUUCCUUCGAAUUCUAGAUCAAACCCACAUCAUUCAAGCGAAAAAUGAAGAUGCUGCAAAAACACCCACGCGAACACGACGCAAAAAUCUGUGUACGUCGGCAUGAGUGGUCGUCGGAUCCCCCACCAAAUGGAGUUGUGACCCAGAGAUUCCCAAACAGGCACGCAUACCAGCAAGUGAAGGAAGAUGCUCCUACUCUGAAUUGAAUAGGGUUACACGAGCGGCCUCCUAAGUCAUACAUAUUUCCGGCAACUCGCACCCGGAGAUUAGGUUCUUUUUUUAACGGAUCAUGAAAAACUCAGGUUGGAAGAUUCAGAGUUUCUUGGUUGCUUCUUGAUCAGCAGAAGAUUAUCCGUGUUCAGAGUAAAUCCGGCAUCAUCGACUCCAAAACGCUCGCCCCCUCCAUCGACGGAUCGGUUUUCGAAAAGGGGGGAAGAGAAAACAGAAGGGGGGGAGGGCGGCAGAGGAUCGACCGGAAGAAGGGGGAAAAAACGGUGGCCCCCAGUUCGAUUCUUUACCAGUGAGUACAGGCUGCCGUGGACGACUGGGAGAUGGUCGCCGCCAUGGGAAAGCGCGAGAUCAGAAAGUAAGGCGGCGGCGAGCGACGGGGAGAGAACCGGUCACCGGUUACACGUACGCGGAGCACCCGACGACGAAGAGCACAACGGAAAAGAUAAGCGGAGAAACGUAGAACCGAUGAAAGAUUAGGCUUUUUCCACGAGACGCCGUUGAAAAGUCGUAACAUUAACACGCCUACCAACGGUUGACAAAAUAAAAAUUACUUUUCUUUAUUGCAUCCUUACUUUUAUUCAUUACGCCCAAAAUUCUUUUUACCGGCGGGAAUUCACAGAAUAGAGAUUUGACGUUUUAUUUUCUUUUUGCGACGGAAAUUGGGAAAAUAUACAAUUUUUCUCUUUGAGCUUUUACGAAUCACUAUUGCCUUGUCACCGCCGUCAUCUUUAUCAAACUGAUAAUUAAUGUUCAGAUAAUUCAUCCUUUCAUCAUUCUCAUUAGUGCGCGCUUAUGCAUCUUCUAAUGUUCAGACAUAAAUAAGAUCAUUGAGAGUGUUUAAAUGUUUUUCAAGGAGAAAUAUGGUAUGAUUAGUUAGGUAUAGAGAACAGUCUCAUUUGAUUUUCAUGAAAAAUUAAUGAAGAUGACACUUAGAAAAGUAAAACGCAUUAUAUUAUGCUUAGAUUCUUAUAUUAAAAGUGUUAGUCACAUAAACGUCUAGUGGGAUUUUCAUAAAAAAUAGGCCAUGAUGAUACUAAGAAAAGUUAAGCGUAUUAAAAUUUUAUAUAUACAUACUAAAUUAUAGAUAUAAACAUGUAUUCUAAAUGUUUUUGUCCACAUUUUUAGUGUCGACGAUGUACUAUUUAAAUUUAUAAAAAACAUAAUAAAUAUUAUGUAUGGUGUUCCUAAAUACAAAUUUCCAAGAUGUUGCUAAUAUCUCAACAAUCAAUGCAUCUUGUCAAACUACGAUAUUUCAAAAUUAGUGAAUGGGACUUAAUAACCUUAUAAUGUGAUCAUAUGGGAUGGUUUCAUAACAAAAUCAGAUAAGUGAUAAAAUCCUAUUCUUGACUUUGUCUACAUUUUUCAAAACUUAAUUGCUUUGAAUAUUAUAUCAUGUUCUUAAAAUUUUAACAAGUGGAGUGAAGAUGAAUGAAUCAAAAUAACAUUUUCUUCAUUUGGUCCUUCACCUUCUAUAAAUUGACUAAAACACAUUCCACUUAACCUAAACUUAUAUUUGAUAUUUCUAAGGGUUAGUUUAAGAGUCAUGUGACCUUCUACGUACACCUGUGAACUAUUAUAAUAUAGCAUCAUGAAUAUUAUUAGUUCAUGUAUUAUUGUUCAAGGUUAAGAAUAAAUUAUAUUUCCUCAUAAACAUUUACAAAACAACAAAAAAUGUCACAUUAUGAGCAACAUAAACUUUUAUUACUUUGUGAUCUCAAAAAUCAUCAUAAAAUUGCAUUAAAAGUGUUGCAAGCUUCUAUGUUGCACCAUAGGCGUAGUAGUGAACUGCUAUAGAGUCAUAUUUUACAACCAUGACAGCAUAUAUGCUGCAUCCUAAGCUCACUUGUGAAAUGUAAUAAGGUUAGUUAGAGGCCUCAUAAAGCUCUCUACUGCCCCAGAUUCUCAUUUGCACAUCAUUGUAUGUCACACCAAGAUGUAUUAAAACUUAAAUUUUUUUUCGAUAGGAUUGCUUGUGAACCAUUCUAAUGUUACAUUAUGAGUCAAUUCAACUAAUAUCUUACAUCAUGAGACAAUUCAACUAGUAUCUUACAUCACAUGAUUCUUCAUGUAUGUUUUUUAGAAUCAUGAUGAGGUCAUGCAAAAUAUAGAUAUAUAGAGAAAAAUGUUAAGGGGAAGGGACAUACUGAUAAAAUGAAAAUUUAAAUUGAGGACCACCUAACAAGUCUACUUAUUGAUCUAGAGGUAAUCUAGGUGUUGUAUCAAUGUUAGUCUUUAUUCAUCAAGAUGGCCUUUUAAAGAGGACCAUUCAGAGGGGAGAUUUAAGUGCUUACAAGAGGAAUAAGGGUAGUGGAGAAAAUCUAUUAAAUUUUUAAUUUAGGAAGUUUAUUUAUUUAUUGUGUCCAAAUUCUAUUGAUCUAGAGAAGAGUAAACUAAGAUAUUUGAACAAAAAGACAGAGGAAGGAAAAAAUGAGUAAAAAAUUGUAUUUAACCCUUCAUGAUACAUUUAAAUUACAUGAAGAUCACUAACUUAUGAAAGAAUCACCAAGUUUGAAAGACAUGUUGGAGUAUUAUGUCUCUUUAUUGGCUAUAUAGUUUUAAUUUAUAUUUUUAGUUCUUAAUGGUCAUAUCUUUUAAAAUUAAAGAUGGCCCUAGUUGAAGUUAAAUAUUAUUAGAUAAUUUCUAUGAUUAAUUUUUUACAUCAAUAUAUGAGAAAAUACUAUAUUAAAAAUAAUUAUAUUACUUUUAAUACCAUAAUUAUUCACAAAGUUGUGCUCAUUCUUCUCAUUGCUAAUUGAUUAACAAGAGAACAACCCUAACAAAGUAUCAGUUGUUUUCAUAUAACCCAUUUAUAUCAUCUAUAUCACAAGGAUCGAUAUUUCAUUUCCAAGUAAGAGAAUGUGUUGGUUAUUAUAAAGGUCAACCUAUCACUACCUAGACAUAUUGACAUAAUAUUUUAUUUUGACAUCCAAUCACUUUAAUAUGGUGUUAACAUCAAUGGUUGUUCUUGGGCUGCACAAACCUCAUUUCUAUUGUCAAUUGGUAGGUCCCCUUGUCACCUACUAGCACACUAGAUGAGAGAAUUGUGGAAAUCAAAUAAGAGGAGAAACCAAGAUAGAAGGACCAGUGAACAUUGAUCCAAUUAUAUUUCUUUUAGAUUAAGACAUGUUCAAAAAGAAACAAAGAGGAAAAGUGCAACGGCUACGGUUUUUGUAGAAACCUUAGAGGAGAUAAAUGUAACUAUGGGGUGAUUCAAGAGCACCCUAACCCACCUUGAACUACUUUUUCUCUAUCCCCACAUGCAAACCUUAUCAAGGUUUAUAUAUCAUGUGUUAAUGGGCCACUAAUCUAUUAACACUUGUAUCUCGCCUUCAUCAGUUAUAAGUAAACAUGAUAUUAGGCCAACUGUAGGGCCUAGCAAUACCCCCCCCUCUAAUAGUUCUACCUUGUUUACAAGGUGGAAGGUGGAGAAAUACUUAUUAAUAGUGUCCACCCACUCCCAAGUGGCUUUGAAUGCUUGAAAGUGUUGCCAUUUGAUGAUUGUCUCUAAGUCGUCAAAUCCAUGCUGACUAUCUAAAAUUAAUUCAAAGUGACUAUCCAAGUGUAAGUCUUUGUUUAUAUUAGGGGUGAGUGGCUAGACAUAGGAGUGGGCUCUAGAGCCCUCUUGAGUUGUGAAAGAUGAAACAUCACAUGUAUCUUAGUUGUGUGCAUGUGUGUAAGGGGGGGGGGGGGUCUUGUAAGCGACUACUCCAACACUACAAAUGAUAGGAAACAUGCCAUAAUAACAUGGUGACAACUUAUGGUACCUGUGAUUAGUGAUGGAGGACAUCUUGUAUAGGUGAAGUUUGAGGCAAACUCAAUCACCUUUCUAAAUGGUCAUAUCUCGGUGGUGUUUAUCUAUUUGUGCUUUCAUUCGUGCAUGUGUGUGCCAAUUGGUGCUUUAGUUUAAAUAAAAUGACAUCUCUUUGUAGGAAGUGAUAUUUUAAUUGUAUGUGGCUAGAAGAGGCUAAUAUGAUAGGCAAUGGGUCCUCUACAUAAACUACUUUAAAUGACGUUAGAUGUCUUAAAAUCAUGAAAGGUCCUAUUAUAUCAAAAUUCACUCUAAGGUAAUCAUGAGCUCCACUGUCAUGGGAUAUGAUUCACAAAACACUUUAGAUAGGUUUCUAUACAAUGAUUAACAACCUCUAUUUGUCCAUUAGUACAUAUGAAUGGAAGAUGGUGUUGUGUUUGAGGUUUGUCCCUUAGAGAUAGAAUAAUUCUUUUUAGAACUAGUUAAGAAAAAAUUAUUUUGAUCAGAAAUAAUAGAACUAGGGAUGUUAGGGACUUUGAUGACAUGCUAAAUGAAGUAUUUACCAUUGAUUGAGCCAUAAAUAGGUGUUUUAGUGGGAUGAAGUCGGCAUACUUAGUCAAUAUGCCCAUCACCACCAAAAUAGAUUGAUAUCCGCUAGAAUGAAAAAGAGCUUUGAUAAAGUCUAUGAUGAGAUCUUGUCAUAUUUAUGUUGGAAUUCGUGAGUGGUUGGAGGAGGUCAGCUGAUGUUAUUGUCUCAUGCUUAUUGAGCUAGUAGAUGUCGCAAGGAUAAUUUUGGACAUCAAUCUUAAAGCCUAGUCAAUACAAUCUUACAUAAUUUGUUUAUAUGUGUGGAGUGCACCCAAGUGUGUCCCCAUGACACUAUCAUAAUAGUACUUAAAAAUAGUAGAAAUAAAUUGAGAUGCUUUGGGUAUGACCAUGUAACCCUUGAAAUAAAAAAUACUCUAUUGGUUGUAGUAUUAUUAAUCAUCUCAUUUUCUCUUAUGCCUUACAUAGUGAAGAACACUUAUGUUUGUAGAAGCUAAUUAUUUGGAUUCCCCCCCUUUAAAUAAGAGAAUAUCUAGGCUUUGUGUUGUGUUGUUCUAUUGUACAACAAUUUGGUGUCAUGGUGGAUUAGUUUGUUGCAAGGUUUCACGAGCCCCAUAUGGGUGAGGAGUGUUGGCAUACAUUAGAUGUAUUGCAUGUUCUACACUCCUUGUAUGCCUUGCAUUGUGUGUCACAUGUUGUUAGAUAAGCUAAGUCAUGGAUUGUAUUAGCUGUCACAUCAUCUCAUUGAUGUUUAAAAUCUUUAAGGUUUUAUUUUUACUUGCCCACAUAUAGCUAAUCUUAUCUUCAAGCUUGUCGACCUCUUUCUCGAGGGUGGUGAACCUCUCUUCUUCACCCUUGCAUGCCAUGGCAAUGAUACUAUGUUGGAAGGUCUCCUUGUUGUCUACAAGCAUACUAGACAAGAGAACUGUGGAAAUAAAACAAGGGGAGUAACAAAGACAGAAAGACUAGGACAUGAUCCAAUUGUAAUUCUUUCAAAUGAAGACAAGUUUAGGAAGAAAUAAAGGGAGGAAAGGGAAGUGGCUAGGCUUUAUGCAGAAAACCCUAGACGAGAUAAAAGUAAUAAUGGGGUGAUUCAAGAGCAUCUCGACUCUCCUUGGAUUACUUUUUCUCUGUCGCCACAUACAAAUCUUAUCAAUGUUUAUAUAUCUCAUGUUAAUGAGCCACUAGUCUAUCAACACUCUUAUCUCACCUUCAUCAAUUAUAAGUAAGCAUGAUAUUGGGCCAAGUGUCAGCCCUAACACCCACAUGAGAAAUUAGUUAUCGUAAAAGUAAAUAUGUGACUAUUAAGAUGUUUUUAAUUCACUCAUUAUCAAUUAUUUUUUAUUUUGAUGAUGUAGUAUAAUUAAUAAUAUAUCUUAUUUUACACAAAAGUUUGUCUAUGUUAGAACAUGCAUUCUCAAGAAAAUAAUGGAUACAUUGAUACACAAAUGGCACCCCAAUGAAAUGGAAUCAUUGUAUUUCAGACCUCUCAACUAAAAAAAAUAAGACAAUGAAUAAAUACAAAUAAAGUGAUAAAAGAAACAUAGAAUAUUAUAAUACACUAUGGAAGAAUGGAUUACCAAUAACCUAUUGUUACUCAGCAUAUUGGUGUUGCAAAAAAAUAAACUUUCACAUUGGUGUUGUAAUGAUAUUUUAUUUAAAAUGCAUUCAUCUUUUGAUAAUUACCUACUUACCACAUUUUCAAUGCUAUACCAUGUGUUUUGAUUCCCAGUGCUGUUCCCAUUUGUAAUUUAUUGUCGUUUCUUCAAGGUAAAAAAUUCUGGAUGGAGAGGCGUACCACAUCUUAGUGAAUUCCACAUUAGACAAUCAAAUGAAGGCAUUCUUUAAGAGUGAAAAGGAAAUCUCCCAGAUGGUUUAAUUUGACCGGGUGCAAUUCCUCCUUUUGUUUAAAGAUAAGGUGUUGUUUCUUGGACUUACCAACUAUGGGUGUUGGGAAACAUCCAGUGAAAUAUUACUAGAAAAUUGCGCAACCUUGAAGACUGACUAGAGAUGAAUCCAAGAGACGUUGGCAUGGAAAGCUAAGGCCUCGCCUCUGAAAAGUGAUGUCAAAAUUCAAUGGACAGGCUUAUCAACUUCCGAAGAUCUAAGUUGGUAGUCCAGUCGUCUAGAAGAGUCACCGACAUGUCCAUGUUGCUAGUAAAGAAAUGAAUAUUCAUACGUAAAGCAUGACAAUAUAAACAUGCAUAUGGACAGAUAAUGGUUUUUUUAUUGUAAAAGACAAUUUUAUUACGGCGCAUUUAGGUGGUCUAUUUUUGAUUGCGACUCCCGAUUGUCGGUGUCCCUCAUUAUCUGUCUGUAGUCCAAGAAACCGAGAUGCUCCUUACCUCAAGUUGUUCCGCCCCAGCUGGGCUUGGAGAUAGUUCCAACUAGUAAAACGGGCUUGGGGUCUGGAUUAUUUCCACAUCCCCCGUACAGAUCCCCUACUUAAACCCAGUAACCACAACAAUCAUUCAGUCCCCUUGCCAGUCUAUUCAUUUCAUUUGCUCCAGGGGAAAUAGUGUUGGCUACUUGGGUCAUCUUCAGUGUGGGGUCUUUUUAGAUAUGGCGUAUUUUAUGUCACCUAUCAUCUUACGCGAGAAUUAGAGAAUUCAAGAUUCUGCUGUAAAAGAUCGGAGAACAGAAGCCAGCAGUGAAUGUCUCAGUCGAAAGAAUGGAAUGGGACUGGGGUUUUCGGUAAAGGAGAGGGGCCCGAGUGACGGCAACAUGAGCGCAUCUGCUCAUGGGAGGCGAAUCUGUUUCUGCUCUGGCCCGAUACUCCACUCUUGAAACGAUAUACUUCGGGUUGACGGUCACAAUACCCCGCUCUUCUCACUGUUACGUACCUUCUCCGUCUAGGAAUCGAGUGUCAGUGCACAUGUGGUUGAAUCUCCGAGGAGACAUGUUGCUCCGUUGCCCGAUGAGUGGCACUUGAAGAAACAGAAGUGAAGAAAGGUCUUCGUCCUCUUCUGCCUCGCCUCGUCGUUCUCCAUAUCCUCAUCAAGCCUAAAAAACUAAUAUGGGUGGAUCAUCAGUAGCCUGCGGCGGUAUCGUGCACAUCACGAGAAAAGAUACUCUAUUUCCAUCUUCCGAUUUGGUAAAUGGAGGCAGCCGAUGACAUGGACAGUUGCACUGUUGGGAUUCGUAAAGAAAUGGGUUUGCUUAAAGAUGAAUCUGCCUUUCUCCGUGGUCUAUAAUGUUCAUGAUUUGGCGAUGAUUGACACUUGGCCGUGGUUUCUCGGUGCCGGCCGUCGCCCUAACCACCUUCCCUCUCUCCAACCCAUCAGUUUUAUGUUAGUGACCAAAGACCAACCUAGCCCCUCCACUAAAACAACAAAUAUAAGAUUGAGUAUCAGGAUGUGGAGAGGCAUCCACUGCAGAAUCCAUCCCACGCGGGCAUCGACCAAUCAGGAAAAAGGGGCGUCUUAUCUAAUCCAAACCCUCUGGACUACAAAGAGGAUUUGGGAUUUAGUAUUGAGGGCACUCAAAUUUCGGCUGCCUAGCAUGAUGUUGCCCCUGUGUUCCCUCGGUGAUCCCGCGUGUGAGGGAAUCCUAAUAUGAGAGCUUUCCUCCCGCCCUUUCCUUCUUGUUGAAACUCCCGACGCCAUUGCUCAUGGAUGCCCCAGCUGGCGUGCCGGCAGGCGUGCGAGGCCAUUCCUCGGUAGCCCCGACGUUCAGCCCACGUGCUCCCUGGAGCUCCUGUCGUGGAGAAGGCCCCGAAGACGAUGGUUCUAUCGGCUUAGACUUUUGAAGCCGAAUGACACCUUGUCGCCGUCGCCUUCAACUGGUGGAUUCCAGCUCAUCGUGUCGUCGGAUCAUCGAGAACGGAGCUAAGACGGGAAGAACCGCGGAAACCUGACAGCGAUAUAAGCUAUAUGUUACGCGACAGCAGCUAUUAAAGAGUGGGGAGCUGAUUUUCGCGUCCGAGUGUACAUGCUUGCAACUGCGUGCCUUCUUCUAUAUCGAGAAAUGAACUCCUACUUCUGUGGGCAUAGAAAACAUAGUCUUCAGCGAAGAAAACAGGCGACUCUGUCCUUUUAUCCAUGAACACGAAAACGGAGUUAUCCGCUUACAAAGUGUGGCUGUGAACUUGAUUCAGUGAUUCACAAUCAUAGUCGCCUUCAUAUAAUAUGGAACAAUCCUCAAAAGGGAACACCCCGAAUCUAUUCAAUAUCAUGGAUAGCAGUACGUCUAAAACAGCUAAACACAGGAGAGCCGUUUGAUAUUAAGGGAGGGAUUACCUGACUGGUGACAAUGCUUUCAGGUGUUAGACACCAUUCUUUCCGUAAGUAUAGUUCAAGUCCUAACUCUCAGAUCUGGUUGACAGCAUGAGACUUGAUGAAUCUUAGUUGGAUGAACAAGGUAUGGCAAAAAAUUCAACCCUUAAUGAAUUAAAAUAUUAAUAAACUGAACUUCCCUGGAAAAGAGAAGAACGUUCCAGCUUUCUACAUGGAAAGAGAGAGAUUACGUUAGACACCGAAGGUAGAAUGGAUGUUUUGAAUCGCUUUGAUUAAUAGUGGUAACCCUUCAUACCAGAAGUAACAGAUCGGAAGGAGGGGGGUGGAGAGAGAGAGGGGCCAUAGAAUGGUGUGGGGGCAGGUCCAGCAAGGCAAGUCAUCUGGAUUCGAUGGUACCCCCAAAAUAUAUUCGUUCCAUGUACUAUAACAUUAGAAAAUAGAAAGCAGGUUUAGUCGGGAAUCUAACCGUGGUUUAGUGCUAGAAUAUAAUACAGGUGAUGGUUAAUCAUAGAUUAGCCACCGUUCAUGACCUUGAAGAUCAAGAUUUCAAUCUUCAGGGUGACGACAAGGAUCAUCCACCCGAAAGCAAUAGGAUCUUAAUUUUAGCACUUAUCUUAAGAGCCUCUUACGUGCUCUUCUGACGCAGAAAAUCGGAUCAUUAAACGAGAAUUCGAUUUGGCGGAUAAAAACUUACGGAAUGAUUAACUAACUUCAAAACUUGUUGUGAUUAGUCAUUUGAACGAGAUUCGAUACGCGCAUCUCGGCUUGCAUGACCCAGCGCAAUUCGAACUAAUCUAAUGUUCACAAGAUGCAUGCACCAUGAAUUUUGAAAGAAUAAGACGUUUUAUUUAGCAAAAAUAAAAGCGAUCGAAAUGAGAAAUGCGCGCAUCUCGUUUUCUUCGCUUCAAAAUAAUCGUCAAGGGGUCUCAGCUCUGGAUGAGCGUCUUCGAUUCUGGCUCACUACAAUUCGCUCCAUGAUAUUAGAUAUACUGUGAUUUAUGUAGCGCCGAAGUCGGUCGGGCCCUUGCCUUCCGCAGUCGUACACUCACCGAGAGCACUUCAAAUCGUUCUCUACUUUCUGAUCGCAGUGGAAAACCGGAAUCUGGGGCCCGUGCUUGUCGUCAUCAGAAGCUGCAGUCCCCGGUGCAAGGAGGAGGCAUCAUCGUCCUGCCGCGGAGGAUCUCAGCGGCGAUCGGCCUCGUGAAAGAGAAGUGAGGAAACCUCCUGAGCGCGCGUAUCCCCUCUUUCUCUCACGGGCGACGCAGCUGGGUCUCAUGCCGACAGCUGCGACUCCCCACCGCGGGAAACGGCCGUCUUCCUAGAUUUGCUCUUCUCCGAACUGCCCGACUCGGCGAACCCUGACCCCGCCGAGGAGCGGUUUUCUGAAGCGGUUUUGUAGCAGUUUCGAGAAACCCUACCAUUUCAGGAUUUCCUCGCCGAUUAUUUAUGCCCUGGCGCACGACGUCAUCCGCUGGGUCCGGCAUGUCCGCCAUCGGACAGAUCGAACAUGGCCAUUUGACGAACACACCCUUCCUCGUUGUCCGACCAGCCCUGGCGCGAACCCAGAAGGUUGCACGUGAGGUCGAUGCGAAGCUCCCUAGAAAGGCGACAAGUGGCUGCGAUACCACUCCCUCAGCGCACAGUAAUCUAUCGGCUGCGGACAGCGUGAGGGUGUUUUCGUCAAAUAUCAAAGGUGACCCGUGCGCCGUCAAGCCGUCGGAGGCGGACCCUGCACCAGACGGCGGGCGGCGGUGGGAUCCACUCUCAUUUUCGGAUAUAUCUUCCCGAGUCGAAGGAAACCAGAAGCCCCCUCGUCGUGGUACAAAACCUCGGGGUCGAUUCGUCAUGCUGUGAGGCGCGGGAUGUGAGGAGAGGGCUUCAUCCAGUGGAUCUCCGAGGCUCCGAAACUGAAAAUGGAAAACCAGAGACCAGCCAGGGAUUAAGGUUUCCAUAUAUGUGCAUCACCAAACCGGGCAGUUCGAGUCUAUUUUAAAGAGGAGGGAGGCCAUCCUUUCCAGAAGGGACCUAAAUAAAGCUAAGCAACAAAAACCGGUCCUCGCCUCCUCCUCCUCGCCCAUCCCACUCUCUCUUCCCCUUACACCUCUCUCUNNNNNNNNNNNNNNNNNNNNNNNNNNNNNNNNNNNNNNNNNNNNNNNNNNNNNNNNNNNNNNNNNNNNNNNNNNNNNNNNNNNNNNNNNNNNNNNNNNNNNNNNNNNNNNNNNNNNNNNNNNNNNNNNNNNNNNNNNNNNNNNNNNNNNNNNNNNNNNNNNNNNNNNNNNNNNNNNNNNNNNNNNNNNNNNNNNNNNNNNNNNNNNNNNNNNNNNNNNNNNNNNNNNNNNNNNNNNNNNNNNNNNNNNNNNNNNNNNNNNCUCUCUCUCUCUCUCCUCUCUCUCUCUCUCUCUCUCUCUCUCUCUCUCUCUCUCUCUCUCUCUCUCUCUCUCUCUCUCUUUUCCCUCCUUGUCCUCUGUGCCGGGAAUUUCUUGGUGAAUCAUCCCUUUCUGGUGGAGGUGAAGAGUAGUUCCGUCUCCGUGGCCGUCUCCUUCCUUGGUAAGGAAGACGUGCUCUCCCGAAAUUCUUCCGUAGAUCAGUUCCUUAUUCGUUUCUGUGCUCGUCUGUCGUCUCGUUUCCUUCCUCGGAGUCUUCCCAAACGGAUCCGACAAGUGGCAAAGUUUUCAUGGCUGAUGAUGAUGAUGAUAGGGGUGGAAGAAUGGGGAGGGGGAAGAUUGUGAUCCGCAGGAUCGACAACUCGACCAGCCGGCAGGUGACCUUCUCCAAGCGCCGCAACGGGCUUCUGAAGAAGGCUAAGGAGCUUGCCAUUCUCUGCGACGCUGAGGUUGGCGUCAUGAUCUUCUCCAGCACCGGACGCCUCUACGACUUCUCUAACACAAGGUACCAGCCCCUCCGCCCCCUGUCCCCCUUUUCUGCCCUUCUUGUCCUUGUAUCUUCUGUGUUUUUGUUCUAACUUAAUCCUUUGCCCGUAAUGCAUCCAAUCUUGGCUGUCGCAGGUUUCUUUACCCUUCCUUAGUUUCCCUUACUCUUCAUGUUUUCUUUGGAAACGAAUCUAUCCAUAAGAUCAUGCUUGGGAUCAGCCAUCGGCUGACUUACUGUUGCUGCCGAGCAGCUCCAUGAGAAGAGAGGGCACUUGUUCAUAUUCAAAAUACAGUUUCGUGAGGGAAGAAAGACAUAAACUGAGGUUUUUUGGAGCCUGUUGGAAAGACCGAACACCCAUCAUUCUUGAUGACAGAUUUAUUGGAUUUCACGCGGCUCCCUGCAUUCCCACAAUUAGUAACGUCCGUUCUUGGCACUCCUCCCUUCCUUGUAGGCAGAACGCAUUUUCCUAUCAUGGUUUCUGCCAGAGUCGAAUAAAUGUACUUGGCUCGCGACUUAACAGAUUCAUUGACGUCACAGGAAUCAUGACAAGUGGCUGAGGUAACAGACGUUUGAGCGUGAAUCUACAUACUGAAGGAACAAAUAAUCUACAACUAUUUGCACACAUAUUUAUAUCUAUCCAUCUGUCAAUCUAUCCAGCUGACCAUCAGCCUAUUUUCUCGCAAUUUCUUGAGAGGAUAUAAUUUUACGUGGUUAAAUCAGUCCAGUGUCGUCGGUCGCGACGCCUUUCCUGGAUGAACCAUUGAGUUGUUCUUUUGUGCUGUUCGGCCGAGAGGAGAUGACAAUGGCCUCACCUGCAUUCAUCACCAAGCUCAUAGACAUGAGGCUACAGACAUGUAGAGAGGGGACGUCUUACAAGGAUAAUUUCGUUACGGAAGCUUCAUUGGACAACCGUAUACAGCCGUUAGCUUCUUCUCAAUGCGUAGGGCGGCUUGCGCGGGGUCAUCCUUUCAAAGCUGCCGUCUAUCUGCAAUCUAAUUUAGCUAAGGCUGUGGAGAUCCAUACGAAAUAACCUAACAUAAUUGAGUGGAUAGGACAGGAGAUUAUACACCUUUUAACUCAAUCCAACUGGUAGCAGCUUCCACUGCACAGGAAAUAUACACUGUCUUGAUAUGUUAGUCAUAUGAGUCUUCUGGAACUAGGACGGUAAUGAAUCUCAUAGUUCACAUCUAAAACCAUCAAGCCGUCAGAAGGCCAGAGGAUAGAGUGCAUAGAGUAGAAGUGGACUGCCUCACGGUAGCUUCAUCUGGGGAAUACGUCGAGAAAUCAAAUAAGUUUCGCUACAUAUCUAUUUUGCAGCGUUAUUCCGGCAUGCUUCGUUGAACACCGCCUUGGUUACAAUUGUUGUGUAAAUGGAUUGAAAGUGACUCACCCAGUGUUGAUCAUUGUAGUUAAAGAGCCAUCCUUUCUCUCAGGUAAAGUAGCAGGAUAGUGCCAUAUCCUUGCGGGCAAAGGAAUCAUGACAAAAGAUGGCUAUCUUAUCCGCAAAUCAUGACCUCGAUGUUCAUGUAGAUGAUCACUGGAAAGAGGGGUCAUUAUUCUUGAUAGCGGACACUUGUCAACUUUCUCUUUUAUAUAUAAUUCUCCGCUUAUUGUCGACUGAGUUUCUUCUUCUGGCCACUCACUUCCGAUAGUGUUUUCUUACAUUUUGUUGUGCAUUAUUAAAGAACUAUUCUAAAAGAGGGUAUCGAGUUACCAAUUACCUAUACAUAUUACAAGUAUAUAAGUUACGUUUGUGUCGAUGCUGAGAGUAGGCAAUAAUUUGAAGGAACAUGUUGCCCAUGGAAACUUUUUCUGGCCUGAAUAGUUGGAAACUCAUUCCUAAGUGCCCCUAAACGCUUCUUUGGGAUCUUCGUAAAUCUUACGAGAAAUCCAUCAAAAGGCGACUGCCCUUUUCUUUCCUGGUUUUUGUGUCUCAGCAUUUACCCUAACCGGUGUUCUCGUAUCCAUAAUCACUUUUUAAGGCUUGUUGUUCGUCCACGAUACUGCUACUAUCGAUUCUCUAGAUAUCUGAUACAAUUCUUCCCUAUUUUGGCUGUUUCCUUGGGUGUGGAAUAUUUUCAAAGAACUUUUGCAGCAAAGCGGCAAAAAAAUCAAACAGUGGGAUUCGUAUGACGAGGAUCCACGUUUCAGGAGCCAAGUAGUACAGCUGGACAGUACAGCCGCAUGUAUUUUGCUGGAAAUAGUUGCAUUCAUAAUCUAGACUGGUAGAUAUUGAGUUCAGAUGCAUGAUAGCUUUCGCUACAGAUGAUCAUGUUGCUUGAUUUCGUAAUUUCUAAAAGUUUCUUAAAAGUUCCCCAGGGAUGCACGUAGUAAUAUGUCUAACUCGUGGAGUAUCAUAUAAAAUUAUGCCUAAUUCAUAUUCUUCCGACUAGCUGGAGUUUCCUGUGAAGAGAGAGUUGCACUCGACUAGGGACACUCUUAAUACCAGCUCAUCUAUUUUUACGUUUGGAUUUCCGAAACAGUUCCUUUUCUCGUUGCCCUUGCGAUUCUAUGCUUCAUGCGUUCUGAUCUAGUUCGUAUUUCAGUUCUCCAUCACAUCUAUUUUUCGAUAUGUGGCCUCGUUCUUUCUCAAGUUCUAGUUCCUCUUUCAGUUCUCCCUCGCAUCCACUUGUCAAUUUGUGCCCACACUCUCUCAUUGAUCUUUCUUUCUGCUCCAUUCCCCUCUCGUGCUGUUUCUCUCUUCCGCAGACUAAUUUCCUUUGUCUCAGACUACUUAUCUAGCUCCCUAUACCCUUCCCUUCAUCCCGCCACUCCUGAUGACUCUCUCUCCCUCUCNNNNNNNNNNNNNNNNNNNNNNNNNNNNNNNNNNNNNNNNNNNNNNNNNNNNNNNNNNNNNNNNNNNNNNNNNNNNNNNNNNNNNNNNNNNNNNNNNNNNNNNNNNNNNNNNNNNNNNNNNNNNNNNNNNNNNNNNNNNNNNNNNNNNNNNNNNNNNNNNNNNNNNNNNNNNNNNNNNNNNNNNNNNNNNNNNNNNNNNNNNNNNNNNNNNNNNNNNNNNNNNNNNNNNNNNNNNNNNNNNNNNNNNNNNNNNNNNNNNNNNNNNNNNNNNNNNNNNNNNNNNNNNNNNNNNNNNNNNNNNNNNNNNNNNNNNNNNNNNNNNNNNNNNNNNNNNNNNNNNNNNNNNNNNNNNNNNNNNNNNNNNNNNNNNNNNNNNNNNNNNNNNNNNNNNNNNNNNNNNNNNNNNNNNNNNNNNNNNNNNNNNNNNNNNNNNNNNNNNNNNNNNNNNNNNNNNNNNNNNNNNNNNNNNNNNNNNNNNNNNNNNNNNNNNNNNNNNNNNNNNNNNNNNNNNNNNNNNNNNNNNNNNNNNNNNNNNNNNNNNNNNNNNNNNNNNNNNNNNNNNNNNNNNNNNNNNNNNNNNNNNNNNNNNNNNNNNNNNNNNNNNNNNNNNNNNNNNNNNNNNNNNNNNNNNNNNNNNNNNNNNNNNNNNNNNNNNNNNNNNNNNNNNNNNNNNNNNNNNNNNNNNNNNNNNNNNNNNNNNNNNNNNNNNNNNNNNNNNNNNNNNNNNNNNNNNNNNNNNNNNNNNNNNNNNNNNNNNNNNNNNNNNNNNNNNNNNNNNNNNNNNNNNNNNNNNNNNNNNNNNNNNNNNNNNNNNNNNNNNNNNNNNNNNNNNNNNNNNNNNNNNNNNNNNNNNNNNNNNNNNNNNNNNNNNNNNNNNNNNNNNNNNNNNNNNNNNNNNNNNNNNNNNNNNNNNNNNNNNNNNNNNNNNNNNNNNNNNNNNNNNNNNNNNNNNNNNNNNNNNNNNNNNNNNNNNNNNNNNNNNNNNNNNNNNNNNNNNNNNNNNNNNNNNNNNNNNNNNNNNNNNNNNNNNNNNNNNNNNNNNNNNNNNNNNNNNNNNNNNNNNNNNNNNNNNNNNNNNNNNNNNNNNNNNNNNNNNNNNNNNNNNNNNNNNNNNNNNNNNNNNNNNNNNNNNNNNNNNNNNNNNNNNNNNNNNNNNNNNNNNNNNNNNNNNNNNNNNNNNNNNNNNNNNNNNNNNNNNNNNNNNNNNNNNNNNNNNNNNNNNNNNNNNNNNNNNNNNNNNNNNNNNNNNNNNNNNNNNNNNNNNNNNNNNNNNNNNNNNNNNNNNNNNNNNNNNNNNNNNNNNNNNNNNNNNNNNNNNNNNNNNNNNNNNNNNNNNNNNNNNNNNNNNNNNNNNNNNNNNNNNNNNNNNNNNNNNNNNNNNNNNNNNNNNNNNNNNNNNNNNNNNNNNNNNNNNNNNNNNNNNNNNNNNNNNNNNNNNNNNNNNNNNNNNNNNNNNNNNNNNNNNNNNNNNNNNNNNNNNNNNNNNNNNNNNNNNNNNNNNNNNNNNNNNNNNNNNNNNNNNNNNNNNNNNNNNNNNNNNNNNNNNNNNNNNNNNNNNNNNNNNNNNNNNNNNNNNNNNNNNNNNNNNNNNNNNNNNNNNNNNNNNNNNNNNNNNNNNNNNNNNNNNNNNNNNNNNNNNNNNNNNNNNNNNNNNNNNNNNNNNNNNNNNNNNNNNNNNNNNNNNNNNNNNNNNNNNNNNNNNNNNNNNNNNNNNNNNNNNNNNNNNNNNNNNNNNNNNNNNNNNNNNNNNNNNNNNNNNNNNNNNNNNNNNNNNNNNNNNNNNNNNNNNNNNNNNNNNNNNNNNNNNNNNNNNNNNNNNNNNNNNNNNNNNNNNNNNNNNNNNNNNNNNNNNNNNNNNNNNNNNNNNNNNNNNNNNNNNNNNNNNNNNNNNNNNNNNNNNNNNNNNNNNNNNNNNNNNNNNNNNNNNNNNNNNNNNNNNNNNNNNNNNNNNNNNNNNNNNNNNNNNNNNNNNNNNNNNNNNNNNNNNNNNNNNNNNNNNNNNNNNNNNNNNNNNNNNNNNNNNNNNNNNNNNNNNNNNNNNNNNNNNNNNNNNNNNNNNNNNNNNNNNNNNNNNNNNNNNNNNNNNNNNNNNNNNNNNNNNNNNNNNNNNNNNNNNNNNNNNNNNNNNNNNNNNNNNNNNNNNNNNNNNNNNNNNNNNNNNNNNNNNNNNNNNNNNNNNNNNNNNNNNNNNNNNNNNNNNNNNNNNNNNNNNNNNNNNNNNNNNNNNNNNNNNNNNNNNNNNNNNNNNNNNNNNNNNNNNNNNNNNNNNNNNNNNNNNNNNNNNNNNNNNNNNNNNNNNNNNNNNNNNNNNNNNNNNNNNNNNNNNNNNNNNNNNNNNNNNNNNNNNNNNNNNNNNNNNNNNNNNNNNNNNNNNNNNNNNNNNNNNNNNNNNNNNNNNNNNNNNNNNNNNNNNNNNNNNNNNNNNNNNNNNNNNNNNNNNNNNNNNNNNNNNNNNNNNNNNNNNNNNNNNNNNNNNNNNNNNNNNNNNNNNNNNNNNNNNNNNNNNNNNNNNNNNNNNNNNNNNNNNNNNNNNNUCCUCUCUCUCUCUCUCUCUCUCUCUCUCUCUCUCUCUCUCUCUCUCUCUCUCUCUCUCUCUCUCUCUCUCUCUCUCUCUCUCUCUCUCUCUCUCUCUCUCUCUCUCCUCUCUCCUCUCUCUCCUCUCUCUCUCACUCUCUCUCCUCUCUCCUCUCUCUCUCUCUCUCUCCCUCCCUCCCUCUCUCUCUUCCCCGCCUCCGAGGAAUCCAAUGGUCUUAAAGUUGCCGCGAUAUUAUGCACGUCAGAGAUAUCUCCUGUUAUCGACGGCCAAACCUAGGUCUUUGUGAGGAGUUCAUGAGGGUACGGCAUCCACCAUGUUUUCCCCUCUUUUAAUAUCUGAACGUUGCAAAUGGAGAGUUAGCACUAAUGACGUUCACGCAGAAAAUUUUUAAAAAAUAUUUACAUAGAUGUCCCUUCUAUCCUCUGCGAUGGGUGCUGUAAUCUUUGACUUCUUCAGGUAUCUGCGAUGACCAUCAUCGCCCUGUUCCGCUCUGGAGUACAUUUUAAAUUCUCGUCUUUAGCACUGAUGUUACAAUGAAAUACAGAAUGAAUUAGAUAUUCGUAUUAUUUAUAUUUAAAUGAAGUGUAUCAUUGAUAGAACUUUUAGCAUGAUCAUUUCAUUCUUCAUCGGCGGAACUCAUUCUCUUGACAAAAUAUGCCUCUAAAACUCAACAUUUUUGGGAAUUGCCAUGGAGGGUUUGGUGAGUAUUUAAGUAUACCUACUUUUAGCUUGCUUCAUACAUUAUUUUAUCGUGUCUCAAGCUAAUUCCACAGCAAGGGUCACAGAUUCACAUCUACAGUAAUGUGAAAGCUUUUUCACCUCGCUUGUUUGAACUCGCGUGGAAAAUCUUUAGUUGUAGGAAUUUUUGCCCAGCACGCUUUUCUAAUUCCAUUAAAGAUGAAAAUCUUUGUAUUUUACCUUCCACCUUUAUAUUUUUUUUCAUUGACGAUUCCACCAAGCAUAUAACUGGCAUCAAUUUGAGAAGGUUGCUCGCUUAGAAAUUUAAGAUAAGCGCAUUCUAAAACAGCACCCAAUUAGAGCUAUGGCCUCUCUCUUCUCAAUAGUAGUAUUUGAUUAAAAUUACACGAUACAUAAAAUCUAGAGCCAAUGUGCACUCGGUCAUACACAGAAUUAGUCGCGUCAAUAACCAUUUGUUUUUCUUUCUCUAACACUUUUUUAGGUCGUUUCAAUCAGCCGGUUGCUGCUCUUCUACCGCUUUAUCGCGCUACCAAUUGAUCCACACUUCUGCAUAGGGGCUGCAUACUGUGGUUUAGCUUUCCCACCGAUUGCACACUGACGAAGUUAGCCAAGCUUCAGGAGCAUCAAGUUGACCAUUACUCCUGAACAAAAAAUUCUAGUUAACGCGGGAUAAAUGUGGCAAAGUAUGAUAAUACAGCGAUUUAUAGUCGAAAUGCUGCUAUUAGUACCAUUAGUUAAUGGUACCUCUGAAUUAUUGGUAGCAUUAGUAAAUUAGUCGAAAUGAUACUAUUAGUAUCAUCAGUUUCUCUUAUAAUCGCGUGAUUUGAGGUAGUCCUCCAAAACCGCGUGUUUCAUUAGGAUUAGUUAAUGUUGGCCGUUGUUCUGCAAGCUGAAUCAAUUCGGUCCCGACUCUGUAAGAACCCUAAUGGCGAAUAUCUUGGCCAAUAAGUUGAAGAGUCGGAUCAGUAGGCAUAUUAGUAUUUGAUGUAGGGGUUUUCUCGUCCCCACAUGCUAUGACAAGAUACGCUAUUCUCAGUUUAACUGUGUACUCAGUCACUAGUCGGAUGGUCCAAAGAAAAAAGGCGAUGGCCUAGAGAAGGUGAAAAGAGAAAGAAUAGCUUAUAAAUGUCUUAUUGUUUGCAAUAAGUCUUCCACCGGGGGUGGUUCGUCGCGAAACGAGAAUGGAUGAGUUCCCCAACGCCUUUCUUUAAGCUUUACAGGUUCCUAGAUGUUGCAUUUACAGGAGCACUGGAUAAGUAAUGACUGCCCAUCACUGCUAUCCAGCUUAUCGGGGAAAAGAAUAACAUAAUGGAGUUUUUCCUUGGAUUUUUGACAGUAUGAGGGCAGUGAUGGAACGAUACAACAAGGCCAAAGAAGAUCAUUGCCUGGACCUCAACGCAACUUCGGAGGCGAAGGUACUCUUCUUUGCACCUGUUUCUGCUAGCUUAUGUGCACGUCUUCAAGUUCAUCUGUUUAUUGAUCGAUGGUUUCCUUCGACUUUGGAUGAGUAGUGCCAUUGUAGCAUCCGUGGGCUCAGAAGCGGGAGAGUGCCGAGUCCCUGCAUUCCCAUAGCUUCUUAAAGAACCUAUUGGAAGAACGAUCAUUCCAUCCACUUAAAAAAACAGAAAAUCAAGGUAUUAGUCAUAAUAUAGAAACUGAAACGUAUAAAAGCAUGAGCUCAGGGAUCUCCUAACAGAGGAAACGCUGAAAAAAAAAAAAACUGUUUUAAACUACAAGAAAGGGGGAAAUUUUAGAAGAGUUGCCGUCUCAUCUAACUCUCAUGAAUGCGAAAUGACGUCUGAUUUUUCUGUCAUUAUUUUCUUUAUCAGCGUAAGCAUUUGCAUAGAAGAUAUAUUUUCUAAAUAUAAUUGAUGUUGCCUCUUUUCUAUUCUGAUCUUCAUGUAAUCAAGGGCAUAUCUCAGUGGAAUGCAUGUAACUAUUGAGAAAAGGUUAGAAUCCUCAGCAAUUAUCUAUUUCGCCAUACCGGUACCUCUGAGCUGGUUCCUCAAUAGCAUGAGUCAUCAAUUAAAAAGAGUGAAAGCAAACCUUGCAUGGCUGACCUACGUCACAGAGGAAAAGAGAGACAAAUCUAUGACUCAGAUUUGUAGAUGCUACAUCGGCACGAAAAUAGCUGAUGCCGUUUCAACUUAUCAAACUCUAUCAAUGCUUUUUAGGAGGAUUAAGUACUGAUAUGCCUUUCUCCAGUCAACGGAGGGGAAACCAAUGGCAAUUCCAUCUGACUAACCCUCUUCACCGAUCAAAAUCAGAUUUUCUGACUAGGAUUAGCAAGCAGUAUAUUUGAGAUAUAUCAUCCAUCGCAGUGUUACUUUGCAGAGGGUAAACGGCGAUCCAAGCUAACAUAUUAUAUCUUGUGACGCAAGAACGCAGGCUCUUGAUUUUUUAUAUGCAUUUGCCAAAGCAUAGAAUGUUCACUUGGGUAAUAUAAAUAUUAACGCUGUGUGCUUACAGUUCUGGCAAAAGGAGGCAGGAAGCUUAAGGCAGGAACUCCUAGCUCUGCAAGACAGCCAUAGGUAUCAUCUUUCUCUCCGUUUAUUACACUGCAUUCGGAACCUCAUGCCAAGAGAAUCUCGCAAGAUGUGACGUGGCAUGAAACAAGGUAGAAUCACACGUGGAAAAGAUCAUCCAUCCAUCUCAUCCUAAGCAGUAUGGAAGUAAAAUUAGGGCAUCACCGGACGAACAAUGUAAUAAGGCCGAUCAAAUACCACAGAUUUUAAAGUAUACAUUUUCCAAGGCGCUGUAACAAGGUUCAUCCGGUUGUCAAGUAUCUCUUGAACUUCAGCAAGUAGGUUAAAAUAGACGUGCUACGGGUCGUGGUAUCAGUAAGGCUGGUCCUUGCUUCGUGGGGGAACCCGUCUGUAUGGAAAAAUCAAGCCCACUAGCACUGCUAGUUGCGAUAGUUUGCCCUCUCUAACAUAUCAAUCUAUCUCGUUGAUAAUGUCAGGCAACUCAGGGGAGAAGAGCUUUCUGGCCUAAACAUCAAAGAUCUGCAAAACCUAGAGAACCAACUAGAAAUGAGCUUGCGAACAAUUCGGACGAAGAAGGUGAUAAGAUGGGCAGGUCUAUAGUGUUCUAUGGCCCUCAUGACAAUGAUUUCAAACUCUCUAUUCACCUCUGGUUUUUUUACAGGAACAACUUUUGACCGAUGAAAUCCAAGAGCUCAAUCGAAAGGUAUUUUCCGAAAGAAACACUCGAGAUCUACGUAUUAUUGCUUAUGAAAUGCUAUUGAUGGGUCAUCCGAAACUAUCCUGGUCGUGUCUCAGGGAAAUCUUAUUCACCUGGAAAACACGGAACUGUACAAGCAGUUAAACCUCAUUCGUCAAGAAAACAUGGAAUUGUGUAAGAAGGUAAGUUUAGCACCCAAUCUCAGAUGCCUCCAGUGAAAUUAUAAAAUCUAUGAUUUCCACUGUGAUGUCCAAUGAAUUAUUCAUGAAGAAGUCUUCUCAGGUUUAUGCAUCAAGGGAAUCGAAGGGCGCCGAGGGAUGCCCAUCCUUUCAAAAUAGUUUUAGCCUGACAACGGGACCGCAUGUUCCCGUCGACCUUGAGCUAAGCCAGCCUCAGCACCAGACCUGUGAUAUGCGACAGGAACCUCCAAGAUUGGGGUAAUUUUCCCUCACCAAGUGCUGAGAAGUAUUUCGGGAGUAUACAGCCUGCAUAAAUUUCUAAUUCAUAAUCUAUGAUUCCUCACAGGCUAAAACUUAACUACGACGAUGAUCCGGCAAGUCAUCAGUGGACCUCUCGGCGGUGAUAUCCCUUCUCUUUCAUGAACCUGGCAUCAACAAUGGACAAGGUGUCAUUGCAUGACGUCAAAUUAUCAGAAAGCGGAGCCGGAGGAGAAGAGCCACAAAGGUCGACGGUAAUUUUUUUUUUUUGGUUGUUACAAACCAUGUAAAGCUAGUUAUCUCAUGGAAUAAGAAGGGUGCAGACAUUGCCUCACAUUUUCUUACUCAUGUAAUCCGAUGCGUCAUUGCCGAUUAAAGUUUGGAUCCCCAUUUUUUCAAACAUAUGUGAGGAUACAAACGAAAGGAAGAUAACAACCAUCAUCAGAUAUAAACCCCAGCAGGCCUGACAAUCGCUCAACAGGAUCCUAAAGGUGCAUGCAUGUAUCGUGUCAUAGAAUUCAGAGGAACGAGGUACAUCAUAUUUCAACGAAAAAUCUGAAAUAAGAAUCGAGCUUGUCUAAAAGGAGUCAGCUUUUACCGUCACACGGUGAGGAAGUGCCACGCAUAGAAUUCACCCAUUUAAAGGCGCACAAAAGACACGAAGUGCAGGGAACAUUUUCUCUGAACCAGGAGAAACUCAUGAACAUUGGCGUUGCUGAUCAUUUUUCCUCUCAGAAUUAUAUGACGGAGGGUCCUAAAGCAAAGACAAUGGCCGUCCAGAAGGAUUCGUUAAAAAAUAAAAACCUUCCCAUGAAGGGGCAUCAAGGGCUACAAUAAAGUUAACUAUCUAUCCCAAUAUUGCCUUUCAAAUCAUGUAUGGGAUGACAUCAAAGAUUAAUGAGGUCGCUAAGUUUUUUUUCUCCCACCUGCAACAGCGUGAUGUACCGAUGCUAACUAAGCUUUCGGAAUGAAUCCGAAGAUAAUCGCGAUUAAGAUCCAGAUAAUUUUAAUCCAUCACGCCUUCAAACUAUUACCCUGGUGACAUGAGCCGGAUUUUAGCGGUGCUAAUUAUCUCCAGGAAAUCUAACCAGACAUCAACCUGACCUUAUCGUCUACAUCCUUUGGAUCCCGGAAUGACGGCUGCCUUCAUCUCGUCUUCGUCCCAUGUGGGGUUAUGUCGUUGUUUGAGUGUGUGGCCCACUCUAUGGCACAUGCGAACCAAAAAUUAGGGUAAAGGCAUCUCGCAUCCAUCGUCGUGGCCGUUCAUACCGAGUGCUGGAAUUACGGCAAGAGUCACGGUGGCAUGUCAAAGACGAAUGCCAUCCCGUAAUCGUUAAAUAAUAAUCAGCGCCGCAGAACGAUCCAAAGGAGGCCGGGGACGAGCUCCGAUUAUUAUGGAGAGGUCCUUGAAGAGCUGGGGAUGAGAUCGUUGGCUUCACUUAUUUUAGGGUUUUGUGGCAGCCAGCCAAAAUGGGCGGGCAGGGGACGGGGGGCCGCGCUGAGGUCGACGUCGUCACUCGUCGUCAAACACUUGGAUUAGAUUUUUCUCAUGUUCUAUCAUCCCUGACAGUGGAACCAGGCGACAGGUUGCCCCAAGGCUCUGGAUCAAAUAGAAGACGAGUUUUCGAUCGGUCUUGACCAGUUACAGGGUUUUCGGAGGAGAGAAGAGAUGACAUCAUAAGCAUGGGAGUAAGAGCUGAAGCGAAUCAAAGAGAGAGAUUGUGACUCUUUGGAAGUCAGAAAUCAUGGAACAGAACUCAAUCGCGACUCCACCAGGUACGAUAUCCUCAGACUCUGAGCUCACAAUAAAUGUCUUGGACGACUCCUCGAUCCGUAAGAAAGAGGGUGAUGCCCUUUGAAUCUACAAAUACAAAGAAGAAAUAUCUCUAACGAGAACAAUAAUUCUACUAUUACUACGCUCUUGAUUGUACAGACGCGUAGGCCUUCAAAACAAGCCGAAAGUAAUUUCCGAGGCCCCCUACGGCCCUUCGCCCCCGUCCAGCUUGAAUCUGUCAUUGAUCGAGAAGAACUUAUGAUCUCAGCACUAGCUAGCGGGGGAUGAUGACCGACUACCGCGGAGCUGCCAGACGGCCUUCGAACGAGGGACUGAGGAGACCUCGACCGGUGGCAGGAGGCCACGCUCCCUUUCCCAGCCGCAGCCGUCGUCGAAGUUCUUGUAGUAGCUGACGACGUCGUAGUGGAACGUGUGCGGUUUCGAUUUCCCUUCCCUCGUCAGCCGCCGGAACACGUUCUGCCACCGCCGGCUUCUGCCGCCGUCACCGCCGGUUCCGUCCUGCCCGAGCGGGUGGAAGCGAGAGUGGCUGGAUCUCUGUAGAGGGAACCAGGAGGGGGAAGCCAUGAAGCCGUAGGCGCAGGACGGCCGCUGGGCUCCUAAAGGAUCGCUCCCCAUCUGUACAGACUGGUCGGGGACGAGAGGGAGGAGGCUACUCCAUGGACCGAAGAGGGGGCUUGAUCGUUGGGCCUCUAAGGGGGAAGAAAAGGGUCGCAAGCGAGCGCUUUAUAUCUGCUGCCCCUGGUCGAUCGUUAUCGCUGUUGCUCGCAGUAAACGCAGGGGUGAGGGCGGAGCCCGGCCUGCGUGCCUGGCGUGAGUGAGCACGGGAAGGUCUUUUACUGUAAUCCCCGACGGCGCAGGGACACCAGGAGCAUGAGUGGGCUGCGAGUGGGCACGAGACGCUUCGCUGGUCGGGGUUGGCGUAUGCGCUCCCCCAUCCCAUCCUCUGACAAAACCCGGUUUUCAUGUCGGAGGGAUCAGCGGACUCCGACGUUCACCAACUCGACUGAUUGGAAGCCCGGACAAAGCACGAGGUUGCCUAACCGUGGCCAAGGUGGCCUCCCAUGCUCUUCAGGCCCACCCCCGAAUGUCCCUCUGUCACCCCGUCUUCUUCUUCAACGAGGCCACGUCUCUCGGCACGUGGUCUUUCUUUCUUAGCGAUUCUCUCACCGGCGGCUUCUUCCUCCUAUACAUCCGCAAGCGCAGAGCAGGAGAGACGCCUUGGUGCCCGUCGCCAUCUGCGGACCACCCACAGACUGUCGAGCCACCUUGGCCCCCCGGAUCGCCGUGACAGCAUGGGGGGUGGAAGGGGAUCGGUCGGAGACCACACGGAACUCCUUUCAUCACUCGCACUGGAUUCGCAGAGAAAUGUACAGAUUUAGAUUUCCAUUUUGAGUGAGGGUGGGGGCGAAGGGAUCUCAGAAAACGGGGCAUCCGUCAACUUCGAUCCCCUUGGCGGUGGGGCAAGUGGCGAGCUCGCAGUGCUCCCCGGCCGUGCCCCACCAGUCCAGGCCGGUGUUCUCCAGUCCCACGGAGAAGUAGAGCAGCACGCCCAUGAACGCAACGCCGGCGUCGAGCGCCGCGGAGAGGACGUAGUUGUACCUCUGCCACCACCUCUUGCGGUAGCGGAAGACGAAGAAGUUGAACACCGUUCCCACCGCCACCCAGGAGGUGUAGUUGAGGGCGGUGGCGGGGGGCAUGUAGGCCGUCGCGCCCAGGAGCACGGGCAGGUUGAUGAGCUUGAUCCAACGCUGACGGGGGAACUGCUUGUGGAGGAGCCACACGACCACCGGGCCCAGGGCUCCCCCGAGGAAGAACCAGUUGAGGGCGCCGUAGUUCCCUAGCGGGCCGAAGAUGCGCCGGGGCCCGACGAGGCCCCAGAUGACCGACGCGUCGAAGAAGACGCGAUCUCCGGGGCACGUCCACGGGCUGUUUGGCGGCAGCAGCUCGUCCUGGCAGAUGUUCUCGAUGGAUCCCAGCAGCCACCACGCCACGCCAAGGUUUAUCGUCCCCGCCACGAUCGUCCCUAUGAACUGAGCAAGCAGCACCAUUGGGCGUCAGCUGCCCGGUCGAAAAACAGCGAUCACUCUCCGGCAGGUGAGAAGAGUUCAGGGCGUACCUGCACCAGGAACAUCGACCUGGGGGGGAUCUUCAUGUAGUGGCCGAGCUUGAAAUCCGCGAGGAAGGAUAUCGCCUGCGUCAUGCUCAUGUACCCAUAAACCUUGAAGCACACGUUCGCUAUGGGCCUCCCCGGCAGGAUAACGCCCAUUACGUACUCGGUUAUAAUGUUCAGCCCGGGCGUCUGAUCCAUGCAAACAAAACAAAGUAUAAUAAAAUAAAACAAAGGAGCUUUAGCAUCUCAUGCGGGGAUAUACACGGGCAUAUUCCUGAGGAGCUCGUUGUUUUCACUUGCCAUUUCCUACUAAUGACACGAGCGAGAGGAACCGAUGGUAGAGACUGCCCGUACCUGAUUGGUCGUCGCAGUGAUGAUGGAGAUGGGGAGGGUGAACACAAACGCCAUGAAGCAAGCGAGGAUGAGACCCCACCAGGGCAGUUGAACCUCAUGUUUCAGCACAGUGCAGAGGAUGAGGGAGAUCACAACGGUGAUUCCGAGCAGAGAAUAAAACCACCAUCCCGGUAUGUCCUCGUACGCCCUCAUCAAUCGCGUGUGGAUAUCGUCUUUGUUCUUGUACGAUGCUCGCAUCCGGGCAUAUAUUUCUCUGCACGUUACACAGAGCUCAGAAUUUCCGACGAGGCACCCGUACAAAACAAUAGCAGGGGGGGGGGGGGUUGCGUACCUUCCAUAGAAAAGCCCGACGUGGGACAAAGUGGAGGCUAUGGUGGCGAACCCGAAACCGUACGUGAGAGCGAAGAACAUGCUCAGGGAGAUGCGGCCCUGUUUCUCGUAUGCCGGCAUGUCUAUCUCGAACUUGUCGUUGACAAUGGCCGAUAUGUUGUAUCGACCGCCGUCGCUGGUGAACAGGUGGGAGGAGAAGAUGGGGAAGUUCUUCGCGCUGUACAGGUUCAGUCCCCAGUAGCACAGCGGGAUGACGACGUACAGGAUGACGAAGAAUCCGACGAAUACGUUGACGAUGGCGAAGAAGGGGCUGACGAGGGGGCUGAACAGGAAGGCGGCGACGGCGGACCAGUCCAGGGUGAAAGCCCCAAUGCCCAGACCCCUCAUGCCGGAGCCGAGCUGCUGGGCGGUGACAGACUUGGAGAACACCCAGCAAACCCAGGAAAUGCUCGUCAGCGUGGGGAACAGGUACCCCGGGACGGCGUACCAAGCGAAGCUGCAGAGAAACGCGAUGAGGAAAAACUUGGCCCUCGACAUUCGGCGUUGCUCCUUCUCGUGCAAGGCCCUGCAAGGCACCGGGAAACACCUCCCAGAGUUACGAAAGCCAUGAUCCAGCGUUCCCCCCCCCCCCCCCCCAGGAAUGAUUUAGCCAUGCUAGCCAGCGAAUGGUGAGGGGGUCUACUACUCGGUCUUCUGCUCAGCUCUAAGAUAUUCCCGCUAAUGCCGAGAGUGGAUGGACCCUAUCUCAGUCCUUCCUGCCUUCACCUUCCCAGUCAAAGAAGGGCGCAGAUUGGGUUGAGGGAGGGGGUAUACCCCCAAGGAAGAAGAAGUAAUGACUCAUGAGUUGGCCCGAUACGAUUGGCGCGGUUUGCCGUCUGGCGGCGGAGCUCGGGCUGUUGACUUGUAUUGCCCACACUGAUUUUUUUAGAAAAAAGACAAGCGGAGAGGUGUGAACGGGAAGGAAAUGAGUGGGAAAGGAAGACGUGAAGUCAAUACUUGGGAUUUAAAGAAUAUAGAACGGCAUUCCGCCCAAGGCAGCGGGGGAGGGCGGCACUUAAACCCAGUGAGAACGACCUCGCGCCACGGUUGGCAGAAUCUUAAGAGUGGACUUCGACGAGCACCCGGUUGGAAUGUGUACAGAGGAGGGAGGGAGGGGAAUCGGGAUGAUCAGCCGCGGCAGUCAUCGCAGUCAGCGACCGCGUGUGGUGCUACCAGCAGGAAGAAAGAGAGAGGUGCACGCACCGGAAAAGGGAGACCUGGACGAGUGUGCUCGGCCACCACAUGUGCCCCGGCUCCACCACGUACUUCCUCAGCAGCCCCGCCCACCCGUAGCCCAGCACCUGCCGCCGCCCAGGGACCGCCGCGAGCCGAGGCGUAAGAAAGACCAGGGAUCGUUAGCUCGGGAGUUCCGGUUUGCUCCCAAUUCGGUGAGCAGUCGGCAGCGCGGAUGAAGAAAAGAUAAACAACAAGAGAAUGCGAGGGGAAUGAAUCGACCAAUCGUGGAGCAGACGGGAGGAAAAAAGAGAAAGCCGAUCCGUCCGUCCAGGACGGAGGACACGAGUAUUGGAUGAAAGGAGGCCGGGACGAGGGCAUUCAGACUGCGGGAAGCGUACCUGGGUGCUGAUGAUGAGGAUCCAGCCGGCAACGAAGGAGAUGUUGCGCUUGUAGAAGGCCUUGAUGAUGGUGACGAUGCCGACGGCGUAGGCGGAGCCGUUGCCGAAGGCGUAGCCGGCGUUGGCGAAGAUGGAGAUGAGGACGUGCUCCUUCAUGUUGAAGGGCCCGGGGUUGAGGGAGAAGAGCCGAUCGCCGAAGCCCGGGAGGGGAAACUUGGCCCUAGGGAGCACCCGCGCGAGGAAAUGGCCGAUUGGGAGCGAGGCCACCUGGACCGAGAUCUGGGUGAUGAUGAGCGGCUCGGUGCGGUAAGCAAAGAACUGGUUGAGGAAGGACAUGAGCGCGCAGGAGAGCAGCCCAAUGAACCACAUCCGGAAGGUCCACACGGGGAGGGAGGGGUCAUCGGUGGUGGCCACGGUGAGGCGGACCUGCUCGAUCGGGGACACCUCCUCCUCCGCCGCCGCCGCCGCCCCACCGUGGGCCUUCUUCUCCACGUCCAGAGAAGAUCCCCCCGUGGCCAUCGUCAUCGAGAUCAGCACUGCGCGAGCGAGGUAGCGGGACGUGGGGGGGGAGUGUGCUCGGGGGCGUCGUCCCGGCCCAGCUCCCAGUUUCCUGAGCUUUAUGCUGUCUCGACACACGGCAGUGAAGAGCAGGGAGGGAGGUCCGGAGGGGGCGGCCGGCUCCCCCGGUCAAGUAAAAUACCAUAUUACCUCUGUCUUCUCAAGGAGAAGAGCAUUGGGAGGGGGGUACAGAGGUCAUUCAUCCCUGGAGUCUCGGUCUAAUCGGAUCUCGCGAGCUGGCCCGGAGGAGCGAGCGGGUCUUGGGGAGAUGAUCGGUCAAUGAUGAGCGGAUCCAGCCCGGAUCUCCUCGCGUUGACCGGGCUAGUGGGGCCCCCCGGGGGUGAAAGUGCAAUAUGGCCACUGCCGGGGUCUCAUUAAUGGGGCUCCGGCCCAAUUCCGUCGGCGUCGGCGGAGCGGUCACCACCUUCGGCCCCACUCACCGCCCGCCACCGUCCCCAUCAGGAAGAGCCCGCCCGGCCCUCGAUCCGGCGUCCGGCCCAACUCGGACAGAUCCCCGGCCCAAACCUCUUUUAUGGGCCUAAACGGGGACCCGGCCCACGAUGCAGUCGUCAUCCCUUCAUUGAUCGGUGGCGCACCGAUCAGACAGACGGGGAGCAACUUACCGGAAGGUUCCACCGGAAUAAAAGCCAUUUUUGCAGAAUAUGACGUGAUCACGCGUAUAAAUGAACGAAUAAAUAAAUAAGGAUCAUAUUAUGGCUGGGGUGGGAAUUGUGAACUGGAUCUUAUCUUUACCGGGCGGAAUUGUGGCGUGGUGUGGUGGGUGGGCGGCCCCGUGGAUAGGCCGCGGGUGGCUGCCGUUUGGAUUGGGUCGGUGGCGCCCCGCCCUCCUCGUUGUCCUCGUCACGUGUGGUCCGGAUCCCGAGACGUGACGCUCACUGUUCACACGUGCGCAUGACACGAGGGACGGAACGGGCAGUGUGGGUGGACGUUGGGCCCACCGCCGCCCGCAUCUCGCUCGCUCGCUCGCUAUCUCCGGCCGCAGGUUUAUUUGCAUAUCUUUUAUUUAUUAUAUUGCCUUAUUCCUUUUUAUUUUUUAUUUUUCGUUGGGGGGGAUGGGGUGGGGGGAGCAGAGGAAGGGAGGGCGGGUAUUGGGCGGUGGUAGUGGUCUUUAGGUGGUGGUGGUGGUGGUGGCGGCUCUUCUUCUCUGCAGAGUCGCGCUCUCUUCGCCAUCGCGCAAGGUGAUCGAGCGCGAGUGGUAGGAAGAGAUGGCCACGGUGACGGCUCUCCGAAAGCUCUCCUCCUCCGCCGCCGGCAGCGGCGUGAGGUCCCUCGCGCGGCCCUUCAAUGGGGGCUCCCUCUAUUACAUGGUGAGCGCUGGGGGACUCCUUCUUCUUCAUCAUCAUCUUCUUCUUCUUCGUCAACCUCUUCUUCUUACGCUUCUCUACCACCCGAGCUCCUUCCCCUGCUUCUUCCUCAUUCCCGAUUCUCCACGAUGGAGGAUGGAGGAUCGAGACGACGAUCGACAAGUGCAGAAUCUGCGAUGACACUUGAUAGCCCUGCUUCACCUGACCCUCCCUGUCUUUUUUCAUCCACAGUCGUCGCUGCCGCACGAGGCGGUGCAGGAAAAGCCGAGACCUCACGUGACGGUGAGCUGCGCUCGUUGCCUUCCCGUCCCUUCUCUCUUCAUUCACCUCUCCGCUCGCUCACGCGAGUGGAGCCGUGAAUUCCGAAUGACUUCCGCUGCCGGUCGUCGUGGGUUGAUCUGGAGGUCUUUUAUGAUAAUGUAGUGGCCGAAGCAGCUUAACGCCUCGCUGGAGGAAGUGGAUCCAGAGAUGGCCGAUAUCAUCGAAUUGGAGAAGGCCAGGCAAUGGAAGGUACCCCUCCCAAGAUGCAUUCCUGCAUUUGUUCUUGUUCUCUGUUGGCCAUUUUCUUCGAGCUAGUUAGUCGAAUUCUGCGAUGCCGAACGUAUAUGACCUUCCUCCCAUAUAACAGGGGAUUUAUUUCUUCUACUCGAGAAACUUUUGAAAGCGCUUCUCUCUACCUCGAAGGAAUAAUCUAUUUUUCUACAUGUCGCAACGUUUCUGGUUUCUUGAUCCACUGUUCUUUGUCAUGCGGGAGUUAAAGGUGGUGCAGUGUGAAUGGAGAUUGCUUACUCUUCUGUCCUUCGUUUCUUUCAAUGAAGGGACUAGAACUCAUUCCUUCAGAGAAUUUCACGUCGUUGUCUGUGAUGCAAGCGGUAGGAUCCGUCAUGACCAACAAGUACAGUGAAGGCUACCCAGGUGCAAGAUACUAUGGUGGAAAUGAGUACGCAACAGACCUCUUUUCCGAAUUGGAAUAUUUAAGUUGCAGUCCAAAAUGAGCAUAUUUUGAUUAUUUAAAUGCCAUUUGGUCACUUUUGUGGACUUCAGUUCCUUUAACUGAUUAUCAGCUUUGGGUUCCUCUUAGGUACAUUGACAUGGCGGAAACCUUAUGCCAGAAGCGUGCUUUGGAAGUUUUCAGACUGGAUCCUGCAAAAUGGGGAGGUGCAAUGAGAAAAUCGUUCACUUUCAUUGUACUAAGCUUGGAGUUGCUCAAUAAAUUGCUCACUUCAACAUGUUUUCAUUUUCAGUGAAUGUUCAGCCGCUGUCAGGUUCGCCUGCUAAUUUCCAUGUGUAUACCGCCCUCUUGAAGCCUCAUGAGAGAAUCAUGGCUCUUGAUCUUCCUCAUGGUGGACAUCUUUCUCAUGGGUAUCAGGUACAAAAUGAUCUCUUAGCAAAGUUUUGUUGAAUAUUUUUUUUAUAGGGUUAUCCAAUGGUUUGCAAUCGAUGGACCAUCAUAGCUUUGUAUUUAUUGAUUGAUGUCAAUUAAAAAAAUAAAAAAUAAAAAAUCGGAAGUAAAAUUCAUGGUUUAAUACCCCCAAGGUGCCUCUCACAUGGCUAAAAUUAUCCCAGUGACCUUCCUCUCCCAACCUACUGGUUCUAUCUUAUUUUCCAGUAGGGUGGUGAUAUGUUGGAAAACACCAUCGCUAUUCAUCUUUUAUUUGCGGCUGAAUCAGAGUUUGUCUAGUUCUGCUCAUUGGUCGUUGUACUGCUCAAUUAUCUUCUAAAUUCGUCUUUUCUUGUUAAUUGUCAUAUAGGAGUUGGACAUAAAGUUUAAUUAAUUGUAAUGAAUAAAACGCUCGAUGCCAAUAUCUAAAGAAACUGCUCUGUAAAAAGAUGCAAUACGCAUGCCUCCUCUACUCUUAAGUGACACAUUUUCACUGCACAGCAGCUUGCCUCUUCCAGAAAGGAGGAUACAAUAGAAUGCCAAAAUGCUACCACGUCUGAUGUAUUUUCACGCAUUUUGAAUUAAGCAGUAGUUCUUGUGCAUGGUCAUACUGUUAUCUAACAGUUACAUUUUUGUACGUAGUGUUUGGCCCAAAGACUUAUAUCAAAUCACGCAGAAAUAUCUAUUACUUGCUUCUUCUCUUUAAAAUCUUUAAAAAGUGUGCUUUAUGCAUCCUUUUUCUCUUUAAAUAUCCUGUCAGAUCAUUUGUGCCCUCUAUCUUGGUUUUUUUUGUUACGUCUGACGGUAUGAUUUUACAGAGUCCCAUUUAGAUUAUCAUUCUCCCUUUUUUUAUAUCAUUUCAGACGGAUACCAAGAAGAUCUCUGCUGUAUCCAUAUUUUUUGAGACAAUGCCGUACAGGCUGAAUGAGAGCACUGGAUACAUUGAUUAUGACCAGGUAACCUAAUGUUUUCCCAUUUUAUUCGUUCUGAUUAUAAAUUUACGGAAGUCCACAUUGAUCAAGUGAGGUUGACCAUAUUACUUGUGUGUUAGAAGAGUCUCGUAGGUCAAUCAAUAGGUUAGUAUAACUCUUAUGGUUAUCAGCUUAUUAUGCGUCAACUCUGGGCCAGUUAGCUAGGUCCCUGCAUUGAUUCUAUGUUCACUUUGAUAUCCAAAUUUUAUAUAGAUUUUCUUGUCUAGAAGAAUCAUAUAGCGUUUUAUUCACAUAUAUUACGAUUUUUCCUAGUACAGCUGGAGAAGAGUGCAACCCUUUUUCGGCCAAAAUUAAUAGUUGCCGGUGCCAGUGCAUAUGCUCGUCUGUAUGACUAUGCCCGCAUCAGAAAGGUAAUCUCCCUCCUCCCCCCNNNNNNNNNNNNNNNNNNNNNNNNNNNNNNNNNNNNNNNNNNNNNNNNNNNNNNNNNNNNNNNNNNNNNNNNNNNNNNNNNNNNNNNNNNNNNNNNNNNNNNNNNNNNNNNNNNNNNNNNNNNNNNNNNNNNNNNNNNNNNNNNNNNNNNNNNNNNNNNNNNNNNNNNNNNNNNNNNNNNNNNNNNNNNNNNNNNNNNNNNNNNNUACUCCUCCCUCCCCCCCCUCCCCCUCCUCUCUCUCUCUCUAUGUAUGUAUGUAUGUAUGUAUAUAUGUAUGUAUGUAUGCAUCUAUCUAUCUAUCCCCCCCCCCCCCAUCAGGUGUGUUUACCUUUCUGUGCUGUCUCUGAAAUUAUUUACUGACGAAGCUGUUCGUUUUUUUUCAUCAUUCUGACAGGUUUGUGACAAGCAGAAAGCUAUUCUUUUGGCUGACAUGGCACACAUCAGUGGCUUGGUGGCGGCUGGUGUUAUUCCGUCUCCUUUUGAAUAUGCUGAUGUAGUAACGACCACAACUCACAAGUCUCUUCGUGGCCCACGUGGAGCCAUGAUAUUUUUCAGGAAGGGUUUAAAAGAAGUCAACAAGAAAGGGGAAGAGGUGUGUUGGAAAAGAGUGUGGGCGUUCACUUAGCUUAUUCCUUCAGCUUUGCAUCUAUUUAUUCUGUGUCUCGCCUGUAUUUUUUUUCACAUUAUGCUAUUGAUUUUGUGUCCUGGCACCGUGCAUGUUAUCAUUGAUGAAGUUGUAUGUGUCAUCUUUCGUCCAUAGGUUUUCUACGACUACGAGGAUAAGAUCAACCAAGCUGUCUUCCCUGGGCUUCAAGGGGGGCCACACAACCAUACCAUUUCUGGUUUAGCUGUUGCGCUCAAACAGGUAUGGAUGGUGUAAAGGCGGUUUCUUAUUUUGAAUUUUACAGGCGAAUUGCACCUAUGGUGGAAUAUGUCCAAAUUAAUGAUUGGAAGUGGGCAAUCCCGUGGACAUACCAAUCACUUCAUAGACUGGUUUUAUUCAAGACUAUUAUCGUCAACUAUAUACCGAAGUUCAAUUUUUGGUUGACUUGCAGGCUAUGACCCCCGAGUACAGAGCGUACCAAGAACAAGUUAUUAGCAAUUGUUCAAAGUUUGCUCAGGUAAAACCGGAACAACUCUUAUCUAUCUUCGCUAAGGAAUUUUGUGAGGUUCUUAGACAUUAUAGUGGGGCACAUUCGCUCUAUGACUAUUUUAUUGACCUCCUUAAGUAAAUGAUGGUGCAGACUCUCAUGGGAAAAGGCUACGAGCUUGUCUCUGGUGGGACAGACAAUCAUCUGGUCUUAGUGAACCUGAAGAACAAGGUGCGUGGUACCAGAAACGUUGUCACUGCUCUCCCGUGCGAAAUUGUUUGAGAAAUUUCACAUCAAAAUGCAAUGUGGGCACUGUUUUCUUCUUUCUGCUGCUGAAACCGCGUCGAAAUGUUUAUCGUAUCCAUGUCGAUGUUAAAGAAAAGAAAAACAGGAUGAUCAUUUGCUUUUUAACUUCUUGAGCUUCAAUGUGCAGGGGAUAGACGGAUCUAGGGUAGAAAAAGUUCUGGAGAUGGUCCACAUCGCGGCCAAUAAGAACACGGUCCCCGGCGACGUUUCUGCCAUGGUUCCUGGCGGCAUUCGGAUGGGUAUGCGCCGACCUCCUCUGACGGCAAUUCUUCUUUUGGGCAGUGAGUGCUACCAUGUACCUGGCUCUUCUUCACGGCCUACUUGUGUCCGCGCAGGAACGCCGGCGCUCACAUCCAGGGGCUUCGAUGAGGAAGAUUUUGCGAAGGUGGCCGAGUUUUUCGACGCUGCCGUCAACUUGGCGCUGAAGAUAAAGGGUGAAACGAAAGGUGCGCUCAUUCGGCCUCCUCCUCCUCCUCCUCAAGUGUGGCCCCUAGCAAGGAUUUUGGAAUGCCUGAUGAUUCUUCUUGCCGGCUCGUGUUUCUGGCAGGGACCAAGCUCAAGGACUUCCUGGCCACGAUUGAGGCCUCCGGCCCGAUCCAAUCCGACAUCAAGAAGCUCCGCCACGACGUCGAGGAGUACGCCAAGCAGUUCCCGACGAUCGGGUUCGAGAAGGAGUCGAUGAAGUACAAGGUCUGAUCUCGCAGACCGAUUUCCGAGGAGUUGUGGAGGACCUGGAUUUCUGUUCUGCGCGGAGCUGUCGCUUAUUAUGUAUGGGCGGGCGGGAGGGGGGGGCAGCGAGGAGGAUGAACCCGCCCGGCGGUGCCGCGCGGCGCGGUGCGGUGCCACCUCGUCUGCUGCUCUUCUGCCCGCCCCUCGGACAUGUACGGACGCGUCGGAAGACUUGCUAGUGUAUUUAUGGUAAAACCGCUCGCCUGCGCCCGCCUGCCUGAUGGGGACGGCCCUUCCCCCCCACCGCUGACGGGUCUCCUCUCGUCGGUCCCCGAGGGGGGGAGAGCGGAAGAGCUCGCCUUUCUCGUCGAAGACUCUGACCGCGCGCGAAGGGCGGGCGCGUGCCCAGGAAACGGGCUCGAAGAAGAUAUCGCUCGGGUGAUCCGGAGCGGAGGGGAUGUGGGGCCUCGCCGAUGAUGGGCUGAUGGCCGCCGCGGCCGCGCCUCGUCCCCACGCCUCCCCCACAUGUCUUGGAUGAACAGCGGCGCGCGGAUAGCUCGCCGCGGCCUGGCAGGGGAAAAAAUCUCUCUUCCGAGAGCGUGAGUAUAAACAUGGGCCGAUCCCAGGGAGCUACUGCGCCUUGCGGGCUAGUCGCGCAGUUGGUGGUGGUGGUGGUGCUGCUGCUGACGCCAGUUAUCAGCAUGCUGGCGGCCACGGCCGCGACGACCCGCGCGCCAUCGCUGGCCGCGGGCUCGCGCUCCCUGUGCGCCGUGCGAGCCGCCCGGUCGUCAUUACUGCGUGCGCCUUCGGCUCACGGGCAGUUACACAAAUCCCUGCCCUGCGCGCUUUGGUCCUCGUCCUUCUCCUUCUGCCUCGCCGGCAUACGCAGAUCCACCUCUCCCUCCUCCGCCGGCUUCUGCUCCUCUGCGACGCCCCACAUUUCGAUGGCUGCGGCUGCUGCGAAGCCCGCGCCGGCAUCGGCCUCCGGUGAAGAGCCCCUCGAUUCCAACCCCCUUCUCCAGGACUUUGCCUUUCCUCCCUUUGAUGUUGUCCAGGCAAAGGACGUCGUCCCGGGGAUCCGGAAGCUUCUCGGGAUACUCGUACGAUCUCUUGCUUCUCCCCUCCUCCUCCUCUCGCUCUCUCCCGCGCGCAGGUCUGGGGUGCCUCCGUCUUGUGUCGCGGUGAUCGGUAGGUAUCUCAUCUAGGCUUUCGGCUGAUUCGGUUGCAGGAGGCAGACUUGUUGGAGCUGGAAAGCAAGGUGCAGCCGACGUGGCCUGCCUUGGUGGAACCAUUGGAGAGGAUCGUGGAUCGGUUGCAAGUGGUGUGGGGGAUCGUCAAUCACCUUAAGGCCGUUAAGGAUUCUCCCGAGCUGCGUGCCGCCAUUGAAGAAGUGCAGGUUCGUGCGCCGCCCAUCCCAUCACCUUUCGCCCGUUGAUGCUCCAACGCGGAACAGAGGCCCUCAUCUCUUCGCUGUCUCUCCUUUAGCAGCGUGAUAUGACCACGACAGUCACAGUUCUUCUAUCGUGAUUGGACCAAAAAAAACUUACAAAGGGGGAUUAUGGACUACGGUGUUGUUUCUGAAGAGGAGAUGUUCAGCUGGCGCUGUGCAAAACAUAUCAGAUGAUUUGCCCUGGAUCUUAUUGGCGAUAGUUGCACAUCUUAUGGUCUUCCUAAAUUUCGUAGAAAAUUGAGGUUUUGGAUGAAGAAUCAGAUGAGACGGCUCGAGAAAUGUUUACCUAUUUUACCAUUCGAUAUCAUGAAGAUAUCCUGAGGCCACUUUUUGAAUUACUUGGAUUGUCAUAAUUUUACCCAACAAGAAGCAUAGUGCCUGCUGCAUUUUGUUUACCUCAUCAUUCACACAAUUUUUUUAUGAAUAUAACAAACUAAGCCCGUGAGAGAAUCCGGUCUCAUCACCUUUAAGGCCGAGACGAUCGAAUUUUCUUGUUUCUGUGUAAGCUGCUUUUCGAACGACCGAUCUAGCAAUGUUUUUUCUUUUUUCUGGCCAUUUUCUCAGGUAUGACUUGAAACAUAUCUUUCAUAAAGAGUAGUAUUAAUGCUCAGCUGAGAUGCCUUCUUACAACGAGUUGCUUGAAGCUGGGUCACCUCUCCUGAAGACUUUAUCUCUCAUGAUGAAAGAUUCUUCAUUGUGAUUUACCGCUGCAUUUGAUAAUAUAACUGAUUUUAGAGUUGCAUUGUCACUACUUGAAGACAUGCUAUGAUUUACUUUAAGCUGGCUCAUUCUGACUUUUAUGCUACAUUUUCUUGCAGCCAGACAAGGUCAAAUUUCAGCUUAGAUUAGGACAAAGCAAGCCCAUCUAUAAUGCAUUUAAGGCUAUUAAAGAAUCCUCAAGUUGGUCAAAUUUGAGUGAUGCGCACAAGCGUAUUGUAGAAGGUAGAUUAUUGAAGCUAUUUUUUUGCAUUUGAUAAAUUCAUUUUCUUAAGUUGCAUCAUGCCCUGUUUGUUACCCUAAGUGGAUAUGUCUUCCUGCUUAGGUGUUGUUGUCAUUUUGGGAAAACAUUGUUCUGUACAAUAAUAGUCACUCAUGUUUUUCUUUACGAACGCGCUGGCAAUCAAUUCUUUUUGCAAUGGCAGUGUUAGCUACAACUGUAUCAUAGGUUUUUUCCACGGCUUGAGAGUAUUUGGUUCUCCUUUCUUUACCGCCAAAUAGACAGAGUUCAAUUUUUUUUCCUUGGUUUCUUUUAAAUGGCACUUUUCCUGCACAAACUUAUAUAAUUUCUUUUUGAUUCUGUUCUUGCUUAUUUUUCUCAGAACUCUGUCAUGUUCUCAUUAAAAUGAAUCAUUUUCAUGCGUUUUUUAUUAAAAACAAACAGCAGCAAACACCAUGCUGUAAUAUUAACUCACAAGAAUUAUUUUUUCUGUUUGUGUAGCUCAAAUAAAGGAAGCUGUUCUCAAUGGUGUUGCACUUGAGGAUGCGAAGAGAGAACAGUUCAACAAAAUUGAGCAGGUGUUAUACGAGUAUAUAAUACUAAUCAUCAUCCUUGCUUAGUUUUUCUAGAAAUGUACAACCCAUGAAUUCAGUAUUGUUGCACUUGAUGUGCAGAGAACAGUUUUACAGAAUUGCAAAAGUGUUUUAGUUAUCUUCUAUCAAAUCUAGGAUCAAUGGAUUUCUUAGUAUGUUUUGGUUAAACCACCUUUAAGAGAAACAUGAUGUGAUGACCAACAUCAUUUUUCAUAUUUUAUAAAAUGAUGAAAAUUUCUCUCGAGUUAAAUAGUAAAUUUGACUCAAAAAAUAAGUGGCACAAUAAUUCGAACAUCAAUAUUAUGUUCACCCAUAGAGACAACUCAUAUGAUACCUAGGGCGCUAUGAUGAGAAAUACAUAUUUUUAAUUCCUGGGCCAUAUUGCAUAACCUCAUCCAUUUGACAACUGUUUCGGAGAAGGAGCGGAAAUUAUUUUAAAACUCUUUUGGAAUAGGUAUUCCUUAAAUUGCCCAAUUUUUUCUCUGCUAUUUUAUGUAAAAUUAUAAAUGAACAAUGCUUCAUAAUAGUUCCAUUAUGUUGUGUUAGAUUCGUGCAGCAUUUUGUUCUUAAUGAAAAUAAUGUUUCAUCCUUUUCGAAUUUCUUGGGGCAUUCCUUUUUUGAUACUCUGUGAGUUGCUUUUUUCUCAUACUUAAUUCUUCCACCAAUUGUGCUGACUUGCAGGAACUUGAAAAGUUGUUCCAGAAAUUUAGUGAAAAUGUUUUGGAUGCAACCAAGAAAUUUGAAAAGUUGAUUAUAGACGAGAAAGAAAUUGAAGGACUGCCUCCUACAGCACUUGGUCUCGCUGCACAGACAGCUGUAUCAAAGGUAAUUAUAUUCCAAUUCCUCUUUCACAUUUUAUGAUUAAAUUUUAAACCAUGAAGGGUUCACAUCAGUUGUAUAUGUGGCAUACACACUGCUUUUGUUAUUUUCUUUGUCAUUCAUUCUGUCCUUUUUCAUGUUAGGGUCAUGAGAAUGCUACUGCUGAAAGUGGCCCCUGGGUGAUAACAUUAGAUGCUCCAAGUUUUCUCCCUGUGAUGCAACAUGCAAAGAAUCGAUCCCUUCGUGAGGAGGUAUAUCGUGCUUACAUAACUCGUGCGUCCAAUGGAGAUCUGGACAACACUGCCAUCAUCAAUCAAAUUCUAGAGCUGAGGUUGGAGAAGGCCAAACUUCUCGGAUAUAAUAACUAUGCUGAGGUUUGAUAUUUAAUGUAUCUUGAAUUACGUUAUAUAUACUGAGCACAAGGUUAUUAUGUUGUGAAAUGGGUAAAUUUAUUUUUUCCUAAAAAGGUAAGCAUGGAAAUGAAAAUGGCCACCGUUGAAAAGGCCGAAGAGCUUUUGGAAAAGCUUCGGAGUGCUUCUUGGAAUCCUGCACUUAAAGGUAUUGUGGUAUUUCCUGUUGUUUCUUCGAAUAUAUCUUAGUCCUUUUUACAAUCCUUGGGAUUUAGGAAAAAAACUCCUCUUGGUUCACAUAAUGACUGAUUUAUGAGAAGGAACAACGGAUAUGCAGUUUCGUGAAAUCAAGUGAAAUUUCUGCAGGAAAAACUCUGAAAUUGUGAUUCCUAGUUCAAUAGUAGUCACUCUUUUAUCUCAAUCUACUAGAGAACAUUGCAUUUAGCAGGCAUUGAUUGUCUUUUCUGAACUGUUCUUUGUCUAAGAAAUUCUCAUUCAGAUGUAAAAAGUCCACUCACUCUGUAUGAAUAUUUUCCAUGCCUCUUUCUUUAAAUUUGUCCAUCGUAUUACCAAGUAUUGUGCUUGUUGGAAAUUUACAUUCGACAGGAAGCCAUUCAUUUUUUUAGAUUUAUUGUUGUAUUUUAAUGGUUCUUCCGUCUCCAGCUUGAAUAUUGUUUAUAAGUUUAAAUAAUGCAAUGUUGAUUGCGAAGACAACUUUUUCACUCCGGCAAUGCAGGAUGUAAGAACUUCCCAGGAAAUGUUCCUUUUUUAAAUCAUGUUUCGUUCACUUUUGGCUCAUAGUUUCUUCAGGCUGUCAGUAAAUCUAAUAUCAUACAUUAAAUUAUUCCCUCUUUCUAUGGAUAUUUUUUUGUGGAAAAUACUAAAAUAUUCUCAGCUGCCGGUACUAAAGUGACCUUUUGUGUCCAUAGAUCUCGAAGAACUGAAAACUUUUGCUCUAGAAACUGGUGCUCAAGAAGCUGAUAAUCUUAGACACUGGGAUAUUCAGUUUUGGAGUGAGAGGCUUCGGGAAUCAAAGUAUGAUAUUAAGGAGGUAAGCUUCAAUACGCGUUCUUGAUGGUAUUUUUAAAUCUGUUUAAAUCCACCCCCGUCUGUUAGAUAUUUCCCAAGAAUGAGCCUGGUUGUAUAUGUCUACCGUUACCCUUGGAACGACGAAUGUGUCUAUGCAAUCAUGGGAGUUGAGUUACGUAGAUUAUUUUUUUUUGUAAUAGGAAACUCUUUGCUUCCGAUAAGAGAUCAUUUCUUUUGUUUUAUCUGCAAUCUCACAGGAGGAACUCAGGCCAUUUUUCUCAUUACCAAGGGUUAUGGACGGGCUUUUUAGCCUUGCUAAGACGCUCUUUGAUGUUGACAUUGAACCAGCCAAUGGACUUGCUCCGGUAUUGUAUAUUAGAUUACUUUGUUGUGUUGUCUCGGAGUCUGUUUUACUGACUAUUGUGUCGAGAGGUUGUAGAAAAGAACUUUUUCUUCUCAAAGAGAAAGCAUGGAGGUUAUCUCUGACUGUGAAUUUCUUUUACUCAGGUUUGGAGCAAAGAUGUCAGCUUUUACUGUGUCAAGGAUUCAUCAGGAAACCCUGUUGCAUAUUUCUAUUUUGAUCCAUAUUCUAGGCCCUCUGAAAAACGUGGCGGAGCAUGGAUGGAUGAGGUUUUUUCCCGAAGUCGAGUUCUUUCACGUGAUGGUGUGCCUGUCAGGUUACCUAUUGCACAUAUGGUUUGCAACCAAACUCCACCUGUGGGAGAUAAACCCAGUUUAAUGACAUUCCGUGAGGUGAGUGCUCCACUAAGAUGACAACUAUGAUCCGUUUUCUCAAUUUUCUAUAAGUUGAUAGGAAAAAUAUACUCUAGUUCGCGAGUUUUCAUUCUUUCAAUUUUUUUACCGAAUGCUUUGACAGCUGAUAUACGCCACUGUUUUGUGCUCUGAUAUGCUACUGAUCUUCCUUGAAAUUUUCAAUGAAAGUAGACCAAUUCACGAGGCUUUUUUCAUAUGAUCAAACAUUGCUGGAUUGUUAUAUAGGUUGAGACCGUCUUCCAUGAAUUUGGUCAUGCACUUCAGCAUAUGCUCACAAAGCAGGAUGAAGGCCUUGUCGCUGGCAUCCGUGGUAUUGAAUGGGAUGCUGUUGAAUUACCUUCUCAGUUCAUGGAGAAUUGGUGUUACCAAAGGUAAUUGGAUUAAUAUGAUGCCUGUUAUAUUCUCGACCACUUUGUUUUUUUUUUGAUACUGUAAAAUAACUGAUCUGCCAUCCCUUUUCGUCCUAAAGCGUGGUAGACUUGUGUAUUCAUGUGAAAAACAAUGGAUGGAUUCAGGCCAAUGUCAUACUCGCCCACAUGUGGCAGGAGAUAACUUCUCCUGAUUGACUUGGCAUGCGAUUAAAUAUGUUUCUGAACAGUCAAUGGAGGAGGAAUGGUCGAUUCAUCAUGAUCAACAUCACGUGGGAUGUCUUGGUGGUGUUUUGACUGGUAGACGUCACCCCACCUGGGUCUAGUUAGCCAGCAGCAUGACUUCCAUCCUCUAUAUGGAGGCUCACUGGUGGCAAGACGCCAAUCUGAUGCAUAACAUGUCCCAUUGGGAGUUAGAUGGCCAUAUGUAUACUCGACCAAAUCUCAGUGGUAGCACUCCAAAUGCCACCGCUGAGAUAUCCUGGUAAGCUUGCAGGCAGGGCCACCCACCCUGGGCCUAGUUGUGUCAGUUUGCAGGAGUGAAUCUGGUUUUCCUCGAUAGAACCGAUGUGUUUAUCAAUCUAGUCGCGUAAAAUACAGCUUUUGAAAGGGAUAUGCUGAAUGACACACACAACAGAUUCCGCAAUAUCCCCGCAUCUUUGAUGCCUGUGAUAUCGUGUAUCUUAUGAGGAAGGCUGUGCUUGGUUUUUCUGUCUAUUAGACGUCCAGUUUUUAUGAAAAAUUCUAGAUCUGUUUCUUCUUGCUUUAUUUUGUAUUUAUCUGGUUUUCAUGCAAUAAAUAUGCAUUGCUGUUUAUUAUGGUGAUUUCUUCAUGUGCCCUGACAGAGACACUUUAAUGAGCAUUGCAAAGCACUAUGAAACUGGGGAGCCUCUCCCUGAGGAAGUAUAUCAGAAGCUUCUUGCAGCGAGGACAUUUCGUGCUGGUUCCUUCAGUCUACGCCAGGUCUGCUUCGUGUUUUUGCGCUCUUCUUUUGUUUCUUUGUCAGGCCUUUUCUUCAAUUUACACUGGAGCCUCUUGCUGAGAGACGAGAUAUUCUAAAAGCUUUCUAGUUUAUAAUUAUGAGAUAAAUGGGAUCCACUGAGCACAAAGCGGUCUCUCAGAGGGGGAUAGGGUUUCUUUCCAUUACUGUCGUCGUUUUGUUUAUAUCUAUAAUUUUGUGCAAUCAUUUCUGUCUUGGGAAUGUAAGAAGCUGGUCGGUGGCCUCAUACCAGUUGGCACAAGUUGAUCUGCGCAUGUUUCAAAAUAUACCUACUUUUUCUAGGCUGGUAUGAAUAUUCCCCUGUUUAGCUUCCCUAUCGCUAAUUCAUGCCAAAAUCUUGAAGUGGAUAGAGAAGGAAAUCCUUUUUGUUUUCAGUUUUAUCUCCUCGUCAAUUGUACAACUGUAGCUUGCUUUCUCGAUUUUCUGACGAAAUCCACCAGAUGUGAGAUUGGGGUAGGAUUCAAAGGAAAAGGAGAAAAGAAAAAGAGGGGCUCAUCUGGUGUAAAAUCUAUAUGUGAAUACUAUGAUGGCUGUCCUGGUCGAAUUUAGUGAUACACGAAGCAUGCAACACGCGAGUUUUUGUCUUACAGGUCUAGUGGUGUGAUGACGCUUGAGGGUACAUAUAUCACAAACAAUUCACAUUGUUCGCAAACAAUUCACAUUCGUGUUAACAUUCUAAUGACUCAGCGGACAUUUUUAUCUUCUUUUUCUUUUUCAGAUACAUUUUUCUGUUAUAGAUUUGGAGCUUCAUUCGAACUAUGUUCCUGGUGGACCCGAAACUAUAUAUGAAGUCGAUCAAAGAGUAAGUAAACGGACCCAAGUUAUCCCGCCACUGCCAGAGGACAGAUUUCUGUGCAGUUUCAGCCACAUAUUUUCAAGUUAGUAUGUCGAACUUGCCUCGGUUGUAUUUUUAUCUCUAUCGACGUUAGGAACAUAGUACUGAAUUUUUUUUAUGUUGUAUUCACGAUAGGCGGUUAUGCUGCCGGCUACUACAGCUACAAGGUAUUUUUACAACAUUCUGAUCAUUUUCCUUUGAACACUUCCCUUUGAUUAGUUUUCCCUAUGACCACCUGCACCUUGCGCAUGAUGAGAGGACGACGGACUUACAGUUGAGAAAUCUGAAACCAGUCUGUGAUAGAAGCUGACCUCCUGGAAAAGGGCAGGGGCUAAAGGAAGGGUUUUUUUUUUUUGUUUCUUCUUCUUCUUCUCAUGGGGCUCGUAGGCCUUGUCUGAAGCUUAGGGUUCUCCAACCUUUCAUGCCUGUUUUCUUCUCCAUCUGGGGGGCGCAGCGGACUCGCUUGCAUGUUCAUUUUGUUUCCCUGGUCGUCGCAGUGGGCGGAGGUUCUGUCGGCGGACGCCUUCUCAGCGUUCGAGGAUGCCGGGCUGGACGAUGGCGAGGUUUGCUCUCCACCUCUGGUCGGUUUCGGUUUCCUCCCCCUCCUCGGGCAGCGAACCGGGGGGGAAGGGGGGAGGCUGAGCGAUUCUUGGGACGGCGCUCACCGAAUCGGCGAUUUCUUGUGGUCUGUGGCAGGCCGUCAAAGAGACCGGCCGGAGGUUCCGGGACACCGUCCUCGCCUACGGCGGGGGGAAGCCGCCGCUCGAGGUCAGGGUUCUCUAACCUGUGCAUUGUAUAGUAUAUAUAUGCUUGAGAUUACAUGCAUAUAAACAAGCACUCUCGCUCGCUCUGGCGGCCACCCUCGUCGUCGUCGUCAUCAUCAUCAUCAUCAUCAUCAUCAUCAUCAUCAGGUGUUCGUGGAAUUUCGAGGGAGGGAGCCGUCCCCGGAGGCCUUGCUUCGGCACAACGGCUUGCUGCCCGUCGGCGCCUGAGGAUGCGUGGAGGGGCUUGCGGUGGCCUCCGCCGGCGGAUUCUCUACUCUGAUCAGGAGUGGGCUGCCGGCACUCGUUAUUACAGACAGCAGAGAGCCCCGUACUGCGAACAUAUAUGCUUCACUGCUCUCAGACUGGCCCCGCCGCGUGCUUCGGACUCGUUCAUCGGAGAGAACCUGGGCUACAUGAGAAGCAGAAGAGGGAGGGGGGUACGUACACACACUCACACAUGCUCGCCAAAAGGAAGAAGCAGGCGGUCGGAGGCGCUCUCUCUCUCUCUCUCUCUCUCUCUCUCUAUGCCCAUCUAUCUGUCUAUCGCCGGCGGAGGUCUCUUGGGGGGGACGGGGACGAGGAGGAAGGGCCAUAGCCGCCGGGCCUCCACCAUUCCGGAUGCGGCAACCGGAAGCCUUUCGCCGCCAGCACGUCCAGCAGGUCGAUGCCCUCGAGUGUCCGCCCAGGGUUGUUCCUCGAGAAUCUCAGCGGCACGUCGACGAAAGUCGCCGGGGAGACCGCGUCACCGCCCGCCGCGCUCGGCGGGGCCUGCUGGACCAGCGCCGACGAGCUCCGGGGACGGGCCCCCGAGGCACGAGUCUCACCCAGCUCAUGCGCUUCCACGUUGACGGCGUCGGCGCGGAAGAUUCCUCCCGCCUUCUCCACUGGCGAGUCAGGACCCGCCCGUGGAGGACGGGCCGUCAUCAUCUGGGCUGUCGGUGCCGGCGUAGGUUCCCGGCGCCGAUCGUGGCCACGGCCUUCUCCAUCAAAAGGGAGCUGAGUCGACGGCGGCGGCGGCGGCGGUUGUUUAUGGGGCCCCCUCUCGAUUGCGACGGAGGAAGGCCCUGUGUCGCCGGCGAGUAUCCGGUGUGCCUCCUGAGAGGAGGAUUCGUCGGCCGUACGGGCUGGAACAUCUCGCUGAUUCUUCACCGCACGGUCGUCGGCCGUGGGCACGGACGGAGGGGGAGGAAAAGCUGAACAGUCGAGCUUCCUCUUCAAGGCCGCGGCCUCCUCCUUUCCGCCUCUGGAAGGAGGAGGCCCAGUUUGGGGCUCCGAAGCUCGGGGUUCAAGGCCGCGGCUUCGACGCCCAUCGCCCUCUUUACUAUGCGGCGGCGGGUGGUACGGAAGGAGCAGAUGGAGGCGCCGAGGGCCGAGGCGCAGGAAGUAGCCGACGAGCGCGAGCUCCGCCGCGGCGGCAUCGGAGCAGCGGCGGGAGGAGGAAAGGUCCGGGCAGGGGAACGACUCCGAGCCGAAGAGACGGUAGACGACGUGGUCCGCGAGGCCGCGGGCGUCGGGGGGGAGAGCGUCGCCCUCCUCCUCGCGGAGGAACUGGGAGCGGCGGUGGAAGGCGGCCUGGGCGGCGCUGAUGUUGCCGCACUCCUCCAGAAGGAAGUCGAAGGGGUCAGACGAGUAGUAUGCGGGAGGGAGCACCCCCGGCGACGCCGUCCUCCUCAUCGCCGCCCUCCAGAGGUCUCCGUCUCGAGUAUCCCGGCCUUCUUUCUGGCCCUCUGUAGGGAUGGGGUGGAAGACCUAAUUUUCUUUCUGUUCUCUCUGUACAGAGGGCCAGCGAGAGAGAGAGAGAGAGAGUCAACCGACCCUCGGUAGAUACACAGACAGAGCUCGUCCUCGAAAUGAGCCUCUACUAAUCGCGGGCGGGAUCCCUGAUUUCCGCAUAGAUUAGCGGAUUAGCUUCCCCGAGGGGGACUCAACCACCACAACGGAGGGGGGUGGGGCUCACGCGCAGGUACCAAUCCUGCGCACCCGGACGCAGAAGAAGCUCGACGGAGACGGCGUGCCCGCCCGACGGGGGAGAGAGAGAGAGAGAGNNNNNNNNNNNNNNNNNNNNNNNNNNNNNNNNNNNNNNNNNNNNNNNNNNNNNNNNNNNNNNNNNNNNNNNNNNNNNNNNNNNNNNNNNNNNNNNNNNNNNNNNNNNNNNNNNNNNNNNNNNNNNNNNNNNNNNNNNNNNNNNNNNNNNNNNNNNNNNNNNNNNNNNNNNNNNNNNNNNNNNNNNNNNNNNNNNNNNNNNNNNNNNNNNNNNNNNNNNNNNNNNNNNNNNNNNNNNNNNNNNNNNNNNNNNNNNNNNNNNNNNNNNNNNNNNNNNNNNNNNNNNNNNNNNNNNNNNNNNNNNNNNNNNNNNNNNNNNNNNNNNNNNNNNNNNNNNNNNNNNNNNNNNNNNNNNNNNNNNNNNNNNNNNNNNNNNNNNNNNNNNNNNNNNNNNNNNNNNNNNNNNNNNNNNNNNNNNNNNNNNNNNNNNNNNNNNNNNNNNNNNNNNNNNNNNNNNNNNNNNNNNNNNNNNNNNNNNNNNNNNNNNNNNNNNNNNNNNNNNNNNNNNNNNNNNNNNNNNNNNNNNNNNNNNNNNNNNNNNNNNNNNNNNNNNNNNNNNNNNNNNNNNNNNNNNNNNNNNNNNNNNNNNNNNNNNNNNNNNNNNNNNNNNNNNNNNNNNNNNNCUCUCUCUCUCUCUCUCUGAGAGGCAAGGCAAGAAGCCAGCUUGAUCCAUCCGGUACAGUACAGUGUCGCCCUGCUCGACCGCCUUCACAUCUCUCCCUCUCUCUCUCUCUGUUUCACUAUAUACAACCAGCAGCGAGUGUAUAACCCCACCCACCCCCCCCGGGGCCACCGCCAUGCGUCGCCGCGGACCGCGUGGAUCCCUGCGCAGAUUGUCCCCCCACGGGGUCGCGCCAUCUGUGAGGUCCGAGCAACUGGGAGGAUAUAUGGGGGGAGGCCCCUCGAACGACCGGCCCCACCCUCGAACGGGGAAGAGGGAAGGGGGGGGGGCGCUUACCCGGCCAAGCAAGGCUGCUGAGACUGGACGGCAAUCCCGUCCCUUUUGACCGUCAUUCUCGCAUCUUUUCCAGCUGAUUUCCCCAACGUCUCGAGGGCCCCGUCUACCCAACUGCCGGGGACUGGGCAUCGUCGGCGUCCGAGUCGCUCUCCGCUGAGCUUCGAGAGUCGGAAUCUGCAGCAGAGGAUGCGACCAGGAAAAAAACGUUUAGGCCCAUGCACUAGUAGGAGACAGGAGCGCUGAAAGGUUGCGCCAACGAACGUACCACUGGAGGAUGACGAAUCGCUCCCUGAGCUGCUGGAGCUGCUGCUCGAUUCACUGUGGUUACCGGUAUCCUUCUCGAUCUCCACCGGAGGGAAGUGAGAUGAAGGCAUGUCCUCGCCAAUGUCCACGUCCUCCUCGCCAAGCUCACCGGCCUUCUUGCCGACCCUUUUGCCAGGCUCGGGCGCCUCCACAGCCGUCGGCAGGUUCUGCAGGGUGAAGGUCGAGAAAUCCGAUGCCGUCAGCUAGGGGUGACCAGGGAGAGACAAACGGAACGACGUAAUGGAAACGAAAGGAAGGGGAGAGAGGAAGCGCCAUCACCUUCUCCACGGUGCUGUUCUCAGCUGUUUCGGAAGUAGGGCCGGGGGCUGCAGGAGCCGCGGCCAAUAUUGCCUCCUGCCUCUUCAUCUUGCUCAUCAUCUUCUUGCAGUUGCCGACAAAGCGGUCCAGCUCCCAGAGAGUCUCCGUGUCCAGGAUCUCAAAGUCCAGCUCGAUCUCGUCACCGUGCAGGGCCGGGUCGGGGUUCCUCCUCUGCACUAUCUGGAGCACCUGAGCCAUCUUCUCCUGAGGCAGGCUCUGCAGCCCCAGGCUCAGCUUUUUCUUCUCCUCGAAGCUCAUCUCCCUCUUGUUCGGAUCCUUGGCCUUGGGCUUGGGCUGCUUCCCCACGGCCGGUCUGGCCGGAACGGGAGCAGUAGGCAUCUCUGGCUUGGCUGGUGGGGGGGCCACCGGCUGGAUGUGAGCCGGGGGAACUGAAGACGGGGAGGGGGCGCGGGGCGGCGCACUUUGCGGGGAAGGAGCUGCGCUGGGUGCGGAGGGGAGACUAGCCAGGGCAUGAGGGACCCUACCAGCAGCCUCCUCCGGCGGUACGUGCACAUUAGACCUAGAGUGGCUCUUCUUCUCCUCUUCCUCGCCCUUUCCAUGGGAUUGCGUCUGUUUCUCGUACGCCUUGUACGCAUCGGCGAACAGCUUCUCGAAUAAACUGAGCAAUUGUUCCGCCAUCUUGUGCACGUCGUGUCCCUCCGGAUUGUAAAGGAGGGCGUUGUUGAAGGUGAGCCUGAUGUCGGCAGCGAACUCCACGGGCGAGGCGUAGGAGCUCUUGUCCAGCUUGGACUUGACUGUGCCGAGGUCCAUCGGACGCUUGAUGAUCUGGUGAUAGUCAUGGAGACCCAAACCCAUCACGUCCACCGGCGUAUUGAAAACCCAGCCGUAGCGGUGCUUCAUCAAUUUCGUCAAGAUCUGGACGCAUUUCUUCAUCAUGACGCCCAAGAGCUUCUCCGAUUCCCCAGUGGCCUGCCGCUUGGCUUCCCUGGGAGAGGUCAGGGGCAGGGAUCGCUUGCCGACGGAGAGGUUCUUGUCGCUGUCACCGUGUGGGGAAGACGCGGUCCCCGAACCACCUCCUCCCAAGGGCAACUCGGCUGCCGGCAGUAGGUAAUGGUUGCCUCCCUUGGGCGUCCGGCGGUCUGAUGCAGAAAGGCGAGGUGGGGAAUCCAAGACCGGUGGUUGGCUAAUGAGCACCGGUGAAGGCCUGGAGACCGCGGCCGCAGAUGUGACCUCGCGCCCCCCACCACUGCCCCCGCCGUAGCCGGAGGUGCUGAAGCAGGCAGAUCUGGCAGCCUGGAGAUCGCCGGACUUGAUCCGGUUGCUGAGGGAUCGAACCUGUUCCAGCUCCGAGAUCAGGCGGCGCUUCAACUCCUGGAGCUCCCUCCGAGAACAGGCGGCGAUGUCGAAUGUCACGUACGCACUGUCGAAGCCAGAUUCCUUCCUCGACGGCCUGCUGAGAUAGUGCUGAUGAUUGCUAGGUUUCCCAGAGGCCUUGUGGUGGUUGAAGGACGAUGAGUCGUCGGAGGCGGCCGGCACUGCGGCGUAGCUGGCGGAGGUCGGCUCGUCGCUGCCGUCGGCAUGGUCGAGGCGAUCUAAGAAUGGGGAAGAUACCGGCGCUACCCGGGGCCGGUCCUUGUUGCGGUUGUCGGAGGCCGACCUAGGGUUAGGGUUAGGGUUAGGGCUCGGGUUCUUCCUCAUGUAAACCUUCGGCUCCCCCCAGAACGGCUCAUUACGGCUACUGGCCAGCAGGGCGGACGCCAUGCACGGUGCCGCCGUCGAGUGACCGCCGGGGGGGAGGCUGCGCAGAUCAGGCGGAUUCCGGCGGUUGGUGCUCGGGAACCAUUAGAAAGAAUGUCGAAAUUAGAAGGGGGCGGGCAGAUCGAAUCUAGUAGGAUGGCCCCAUAUGGUCACCGGCCGGAGACGGAGAGGGGCGGCGGCGACGCCGCCGGUAGCAGUCGGCCGGCGGACGGUCGGGGGGAGGGGAGGGAUGCGGGAAGAGGAGCGGAAGAGAGAGGGGAGGCCCGACGGGGGCAAAAUGGUAAUAUGAGCAACGGCGGAGAAGAAGGGGGACAGAAACGGUAAAUGGUGAGGAGGAGGAGGACCUGCGAGGAGAAACGGCUGAGGGCAGCACGGGUUCUUAAAGACGUCCAGAUGUGCCCGUGAACCCGCCCGGGCAAGCGGUGGGCCGUGGAUGCGUUUCUUGCCCUGCAUCAGACGGCGUAGAGGGCUUAGACCGCUGACCAUGGAUCUGCCCGUCCCAUCUGUCACGGACGGCGGAGAUGGCGUCGGCUGAAACGUGGCGGUCAUCGGCAGGGGAGUUCGCAACGAAGACGCGAGAGGGCCUUCGCCCUGCGAGGGCGGGAGCUGCUCUCGUGGGCCCCCACAUGCGUCUUUCUAUUGGCUGUCUUUACGAAGUAAUUGCUCUCUCUCUCUCUCUCUCUCUCUCUCUCUCUCUNNNNNNNNNNNNNNNNNNNNNNNNNNNNNNNNNNNNNNNNNNNNNNNNNNNNNNNNNNNNNNNNNNNNNNNNNNNNNNNNNNNNNNNNNNNNNNNNNNNNNNNNNNNNNNNNNNNNNNNNNNNNNNNNNNNNNNNNNNNNNNNNNNNNNNNNNNNNNNNNNNNNNNNNNNNNNNNNNNNNNNNNNNNNNNNNNNNNNNNNNNNNNNNNNNNNNNNNNNNNNNNNNNNNNNNNNNNNNNNNNNNNNNNNNNNNNNNNNNNNNNNNNNNNNNNNNNNNNNNNNNNNNNNNNNNNNNNNNNNNNNNNNNNNNNNNNNNNNNNNNNNNNNNNNNNNNNNNNNNNNNNNNNNNNNNNNNNNNNNNNNNNNNNNNNNNNNNNNNNNNNNNNNNNNNNNNNNNNNNNNNNNNNNNNNNNNNNNNNNNNNNNNNNNNNNNNNNNNNNNNNNNNNNNNNNNNNNNNNNNNNNNNNNNNNNNNNNNNNNNNNNNNNNNNNNNNNNNNNNNNNNNNNNNNNNNNNNNNNNNNNNNNNNNNNNNNNNNNNNNNNNNNNNNNNNNNNNNNNNNNNNNNNNNNNNNNNNNNNNNNNNNNNNNNNNNNNNNNNNNNNNNNNNNNNNNNNNNNNNNNNNNNNNNNNNNNNNNNNNNNNNNNNNNNNNNNNNNNNNNNNNNNNNNNNNNNNNNNNNNNNNNNNNNNNNNNNNNNNNNNNNNNNNNNNNNNNNNNNNNNNNNNNNNNNNNNNNNNNNNNNNNNNNNNNNNNNNNNNNNNNNNNNNNNNNNNNNNNNNNNNNNNNNNNNNNNNNNNNNNNNNNNNNNNNNNNNNNNNNNNNNNNNNNNNNNNNNNNNNNNNNNNNNNNNNNNNNNNNNNNNNNNNNNNNNNNNNNNNNNNNNNNNNNNNNNNNNNNNNNNNNNNNNNNNNNNNNNNNNNNNNNNNNNNNNNNNNNNNNNNNNNNNNNNNNNNNNNNNNNNNNNNNNNNNNNNNNNNNNNNCGACCCCCCCCCCCCCCCCAAGGAUCGGCGUUUCCCCUCCCCGAUGAACGCGGGGAUCCGGCAACCACUCGUGGCCACCGAAGGGGGAGGGAUCUCCACGAUGACGUCGCCGUCCUCCCCCAAACCAUGAAUGCCGCCGCCUUCCUUCCAGAAGAGCCAUUUGCGGGGAGCUUCGUGGAUGAUGAAGCAGCAGCGACCCUACGGCAUCAUCGCUGGUCUACGAUGGAGCGGUCAAUCUCUACCAGGACCGGGAGGAAGUUCCACGCAUCUACAUUCUCCGCGCCUAUUCACAGACUAAGCGGGGGAGAUCAGUCCACGCGUGGCCGCCGCGAGGAGCCACGGCGGAACGAUGGCUCCACGAGACCCCCGACUGUCACGGGGUCUGUCUGCUGGCGCGCACGCGCGACACUGAAGCCGGCGGCUGGACCUCGUCGCUCCAUGCCAGGACAGGCAGACAGGGUUGUCACUCUUUCCGCUGCCGCUCGGGGCAUCCGUCGGCCAGCCGCCAGAGUCUCCUCUGACAGAAGGGAGGCCGCCGUCACGGCGCCUGCCCGCACGAGGACGGACAGGCAUUUCCACCGUUACGGCUUCACGUUGUCGCUGGCAGGCGAAUCCCACCACCGCCACACCAACCUCCUCGCUUCCUCCGGACGGGAGAUGAUGCCGCUACAGCGCGCUGGCCCCCUUCCGUCGUCUGUCCGUCGGACAAAGCUCGUCUUCCGUUCGGAGCAAUCCUCUUCUUUUUUUUCUCACAAAAUCUCGUCCCCUAGCCAAACCGAACCAUCACAGAGAACGCAGAGUACAGGCGAUGGACCCCGCCCGACCUCCCGCCGGUGCGCAGGUCGAGCGAGCUUUGCCCUCCAGAACGAAGACUGAAAGAGGGAAUCUCAAUGUUGUUGAUGAUGGCAGGCUGAAGAAGCAAAGGGGAGCAAGGAAAAAUCCACACGAGCCGCAAGGCCGAAGGAGGGGGAGCCAACGGAUGGAGGGAGGGAGGAGGUACAGACGAAUGUGACGAGAAGAAUUCGACAAAAUCAGGAAGACCAAGGGGAAAAAAAACGAAAGAAUGGCCAGACUCAACGGGCGCCUCACGAAUGCCAGGCACACAAACUCGCCUCCCACCCUUCGGUAGCGAUGGCCGCGGAACCAAAGAGCUGACCCCACAGAUAAGAGGGCUACGACGCCUGCAAUGGCUUCGCGGCGACCUUCACCUCGGGAUUCAGCAGCUGGGCCAUGGUCGCAGCUGUCGCCGACGAACCCACCGCCGUCGCCAGAUGCGGCGGCAGUGGCUGCGCUGUGGUGGAUCUCUGCUGCUCCUCUCCGCCAGUCGCCGCCUUCGCUUGGAGCGCCGACAUGACGCUCCCACCGGCAGGCGGCGUCCCCUGCCUCAGGCAGACAUAAAGCGGCCUGCCUAUGCCGUCGUAUGCAGUGAGCAGCCGGGGGGCGCCCCCCCGCCGGCAACUCCAUUGCCCUCCGCCUGGCCACGCGUCGCGUACCCCCCCACUGUCUUCGUCGAAAGCUGCUGCGGCGGCGGCGAAACCAGGUACGGGGACUGCUGCAGUGCACCGAGCGGAGCCACGCUCUGCGUGGUGGCGGCGGCGGCGUAGUAACAGUCUCGGCGGCUCUGGCCGUUGGUCAGCGCCGGCAAGGCUGGGCCCGGGUAGAUCCCCUGAGGUGAUGGGGAGGGGAUGACGUAUAUCGGCUGGUCGAGCCGCGCCAUCGAAGACGGGUAGACGCCCCCACCGUCAUCCAGGACGCUCUCUUGCAGGUACGCGAACGGGAUCUGAUGUGUCCCCGGAGCCUUCUCCUGAGGCGUCUGGCCGUUCGGCGGCGGGUAAUACUCGACGGGACUGAGGGGGUAAGCGGAGGGAAUUAUCUCCUCCUCGAUGCCCUUCGCCGGUCGCUCCUGCUGCUGGCGGUGAGCCAUCGCUGCCGCCGUUGUCUCCUGUUGACCAUUACCGACUUGCAGCUUCUCCUGCUCCCGCUUCGUGCCCCGGUGGAUCUCGGGCUGAUUUGAAUCUGAGAUGAGCGGCUUCCCGGCCCCUCCGACCCAAUUAUCCUCCAUCGACGAGCCUGAUCCCGUCGCCGCCGCCGGAAUCGGGCCGGCAGCGGGAGCGUCCGCAGUAGCGUUGUCUUCCAGCGCCGAAUCGUGCAUCGCCGGGAGGGACGAAAAGCCUCCGGUCCCUUCAUCAAGCCCGAAGAGAAAAUCAGGAUUGCCGACGGCGACCACCGGCGGAGGUACGGGAGUGGCUACGGGCUCGGUCGGGAGAGCCGGCGUAGUCGGCAAUGAGUUGAGGGCGUCCACGAACCACUGGCGAUCCGGCGACCUCAGAUUGGAGGAGAACCCCGCGGCAGCGGCGUCGGCGACGGACGGGGUGCGAACGGGGCCGGCGCCGGAGAAGAAGAGGAAGAGACGGAGGCGCGCCGGCUUCGAGGGGGAGCGCUGGAGACGAUCGUAUUCGACCAUCAUGUGCUCGACGUCCUCGUCGUCCGUGACGGAGAUGAGGGCGUCGAGAUCCUCCCCGGGCAGUUGGUACUUGAAGCAGAAGUCGCCGCCGCCGAGGCCGGCCGGCGCCAGCGCGGCGAACCGGGCGAGGAGCUGGGGGAAGCGCACAGAUCGGUCCACGGCGACGAUCUUCGUGUCCCCGCCAACGUAGGCAAGUUGGUUGUCGUGCGCGCGGGGCUGGAUCCUCCCCCCGUAGCUGCACAUGAAUUUGACGCGCUGCCCGGCGGCGGCGGGGUGGGUGGGGAGGCCGUGGCGGUGCGAAAGGGGCGGGGGCGGCGGAGGGGGAGCCUCGUCCCAGGCGGCGCCGCCGGAGGAGGAAAUGUCGCCGUCGGUCCCCCGGGACAGGGGGGAGGAGUCCUCUCCCGAGCCGAGGGAGUUGCCGCCGCCACUGCCGUGGCGGUGGGGGGCCUCCGCCCCGGGGGUCGCCAUUGGGGAGGGAGGGGCAGAAGGGACGACGGCGCCGCCGCCUGGGGAGGGUGGGGCGAUCUAUCUGGUCGGGAGGGAGUUAGGGUUUACGAAAAGGUGCCCCCAACCGUCCGCCGCCAGGGAGGGGGAGGACGGGCGGGAGCUUAGCUGCGAAACCGCGCGCAUCUCUCUCUCUCNNNNNNNNNNNNNNNNNNNNUCUCUCUCUCUCUCUCUCUCUCUCUCUCUCUCUCUCUCUCGUUCUGUUGCCCCAACGACACCUCUCCGGGCUGCGUGCCGCUCAGCGUGCGAGGGCAGCGGAGGGGAGGUGAAAGAACCCGACACGCGACACCUGGCACCGAACACGUAUGCAUGUAUGUAUGGGUAUGCAUGCAUGUAUGGUAUGCUUGCAUGCAUGCGUUUGUGCGUUUGUGAACGGAUUAGGAAGACGAAGAAGAUGAAGAGUUACAGCGCUUACCCGCCCCGCCCCCCCGGUCGCAGGAGGAGCCACCGCCUGCGAACGUAGUGGUGGACCUGACCUACCUACCCCCAUGGCCCCCAGCCCUGUAAAUGCCGUUCACCGUGCGGGCGCGCUCUCGUUCACCCCCGGUCCCUUUCUCAUCAUCGUCGACGAGGAGGCGUCCCCGCACAAGGGGCAGGCAGGGAGGGGCAGGUCCGUGGCGGAGGAGGCGGUCGCUUUCGCCGAUGUGGGGAGGACAGAUGAAGCGCGCCAUGGAGCCGGCGGAGGAGGUGGACGUCUCCGCCGUGGGGUACAAGCCCCAGGUCGUCAAAGGUAUCUCUUUACCUCUGAAGGUCCGUCCCUUUUUUUGGCCGUACUCUGAAGAGUGGCUCCUCUUCUCCCCAUGUUUCUCUUCCGAUCCGCCCCUCCCCCCGUUCUGCGCGCGCCCGCGUCUGGCAGCUCCCCAUCUGGCGGGAUUUUUUCUGCGGGUCUUCGUUUGGCUGGUGGAGGCCCCUGUCCUGGGUUCUUUCUUCCUGUCCGUCCUGAAGCGCCAGAAUGGCAUCACCAAGGUUCGCCACCAUUCGUGGUCAGCUGCUGAAUAGUCAUACUGUCGGCCCUCGACGGCUUCUGUUACGCAAUCUACUCUCUACCCGCCUACUGCAUCGAUUUGUAGGUGCUGGAGGACACGGUGAUUCCCGAGGUUCCCAUGUUCCGACCCGAGUUUCCACCCCAUGGUACUUCCUCCUCAUUUCUUGUUCUCGCCAUUCAUAAUGCAUUUUUUGAUCCUUUACUUUUCUUCUGUUCCAAGGUAAACAAGCUCUUCCUCCCCCCUCGGGUCGGUGACUGUAAAAUUGGCAACAAAGUUCACAGCGCGUCCCUUUGUGAAAUUUCAGUGCCAGAAUCUGGUGUUCUUGAUGUUGAAGAAGAAGGUGAAGAUGAAGAUCCUCUCGCCCGAGUCGAAGUUGCAACGAGGUGCCUUCCUCCCUACGAUCCAUGCCGACACUUGGGUGGGGAGGCUGGCUUUCCUUUUCAAUACUGGACGAUCCGUGACUAUGCGCACGCGUAUCAGUCUAAUCUUACAAGCCCCACAAUUGUGAGCUUUACUCCCUAGUGAUAGACUUAUAGUCCAAUUACACGCGAGUCUAAAUGAAGGAAACAAAUCUGUGACCAGGUUGCAGAGCGAAUCAUCUCAGUGGUGGAAGCUUUCAACCAUAAAAAACCUCCAAUGCCCCUGCUGAUAUCUUUUGAUCCGGAAGAAUUGAGAAAGCAAGCUGCAGCGUCUACACAGAGAUUUAUAGAGGGUAUUUCUACUGAAUGGGUUUGGAUCAGUUUCUGAUUCUGAUUGUACUUUAGAAAACACUGCCUUGCACCAUCACGCCGGGAUCAUGUGACCUGCCACUAAUCUAACCAAGGCUACCUGUGUACUGUUUCUGUCCUUUCCAGGAAAGCCCUUAUCAGUCUUGGAUGGAAUUUUCAUGGCUGUCAAGGAUGAUGUUGAUUGCUGUCCAUAUCCAACUAAGGGUGAGGUUUCAGUAUUUUUCCCAUGUGUAUUUUUAUGUGCUGUUCCAUGCACAUUGUGUGUGUCUCGGUGCAUAUAUAUAUAGAGAGAUAUGGAUAUGUGUGUGUGUGUGUGUGUGUGUGUGUUUUAAUGUUAAGCCCAAUCCUUUCAGGUGGGACAACGUGGUACCAUAAGGUCCGCACAGUCAAAAGGGAUGCUGUUUGUGUCUCUAGAUUGCGAUGCUGUGGUGUGAUAUUUAUCGGGAAGGCAAACAUGCAUGAAUUGGGAAUGGGAGUGACAGGAAAUAAUCCAAAUUAUGGGUAAGAAGAUCGGCCUUCAGCUGUUUUUGAUAGUCAUGGUCCACAGGGUUCAUGUAUAAUAGUCUCCACAUUAUGCGAUGAUGAUCAAUUUCUUUUUUGUUCAUCCUGUGUCUUCACCAGAGUUUGAUGUCUCAGUGUCUUCAUCAGAGUUUGAUGUCUCAGUGUCUUCAUCAGAGUUUGAUGUCUCAGUAUCCAAAUUUAAGUGGUUCAUCCUAGGAAGUUUUAAUUCUAACAAUGUAAUAGUAGACUUUAUUUCGCAGAACCCUCCAUCCCCACUCAUCUCCCUACAGUCCAAAGAAGAAAUCUCCCAAAAAUGUGCCUUGUCCCCCGAUAGGCAAUUGGUCUAUUGUUAGAGGAUGAUGAUAUAUUGCAGGGAUCAAGUAGGUGUGAUUUACUCCUGUGAAUUGUGUAUAUGUGUGUGUGUAUAUAUAUAUACACACAUCUGCACAACCAUGGAGACGAUCCUCUAGGAGGGAUUUUCCUAAGGCCAAAAGUUAUACGUCAGGAACACAAGUACAAUUUCGUGACAUUGUAUUAUUUUGAUGGAUAAAUUCACUUUAAAAUUCGCAUUUCAUCUUUUGUGCAGGAAUAUCUGCCUCUGAUACUUGCAUGAUACUGACUUUUGUCUUGUUAUUUGCUUUUCAUUUAUACCAUCAUUCCUCUUCCAUCCUUUUUUUAAAAAAAUAUUAUUUGAUUUUCCUCUAGCUUCGUGAGGUAUUUGUUUGCCAGCCCUGUUGUUUCUAGCUUUACAGUUGAUUUUCACCGGAAAUUCUUCCUUAAUGUGGGGUAAUUCUGCAAGUCUCUGUGGGAGAGGGAUUCCCUCUCUUAUUUUUUCUUACAGUUCGAUAAGUUGUUCCAAUGCUAAUGUGGGUAGUUCCCAACUCUCAUGCAAAUGCACGUCGGUAGGUUUUGCUGUCAAAUCGCAGGAAUAUGUAUGGUAAUUCCUUUUGAAAUGUGGAUCUAACUCUCCAUGAAUUAACCAAGAUGCCCUAUGUUGGUUGGAUCUCAUUCCAGCCCAUUCACACUCAAGAGAGAACUAGCUUCAUAUGGUAUCACUAAUGUUGGUUCAAUAUGAUACAACUCGAGAUGUGAACAUGAGAAAGAGAGAGGAGAGGAAGAGAGACGACAACAGGGAACACACUGAAUAGUGGACUCAACAUCAGCCCUAAUCGUGGAGUCUAGUAUAUAUACUAAACUCCAAAUGGGCUAUGAUGGGCCGAUCCGGCCCAGACAUAUAUGCCCUAACACAGACCAGCAAAGAUUCUAUCAGAUCUGACGUGGACCAAUAGUACUAUCCCCUUUCAUAUUUUCUGUUUCUUUGUUUCUGGAAAAUUUUAUUUCCACUGUUGAAGAGAAAGAGGAGAACAGUAACUAGAAUUUUUUUUCCCAGUAUGUUGAAACUGGACAUGAUAUAUUCCUUAGACGAGUAUUUUCCCUGGAAUUCUAGUUGGAAUUUUGUUUUCACUAUUUCACAAGUGAAUGGAUUUCUCAAAUUGGAAUUGUGUGAUUUCCUCACAUUACUUUGUCGCAAGCAUAUCUGUAUCGCGCCCUUUUUUUCCCCGUUUUACACCAGGACUGUGCGAAAUCCACACUCAUUUGAAAGAUAUACUGGUGGGUCUUCUUCGGGCUCUGCUGCAAUUGUAUCCUGUGGAUUAUGUCCAGCUGCUCUUGGCACGGAUGGAGGAGGUUAGUGGAAAGUUUGAGUACCUCAUUUGUUUGGUGUAGGUGGAGACUUCAACUUUGAUUCAUCUGAUCCGGAAUCUCGUACAGGCUCAGUUAGAAUUCCAUCUUCACUUUGUGGUAUUGUGGGCUUGAAGACGACUUUUGCGCGAACAGACAUGAAAGGGUAAUGCAGCUUUUUACAUUAAUCAAGCGUUACUUAUCUAUCCACUAAGUGCGCCCAUGGAUUCGUGUCAGUUUGUCCAAAAAGUGUGUACUAUAAGUUGUAGUGCUCUACUUUUACUGGAUGUGUAGAAUAUAUGUGGGCUAUCACAUUUAUAUGCUCAUUUCGCCUCUAUUACUAUGUAUCUGCAUGUCCAAAUUGACGUCAGGAUGAGAUGUAAUCUCAUUUUUCAUCCUUAUUUAAAAUUGUUGACGAAAAUUCCUUUGGAAUUUUACAUCUAAUAUGGACAAAUUACAUUAGAAUUGUUAACGUCUCCACUUGUUAUUCUUCUAUUUCGUUAUCACAUACAUAAUCUAAGUACGUAAAGAAUUUUUUCCAUUAUCAUGGCCAACGUCCUUUCAAGAUUUUUGUAAGUUGUAAUAUUUUUUUUCUGUUUACUUACAGCACACUGUGUGAUGGUGGAACCGUUGAUGUCGUCUCCCCACUUGCAGCUACGGUUGAAGACACCAUGCUAGUGUAAACCUCGUGACCAGCAUUAUCGCCAGAAAUUUGGACGGUUUUUUAUUUUCUCUUCGAACUCCUAACUGUCCUGGACUUCCUAAUUAUGAAAACUGUCAGAGAAAUGUAGCAAAGAACAUAUCAAAGGAUUUUUUAGAUAUUUAUAAAUAUCUAGUUCUACCGUAGGACUGCAGCGUAACAUGCUUUCAAUUUGAUGUUCCUUUUUUGGAUUGUUGGGGUCUGUGAAAUGGCUGAAUGUAUGUAUUGUUUUGCAAAUUCCUCAUUGCGAGAUCUCUUAUUAGAAAUUUGUCAACUUUUGUUUACUGCAUGGAGGGCCACUACAAAUUUAUCUCUGAUCUCAUCAUUUUCCUCUUACCAGGGUGCUAUAAAUAAGUUAAUUUGCUACAUUUAUGUCCAUUGUCAUCGUUAUUACUAGAUUUGUCUCAUGCAUGAGUGUAGGUUACCAUAUCAAGAACCCAAAGAUCUGGUGAAGUUUUUUGCUCGGUCAACCUCCUGUCCGCCCACUAACAGCAGCUCCAACUAUCUGUUCCAUUGUAGCUCUAAAUGGGAGAUAUCUCGCCAAGAUACUUAUGAAACAAAUCAACGGGAAGAAAAAUACCUUUUUUCUCGUGAAAUUUAGGUUCAUAUAUCCGAGGUCUAGCUAUUUCAGGUCCUCAAAGACUUUUAAAAGAAUUCGAACAAAGAGGUACAAAUAAAUUAUCCAGGACGACUGGCCAAGGGAAGAUGUAAGGGAACAUAAUCCUGCCAAUCUGGUCGUCUUCAUCCCAUUUGCGAACUUAAUCACUAUAACCAGUUUCCUUUGUCAAGUUAUGCUUCUGUCAGUUCAUUAAACUGCAUGUCAUAAAAUAUGGUCAACUCCGUUUUUCCAGUUUUAAUUUUCUUGCAGGAACAAAUUAUGUGCUGGUCUAUUGUGAUUUUUCAGGUAUUCAGCAAUGUCAGGGUCAUCUCCAUCCAACAAAAUCACUUUAAAUCCGGUAAUUUAUGAAAUUUUAUUCACUACCAUAAAGAGAUUUAGUUCUCAGCUGAUGUUUGGUCACUAGGAAGAGUCACAUGUAAAUGUUUACAUUUGUGCGAAAUCAUUUUGAUGGCAACUUCUCAUUCUCUACUGAUUUUGUGUGAAGAUUAUAAAACCAAGCUCACCAUUAAGUUCUAUCAUCAGCUCUAUUUUCAUUCUAGCCGGCCCUUCACUUUUCAGCAAGGAAAAAAUGGUUGUUUACCAGUUGAUGCGAGUUUAGGCAUGUCACUUAUUGCAAUAAGAGGAUUCAUCUUAACUUUGAAUAUUCACACCUAACCAAAGAGAUGAUCGAGGAGAACAUAAAAAAUAUACUUUUAUGAGGUAUUAAAUAUGUAGCGUGCUCUAUGAAAGCCCACUUCUCAAAGAAUGGAUGCGGAUUAAGGAUACUUUUGAGCCAGCAGCUGACGUAGUUUCUUAGAUAGAGAAGUAUAGAAUUGUUUGAGAAUGAGUGUUUCUAGAUUAACAGCUGAACCUCUAGUCGCAAAGAAUGGAUACACUGCACUGGAUAUUAGGGUUUGACAAUGAAACUAAACGUUUGUAUUGGCAAAACAGGUUAUAGAGACACAAUUUGAAAGAAAAUUGUUGGGCAGUUUACAUCUUUGACUAUUCUUCUAUCUCUCUCUAGUUUGCCUGCUGAAAUAUCGUUUCAAAUGUUUCAUAUUACAUGCAUGUGUCCUUAUUGGGCCAUUUACCCCCUAAUCAUUUGAUAUUGAUGGAGUAUCAGCUGUUUCGAUCACAUUAUUAUGGGGCCAUUCUAACACUUUUAGCCUCUGUCAAGUGAACUGCUACAUACAUGCAGGAUGAAUCUGCUGUACUGUUACCAUGUUAAUAUUGGACCGCUCUAACUCAAAACUAGUUGUCAUUGAUAGGAUUUGCCUGGACACUUGACCAUAGGACUUUCCGAUUAUUAGAGAAUCCAUUGGAAUAUAUAUUCAGCAGGCCCAUGUUGUCACUUGUUCGUGUUAAUGAGUCAUGUAGAACAUGGACCCAUUAUGCCGAUGUGAGACGUCAUGUUUUGUUCCCUCUUGAAAUAUAAGGACAGGCCUAGAUUUUACCUGAACUUUACCAUCAAUUCUCAAUAUAAUUUCCCGUGAAAAAGCUCAGCUGCAAUCCUUGUUCUCCAUGAUCCUUCUAUCCCGAUUUUUGUACCUUCAAUUUUUCAUUUCUUUUUGUGCAACCCUGAGCAUCAUGUUGACCACAUUUAAAUUAUUUUCUCCGUGAAAAUUACGGCCGGCUGUCUGUAUUAUUGCCUUGAAAUAUUUCGACAGGAUUUUUUAUUUAGCAUCCUUAUAUUGAUACUUUUAAGUAGUAGGUGUGAAGUCGUUCAGAUAAUGGCUAUCUUCUUAUAUUCGGAAAUGUUAGCGUCCUCUAUCAUGUUAAUGAUGUUCCUGCAGUAAAGUAAAUUUCCCCUUUCAUUUUGCAAUCUGUUUCAUUGAAUAUCUUUCUAAUAUGUUAUAUUUUAUCACUGUAGCCACCAAUCUGUUUGCCAGACUUAUCUAUAUCUGAUAAGUUUGAUGUAUUGAGAUCACUGAAAUUGGGAAAAUACUCUGAGGUAAUUUCAGUAUUUUUCAUGAUCAUAGGAAUUGUUAUAACUCAGAGUGUAAUCCCCAUUUGUCUUGCAAUCCAGUGGUUUAAUGAUGUGAAAUCUUCUGAUAUCUCUGCGAAGUGUGAGGAAGUACUUAGCACGCUUUCAAGUAAUUAUGGAUGCCAAGUGAGUUAUAGUUGUGUUUUACUUUUUCUUGAGAUCAUAACUGGCAUUAUAAUAUUUGUCAUAGACCACAUACGAGCAAUGAGCGAAAACCUGUUAUCUUUGCCUUCUUUCCCAGAUUUUUAAUUUUUUUGUAUGACAAUUGGUUGUAUGAAGACCCUAGAGAUUAUAUUACCGGAGCUGGAGGAGCUUCGUAAUGCUCAUUUGGUUUCAAUUGGUUCUGAAGUACUGUGUUCAUCGAACCCUCAUUACAAGGAUGGGUAAUUUCCACUCAAGCUCACAUCGUUCUGUUUAUUAGUGUAGCUGUAGUAUCAGGUCAAUCUUGGUACAAAUUGAAGUCCGUGUAAUACUUUCGUCUCACAUCACACAUCUUUUGCUCUUCUGCAAUAUAGGAGGCGUACUGAGCUGUCACUGGAUACCCGUACAAGUUUUGGUCUUUUUAAAUCGUUCUCAGCUGCGAAUUACGUUGCUGGACAGUGUCUGAGGUAAGAUAAUUUUGCCACUGACUUUUCCCGAAUUUCAUUUUCGAUUCGGAGAAUAUAAGGUGUCAUGUUUCUUUUGCACUUAAUUGUAUUGACUUAGUCAGCUAUUUUGUGCAUGUGGUUUUCGUUUGUGGCCCUAUCGGUGAUCUCGAGUUAGAGGGACAUUGCAGAUUCCAGCCGAGAGGAUUAGGAAAUAGAAGCAUAAAGACAGGAUGAUAUGACUUAGCUUAGUUAAUUCGCAGUGUUUAUUGAUUUUUGGACUGAAGAUUUGUGUGAUUCUGUUCUCGUCUAUGGUACUUAGAUUGUCUUUAAAGAUGUACAGAAUACUACAUUUUCUAUUUUGUAAAUACCAUUUUCGUGAAAAGUGUGAGUCUGAAACUAUCAACAUAAAAAAAUGCAGAUACAUAUUUGGUGAUUAAAUUCUUAUUUUCUAUCUUAUGAAAUGGCGUGGUAAUUCCAUGAGUAACGUAUGAUGUCCCAAUGGAAAAAAGAAAGCUUCUAUAGACUAGACCUUAGACUUUAGCGAGAACAUUUAUCUGUUUUGUGUAAAAAUUUAUGAUGAAAAUCUUGAGAUAUUUUUAAAGAAUAUUUAUUACUUUGGCGUGCUUAGUUUUUAAGCCUUAGAAAUGUAGUCGGAGAGAAACUCUCCCAGCCCUGUAUAUAUUGCACAAGUUACAUUUAGUUAUUGUUGUAAACUAAGGUAGAAGGGACGAAUGAGACAAUUACAUGAGAAGAGAAAGAAAACCUCUGUCACAGAGGACACAGGGGAGAAUGGCAGAAAAAUUGUCUCAACACUCAUUCACCUUUAACGUCCCUUAAAUAGGAAUGAACCCUAGAUACACUUUCCCAGAAUACCUUUAGUCCUUUACAGUAUUAUCAUUAUACUAUCUAACAGUUAUGAAGUGAAGCGUAAGUUAUUUAAUCACUUUAUCAAUUGUAGGAGAAGGCUGAUGUUUUUUUAUAUGGAAGUUUUUAAGGAGGUGGACGUUAUAGUGACCCCUACAACUGGGUAUGCUGUUUCACUUGCUCCUGUUGUCAUGUUUCAUUUUUGUUUGGUUUAAUUUCACAAAGUUCUCCCUGGCAUUUCUCUUGUGUUAAGUUUUUAUAUAUUUUUGUUUAGACAAACACGUACGAUGGUUACUUGCCAAUGACUGUUCUUAAGAUUUACAUUUUUCACUUUAGUGUGCACAGACUCUGAUAUCAAUGAUUCUCAUUUGGGAGCCAUCAAAUAGCCUUGAACAUCAGAAAUAUGAGGAAGAUUCUGCUUUCAUGCAAUUUUCUUUAUUGUUAGUAUGCGUGUUGAAUAUCCAAAGGACAGUACCGCAGAUACGUAAAUUGUUGGUGGCAGUAACCUGACAAUUUUUGUUCAUUUUUUUCGCAUUCAACAGCCGUGCUGUCCAAGGAAUCGUUCAUAAGAAAACAAGAAAAACCAUGAACGUGUGGGGUGUAGAAAAAAAAAUCUGAGGCUAGUCUUUCUGAAUGAAUUAUGUAUCAUUACUUGAUCAGCUAAGCAAUAUGAUUAGAAAGACAGUUAAAUAUAAGUAUGGUCCAAUCAAUUAAUUUUUCCAUUGAUGAGUACUUAGCAAUAAAAGUUAUCCAUGCAUCUGCAAAAUAGAGCGUAUAGUUUUCCUUUGCUCAUUGAAAUGACUGCUUCUUGUCAGAUCGUGUGUUCUUAAGUACUGUUCUCGUAUUUGCUGUAUAGAUGCAAAGAGGAUACUCUAAAGCCUACUGAACUACUCCUCUGGAAGAAAACAACUUGGGAAAAUAUUCUACUUCUAUGCUUGUUUAGGAUCAUUUAUUAAAGAUACUGGAUGAACCGUUGAUUUGUUCAGGGCCCAUGAAAUGUAUUGACUCAUUUUUUAUUGCAUCAGCAUGACAGCCCCUAAAAUACCCUCGGGUUCUCUAGAGCACGGGGAGACAGAUUAUGAAGUUUCAGGUGUGUUGAAUUCACUUUGAUUUUUAGCCAUGUUUUCAAGUCACUAUGAUAGUUUUUAUAUAAGAAGGGAUUCCAUGAUAGGCAUGCCCCAAAUCAUGCGCACAAGCUUUGGUCUUUUAUACUUACUUGGGUUUGAUAAUAACACGAUUGGCGUGUUAGAUUUAGUGAAUGUUCACCACGUGCUCAGGUUGGGUGUAGAUAUCUCACAAAUGCUCGACUGUUUUUUGUGCAGCGAUAGUUUGAAAUUCGAUUGCAUUUCUAUGUAGGGGAGGGUCUUUCUAUGUACUUAAGGUUUAUUGUGAAAUAACUAUAUACUCAGACCAAAUGCAUCUGUACGUAGGCCUUUUCCUGUGGGUUCAAGCAUGUCAGGGCCCACUGGAGAGCAGCCUUUGGCCAUGUCUCCACCGUCCACGCUGUCAUAUUAAUUUUUUUAUUCUCAUUUUUAUCCUGAUGCCAAAUCUUGUUUCUCUUGAGGUGUCUCAAUCUUUCAUUACUCUACUCAGAAGUGCCAGGCUCUUCAGGCGACGGAUUCACCCUUGUCGGCCAUUUAAUGUUUCUCGUAAUGGGACCAGACCUUGCACCCUUUUAAUGAUGUCUUGGAACUAAUAUUUGCUUCUCCCUAACCGAUUUUGUUUUUUUUACUUGGCGGGCUGCCCGUUAUCCUGCUCUAAUUUUAGUAGAGAUUUUGAAUCCCUCGUGCAUUAUGCAUUAAUCUGUCUUGUGAAAUUGGCGAUUGCGUUGCAGGUUAUCUCAUGAGGUUCGUUCUGGCCGCAAAUCUCCUUGGAUUUCCGGCAAUUUCCAUUCCUGUAAGUCAGAUCUAACGAAUUCAUUAGGCGCAUAUGAUCACAAAGUGUGUUCUGUUUCAAGAGACUAUUUAUGUUAACAUCAGAGAUCGAUCAACAAGAUUAGUAGCUUUUUUUAUUUUUGUGUGCGUCAGAGUAGAUUAUACGUCGGAAAGAUUAUUAGAUGAUUACGGAGUCCUUUUUUGUUAUUUUUUUAGUUGACGGGCUCGUUUACCCGAUUUGUGGGAACGUUAGUGUCUUCCGACUGUGGGGGGCCACGUUAGCCCUAAGCCCCUUCUAAAAGAGCAUGUUUCUCUCCUGUUAUCUCCAAACUCGGGUGCUGUGGGCUCACUGCUUUCACGGUCGUACUCGAACCACAUGAAAAUUAUUUACCUUCCUUUAAUGAUUUCCUCUCCUCCUCUUCUUAAAGCUCCUGUCUUCAUCAUCGUCUCCUACCAGUGGUUGAGUGAGGGGGGGGGGUUCUCGCAGCGCUUUUUUCACGUGCUGAUUAUUUAGAAGAAAAAAAAAAGGUUCCAGAGCCCUUUGGAGCUGGUUCUGCCGCAUCCUGAAACUUGUGCAUCCCAGUUCUCCCCUUCUCUUGAACUCUGUGGCUCAAAAAAAAAAAACAAAAGAAAAAAUCCCGUUGGACGCGAGGAAAACCCCGUUCCUUUGUCAUCAAGCUCACACUUUGCCUUCACGUGUUCUCUUCGCCGAACGGUUCCUGCUCUCUGCUUGAACGAUCUCUUCUGGCGUCCAGGUGGGGCACGACGAGCAAGGGCUGCCCAUAGGCCUGCAGCUGAUCGGCCGUCCGUGGUGUGAAGCGACUAUCCUGCGUGCUGCGGCGGCAGUCGAGGUCUGUAGUCUACCACACCCCCUCUCCCUGUCCCGACACGGACUCUGCAGCGGGCGCGAUGACCCGCGCUUCUCUUGCCUCGAUCUGCAGGAGCUGUGCUCGGGCGCCGGGAGACGGCCCUCUACAUUUUACGACGUCCUCCGGAGGAGCGGGGAGGGACUCUCGCCCCCGGUGUAGCGGCACCCAGAUGCGGACGCCGCCCAGCCGGACGUUCGAUGCCUCGUGCUCUUGGGAAGAUGCUUGUCAUUCUCGUGGAGCCAGCCAACCCGGCCCCCCCCCUUGUGCGCCGUUUCUUCUCUCUUCGGGGAGAGCCCCACGUCCCGGUCCGCGGUGAAAAAUGUCUGACUUGGUUCCGCUGACCUCGGGAGAACGAUCCCGUUGACCCUUCAGUUUCGCCAGAGGAUCCAUGGCGCGGCCCCCUCCCUUGCAGCUGGGCCUAUAUAUAUUUAUCCACCUUCGUCGAGCCUCCGUUAACACGGGUGAGGAGAGCCCACCCCGCGCUGAGAAAAUACUUUCUUGGUCAUCGGAGGUGCCCCUUUUAGGGGACCGUCUGGGGACGAGACGCCCCUUCCCUGCCCACCCUCGCCUCCUCCGCCCUCUCCCGCGUGGUCCGCCUGUGGCUAGCCUCCUCCCGGGGCGCUGCGGUGGUUGCCGCCGGCAUCCUCGCCUCUGCGGUCAGAAAUGGUGAAAUCCGUCCUCGGGGAGGAGACGCGGCUGCAGUUCGCCGAGGACAGACUCUUCCAGUCUACCGUGCUGGCCCAGGUCAGCACGAAGCCGCCGCCUGUCCUCCCUCUAAACCUCUCGGCUUCUCUCUGCGCGUACCAAUGGAGCUCUUCCGCAGGUGGGGCUGGUCGUAGGAAAGCUGAGUCCGGGUUUGGACCGGGGGUUCGUCUACGAUCUCGUCCCCACCCCGCCCACCGACGACGGUCGACCCCCAUGCUCGCUUCCCGAGACUGUUGGCGGCUCCGGCAGGGACGACAAGAAGAAGGGUUCCAAGGGUGGGGCCGGGAGAUCUCCGGCGGAGGCGGCGGCUCCCCUGAUCAUCGAUGUCGACUGGGUCGCGGAGCAUGCUCGUCAGGUUUGCCUGCAGUUCCCCCAAUUCUGAAUUUGACGAGGGUGGCGCCGUCCACGCGUUGGGGGUCUGCCUAAGGUCUGCCCCUCCGUUUCUAGGUGGCCAGAUUGCUGCUGGGUGGCAUGCACGUUGUCGGGAUCUAUGUGUGGGCUUCCGAGAGCUCGUUCAAGGCUUCUAGCCUGGUUCUCUGGCAGGUUAAAGGAUCCCUUUUUUCUGUCUUAUCAUGACCUCCUCCUCCUCCUCCUCCUCCUCCUCCUCCUCCUCCUCCUCCCC